rnacentral:lncRNA from 1 species
AAAUAUAAGAAUAAAAAUAUGAAAAGAACAAAAAUUUUAAAAAUUAUAAGAAUAAUAAAUUACAUUUAUAGCAAAAAAUAAAAGUUUUGGAUUAAAUAAGCGCCAAGCUAUUAGUGUAUUAGGUUUUUGGCCCUUGGGUGAAAAAAUGUACCAUUAGAAGGAUAUGGACUUUCUAGGAUUGAGCUAUUGGUUUAACAGUAUAAUCUAACGGGUGAAAAUAAUUGAAGAGUUAAAUCUAACGGCAGAAAACUUGAUAGCACUAAAUACUUGGUGCUAUCGAUAGUAUUCCAGCAGAUGGACACUCUCUCUCUCUCUCUCUCUCUCUCUCUCUAUAUAUAUAGAGUGAGGCUACUAUGCUUCUGGAAGCACGGAGCCUUCCGUGCUUCCAGGUCGUUUUUGAUGUUACGACUUUCGAAUCGUCGAUCGGUUCCGUUAAAUUUGAUCUAGAGUAUUUGGAGUAGCUAGAAAAUAAAUCAUGCGAUUUUUCGUUAUUAUUUACCUAGUGAAGGAAGGGGCUCAAAAUCAACGACUGAAAAUAAAAAUCUUACAAAACGUGAUAAUAUGACAUUAAAAUUUUAGAUCAAAGAUAUUAAUCUUGUUUUAUAUAGUAUAAAGAAUUUUCUAUCAAAAUUUCACAUAAUCUUGUUUUAUAUAGUACAAAGAUAUUGAUCUUGUUUUAUAUAGUAUAUAUAUAUAUAUAUAUAUUUCUUUGAUUAGUGAAUUGCCUACUUCCCUAUAUUUUCCCAUAAAAAAUACGCCUCUGGUAAACGCAAUCAAACUUCUUUUUACUACAGUGCAUUCACUAUAUAUGACUCUUCUUUGAUAGCAAAAGACUUAACAGAUAUGCAUUAGAAGGCGUAAAUUCUCUGUCGUCCCAGUUUGCAGGAAAUCCUUAUGUGGUUUCUUACGGACCAGCGAUCAUACUUUCCGUUCGAAAUACAAGCCAUGUUUUACUCGCCAAUGAUGAUCCAACAGUCAGUCAAGUGAGAAAUCAACCAGCACCUUGCCAUCACAUUCAAUAGUCAGAUCAAUCUGUGGGCAAGAGUUUUCCGCAUGCCGAAUCUGCACCGGUCUCUACCUGCUGUAUAAAUCUAAUCUGUCAAUAACGAUUCUUACUCAGUUGAUGUUACUUCCUGCCUUAUAUCGUUUUAGAAGAAACAUUUUGACCAAAUAAUCACUCUAAUAUGUGCUCAAACUUAGAACAUCAUCCGCUCAUACCGAGUCUUUCUCAAUUGAUCGACCUUGACGCUCGACGGACAAUCGAUUGCCCAAUCCACAAAGUGCUCUCGACAAAUCCGCCCUACCUUCGGCUCAUUGAUCAACGGUGACAACAACCAACCUUCCAACGCCCGACAGCUCAAAGCCGCCACCGGCGGAAUGGCGCCAUGACGCACUUCCUCUCAUUGCUUCAAUCAAGAUCCCUGAGCACCCGCACAUCGGGCAUGAGUCAUGCAACACAAGCCACUAUUCAAAUGCACUGCAGAUGGAGCUUAAUUAUACCAUGUAAAUUUAUAUGAAACAAUCGUUAUUCUUCAAAAGCUUAGACCGUAAGAAAACGGCGCUUUUAAUAUUUAUAUUCAACUACCACCGUCACCUCCUUCCCCUCAUCGAAUUCUGUCGGGCACACCCUCUAGUUUGUCAACAUAGUUGUAGGAACCGUCUCUACAAGCCUCUACGAGCGUUUUUUCCUGUAGUGUUCGCACUUAUGUUUUGUAGGGGCGGUUUAAACCAUCAGUAUAGGUCAAGAAAACAGCCACCAAAAAUCUCUUUUCCUUGUAGUGACAAGAAUAAGAAAAGUAAAGAAGCAUCUUCGCCGUCGACAUUGUUGGGGUUGUCGACAGCCUUUUGUUGGUGAAAAACUCAAAAUUUUGAGUUUGAACUUAUUUUAUUUGAACUUUAAAUUAUUUAUUAUUUAUUAUUUAUGAUUCUAUUUAUUUAUUACUUUAUUUAUUUUAUUUUAUUUAAUUAUUUUAGUAUCUUUCUUAAUGAGAAAGAAACUAACGGAAUUUUUUUCCGUUCCGUUUCUUCCGCGUUACGUUGGGCGGGUUCCGCUUCUUUCUCGUAAGAGAAAAACGUAAAAUCCUCUUUCCUUUUUAGGUCUUUUUCCUUUUCUUCUUGCUUAAGAUAGAGCAGACAGAAAAGAUUUUUAAUCAUUGGUUAAUCUCUAUCCAUUUAUUCUUUUAUCUUUCAUUUUUGAACAUUCCCCUUAUCCACUGGGUGUUGAGAAUCUUCGUCAACCUCCUUCACGAUCGUGCUCGCAGAAUGAGGAAUUCCGGUCGUACCUUGGGGUGUUAUUUCCGAAUGACGUCAUCCUUUUUUUUAUGAAAUUAAUGAUAAAAGAUAAAACAGGAAAUAUUAUAGUUACUGACCCAGUUUUCAACGUACUAUUCAGCUCGGGGUAGAUAAAAAUAGUAAUUAUAAUUUUUUAAUAUUUGAGACUAAAGAUUUAUAAAUGUUAUCGACACCCUAAGGUGGGUGUACUUAGAAUUGUUGUCUCACUUUAGGUUCGUAGGGGACAAAAAAAAAAUUGGGGUUUUUUACUCUUAAGGUGUUUUUUAUCUAUUAUUUCUUACUUUGUCGUCCCUUGAACUCCCUUUGUUUAAUCUUUAACGGUUUUCGUACUGUCCUAUUACAGUUUUUAAUCGUGGUUUUAAUGUUGUAUUUUAGUUGACUGGACGAGACGUAGAAAGGUAAACUGAAUUAGAACAUUCUAGUAGAGUUGACUCCGGACUCUGUUGAUUGACAUUGUCAAAGGUUUGAUUAUUAUUUUGACCGUAUUUUUCGUAUCAACUUAAAGGCUUCGACACUAAUGUUUAAUGAAGUAAAGGACGCCUAGAAUUAUAAGUUUCAGGUAACUUCGGAAGGGAGACCAGCGCCUUAUAGGAAGCCGUUUGCCUCGCCGUGGAGCAUGAGAGGGUCGCUGCAGUCGCCGCUGCCAUCCACCUCCAAUAGACCCACCUAUAACUAUGUUUCAACGGAUCGGUGGACACACACACACAUACGCUCUCUCUCUCUCUCUCUCUCUCUCUCUCUCUCUAAUCGUUUUCCUCUUUUCUCUCAAAGUUGAGAUCUGUUUAAACACGUCUUUUAUUUUAAUCGUCUCACUUCAAAGUGUCUUUUCCGUAAUCUAAACUUCUUCGUACUUUGUCUACGUUGUUUGUCUCCGGAUUCUAUUUAUAAAAUCAGGUCCAAGUCGUUGCUUUUUGUAUGACUCUACAAACUAGCGAGUUUUCUCAAUAGUCACCAAAUGUUCUUGUAUGGUAGCGUUUCUUUUAGGUACUUAAUAAAAGAAAAGUCUACCCUAAUUUUCUUUUAAAUCUUUUUACCAACCUUUAUCUUUUCAUGGAGGAGCUGUUAAAGUAGGAAACAGUGGCCACUUGCGUUAAGCAAUAGUUGGAACUACUUGGAGGAGUUUUGGAUACCACUAUAAAAUGUCCUCAAUGUCAGUAUCGGUAUACAUAUCUUCGGCCAUCAUGUAGUUCUGUUAUAAAGUUUCAAACUAGUCGUUUACUUUGUCAUCCUUAAGGUGCGUAAUGCUAAAAAAGUAACAGGAAACAUCCUCUCAUUUAUAUUUUUAAUAGUAGCAGGUAUCCAACUAACCUUCGUAGUAAUAUGUAUGUAUAUAUAUAUAUAUAUAUAUAUAUAUACGUUGAACCUUUGACAAUAAAAUCAAAGGCAAGUUUCUAAUUUUACUACCAUUUUAGUUAAUCGUGACAACUCUAUCUUUUUUAUAGUGUAAAUGGUCUUUGUCUUACAAGGAGAAUGUUUAAUAGUAUAUAGUUUUCUCUUGUACUUUUCAUCUGUCUUAUAUAAUCUUUUCCACGGUCAAAAGUUUACGUAUCAUGUCUUUGAACUUGGGAGAGGGACCAUUAGAACUGUAAUAUAUCGUAAUAUAUGAUUAACUCUAAGAGAUAAGGUAAAAGUAACGGUUUUUGGCUUUGGUAUUAUAAGGGCGAAAACAAUUUGUUUGGUGAUCUUCUUAGUUCUUUUCUUUUAGCGGUUUCAAUCGACUUAUUUCUAUUUUUGAGUUAGAUGACAAAAACUUUAGGAGGUUAGAUGCUUUCUUAUAUAUCUCAAAGCGUUAAGUCUCUUUACCUUUUUAGAAGUUGAUUUAUACUUGACAAUUGCCGUGGCAUAUAGUUUCUUCUUAGUUAACGUACGGUUCGUUUUAGUUCAUUAAUUGUGGUAAAGAAAUAACUUUACUACGAUCGUUUGUAAGUGUUAUUUAUAAGACAUCUGACUUUGUAUUACGUAGUCUUUUCAUGUGUUGAUGGUUUAAAAAUGAGUGGUUCUCCCGUAAUAGUUCUGCGAAACGACGGUAGACUAUAAGAAAGUAAAAUUCAAGGACAACGACAAAGUCUGUUUAUUUUUCGUGUAAUCUUAAACUGAUCGAUGUUAUCUCAUACUUAUGUAGGUUAUUUACAUUCUUUUUACGUUAUCAUUCGUGCGUACUACAUUUAGCAUGUUAUGCGAUUUAAUCAAAACGUGUCCCUAUGAAGUCAAGGAACCGUAAAUGCAUUAAAUCCGUUUAUGUUUAUAAUUUCUAGAGAAGUUUAUACAUGAGGCACGACGGUGGUUCCAGUAACCAUUAUCGAAUUAAGAGGAUUUGAACUGUAAAAGAGUUUAGGUGGGUGAUUACUCAUGUCCUUGUUGUGACAUUGAAUGUAAAACUUUGGUGUGGGAUUCCGGGUUUCUGGUCGAUUAGAUGAAAAGACGUUAAACGGGUCCCAAGUUGGUAUAAAACUUGGAGAUUUCCUGAAGUUAAGUAUGAGUCUACUUACACGUCUCAUAAAUUCUCUCGUUACGGUGGUUGUCUAUUUUGUUAUCUUGUUUUGUAAAAUCUAUUUUAUCUAGAAAGAAUGAAUUCAUGAAUUGAUCGAGUAGUGGAUAAAAAACAAGUUAGUUUGUGAAGGCAAAAAUGCAUGAUGUAACAGAGGAAGUUGAGGAGGAAUGAAAGGGACGAAUAAAAUGUAGAUUUGAAUUAGGUGAGAAUUGUUUUAAUUAACAAUAUGGUUAAAACCACAUAUACUGGAAUCAUAAAACCUAACCAUUUUAAGGAUACAUGAAAUUAGGAUCUGGUCUAUCGUCACUAAGACCGUAAUGUAAUUCGUAAAGUUUCUAGUCAGCCUCCUGAACAAAUGUCAUUCAGAAGAUGUAACAGUUCAACUAUAUAGUGAAAGGUUUCUUUCCCGUCAUCAGGCUGUGUACUAGUAAGACUAUGGAUACAAACAAACGUACUAUUAUAAUAUGGAGAUAAGUAUGGAGAUGAGUAUGGAGGUAUGAAGAUAAAUGAAGCUAACUCUUAUACGUUUAAAAACUUCAUACCAAUUUACCGUAAAGGUAAAAUACAAUAAGGUACAGGACACUCGAUCCUUUCACUCGUUGUUUUCUUUCCUUUGUACUAGUUUAAUAUCACGUUGAGAGUACCUCCAUCUCUUCUCAUAAGGAAGGUAGAGUUUGACCUUGUAGUGAUUGAGAGUACCUUUUAAUCUACAUCUUUUCUCUUAAGGAAGAUCUUUGUUCAAUACAUGAUGGCGUUGUUUUGUAUAUUAGGGUCUAAUGUCUUUAUAACCAUUAAUUUUGUUGUUUAACAUUAUUUAUAGGAGUAUUUUUUUAUAUAUAGACAGUGACUACGUGAUGUAUUCGAGAGGAGGCUAGUAUAGAUGUACGUAAUAAGGUAUUCUCAGUUUUAUCUUCUCUUUUCUUUCUACACAUUGUACAACCUUGUUUAUGGCGUCGCUUUUAGACUAACACUAAUUUUAGAUUGAUUGAAACACUAUUUUUAUUUUUGUUUGUUUGUAUGUCUAUUUGCGUUUAUUUAGUUGAGUGUCUAUUAGCGAUUUAGGGUUUUAACACCUUUUCCUUAUAGUUGUAUAAUUAGGCCUUCGCACGCUCCGUGACGGGAUUCCGCAUAAGGGCAGGAAUGCACGCCUUAAUUGNAUUGUGAUUAAAUCUGACGGUGCUAAUCUAUUAAAAUAUAUACAUAUAUAUUUUUGCAUAUAAUUCUGUUUGACAACUUGCUUGUAUGCUUGUCAUUCAAAUUUAAAUAAAUUGGGAUUAGCAUUUUUAAUUUCUAAUUGGAUAUUGUUUAUCUGCAAAUUAUUUUUUUUAUUGUUAUUAUUUUUACCGUACGGAUUCAAAAGGGUGGAUUUUUUUUUGCGACAGUAAAUAACAUUUUAUUUAUGUACGGUUUGAGUUUUGCUAUUGAAAAUUCCUUAAAAUUUUUUUGUUAAAAAAAAAGGGAUUUGCUACAGUGAUUUUUUUAAAGUGUACGGUUUUUUUAAAAAUUGUUACAGUAAUUAUUUUUAGCUUUCCUGUGUGUACGGGUUUUAGUUUUGCUACAGUAAAACCCAUUGCUAAUUAAAAAAAAAUUGCUACAGUACUUUCUUUUCCACUGUUGAGAUUUAUUAAAACUUAUUUUCAAAUAGAUUUUAAAACUUAAUUUUAGAGAUAUAAAUAUACUAUUUUUCGAAAAAAAAAAAGGGAAGGAAAAAUAUUUUGUUCCAAGGGAGAUUUGAUUUCACAGUAUCUAACCUGCAACACUAUUUCUAAAUUUUAUUUUUUCUAUUAUUUCAGCAAUUUUUAAAAUCUAUUUGCUGCAUAGAUAUUAUUUGAUUGCAUAUGUUAUUUGCUCGAAAUUACCUAAUUGAAAUCAAUUUUGUUUUAAAAAAAAUUGUUUGGUCCGUCUUUUGCUGUUGAAUCAAACUCUAUUCAACAUGAUUAAAUUUCAUGAUUUUUAAAUUUUAGUAUAUCUCUGAAAUUGUGGGGGAGCGUCUUUAUCAGUUUGAUAAAUUUUGAUAUUAUAAUUGCUCUCAUGUUUUCAUUUUGUCUAUCAUUGUGUUUAACUUGUAAAUAAAAUUUAUAAAUUCUAAAGUUAACAUUUAUAUUAUAUUGAGAUAGAAAUCUGUUAGAUGGUUAAUUAUCUAUCAUAUUAUUUAUUUGAGUUUUGUCAGAUUUGACUAGAAUCUUGCAGAUUACCAGAUUGAAGGCCUAAAGAGGACUAUGGUCCUGUAGUCAUCGAGGGGGAUGGGACUUUGCCCGUAAAGGGCCUUCCUGCAGUGGGAACCCAACCUUUGUGAUAGGAGAUCCCUUGAAGAAGGUUCAAUGUGGUAAAAACAAGCUGUCAGGUUGGCCAAGAGCACUUUCUACAAAUUUUAUAAAGGAGCUUUAGCUCCAAUCCCAUCCCUAUGGUGAGUAGUGCUCUGUGUAGUGGAUCAGGUUGAGCUGAGAGCUCUUAAUGGGAUCCAAGGCGAUAAUUUUCGCGAGAUGUGACUCUACACACAUCCCUGGAGGAAACCACCUAUAUAAGAGUAUCCGUAUGUGGCCGCGGCUAUGUGAUAUGGGCUAUCCAUAGAAACUCUUAUGAAAAAUCAAGGUACUGUGCAUGGCCAUUAACGCACAGACCCGCGACGGAGAAUUCUGUACUGUGUGUGUGGUGGUUGAAGUCAGGGUCAAAGGAACGUAGUUCAAGACCUGGUUCACUCCGAUUCCUUCUGAUGGAAAUCACUUACACUAAGUGGGGUUAAGUCUCUUAAAGACACCUCACCCAUUGCAUAGUAUAAAACACCCAGUAAAUUUGAUUUUAAUUCGUAAUUUUAAAAUUUUGAGUUUUGUGGGGGAUUGUUGGUGAAAAACUCAAAAUUUUGAGUUUGAAUUUAUUUUAUUUGAACUUUAAAUUAUUUAUUAUUUAUUAUUUAUGAUUCUAUUUAUUUACUACUUUAUUUAUUUUAUUUUAUUUAAUUAUUUUAGUAUCUUUCUUAAUGAGAAAGAAACUAACGGAAUUUUUUUCCGUUCCGUUUCUUCCGUGUUACGUUGGGCGGGUUCCGCUUCUUUCUCGUAAGAGAAAAACGUAAAAUCCUCUUUCCUUUUUAGGUCUUUUUCCUUUUCUUCUUGCUUAAGAUAGAGCAGACAGAAAAGAUUUUUAAUCAUUGGUUAAUCUCUAUCCAUUUAUUCUUUUAUCUUUCAUUUUUGAACAUUCCCCUUAUCCACUGGGUGUUGAGAAUCUUCGUCAACCUCCUUCACGAUCGUGCUCGCAGAAUGAGGAAUUCCGGUCGUACCUUGGGGUGUUAUUUCCGGUUAAUCCCGCACGUAAGGACGGGAAUACGCCUUAGGGCAGUGCCUCGCACGCUUUCGGAUUAAUAUAUUGAUAUUCUUUUUCCACAAUUUUGAAAUUUAGCGAUUAUCUGUGAGUUGAUUUAUUUGCAUUUAUCUGUAUGUUUGUUUAUUUUUAUUUUUAUCACAAAGUUAGUUAGGUUUUAAUUGCAACCGGAUUCCUAUGCGAUAUUUGUUCCAACACCUUUUCCGUGUCCAGCGGCCCGCGGAAUCAACGUCCGAGGCCUGAGACUCAACUGGAAAGAUGAGAAACGAAGAUGCUCCACAGCUCCAGUGGUUUUUUCAACUUCGGGAGAAGUAAUAAAAUCCAUUUACAAUAAUGAGAUAGUAUUGAGAGUCAAUCAAAACAAAUGAUGGUGCCAUUUCAAAAUGGCUUAAAUAGUCGGAAUAAUUUUGAAAUGAGCCCCUCAAUUUUAUUUUAUUUUUUCUAAUGGGCCCUACUGUAUCUUAUGACUGCCAUAAUGGAACAGUUACCUGUUUUCAUGCAUUUUUAGGAAUAUACUUCUUCGUGACACAAGUUGAGUACUUACGAUUGGGACCUGUAGUUAUCUUAAACUUUUUGAAUGAGCAAUACCUAGUGGUACGCUGAAAAACGGAUGUAAAUCAUACAUUCCAUUCAUCCAAGAAUAAAAUUCUCUCCACUAAUCACCGCACCCUUGAAUAAGUGGGGCGCAAAAUAUACACCUCUUUUAAGAUGUAUAAAUAGCAUUUACCCUUUUGCAUACAAGCAAUGACUAUAAAUGAUAAAUAAUACCAAAUUAUUGAUGUACUUCACCUACAAUUUUUUCAAAUGUGCACACUCCAAAAAAAAAGAGUGUAAAUACCUCCUUUCAUCCAAGAAUCAACUUUUGACUCUUUAUCCUGUCAACUUUUUUUUCUUAAAAAAAUAUAUAUACGAAAAACAUUAAGAGCUUUUGGUUAUAACUCAGCCACCCCUUUUGGGGUGUAAAACUAGCAUUUUUUUUCCAAAUAAUUUGAAUUAUAUAAGGCAAGUCAGAAUGAUUUCUCAGCAUACGAGCAUUCUAUAAAUAUAUUAAAAAAAAAAAAAAAUGCUACUUGUACACCCGAAAAAGAUAUAAAUCUUAGACCCCCUCAACCUACAGUAUAGAAAAUCCUAGAUGAGAGUUUUUAGUAGUAAAAAACAGAGUUUUGACAAGACAUAUGGGCCAUUAGAUGGGGGACCUAAGAUUUAGACCCAUGUCUGAGUGUGCAGGUUGCAGUGCUCUUAAAAAAAAUACAGAGAGAGAGAGAGAGAGAGAGAGAGAGAGAGAGAGAGAGCUGCAUAGGAGCCAAAAAACAGCUGCUAAUUUUACAGCAACCAGAAAGCUGCAUAGGAGCCAAAAAAAACUCUUUCUAAUUUUACAGCAACCAAGUUUAAGCUCACCUAAGAUGAUUUCACCUCCUCUAAGGUAUACAUUGAUGUAUCUCUACAUACCGAAAAUAAAGCAGUUUGAGUAGCAUGGAAGGUACAAAGCGCUGUCUUCAACCGCCAUAGGCUGUCGGAAAGGAUUUAUCUGAAUCUGCAAGAAAGUGUUCACCAUUUUAUCUUGAUCUUAAAGAAAAAUGAGAUCUACAUACAUACCCCAGCAAAAUUUUCCAAACUUACUUUCUUGUGUACAUGCUCUCAUAAUUACAAGCCCAGCUAAAGAAAAGCUAGGACAUGAAUCCCCAUUUAAUGAGGGCAAUAUUUUUGUAAAAAACUGCACUUUUGAGGGAAGUUUAUGAAAAUUCAGAUUUUACAGGAUGUAUACAUGUAAACAGAUGAUUUGCAGGGAAAUAUAUGUAAAAGCCCCAAGCAACAAGAGGCAAAGCUACAGAACAGCUUACUGGCAGGCUGAGAGGGCGGCCAGUUACAGAGCUUAUGCAACGGGAAGCUAGAAAUGCAGCUUCUUCACAAAAGUCGGUAAAUAUUGCCGGGACGCCCAUCUCCUUGAUUAAUUCCUUAAAAAGAUGAUAAUCAAUUAGUUGGAUUUGAUUAUAGCAUUCGACACAAAUAAAAUGUCAGCUGCACAUAAAACUACACUGCUAAAAGUUGCAAGAGAAUAAUGAAACUGAAUUCUAAUUUAUUUACUAACAAAAGCUAAAAAUGGAACUUGGAAAUAGAAAAUGUUUAUGUUUUGGUCCACAUUGUACCGGGAUUCACGAGUUCCAGUUUUCAGAACAAGUAGAAAGCUCUAAAAAGGUUCACUUCCAUUUGGAUGAUAAAAGUACCAAUAUAUGCAUUACUCAUCACAUUAUGAUCAAAAUUAUUACAGAUAAAAAAGAAAAGAAAAUUCAAUAGAAACAAAAAGGUCUCAUUGUCUAAAUUCUUUAUCAGUAUGUCGAUCCUUGUGUAUAGUGAUAUUUGGUGGAAAACUAAGCCUCGUCAAGGAAGAUUUUGAUGUGCAAACAGAAUACAAAUACCACCAGAAGAGUAAGUAGCUUGAAAGUAGUUUGAACAGGGAAGACAUACUAUAGUUGGUAGCCAGCUAGAGUAUGCGGCAACACCAGCAUUAGGAGCAACAAUAAGAUGUGGAUUUGAAUCCUGCUGAACUCUUUGUUAGUCGAGAUGUUGAAAGAAAUUAACCAACAUGAGCUAGCACUGAAACAUCUCUAGAAUUUUUCUUUUGUUAUCAGCACGACAAAGGUAUAAAUUAAUGGCAAAACAAUUUAUAGUCUAUGCCAGAAAAGUCGAAUGAUAAAUAUCAAAUAUGCAAUUCGUGCGGAAAAAAUAAAAGAACUGCUAUAUUGAGGAUUCCUACUGAUUCAUGUUCUUUCCCAAGUGUUCACAUUCGUACGACAUGUCAAAUCUGAUGUAGAAUUGGCAGUAAGUUAAUGACUUAGUUAAGACUAAUAAAACAUAAAAUUAGCUCUGUCCUGUUAUAUGUAAAGUAACAAGGACUCGAAGCAUUUAAGGCUUUGAUACCAUCUUAAAAUUAUAUCUUUUCCAUUUGCUAACAGCAAGAAAUUAAUUUAAGGUGAAAGAUAAAACACAUGCAUUUACUCAGAGUACUCUUCAAAAUUACUUCAGAACAAAAGUGAACUGCGUAGAGGCAGCUAUUCAUUAUGCAGUUGUUUAGUUCGAUACGACAGCUUUCUUAUGUUCGGUGUACUCAAACUUUGAUGGGUUGAAAUUCUGGUAGACCAUUCGAAAUUAUGUGCAGUCUAUGUUGUCUGAUCUCAACAGGUCAAGAUCUGCAUUGACAAAUCAAAACUUUCGACUGGUCGAUAUUUAUGCCGACCAAUCAAGAUCCUCUACAGAAUCCCAUUGGAAGCAGGAUUUGACUCAGACAGUCUUUCAUUUCGUAGUUUAACUAGUCUUAUUCUAUUUUUGGAUUAUUAGUAGUUCGUUCUGCUUUUAUGCUUACUGAAUGCCAAAGAAAUUUAGAGAGCUUCGUAACCUUUGCCAUACAAAGCAAAGAAGAAUUCAAGACAACCUUCACAAUAUCUGUAUAUCUGUCAUGAUAAUACCCUUUGCGAAGCCUCAGCAUCACUGCAUUAGUUCUUUCACUUGAUCUACAAUGGCAGCUUUCCUCAGAACAAUGGGCAUAGUUCGAAAUGCAUAUUGUCUCACCAUCCCUAUUAACCAACAUGUAGUGUGAAUCAAAAGACAAAAGGAAACAAAAAUUAUGCUUGGCCUAAGCACAAGAUUACUAGCAUAGAUUGCCCUUGGCUCAUCAAUAUAUUUGUAAGCAACAUCCUAAUGUAUUCAAAGUACAGAUGAAAAAUAAUCAGUAAAAGACAAGUAAAAAAGAAGAAAAUAGAUCCCUACUUAACUGGUAAACUACCCUUCAAGGCAAGCAAAUAGAACUAGGUAUUAGUCUAGAACUAGGUAUUAGUCUCUUUAUGCACAACGUUCUAUUAUUUUCAUACUAAUCCAGGUAACCUAAAGAAAUUACCUAUUGAAACACCAAACAUCCUGGAGAAUAAUCAGUAAAAGACAUAAGUAAAAAGAAGAAAAUAGAUCCCUACUUACUGGUAAACUACCCUUCAAGGCAAGCAAAUAGAACUAGGUAUUAGUCUCUUUAUGCACAACGUUCUAUUAUUUUCGUACUAAUCCAGAUAACCUAAAGAAAUUACCUAUUGAAACACUGAACAUCCUGGACCCGCCAACAGUCAAAUAUGAGAAUGUUCUUUCGAAAGUUUAAUAGGCAAUGAAACUAACCUACAUUGUGGAACUGCUGGCCCAACAAUCUCAAUGUACAGCUGAAGACCAGGAAAAAGUGCCCGCAGCUCUCCAAAGACCGCAAGUUGCAAAAGCUCUUUCUCAGGGCCUUCAAAUGAACAAAUUACACAUGAACCUUGUGCUUAUGAUAAUUGAAAUUUUAGAUUUUCAGAGAUGCAAGUCAAAGAAAAGAUUGAUGAGCUUAUAACAUGAGUUUUUUUUUACAUAUAUAUACCCCUUUAAAUAUGCAGACCCCUCUAAAUAUGCAGAAUAUCACAUAUAUUCUUGCAAAGUUGGUUUUUGUGUGCAGGCCACCGAAACCUCUAUUGAUUGCAUUCAUAGCCUUGCCAGGAAUAUAUGCAAACAAGUUUUGCAUAAAUGCAGUUGGCAGGACCACAAACAGAAAUAAGAAAAUUUUUGGUGGCAUGCGUGCAAAUACCACCUUUGCAUGGAUAUUUGCGCAAUUUUCACAUAUUUCCAGGGCUAUAUGCAAAGAAAAAGAAACCUAAAGUUAUCUAUGCAAUGAUUAGCUGUAAAUUAUCAAACUUAAUAAACUUAUAUAACCAUUGUUGACAUUGCAGACUUGCUCCGGUUACCUAGGUAAUGUAUGUGCAAUUUUCCUGAAACUUCUGAACUUGAAUUUCUAGCAAAAGAAAGUUGAAGGCAGUGAUAUAUGGUAAGAGGCUGUAAAUUAGGAACAAAAUUAAGUUACUAUCAUGAAAGGCUUUAAAAAAAAAAAAAAACAAGGCAUGCUAAAGCACUAUUUAUAAACUGUUAUUGCAUAGUUAUGCAAUUCUCUACAUCAAAGAAGAGAAACAGAGGCAACAGCGAGAAGAGAUUCAAACAACAUGGAAAUUUACUCCAAAUAGAACUGCACAUAGUUUGACAGAAUCAUCAACUAAUCUCACCACAUAGUCAUUCAUUAUUUGAACUUUGUAAAGGAAAAAAGUAAUAUUAUCACCUAUAUUAUGUUGCAUGACUCAGAUUACUCCUAAACUAUUAGAUGGCAUUGCAGGAUAUAUGAAUCACAAUCGGUGAAAUUCAUGCGUAACUUAGGUGCCCUAUGUUGUCACUAAUUUAUUUAGGCAUUUCAUUCACCAGAAACACAUAAGAAAGGAACACAUAAGAACGAAUUACUUACUUGCUAGGAAAAAUAGAAUCAUUCAACUGAGGCUAAAUUGUACUUUUGUUCCUCUAACUCUGAGGGGUGCGACAUUGGUCCUCAAACUUUAAUUCAUGCGAUUUUUUACUCAGAAAGUCCUAAAUUGUUACAAUUAAGUUCCACAGUCCAAUUUAAUUGGUCAAAUAAUGAUAUACGGUAAUAUAGUGGUGAUGUGGUAGUAUUGUAAUCGAUGACAUGACAAUUAAUAAGAUACCACACCACUUCCAUAUCAACGAAAUAUUAGUAUUCAGUUCAAUUAAAUUGGACUAUAGAACUUAAUUGCAACACUUAGAAAGUUCAAGCCAGAAAUUAUAACAAAUUAUAACAAAUUAAAGUUUGAGGACUAAAAGUGCAAUUUACACCUUCAACUUAUUAUUCCAUUAGUUGGCUACGUUUUAGUUAAACAACAAUGCGAUCAGGAUCGGAUGGAAAAGAAACCAUUGAAGAUUAAGAAGAUGACAAAUAUGAACACCAUCUUCUAAUGAGUUUUAAUAGAAAUCCAAUCUUUGGGAUACUCAAGCAGUUCUAGUAAACUCAUUGCAGAAUGAUGCUCAAGUUUCUCCAACCAUGGCAACAAACAUGAAGAGUGACAUGCAGUAAGGCUAACAAAAUAUGGAGAUUACAUUUCUAGAUUAAUCAUGGAAAGCGAAAACAUUGUUCUUGCAGGGUUUGUCAGAUGGACAGCAUAAAUAUGCUUACCAUGUUUCAUAUUCUUAAUUUGGCUAUCUAGUGGCUUCUAUACCAAGAGGGGAAUUCAAGCAAAAAAGGUCCUUGAAGGCCAGAACACUACACAGCACUGUUUGUACCUUUUAUAGAGUCCAAUUAUGUUAAAAUGUCUUGGUUAUAAGGAAGUGAACUAAACCUUACAUCUGUAUUAACCUCCUGUCUUGCUUUGAGUAUAGUACAGAGAUAUGCAAUCAUUUUUCCAAAGAGAGACAAAUAAUAAUCACAACAAAAUUAGUGAGGAAUCUCCGGAAGUAAACAUAAAGACUCCAGGAAAAAAAAAAUGCUAUACCCAAUGGAGUAACAAUGCGACAGGUGAAUGAAAAGGAAGGCUUCUCCACUUGUAGUAAUCCUUCCAACUACUCAAAGGAGUUGAUAUCGGAUUUUUUGGAUCUGUUAUAAAGAAGCAGAAAUGCUAACAGUAUACCAGUACAUGAUAAUGCUAGUUAAACUGAUUACUAAGUGAAAAGUAUACCAGUACAUGGGCACAGCGAACUCGGUAGGUUCCAGUCAUUCAUUAUACUGCCAACAGAUAAAUAUGUUAGUAAAUAUAAUGCAUGUAUUUUUAGAAAAAUAACUGUUCAUGACAUGAGUUUUCCAUUAAGGCGACGAGUAGAGCAAACAAUAAAAAUAUACCCUGUAUCCAUGAUUGGCAAUAUAUUACACUGUUUGGCUCAACAAUUUUCAUCAUUUUUUUUUUUUGAGAGGGGACAUCCAUAGGGUGAUUCCCUAAGGGAAAUCAAUUUUCAUGAUAAAAAUCAUUUAAAUAUGAUAAAAAUUCUUUUAAAGACAAAUAUAGCAAACCCCAUCUAGCAUGAAGUUAGGUGCAUGUUUGGCCUAGCUUUUGGUUGCACUCCUGUUUCUGUAGUUGCAGCCUCCUUUAUUAAAGCACUUGGCAAACAAAAAAGUUUUGGAACUGUUGCUGUGUUGUGAAGAUGAAAGAGAAUUUUGAGGCCUGCAAGCAAAAAGUCCAAUGUGUUUUUGCUUCUUCUGCAACAAAAAGAAGUUUGGGAGAGAUUCUAAUGAUAAAGCAAUUAGUGCUUCUCCCACCAGCACCAGUCAAACAGAAUCUUAUCAAACACAGCUACACCUAAAGUCAAGACAAACAAGCCCUAGAAAUAGUUUAAUUGAGGUACUAAAGCUUAAGAAAUCAAGGACAAAUGCUUCAAAGACAUAAAAUAGAAAAUAUCUCUAAGGAUAGUCUUAGUUAUAACAGGAUCAUCCACAAAAUUAAAACUUCAAUGUACAAUAAUUAGUAAAUCAUUAAUGAUUUCAAAGUCACUCUUGUUGUUAACAUACAUGGUUAGUCUCAUCUACAAAUAUAUUACCCUAUACCCAUGGUUCGCAAUAUAUUACACUGUUUACCUCAUCAAUUUUCAUCUUUUUCUUUUUUGAGAGAGAGGGAACAUCCAUAGGGUGAUUCCCUAUGGGAAAUCAAUUUUCAUCAUAAAAAUCAUUUCAGCAUGAUAAAAAUUAUUUUAAAGGCAAAUAUAGCAAACCCCAUCUAGCAUGAAGUUUGGCCUAGCUUUUGGUUCCACUCCUGCUUCUAAUUUAGUUGUAGCCUCCUUUAUUAAAGCACUUGGCAAACAAAAAAGUUCUAGAGCUACUGCUGUGUUGUGAAGAAGAAAAAGAAUUUUGAGGCCCGCAAGCAGAAAGUCCAAUGUGUUUUCACUUCUUCUGCAACAAGAAGAUGUUUGGGGGAGAUUCUAAUGAUAAAGCAAUUAGUGCUUCUCCCACCAGCACCAAUCAAACAGAAUCUUAUCAAACACAACUACACCUAUAGGCAAGCCAAACAAGCUCUAGAAAUAGUUUAAUCGAGGUACUAAAGCUUAACAAAUCGAGGAGGAAUGGCUUCAAAGUCAUAAAAUAGAAAAUAUCUCUAAGGAUAGUCUUAGUUAUAAUAGGAUCAUCCACAAAACUAAAACUUCCAAGUACAAUAAUUAGUAAAUCAUUAGUGAUUCUAAAGUCACUCUUGUUGUUAACAUACAUGGUUAGUCUUAUCUACAAAUCUAUAUGAGGUCCUCGAAAUAUGUCCAGAUGAACAAUGGAAAUGGUCAUUAAAUUGUCAGAUUUCUUUAACUACGUGAAUUUCUCCACUUUUGAUGAUGACAGGAACUCAAAUGUUAUUUGGCCACACGUGGGUCAAAUUAUGUUGACUUAGAAACCAAACAAGAAUUGUCGAAAUUCAUUAAACCAUGUAAUAUAUUAUAAAAAAGUUGUGCAUCUUUCUGAAAAGUUCCAAAUAAAAUAUGGAAAGUUUCCAAAGAGUUCGGUUCAUCGCACCAUUUCUUUUAUAUGCACGAGUUUUCAAAAAUGUUCUAUGCACUCAAUCAUAUGGAUUUAAAUCAAACUGUCCAUGCAUUGCAACUCCAUCUGUAAGAGAAUGAUUUUAAAGCUCAGCCAAGGCCUAGUUUGGGAUUAAAGUAUCUAAAAGCAGUAAAGCACCCGCUUUCAUGCUUUGGAAGGCCUGGAAAAUGGAAAGCGCUUUCAAUCAUCUCUCCUUUAUGUCAUAAAAUGAUAGUGGGAAACACCGCCGGAGAAUCAAGCAACUACUUGCUUCUCCCGUGGUAGUUCCCACCACCAUUCAUAACAUCAGAGGAAAAAUUGAAAGCGCUUUCAAAUUUUUUGGCCUUCCAAAGCAUGAGAGUGGUUGUUUUUAGACACUGCGAUCCUAAACCACGCCUUAAUGAGAAGAUUGCUUAUCGUGGACAACAUGAUGCAUCAUUCCUUAAAAAGAAGAGGAAAGAACCCACCACGGAGAGGGGAAAAGUAAAUAAAUAAACUAGAGUACGGCAAAGUAGUCUAGCGAAUAAGAUACAUUAAUUAGUUCCUUAUUGACUAAUAUGCCACUCGCAGAGAAAACCAUAUCCUAUGAAUAUAUAUGAGAGCACAAGAUUAGGAGAAAACCCUAAGCCACCGAUAGAAGCCAAGGUGGGCCCACAGCUGCAUUCCGACGUCCACAGCCCUCGUUGAUGAAGUCCCUUUGACAUGAAAAGAGAGCAUCUAGUCAUCUGUUCUCCAGAUCUCUAUAAAACAAUAAAAAAUAUGUAAUCACGAAAAGAGACAGAUGGUCAAAAGCAGCAAUUUUUCUGGAUGGAAGUUCCAUCUAAAUGCCACACACCAGAAUUCACAUCUCAUAAAAACUGAUUGACACAGUAUCAUAACAUGGAAAUAACUUUGUCUGGAAGCUGCACAUCUCGAUCUCUACUAAAUUACACAGAGGAACAAAAUGGCAAAAGAACAAGUAACAAUCACUGAACGGUUUCCGACGCAUGAUGCUUACUUUGAGACAACUCAUUUUGAGUUAAAAAAAAGAAAAGAAAAGGAUAGUGAGAGCUCCUCACACCAAUUUAGACCUGAGAUCACAGACCAGGUUAAGUUUGCCUGGUCCGGAGACUUUACAGCUACAUUAAGCAACAGGCAGAGGAAUUAUGAUUCUUUCUAAACUAGAACAGUAAUUCGGAUGCCGAGGAACCAUGAAAAUUAUUAGCUUUAAAUUCUCAUACUCAUUCACAUUGCAAAGAUGUGAAAUUUCCGUUUAUUUCAUACUAGUCAAAUCUCAAGAGAUAUUCUGAAUUCAAGCAUGUUGCGUUGAGGCAGAUGAAUAAUGGUAUCCCUUCAAUUUAAUGAUUCGGACUAAUUUACAGAGACUAGAAUAAACUCAAUAAUGUGAUUUUACCAGGAGCGAAGCUUCCUCAGAGAAGGUGAACGGGAAAUCGUUUAAAGUAUCCGCCAUCCUCAUCUGUUCUUGGAGUCUCGCGCAUUCAUCUCUGUGAUCGUUCCAAUGCAACAUCUGCAGAAUCGUUGCAGAAACUUUCCAAAAAUGAAUUGAGCUAAAUAAGGGAAAUUCAAAUAAUCACAUCGAGAGAAAGAGAGAGAGAUUGAUGAUGACGACCUGGUGGGAGGGUGAGCAGUAGGCGACGGCGCCGCAGAGCCCGCAGCGCCGCGAGGGUCGGCCCGGCGCGCACGGCCCCGCGCCGGCGCUGCCCUUCGCGGCGCACUCCAUGAAAAAGCCACGCCUUCCGAGCAGGAACAGACUCGCUCCCUCCAAACAAACAGCAGGUUUUAGGCCCUCCCUCGUUGGUCGGAAGGAAGUCUGGGGGCUUUUUUUUUUUGCAUUUGACCCCCUUAAAAAAAUUAUUUUUACAAAUAGCCCCACUAAUUUUAUAAUUGUAAUUUUAGUUCACACAUAGGGAACACGUCAACGCCACGCGAGCAGGGAUGGUGGAUGUGAAAUAAGCUGAACACAAUGAAUUAUUCACCAUGUCUAGUGUAUUAUAUUACUUGCGCGCGGGGUCAAUAUAUUCACUGAACACAGUGAACCAUUCACAUUCACCGUGUCUAAACAUGUUGAAUGAAUUACCGUGUUUAACUUAUUCCACAUCCUUCACUUCUCUUCGCAUGGCGCUGACGUAGCACUUACGUGGCGGGAAUAGAGUCAAAAUUAUAAUUAUAAAAUUAGUGGGGCUAUUUAUGAAAAAAAGAAAUUUUUGAGAGGGCCAAAUAUAAAAAAAAAAAAAAGCCUCCACACAGCAUCCAACACAAAGAUUUUAGUACACUAGCUUUCUUCAAAAACUCCAUUCUAAAAUUAGACCGUCAAAAUUUUAUUUGUUAAUAUAUUCUCCAUUUUAUCAUGUGAGUGGAAAAAAAAAAAAAACGAGUGGAAUAGACUCCCUCCUUAAUCAGGCCCUCUUUGGUAAGAGGAAGUCCACUGCUACAUGACACUUACAUAACAUAAUCAAUAAUCAAUUAAUUAUAUUGUUUAUAAAAAAAAAAAUAAUAUUUUUUUAAUAAUCAUAAUAGAACAGAUGAACUUUUUUAAAAAAUAAAAUUAGUUAAAAACGACACAUCAGUAAUAUAACUGAUGCUUGACUUAUUCGUGACGUUCACACCACAUCAUCAAUAAUCAGUCAAUUAUAUAUAUAUUUUUAAAAAAUAUAAUAAAAAUAUUUUUCUAAUAAUUAUAAUAGAACGGGUGAACUUUAAAAAUAAUAAUCUGAUAUGUUAAAUACACCGCAUCAGCAAUAUAAUUGGUACUUGACUUUUUCGUGAUGGUCACAUGAUAUCAUUAAUAAUUAGUCAAUUAUGCUUUUUAAGAAACAUACAAUAAAAAUAUUUUUCUAAUAACCAUAAUAGAAUGAGUGAACUCAAAAAAAAAAUUUAAUUAGUUAAGAAUGUCACAUCUAUUACUAUAUACUAAAGUAGAACCCUUAAUGAACCCUAUAUGAAAAGCUGACACGUGACGCUCUAUAUGUUUGCCAUUCAAAGUCAUCUAUAAUUAUGUUGAGAUAUUUGAGAAAUUCAUGCUAAAGAAUUGGCGGGUGCGGAUAUUACUGUUUUAGGAAAAAUAAUCUAUAUGUCAAGUUGAAAUAUAGAUAUUUUACUUUAGGAAAAAUAAAAUUAGAUUUUUUAAGGAAAUAAUACUUUAGGGAAAAUAAAAUUAGAUUUUUUUUUAAGGAAAUAAUACUUUAUGGAAAACAAAAUUAGAUUUUUUAAGAAAAUAAUAUCUUUUACUAUAUUAUUAAAAAUCACCUAUAAUGAAUGAAAUUUUAUAGAUAGGAAAAAUAAAAUUAAAUUUUUUAAGAAAAUAAUAUUUUUUACUAUAUAGAAAAUCUACGUAUCAAACUCAAAUACAGAUUUUCUACUUUAGGAAAAAUAAAAUUAAUUUUUUAAAGGAAAUAAUAUCUUUUACUAUAUUAUUAAAAAUCACCUAUAAUGAAGAAAAUUUUAUUUUAAAGUCACCUAUAAUUAUGUUGAGAUAUAUAAGAAAUUCACGAAUAUUACAUUGCGAAAGAAUUGGCGGGUACAAAUAUUACGCAUGAGAAGGAAAAUAUUUAUCUUUAUUCGGAAAUAAAUUACUACUUAGUUAAUUAUUUGAAAUUAUUAGUUGAAAAUAUGGAUAUAAAAAUAUUAUAAAAAUGAUAGAGACAAUUUCCUAACAUGGCUUUCUAUAUGUUUCUACGUGUCAUCUGUAUCUAUUCUAUUUACUAAAAUGAGGGUGGAUUAAUGAAAUAUUUGAGAAUUCACGAUAUUACGUUGUGAAAAAUUGACUGGUGCGGAUAUUACGCGUGAAAGGAAAUAUUUUGAGAAACCGUAGAUAGAAAAUAGAUAUAAAUGCGAGGGUAAUAUUGUCACAAAAAUUAACAGAUAUUUUUUUUCAAUAAUUAAGAUAAGAUCUAAUGCAAAAAAUUAAAUAUCUUUUGCUCUAUUAUUAAAAAUCAUCUAUACAUGAAGGAGAUUUUAUUUUCAAAGUCACCUAUAAUAUGUUUGAGAUAUUUAAAAAUUCACCAGGAUAUUAUGUGGCAAAAAAAUUGUCGGUGACAGAUAUUAUGCGUGAGAAAAAAAUUGUUAUCUUUAUUUGAAAAUAAAUUACUACUUAGUUUAAUUAUUUGAAAAUUAUUGGUUGAAAAUUUCUGACAUAAAAAUUUAGAAAAAAAGGAUAGAGACAUUUUUGGAAAGAGAAAAAAUUCAAAACUCACGCUUUUAUAAAAUUAAUAUCUUUUACUAUAUAUAAAAAUCACAUAUAAUGAAAGAAUUUUAUAUUCAAAGUCACCUAUAAUUAUGUUGAGGUAUUUGAGAAAUUUAUGGAUAUUAUGUUGGCGAAAGAAGUUGGCGGUGCGGAUAUUACCGUAGAAGAAAAUAUUUAUCUUUAUUGGGAAUAAAUUAUACUUAGUUAAUUAUUUGAAAUGAUUUGGUUGGAAAUUUCUGGACAUAAAAAUAUAGUAAAAAGGAUAGAGGCAUUUUUGAAAAGAGGAAAAAAUUUAAAACUCACAUCACCUCUGUAAUUUCUUCGCUCUAAAUAUUGAUGCUUUUAAAAUAAAUAUAUUAUUUCCCUACUAUCACUUCGUAAUUUCAUUUCGUAAUUUUUUUCCUACUGUCACUCCUGUAACUUUUUAUCUUCAUGCAACAAAGUUUUUUUUUCUUUAUAUUUUCUUGAAAACCAACAUCUAUAAUAUUUUUGAAUCUUAAAAGUGACAGUAGGAACAUAAUAUAAAUGUGUGCUUACUCUAAUUUGUGUCAAGAUAUGAAAGUUUAGUUGAUCUCAUUAUAUGCUUAAAUAUUAAUGUCAUUUGUAAUUUUUCAUAUCAAUUUAGUGUAUCAUUUUAUUUUGCACAUCAAUAUGUAAAUGUAAAUUAUUUUGCACACAGAAUUCAUAGAUAAUAGAGCAAGAUUGAAUUUUGCAUUUUAGUUAAUUAUUUACUUUUGGCCAUAAAUUUUUUUUCUCUAGCUUGUGUACUUUAAUAUAUAACUAUAAUUAAGAUUGAUAGUAUAUUUUUUUAUUUGUUAAAAAAUAUAAAAUUAAUUAGAAAAUCUUUUUAUUAUCAUCACAUAAUAAUUUUUAUUAUUCUAUAUUAUUAUAUUAGCCGUGCAUCGCACGGGUGAAAAUCUAGUUAGCAAUAUAACUAAUACUUGACUUUUUCACGACAGUCACACCACAUCAUUAAUAAUCAGUCAAUAAUUUUUUUGCAAAAAAAAUACAAUAAAAAUAUUUUUCUAAUAACCAUAAUAGAAAAGAUGAAUCCAAAAAAAAUAAUAUGAUUGGUUAAAAAUGCAACAUCAACGAUACGAUUGGUUAAUAAUUUAAUUGGUUAAGAAUGUCACAUUAGCAAUAUAACUAAUUCUUAACUUUUCAUGACAGUCACACUACAUCAUUAAUAAUCAGUCAAUAAAAAUAUUUUUCUAAUAACCAUAAUAGAAAAGGUGAAUCCAAAAAAAAAUAACAUGAGUGGUUAAAAAUGCAACAUCAAGGAUAUAACUAUUUUUAACUUUUUUAUGACAGUAACACUACAUAAUUAAUAAUCAGCCAACUAUAUGUUUUCUAAAAAGAAAUACAAUAAUCAUAAUAGAAUUAGUGAAUUGAAAAAAAAAAAAAAAAUCUUGACUUUUUCUGUGGCAGUCACACCAUAUCAUUUAUAACAUUCCAAUAAUAUUUUUCAAAAAUAAAGUAUGAUAAAAAUAUUUUUUUAAAAAUCAUGAUACGUAAGAAGCAGAAGUAGGUUCUUUUUUUUUUUUUUUUUCCUUUGAUAGAGCAUUUCGUAAUUUUAUGUUAUAAAAUCUAAUUUUGAUUUUUAAAGUUAGAUUUUUUUUUUUAUAUUGGCAGCUAAAACUUACUUCCCACAUUCUGAUUCUGAAUUUGAGUUAAAAUUUCAAAUUUAAAUUUAAAUAUUGAAUUUAAAUUUUAAAUUAAAAUUCUUAAAAUUGAUAAAUUUUAAAUUUUAAAUUUUAAAUUAAAAUUUUAUUUUUAAAAUUUAAAAUUUGAAAUUUGAAAUUUAAAUUUUGAAAUUCAAAUUUUGAAAUUUGAAACUCCAAAUUUAAAAAAUUUAAGUUUAAUUUUUGAAAAUAAAAUUUUAAAUUUCAAAUUUUAAAUUUCAAAAUUUUAAAUUUUAUAAAUCACUUUAGCAAAUUUGUCAAACAGUUUUACAAAAUUAGUUUGAAAAAAUCACUUUCCUGCCCUACUCUGUCAAAUACUUUGGAGCUUUUAUCUAUAAGUAAGUUUUCAAAUCAAAAUUGCUAUUUCAAAAGCUAGGUUAAACAAACUCGAUCCUAGCUAUGCCUAAACGAGGAUAGUUUUUUUUUUCCCCCUUAAAAAUUAAUCUUGUGCUUAUGGUCCUUUCUUCUUGGGAUUGCGAAAAGAAUAUGUUGCAUAUAAAGAAAAAGUGUGAUAAAAAAAUAUUUUAUUUAUUUUCAUUAUAGCUAUUAUAUUUUAUAGUUCACACACAUUCGACUAUAAUAUAAUUUCUAUGGUCUCAUCAAAAAUUGGACAAGUAUAUCUCAAUAUGCUUUUACCUUCAUUCGAAUACAAAGUGAGCCCUAACAGCAGUAGCAUCAGGUUAAAAACUUCUAUUUUUGAUACCCAAAAGCUCACAUCUGAUUCUCGCUCGGGCAAAACCCACGGCAGAAGAAAUUAUCAGGACAUUUUAAUAAAAAUAAUCAUCAUUUCUAAGAAUAACUCUAAUCAACCAAACACUUCUCUAGCAAUAACACUACAGAAAGAACAUGGACAUGGACAGGGCUUUUCUAUCUCUGAUAUUCAAAUUUCUCUUCCUCCCCAAAGAGAGAGAAAAUAGAGCCAUUCUAACUGCUACAAACUACACAAAUAUUUUAUGAUGUGAUCUUGCAUUAUAUACACAAGAAUAUAAUAAAUAUACAAGUUACCAUACAUAUACCAAACAAAAAUAAUGAAAAUAAAAAUAAAAAUGCCGAAAAGAAAAAUUUGUUCGCGCUAAUCUACUCCCAUCCCAUCAACAUUUUUGUCACACUGUCAACAAUCUUGUCCUUUGACGCGGCCGAGUCGAAAUCAUCGUUAAGGAGGAUUCUGUAAACUUCCCACUCCCUGCCACCAAUAACGUGCCUCCCGAUCUCAGCCUGAAAUUGAAAAACAUAAUUAUAGAGAUUCGAGUUAUUAACUCAAACUUGAAUUACUAAACCUAAAAGUAAUCCCAUUUGCAAAGACAAAAAUUUACUCAAAAGGUAACAAGGAUAACUUGCAACUGGAUCCUCAAACCUUUAAGCAUAGUUUUAGUCCCCAAUCUUUUGAUUCGUGAAGUCGGUCCCCACCCUUCAAUUAAUACAAUGUUACAUUUGCUGUCGAAGUUCCGCAUUAAAUUGGCCUUAAUAAGCAAUUUCUCGAGUUUUCAUAUGGUGAUUGGGUGGAAAUUCCCUUCAAUUCAAUUGAGGAAUUAACUGGAAAGGGUAAAAUAGCAGUGAAAUGCAAAAGUUACGGGACUCAAUUGUAUCGGUUGAAAGGUUCAGCCCAUACUGAAGCCCCAAAGAAGGUUUUCCAAUUUGCUCAGAAAAAGAAUUGGUGGAAUAGAUAAAGCAAUUGCUGUAAUUUUAAAAGAUAGUCCCAGUGUGAACAAAUUAGGAUGGGAAAGCACAUACCAAAAAUAUUCGAAUGUUAAGCAUCUUGAGGGCUAGGGUUAUGUCGUAGAACACAAGAGGGCGGCCUUUGCCCGAUAAUUCAACAGGAUUUGUGACUAGAAGCUCAGUGUCGGGCCCGCGGCUGACCACGGCGACUCUUAGCGGUCGGAGCAGCUCCAUUCUCAAGCGUGAACAUAAAGACAUCUGCUUGUUCAAGUCGAAUAUCUUCUUCCCAUCCAUUUGGAUCACAAACAAGUCAACUUCACAACUUCCAUUCUGGGUUGAGUAGAACCUCCCAUAGGAUAUCUGGCAGAUUUAUUGCGCAAAAAUAUAUAUUAACAGUAAAUAUUGAGGAUGUAGGACGUAUAAUUCAAUUAGGUACGUAAAUGAGCCUAGCUCGAGACUACGUCUAUAGUCUUAUAUUACAUGUACAUGUGUAUAGAAGCCUUUCAAGCCGAACCUGGCUCAAGCUUGCCUCGAUAAAAGUAAGGUAGUCACGCUAAGCUCAAACGGCCUUCACACCACAAGCUUGUUUACAUCAUUUGCACUCUUUUACUUACAUUUUCUAUCACCAAGCAAGUAUAUAGGUAUAGAAAAUGGUUUUCUGAUAGUAUGGCCAUUUUGCAAACGAGGUGUCCAAUGGUUUCUACAUUUUGCAACUUUCAAACACUAUUUCAUUUUGGUACGUAAAAGAACUAAAAUACCCUUACAGAGACGGGAUGCUCUGGGCUAGAACUCUAAUGCAUGGAUUAGCACACAGUGGCCCAAUUAUAUUUCCAGUUCACAGAAGAAGAUUUCAGGCUUCAGCCCAAAAAUUGUUAACAAAAAAAAAAAAAAAACGAUCAAAUUUAGAAUAUCCAAAAAAGGGGAUUCUCUGUUACGUAGUCAGGUUCUUCACAAAACAAAAAAGGCUUCUAUCAACACUAAUCUGCACGGUGGGCAAAAUAUAUUACCAGUCAAAUGUAAAUGUAUUGUUAAUUGUUGAACAUGUCUCUUAAAAUAAUGAUUACUGAUCGUAAACUGCAUGGAUACCUGUAUGCUGUAGUCCUUUAGAGUCCUCAUGAUAUCAUAGAGUAUUCCCUUAUGAUCAGGGCAAAUUAUCUGUAUAAGCGUAUGACCCCGGCUAAGGGAGUUGUCCACUGUGACAGAGAGAUUCUUAGUUGAAAAAUUAGAGGAAUUAGAAUGCAAUUCCUCGGGAAGCUCCAAGAUGAACAUUUCUUCAGUGAUUGGAGGGGGGAGAAAAGGAGAAGCCUGCAGAUAUGCAGCAAUUUCUGCACUGGCUGGUUCGAUGUCGCAGUUCAUCAUGGACUCCCCAAGAGCAGUUCUAAGUUGAUCGCACGUCUCGUCUUUUCUCCAUUUUGUGUGAAGAAGUUCCCUAGGUCAACAAUAUAAUUAGAAACUAAAAAGAAAAAAUAAAUUGCCCAAUGAAUAUCCAUCUUUAGAAGAAAAAUAAAAAAGAAAAUCCAAAAAACAACUAUUUUAUGAAAAGAAAGAACCACACCAUAAGAUUAGGAACAUUAGUUACAGUACGAGUUAAUCUUGUCACAGAGAGCAAGGAUCAAAGCAUCCUAAGACAGCAAUAAUUAUCUGUAGUAUUCUAAUUAAUUGUAAGGUAAACCUCGAUUAGUUUAUUUAUUUUUUGAUAAUUUGUGCGUCCUUCACUGGAGAAGCUCUUAGAGCUUCUUUGAAGAGCUCAACAUAAAUAAUAGUUCCAUAGAAGCUCCAGAUGAGAGAAACAAGCCCCACGUAGAAUGAGAAGCCAAAAUCAGUCCAGACAUCAGACUACAUUAUUUGGUAUUUGUUAUUUAAGUUACUAUAACAAUUCCCAUCAUACAAUAGCUCCAUUUGUAAACAAAAGAUUGCAUAGUUAGCCUAGUUCAAAUAUUAUAUACUUUUAUGAGUCCACAAGUGGCAAGCACCAAAACAAGCAUGGCAUCGAAUCAAAGUCUCUGUACACGUAUAUUUGUGCACAUGCGAGCAUGCACGACCAAUGAAAGAGGGCAAGUGUCAUUGCGCAUUUCAAGGGCUAUAUCUACUGUACGUGUUUCCUCAUCACCCUCUAUCAUUUCCAAUAUUGGACUCACACAUUUACUUGAAUAAAAGAAAGUUUUAGUAAGGUUUUGUUACGUUAAUAAAUAUAUCAACAAAUGCUAAAACAAUCGUCAGCGAAGAAUAAUUCACUUAAGAACAAAACAUGGAGGCCUGCUUGAUCCCCUUAAAUUUCUGCAAAAUUCAAGGGAUCAUUACCCUGGAAGCUCUAUAGGCGACUGGGAGAAUCGGUUUCAACUAAAAUGCUUUAAAAAAAAAAAAUUAUGUGGCAUUCUAGUCACAAGAAAAUAAAAAUAUGUAGCCUGAUGUUAAUCUUUUCAGUUCAAUCACAAACUAUAACAGUAAAGAUUCGAGAGACAUAAUUAUACAUCAUAUAAGUUUAACUAUUUGUGAAAAUACUACAAAACAUACGCAAAAUAAUGGCUACUAGGAAAAAACUUGCUUGUGGAAACCAGAAAGAGAAAACUACUAAGUAAAGAAUGUCAUAGAACCUUGCAUCAGUGAUAAAGAAGAGGUCCAUAACUCUCCCGUCUGGUGUGGUCGAUACCUUCACGCGCCUAAUUGUGAGUUCAAGCUCGCAUAGUACCUGUGUAACAUCUGCUGAACCCAACAAAAACUCUCGGGUAAUUAAAUCUUUAAAAUUCCCAAUUGAGAAACUCUCCAAGGCUUAAUUUGAGAAAUCCUAAACAGAUAUAAAUAUCAGAAUCUAAAAAAUAGAAAAAGAGAAAAAAGAAAAGAAGAAUGAAAUAUGAAGUAGACUAUUCUAGUGAAUCAAUACUUCUAAUAUACAGCAUAUUAACAAAUUCACUGUAAACUUGAAAGCUAAAGUUUUUCCCUACAGAGGAAUACUCAGCUGUCAGACAGUAAAGACAGCUCCCAACAAGGAAACAAACAACUAUUCAGGAAUAGUUACACAAGCUUUAGCAUCAUUGAUUAGUUAGAGAGAAACAACGAUACAUUGAUAUCAAAUUAAACUAAAAGUAGAGAACAAGUUGAAAAAGAAAGAGGUUGACAGACAAGCGAACCCACCAUGCAAGAGGCCCAUUCGAUCAAAGCAGCAAAACUUCAGGAGAAAGACUUGUGGUUGUUGCUCCAUCGCCAACAUCUCCUGCUGAUAAAAUUUUGGAUGAACAGCUAACUCCCUUCUUUGAUUUUAUUUUAUUUUUUAAUUUUGACUAUACCUUCAUUUGAAAUUAAAGUUUGGACCAUUUUAAUACCUGCUGCCUAUGGUAAAAUGCAUAGAGCCCCGACGCAGCAGUUACUGCCGGACAGACGCCUAACAGCCUCUUCUUCAGUAAUCCCCAUCGAAUUGAACUCCCUCUCCUUCCCACCACCCAAAACACAAUAUAGCACCACUUGCCAUCAGUGCUCACAUCUACGGAAAAAGUAAUAAUAAUUGAUAAAAUAAAAAUCACAAAGAAAUUCGCUAAUCAUUUUAUAUUUGCAACUGUCCAAAACAAAAAGGUCUACUAACUCAAUUCCUAUUGCAACAAAGCUAAAUCUGAUGCAAAAAGCCUCAUCUAGGGCAUAGCUAAAUCAGUAAUAUUAGAUAAUUAGUAAGUUUUUUUUUUACCCCUAAGUUGAACUAAAAUGGUGUGAAAUUUAAUCAUUUACACUCAACACUCCCCCGGGGCGGACAGAUUACUACCACGAGCCCAAUGUUACACAAAGAUUGAUCUGAUAGGAGAAAGUAUAUAAAUAGUACUAACAGUCUCGCUAAACUACAUAGAGGGGAUCCAGUAAACCAUGUUAUGCCAUGUUGCCCGAACUAAGAAUAAAUUAAAGUUCAUGUCAUUAAAUGAUAAAUGUAGAAAUUGAACCUAAAAUCUCACGUGGAUCUUUUGAAGUAAAUGUAAGGGAGCGAGAAAUGAUAACUCGGGAUCUUUUGCACCAUUGACAUAUAACCAGAGAAUAGUAUUUUAAUUAUUUACACUCAACAAAUAAAAAAUAAGCUACUAAAUUAUUCUCAUCAAAUCAAAUUUACUGGAUCAGAUAUUGCUAGAAAUUCGCGACUUAUACUGCUUGAUGCCAAUUUGUUAUGACAAAAUGGUAUAAAUCUAGUUCGUCGGGUGCGAAAAUAUCCAAAAGAAUCAAGAAAGGGAGAAGAAAAAUAAAGCACACAAAAUUAUUUAUGUAGUUCGGCCGCUGACCUACGUCCACGAGCAAAGACGUAGUGGAGAUUUUCACUAUAAUCAAAAUAUUGUAUAAUAUAUGUAUCUCUCAUAAACCCCAGUCCUAAGAAUACAUCCAUACCCUUCCUCAUCCGCCGAAUCAAAUCAAAUAAAGAGGCUAAAUUCUAAUACGAUUAGAAAUACAAAUCUACCAAGAUUGUCUCAAUAAGAUUAGGCAUAAUUUAAAUUUAGGGUAAACUUUAAAUACCACCCCUGUGAUUUCGCACAUUCUCACUUUAGUACCAUAUGGUCUAAAGUGUAUCAAGUUAGUGUCCUGUGAUUUCAUUUUUAUCUUUUCGUCAGCUUUUCUGUUAAUAUUUCAUUAAAUUAUAUACAAAAAACUUCAAAUAUCCCACCUAGGUUUAUCGAAUAGUUUUAACUUUGUCACUGAUUUAAUAAAAAAAAUUAGUGGAAUCGAUAAUAAAAAAAUAAAAAUAAAACCACAAGAUACUAAAUUGAUACACUUUAAACCACAUGGUACUAAGUGAGAAAGUGUGAAACCACGGGGGUGGUAUUUGAAGUUUUCCCUUAAACUUAACUUAAUUAGAUAACUAAAACAUAAUAGGAUUAAGAAUCCAUCCAGAAUUGGAGACCUAUCUAGCAGAUAUCAAUAGAAAGAAAAACACAAAAAAAGAAAACCCCACAUAAAAAAUCCACAUCAAGCCCCUUCAAAAUCUAAUUUUUAACCGAGAAUUAAGAAGAACUAGCACAAUUAGGGUAUCAGGGUUUCACCUCCUCUGACAAUGCUCAGGCCAAAGAAGAGGAUGACCCGGCAGAGGUCGCAGCCGAGGCCGGUCUUGUCGGGGCAGCUCACCGUGAUCUCCGCCGGCUCCCCGGCCGCCUCCGCCUCCCUGAUCACCACCACAUCCUCACAAGGAAAGCCCAUGCAAACCCUAGGAAGAUCCCACCUUUACCAAAUACAAUAGCCUACUCUUUCUCCUAUUCACCUCUCUCUCUCUCUCUCUAUCUCACUCCUCUUUGAUCUCUCCUCCAAAUUGGUGAUUGGAGAGGGUUUGGGAGAGAGAAUUGGGAAGUGGGUUUUGCUCCUUAGGAUCGAAUUCGACAUGGAACUGGGGUUUCCAUGGGGACUCAAAUUUUUUUUUUUUUUUUUUGCUUUGCUUUGCGUCUUGAGCUUUGCUGGUAACCGCUUCUGCUGCUGGAUAUUUAUAUUGAGCAAUUUCUCAUGAAAAUUAUUAUUAUAAAAAUUUACAAAUGUAACAAGCUCCCUCAAGUAUCGACUAUUGUGAACGAGGUACUCCAACUUCAGUAAUGUAUGGUAUGGAGUUCUCCCUCAACAAUUCUUAAAUUUUCAUUGGAUAAAUUAAAUUAAAGGUUUAUUAAAUUAAUAUUUUUUGAACACUUAAAAGUGUUAAUUUUUGUAAAAUUUGACAUUUAAUUGACUAAACAAAUUCAAAUCGGACAAGUAAAAAUAAAGUAAUGCAUUUGAAAGAAAAGAAAAACUAAAGGGCCAUUUUGCAAAAUUUUUACAAUUGAGGGGGUAUCCUUGUACUUUUACCCAAUGCGACGAGUUGGGAGAAUUUGGAAGUAGGCGGAAAAAGUUAUUGCGUGCACCAGGUGUACAAAUGCAUCUCGUACACCACACAUUUGAAACUCUAAUAAAGGUAAAAUUGUAUAGAAUUUACUUGGAUUUUUGUCCGUUUUGAUUCAACUAUUUCAAUUUUCAAAUUUAUGAUUUUGACACUAAAUUCUUUAUUUAUUUAAUUUAAGCUAUUUGAUGCUUCGUUCCGUAUAAAUUUAAGGCUCUUACUUUCUUUAGUAAAAUUAUAAGCGUAUAAAUUGCGCGAAAUAUACUAACCAUGUUGUUAAAUAUAAAUUGUGCAUUUAAUUUGAGACUGUAAGAAUUAAUUAAUAGUUUAAAUGAGAUGAACUAAAAAUUUGGUAGUAAAAUAUAAAUUUCUAAAGAUUAGGUAGUUGGACCAAAAAGGAUAGUAAUUUAGGUAAGUUCUCUCUAAUUUUUAUCUCAUAAAAAAUCUCGUGAUCAAAGUUUUAUUUAUUGGUUGUGUUUUUUCGUAUUCACAAGAAUUAUAUAAAAACAAUAAAAAUGUAUACAACUUAUUUAAACUAUGAUUAUUCCAAUUUUGCUUCUAAUUAAUUUAUUCAAUUUAAGCAAUUUGAUAAUUACAUUUAACAUGUUUACUUAGAGUAUUAUAUUUGAUUUACAAGAUUACAUUUCUAUUAAAUUAAGUACCAACGAGCAUAAAUUUUGACAAUAUCUAAAGAGCUAUAAAAAUGGCAAAAACCAAACUAAAAUUUUACUAUGUAUGAUAAUCGGAUCAAAACGAAUUGUACUUAAAGUGAAUCUCAUACGUUUUAACUUAAUUUUUAGAAAUGUUUAAUGCAUAAAUGAAACAGUGGUAUUUCUCUAUGCCAUAGUAUUAGGGUUUGAAAUUUUGUGAUUUUUUUAUAUACAAGGCUUUUUUGAUGGUGCAACAUAUUUAUUAGAUUGAAUUUUAAUUUUAAGAUGCUCAUUAUCAAAAAUUGGAUAAAGUGUUUUAGACAUUCUGAUACACCAGGUGCUGGCAAAAAUUUGCUAGGAGGCAGGUGGGAAGAAAGUUGACACAGGGGCAGAAAGUCCCUCAUGUUUUCAAACUUACACAAUGAUGCCCCCUCCAAAGAUUAUGGCACUAUUGAUCUUAAAUUAAAAAGAAAAAAGGUUAUUUUUUAUAUUUUUGUAAGUUUGCUUAAUUUAAAUGUUCAUUUUGUUGUUGCUUAAUCUAUUAGAAAAUAAUUUUCAAACAUUAUAAAUUUUGACUCUUAUAUUCUUCGAUUAAUAUUGAUUAACAGUGUGAAUCGUUCAUUCAGUAGUUUUUAAAUUGAUUCCAUGACCUCUGACUGUGAUACCAUUUUUCGAAUUGUUGGCGUUAACCAUUAAUUCCAAAAAUUUGAGGAUGUUAAAAAUAUUCAACUAACUCACUUUUUUGAGUAUAAACACGGUGUCUAUAGCUCUCAAUUAUGACUCGGCUCAAUCAGUCUCAUAUUAUUUUGAACAUGACUAUCUCCAACCUAGCCUUCCACUAUUUUGAAUAUAACAUCGCACAAUCUGACCUCCUACCAUAAGACAAGAAGAUGGCCUCUUUAAGCUAACAACAACUCUCCUAUCUUCUUUUCUGUACCGUGGAAAUAAUUAUUGUUAGGAGAGAGUGUGAUGCUCAUCUUUCUUUUCCUCUUCUUUCUAACAUUCUCUCCAUCUUUAGCUACUAAGAUUAAAACUAUUGUUGCCACCAAUAACAUUCUUAUUGAUUAUUGUUGGGUGAUGCUAAACAAUGUGAAAAAACUAAUUUCUUCGGAAGGUUAAGCUAGCAAAGAACGAUAUUAUUAACUUUUAUAUUCAAUACUCUCUCCCAUAUUUGGAGUAAAGAUUUUUUUUGUAGGUAUAAAAUAUAGACUUACUUAACGUAGGAGAAAAUUAAAUAAGACUAAAAACCAAGUGCGAUUUGAAUCCAGAAUUCCUACUCUGAUAGCUUGUCAUCCAAAAUAUCGACCUAGUAGAAAAUGAUCCGAAAUAUAUAUAUUAACACCCUACUCAUGUGAUAGGUGAAGUAGGAGAUGAUGAUUUAAUUUCUUUUUUUAUAUAAUAUAAGAAUUUAAUCCAUUAAAUAUUGAAGGUCGAGAUUAAACUCCAAUCUCACAGAACGAAAAAGUUUAAAAUUCAUUCUUAUACCAUGUGAAAUGAUAUGAAACAAUCAAUUGCUCGAAAAAGCUUAAGCUAUUAGUAUUUGUAAUAUUUAUAUUCACUAGGUGAAAGCAUUGUUGACUUGGUGUAACAUUUUGUAAAUUGUUUAUGUAAAUAUUUGAAUAAUCCAUUGAGAAUUAAGUUAUACCAAAUAUUUGAAAAGGCCAUUAAGAAUUAAAUCACGUUGGUGAGCCAAAUUUCAAUUUGUUAUGAAUGCUCAUUGUUCAUAAACAAUAUGAUUCACCAACCACACUAAUCAAAGCUUAGCCUAGUAAUUAGCACAUUUCUGUGCUAAGCAUAUAUAUAUUUUAUUUAAAAAAUAAACUUAGGAAAUAGCAAGCUAUUUGUCCAUUGCCUCUUAAAUAAAUAAAUUAUGCAUUUAAGAUCCUUCAAAAUGGCAGUAGAUUGAAUUGCACUUUUGAUCCUCAAACUAUGAGGCGCAAGAUACUUAAUCUAGUUCUCAUACUUUAAUUUAUUUUAAUUUUUUAGUUGAAUUUUCUAAGUUGUUGCUAUCAAGUCCUACAAUCUAACUGCUAUCAAGAACCUACGAACUCUUUCUAUCAUGUGUGGGUAGAUGGGAGUUGGAAAGGUAGUAUCGAAGGUGGUGUAGGAUGUUUGGUUACCAAUCAACAUGAAACCGUCGCAUGGAUAUCUGAUGUAAUAGACGAAGUCCCAUGAUACUUACUCUACGAAAAUUAGAGUAAUCUUCCAAAUGACAGAGCUUCUUUUGCAAAUGUAUCAUGGAGAAAAUUUUCAUAUCUUUUCAUAUUCAACAUCCGUCGUCAAAGCUCUGCAUCUUCAGAAUUAUCAUUUUGAUUCACUAACAUCUGAAGCUCGGAAAAGAAUCACGGAGCUAUAGACUUUUAGAAAGAGAUUUAAAUAUUUCAGCUUUGGAUGGACUUCGAGAUUUUCUAAAAAUGCUAUAGUCGCAGAUCACUUGGCCAAUUGGGGACUCGCAAGCAAAAAGUUUUCGUUUGCUCUUCUAUUGAUGAUUUAACCCAAUCUGCACUCUCGAUUAAUUAAAUAAAAUCACCUUAGGGUGUGUUUUCCCUCAAAAAAGAUGUUGGCAUGUCGCUGAUGUAGUAUUAAUGUUAUAUAAUUUUUACAUUAGUGAUACGUUAAUAUUUAAUGAAUUAAAUUAAAUUAUUAGACUUAAUUAUAACAAAUUAAAAAUUUCGAGCCAAGAAAUUAAAACUAAUCACAGUUUGAGGAUCGAAGUGUCACGCAUAGUUUGCGGACCACAAGCGUUAUUUAGCCAUAGCAAUAUCUUCAAUAUAUAAUAUAUAAUUAGAACAAGAUCAGAAAUUAUCCAAAAUACCCUAAACUUUAAAAAAAUUACAUUUGGGGGUUUUAUUGGGUACCCGUAGGAAGGCUCCGAAAGCUAGAGGGAGCCGCAGCAGCCACACACACGUGUCAAUUUGGCUUUUCUAGUGAGGGGAUUGUCACACGUGCCAGCCCUUUAGCGGAUGCUUUAAUAAAAAGAUCACGCAUUAUCUCUUUUUCGACUUUUUUUUUUUUUUUAACUUCGUAUCUGCAUUUAUCCUCAACAAUUAUCUAUAUCUAUAUUACAAUAACAAUUUGUAUUAUUAUUUGACGAUGCUCAAAGUCAUAGCCACAUAAUAUCAACCAACUGUUCUAAAUGGCAACAUGAAUCCAUUAUAUUCAUAAAGAGAAAAAUUUUGAUAAUAUUCAAUUAAAUUUUGAAAUAAAUUAUAUAUUCGACUCUUUGAAUUCGUGUCGAAAUUAAUUAAAAUAUUUUGUGAAGAAUAAGUAGAAGAAGACAGAAUAUUUGGAUCGUUUGAUUUAAGCCUUGGGUACCUAGAUUUGAACUAUUGUAAUUUUUUUCACCAUGCUAUUAAAUGCUGGGCUCCAAUCCAUAAAACAUAUAAUAUAAUUUCUAGCAGGGUUUCUUUUUUUCAUUUAGUUCUCUCAAAACUUUUUUUUCUAAUAUUCCUGACAAAUUUAUAUAUACUUGCAUAAAUAGUUUUUUUUUUUUUUUGCCACACGAGCGCCUAUGUAGUGUUUUUAAGUUGAACACGGUGAUUCAAUUACCGUGUUUAAACAAGGUGAUUGAUUUAUCGUGUUUUCUUUUAUAUUUUUUAUAGUUCCCGAGUUAAAAAACGGAGUUGAAGUGUAUAUAUGAAUACGGUGAUUCAAUUAUCGUGUUCAACUUAAAAAUGUUAAUGUUGCGUUCUCAUGACAAAUAGAGGGUCAUGUGUCUGCAAAUAUAAAUUUGCUAGAACUACUUGUAAAAAAAAAAAAAGUUUUGAGAGGGCUAAAUGUGAAAAAGCCCUUUAUAGUAAAAUUGGUAAAAUAAAAUUAGUUUGCUUCUAUCAUACAAAAACAUUGUUUUUGCUUUUUAAAAAGCAUAUGAACAUAAUCCAGCAAAAUCUAUCCUAUACUGAACCUACCUCUCACCUACAUAUCUUUUUGAUGAUCUCUCCUUAAAGCGAAAGAUACCUAAACCUUUUUUCUUUUUUUUUUUAAACCAUUAAUGGUGCUUCAUGAAGCUAACUUUUACCUACCUAGUUCCACAUACACUGAUAUGUGAAGUUUACUCCUAUCGAUGUGGAUUACAGCAAAGCAUAGAGUCUUCUAAUUUGACUCUCUUUUUUUUUUGAGUUAAUUUCAUACAUACGGUUUUCUGCAAUUAUAGUGAAUUGCGUACAAAUAUAUUUCUAUAAAAUUCAACUUUUAUAUGUUGUCCCUGUAAAAACACUGAUGUUUUCAACUAUGUCCUUACUGUUAAGACCCGUUAGAAAAAAUUAGUUAACCAUAGAUAAAAUACUCAACCAUAGUUAGUUAAUAAGGUGAAUUGAUCUUUUUGCCCCUCUUCGAUUAAGAGUUGAGACUUUUGAUGGGGCAUAUUUGUGAUGACAAAAAGAUUAUUUCACUUAUAAAAUAAAUAGUAAUUUAAUGGUAACAAGCCAGAGGGACAUAUUUAAAAAUAUUAGGACUUUUGCAGGAACAAUGUAUGAAAGUUUAACUUUAUAGGAAUAUAUUUCCAAUUUACUAUUUAUUUUAUAAGUGAAAUAAUCUUUUUAAUGGUAACAAGCCAGAGGGACAUAUUUAAAAAUAUUAGGACUUUUGCAGGAACAAUGUAUGAAAGUUUAACUUUAUAGGAAUAUAUUUCCAAUUUACUAUAUUUGUAGGGAUCUGUAUGAAAUUAACCUCUCUUUAUUUUUUUGGCUCUUUGUUGCCUAAAUUUAGAAAAGCCAAAUUUACAUCUUAUGAUUUAACAAAUCACUUAAAGGGAUAAUGGGAGGUGGCAGAGCAUUGUAGUUUGCAUGUUUGAGGAUAUUUUCUCAAUGUGUGAUGUUGUAUUUGUGAUAUUGGGCGUUUUUUUGUGAUUUAAAGUUUUAUCAAAUAAUGGCUGGGAUAGCCAGCAGUGUCUCGAUUGUGGACGUUCGAGAUCGCUGGAACUCUCUAUCUCUUAUCCCGGAUGCCAUCGCAAGAGCUAAAGAAUUAACCAAGCUAGCGGCUACCUGGUGGGUUGUCUGGACCGAGCGAAACAGCUUUGUCUUCUCUUCGACUCUACCGAACGUUGUUAGAGCCUUGGAUAGAGGCUCAUCCCUGUCCAACUCCUGGAUCUCGCUCCUGUAAUCGUGCAACGUUGCCUUUUACUGUCUUCCCCCUCUCUCCCCCUGACUCCUCUUCUCGUCUUUGCUUUGUCUCUUUAUUUCCUUUUAUGUACCUCCCCUAUGUUCUUUCUAAAGGAAGCCUAAGCUGCUUCCACCUUGUACGCUUAGUUCAUUGCUCUUACUGAAUGAAGCAGGUAGCGUGCUACCUUUUUCUCAAAAAAAAAGUUUUAUCAAAUAAGGUAGUUUGUUUAUUGUCAUAUUUAGUAUCUUUUGUAAUUUGAAAUUUUAUUCAGUUUGAAAAUUUUCUAAAGCUUUGGGAAAGGUCAGAUUAAGCAGAUUGGCAUUAAAAUUGACUCAUACUAUCUGGAGCACUUUAGUUGUUACGAGCUUUUUGGAUUUGUACUUUGCCAUGUUAGGAAAUAGGUUCUAAGAUAAGUAAAGAAUCAAAUCAAGAAAGAAAAAAUAAAUAAUUGCAAAAAUUUUCGAACCUUGAAGAAAAGAGGGCCAAAGGACUCUGAAGAACUGAAACACUCCAUAUGGUAGGAGUCGACCUUAACGCCGAUCUUCUAGAUCCUACCCUUCCCAAGAACCGCCUCUUCCUCAGCCACUCCUCCUCCUCUCUUCCUUUCUGCUGCGACCGCCGCCAGCACCACCCCUAGUACCCUAGUCCCGCACAUGACAACUACUGCAUGCGACCCUUUUAUUUAUACAUGAAGAACUCUAAUGCUCUAGUUGAAAUACUGUACCACACAGUGCAAUAUAAGACUUGAACGAACAAAGUUUUGACUUAUAUGGCCUUUUUAUUCUGAACAAGCUAUAAAUAGUACAACAUAAGACUUAAAAAGUGUAUAUUUUGAACUUUUAGUAUAGCAUUAACCACAAUAGUGCAUACUGUAUCAAUACACGAAGAAAAAAUAGUGCAAUGCACGUCCUAAAGAGUGCAAUUCUGUUGUGUAGUAAUGCAACGACAUGCAUUUAAAACACCCUUAAGAAAAAGGUGAAAAGACUCUUAUUACCUGUCGCUUUUUCUUCCCGAGGAAACAAGCUGUGACAUUUACUUUAUGAUGCAAGAACAUAUCUCAAGAACUAAGCGUUAUCGUAAUUAUAUCAAAUACGCUUUUUUACUAUAAAAGUAAAACAUGGUGCUAAUAUCCAUAAAAUAAUGUUGCACUACAAUUUCAACAAAGGGUGCAAUGUAACUCCAAAUAGUGUACUACUAGGAAUAUAUAAUAGUGCACUAAUACCGGAUAAUAGUGCAAUAUAAUCUAUUCUUCCAAAAUCCUGCCAUUCUUCUUCUGUUUCUUUCUUGCUUUUGUAUUGCAAAAGAGAUUUCGUCUCCUUUAGGGCUUUUGUAGCCACUCAUUUAAACCUUCUAAAUGAUUUUCUUUCUCUAGUCUCCUGCCCUCUUUUGCUUAUUCCCACAAGUUACUAGCUUCUUUGCUUGAUGUUGGGAUUAGUGUUUUAAUGGUGUAACAACUCAACGUGUACAACGAUAGUGUUUUAGUAGUCUAACAAUGAUGAAAUAGUGCAACACUGUUUCAUCAAGUGCAAUAUUUGUAGUUCAGCCGUACAACCCUCAUUUCCUUCCCUUAGUUUUUCUGCAAAUGUAAUAAUUUUAUUGGGUAUGGUUCCCAUCUCUAAUAUAAAAGGUCCCCCGCUAUGAGCUAUUCGAAUAAAUUUGAAAUAAAAUAGGGAGACAUUUCCGAAAGAAAACCCAUCAUCUUCCCCUCUUCUCUCGCUUUCGUUUCAGCUAUUGUAGGAAAUAUUUACACAAUUAGUGCAGUUGUUGCACUCAUACGUAUGAAAAUAAUUUUUUAUGCCUAAUCAACACUUUACUGCAACUAAAAUCAUCCACAAUUAAUAGUAUGUAUAAGAUAUGAAAGAGACGUAAUUUGUAAUACACAGUGAUUGAGUUGCACUGGUUAGUGUCUAGUUGCAAUAUUUAUAGAAACGUUGCACUAUUUAGAAAAAUUGUUGCACUAUUUAGAGAUCCGUUGUACUAUUACAUUCGCCACGGAGAAAAAAUUGCACUAGUUUAAAUAAUAUUGCACCGUUUCGUAUAACGUUGCACUACUUGUAUGCCGUGUGAUACCACUUUGCAAAUAGAUGGCUUGUCCUCCUCCCCUUGCUACCCUUGAACCCCUCUUCCUCCUCCACGUUGCUGUACUUCUUCAACUUCUCUUUUGCAUACACUAAGUGCGGCGAAUAGUAUUAAAAUAAGCACCGACGGGUUUAGAAAUUGGGUAAGCAGCAUAGGACGCUGGAGAGGGGAUAGUCGGGAGAGCAGAAGAAGAUUGACUACAUUGCACUGUGAGCGAAAAGAGUUGCAUUGGUAUGAGGUACGUACUACACUACUUGGAGUGUUGUUGCACCAUUAUUUCUUUUGCUACCGGCAUUAUCUUCCUAAUAUAACUUCAAAAUAUUUAUUUUGGAAAAACCGAACAGCAAAUAUCGGGGCUGGCAAAUAGCGGGAACAAUUUGGUUUGAAUUUCGAAAACUAGGAGGUUGCGUAAUCCAGCGUAGAUUGCAUUUAAUGCCUGCCCAGGCCCCGUACAGUAUAGUAGACGUAUCUGAGAGGAUAUAGGACCGAAUCUACAAAAUGGUGAAAAAAUAGGACCGAAUCUACAAAAUCGAAAAAAAGGCCUAUUUUGCAAAAUCGCAAAACUAGUAGAUUUUUUAUGCAAAAGGCCUUAAAACUAUUAUUUGCACUUUGUUCGCCUACUAGAAAUUAACUUCUUCUUUUUUUUCCAUUUCAUAUUUUCAAUUUAGAGUAGAAAUGUCAACCGAUCAAUUUUGGUGAACAAUUUUUGAAAAAUUUGAAACUAAACCUGAAUAAAGAACCAAAAUAUGAGACUGCACGCGAACCCGACUGGGUACUAAAGUUAGAAUAUGAAACUGAACCCGAAUAAGAAAUAGAAAACUUGUACCCAAAAUUGAAAAUCAAACCCAACUAUUUAAUAUACUAAAUAGUAAAUUAAGUGAUUAAUAUAUAUUAAUAAUUAUUAAAAUAAAUAUAAAAAAUAUUAUUUUAUUUUAUAUUAUAUAUGUAAUAGGUUUUUAUAUAGAUUUGGUUUUGGGUUCGAGUUCAGGAUCGGGAAUUGACAAAAUUCAAAAUCGAAUCUGAAUUAGUUGAUUUUUCAUAUUUAAUACCCAUAAUCAUCAUACUUAUUUAAUAUCGGUUAAAUCUGCCCUUUUCAGAUUCCGCUUGGAUAAAAUCUCGGAUAUAUAUACCCAUUGACAUCCCUAAUUCCGGAAUAUAGUUUUUAUAUUAAAAAAGCAAAACUGUAAUAGCUGUAGCUCAAUAAGGAAUAGGUUUGAAAUGUGCAAUAGAAUAAGGCCAAUUUGCAUAAAAAAUCCACUUAUUUUGGGCUUUUGCAAAACCGGGCCACCUUUUUCGUUUUUGCAGAUUCGGUCCACUUUUUCAGCAAACUGACCAAAAUACCCUUUUUACUUUUUCUCUUUCCUCUUUCUCUCUCCUCUUCGUUUCUCUCGUUCUUUUUUUUUCUCGCCGGCAGAGCGGAGGCGGAAACGGUCCGUCUCGCCUCUCACCCUCAUUCUCUAGCCCUCGCCCUCGCCCUCGCCCUUGCCCUCGUCCACGCACCCCCCACCUUCCUCGCCUCCAACCCCGCCAAGGCCGCGCCGCGAUUUUUUUUUUUUUUUUGCUUUUUUCUUUUCUUUUCUUCUCCGACUCUUCUCCACCGUCUCCGACGACGAUGCCUCUCUCGUCCUUCUCGUCCUUCCCCGCCCUUCUCAUCUCUCCCUCUCCCUCAUUCUCUGCCGCCUCCGACGACGAUGCAUCUUCGCCGGCGCCGACGUCGACACCGUGGAGGUCACUGCGGCGCUACAGGCUCGGAGCGGGGGUCCUUAGCGGUGUCGUCGCCGGCACCGUGGCUGUUGGCAGAGAAGGGGACAAAAAAAAAUUAUAGAAAAAAAAAAAAAAAAAAAUAAAGAUAAAAAAUUAUAUAAAAAGAAGGAUGAACAUCAAAUUGUAUCGUUAACUGCAAAAAAAAUUAUAAGUUGCACUAUUUAAGAUGUAAACUGCAGCUUUAAGAUGAAAACUACACUCUUUAAACGAAAAUUACACUCUUUGAGAAAUAUUUACACUGUUUCUCUUCUUAUUACACUCUUUCAGAUGUAAACUGCAUCCAUUAAGAUGAAAGUUACACUCUUUAAACAAAAGUUGCACUGUUUCUCCUCUUGUUGCACCAUUUCUCCUCUUGUUACACUAUUUUUUAUCUUAAACUGCACCCUUUUAAGAGAUAUUUAUACUGUUUCUCCUCUUGUUGCACCAUUUCUGUGUAAAUAAGAGGAGAAAUAGUGCAACAAGAGGAGAAACAGUGCAAGAAGAGAAGAAACUGCACUGUUUUAAGAGAUAUAUAUACUGUUUCUCCUCUUGUUGCACCAUUUCUGUGUAAACAAGAGGAGAAAUAGUGCAACAAGAGGAGAAACUGCACUGUUUUAAGAGAUAUAUCUACUGUUUCUUCUCUUGUUGCACUGUUUCUCCUCUUGUUGCACCAUUUCUGUGUAAACAAUAGGAGAAAUAGUGCAACAAGAGGAGAAACAAUGCAAUAAGAGGAGAAACUGCACCCUUUUAAGAGAUAUUUAUACUGUUUCUCCUCUUGUUGCACCAUUUCUGUGUAAAUAAGAGGAGAAAUAGUGCAACAAGAGGAGAAACAGUGCAAGAAGAGAAGAAACUGCACUGUUUUAAGAGAUAUAUAUACUGUUUCUCCUCUUGUUGCACCAUUUCUGUGUAAACAAGAGGAGAAAUAGUGCAACAAGAGGAGAAACUGCACUGUUUUAAGAGAUAUAUCUACUGUUUCUUCUCUUGUUGCACUGUUUCUCCUCUUGUUGCACCAUUUCUGUGUAAAUAAGAGGAGAAAUAGUGCAACAACAGGAGAAACAGUGCAACAAGAGGAGAAACAGUAUAAAUAUCACUUAAAAGGAUGCAGUUUAAGAUAAAAAAUAGUAUAAUUUUCGUUCAAAGAGUAUAAUUUUUAUCUUAAAGCAGCAGUUUACAUCUUAAAUAGUGCAACUUAUAAUUUUUUUUGUAAUUAACGAUGUAAUUUCAUCUUCAUCCUUCUUUUUAUAUAAUUUUUUAUCUUUAUUUUUUUUUUCUGUUUUUUCUAUAAUUUUUUUGUCACCUUCUCUGCCAACAGCUACGGCGCCGGUGACGGCGCCGGUGACGACGCCGCUAAGGACCCCCCGCUCCGAGGCUGUAGCGCCGCAGUGACCUCUACGGUGUCGACGUCGGCGCCGGCGAAGAUAAAUCGUCGUCGGAGGCGGCAGAAAAUGAGGGAGAGGGAGAGAUGAGAAGGGCGGGGAAGGGCGAGAGGCGUCGUCGUCGGAGACGGUGGAGAAGAGUCGGAGAAGAAGAGAAAAGAAAAAAGCAAAAAAAAAAAAGUCGCGGCGCGGCCUUAACGGGGUCGGAGGCGAGGAAGGUGGGGGGUGCAUGGACGAGGGCAAGGGCGAGGGCGAGAGCAUGAGGGUGAGAGGCGAGACGGACCGUUUCUGCCUCCGCUCUACCGGCGAGAAAAAAAAAAAAACGAGAGAAACGAAGAAGAGAGAGAAAGAGGAAAGAGAAAAAGUAAUAAGGGUAUUUUGGUCAGUUUGCUGAAAAAGCGGACCGAAUCUGCAAAAAUAAAAAAUGUGGCCCGAUUUUGCAAAAGCCCAAAAUAAGUGGAUUUUUUAUGCAAAUUGGCCAUAGAAUAAUAGCUGAUAAAUGCAUGAUGCACAAAUGUACAAAAUGCAUCGUUUGCAGAUAAUAAUUUAUUCUCUAAAAUAGUGAAUAUAUAUAUAGCGACCAAAAUGAAAUUGUUGUAACACUUCAAGAAUGAUCUAUAACAAAUUGAAAGUUCGGAUACCAAAAUAAAACUUGACUGAAAGUUUGUGGAGUCUGAAGGAUGUCAAUGAGUUAGAUUCGGGAUAGAUUUUCGAACUGAACUAGAUUAUCAAAGCCAAAAUCUGAACCCAAAAUCGACUACCAAAAUCAAAAUUUGAACACAAAUCUGAAACCGUUAGGUUUUGAGAAUUCAUAAUUAAAAUCACAGAGGGCCAAAUUGAAUCAUAGGAUAACAAAGUAAAAAUGCACUAAACCACGAGAGGCCAAAUCGAUGUUUACCCUAGAUUUUUAUAUAUUGUUCGAUUUCGAGUUCAGGUUUGUGUUCAGGUUGGGGUCGGGUAUAAAUAAAAAACAUAUCUAAAUCCGAAUAAAUUGGAUUUUUAUAUUUUAUAGGUAAAAAAAUAUAUAAAUAUUUGCCACGCCAAUGACCUAUUUGAAUUUGACUAUCUAAUCUUUAAAACUUUUGAUUUUACCAUUUGUUUCUUUAAUUUAUUUGAUUUAAAUUAGUUAGUGACUCUUUAAUGUCAAAAUAUAAAUUCAUCGGAUUUAGUUUCUUUAUUCGUGCAAUUUACAUAACAAUAAAUUCAUUGAAAUUAGUAAUUAUCUUAAAUUUUAUUUCUGAAGAGCCAUCAAAUUAUUGAAAUCAAACAAAUUAAAAAGUUGGGUACUAAAAUCAAAUUUUAAAAAAUUGAAUAGUUGAAUCAAAAUAGUCUAUAGUUUAGAUAAGUUUUAAUUUUUUUUAUUAUACCCAUAAUAAAAACCGUGCCGGUUUAACCUAAGAUAUAUCCGUGAUACGAAUUGGUAAAGCUCCUGCUCUAAUGCAUCCGAAAUGGGACGGUAAAUAAAGACAAAAAAUAAAAAGAAAUAAUUUGCUCCGAAUUCUCUUCGAUCUAUUAGAAAAAGGUGCCGAAGAUGAAAACCUUUCCCUUUUUUUUUCUCAAAAAUUUCUCAAAUUUGUUCCAUUUGAUUCCGGAUUAAAAAAAAGAAAAAAAAAAAAGAAAAAAAAAAAAACCUGAAUCCACCUGACCACCUGAAUCCACCUGACCAGGUUAGGAACGGCCUCGGAUUCGAGGAUAGCCGUAAACGUCGACAUCCCCGCCAGUCGGUGCGAGUUACCGCCCCAAUCCGUGUCCUGCGGCUCCCAACAGCGCCCGCGUGUCUGGGCCCCACCGACAUUUCCCCAAUAACCAAUCAACCACACGAUCACACAAGGACUUUUUUUUUUUUUUUCCCUGAAGAAAUCAUAAAAAAUAUUGUAAUCAUAAAUGACCCUGUUGAAAAUAUAUUUGGCUUAUUAAAUAAAAUAGAGUUGGGGUAAAAACACCUAUUGGGAUAUACUUUUGCUUCUCAAGUAGGAUCGUAACGGAAUAUUACGUGCGGACAGGAUAGUUUUCAUUGUACUUUUUUACCGCACAGAACGUAAUCUUUCCGCAAUCCUGAAUGAAGUCUGAAUAGUCUUUUUUUUUGUCGUGUGUUUAGAUCUUUUACUGCUUUCAUAAAAGUGUCGUGAAUCAUUCACCGUUUUUUUGAAGAUUGUUUGUUAUAAUUUUUUAAAUUUUUUAAAAUCGUAUCGGAUUUGUUGAUGUGUUUAUAUGACUGUUAGAAUUAUAUAUAGAAAAUAAAAAAAAAAAGAUUGUUAGGAUUAUAUGUAGAUUGUUAAAAUUUUUUUUUAAUUGUUAGGAUUUUAUGGAUUGAUUAUUAUGAUUUUUUUUUUAUUAUUAAGAUUGUAUGUGAUUUGUUGAAAUUUUUAUGUACUUAUUAGGAUUACUGAUGAAUAAUUUACUGUCAUGGUAGAAAAUUAUAAAGACGGUAAAUAAUAUACCAUUUUUAAGAGAAAAUUUUAUCGUGGCCGCUAGGUGGCAAAAAAAAAAAAGAAAAAGAAAAAUUAGUAUGCCAAGUUUUUUUUAUAAGGUUAUUUAUAUAAUUAAAAAGUUUUAUAGGGUUAUUUUGAAAAAAAUUCCUCACACAAUCACCGUCCUACAAAUCCUUCCCUGCCACUCUAAUCCCAUUCUCUUCUUUCUCUCUCUCCUCCCCAUUUUCUCUGGUCGGGCGAUUCAAGACGAAUCCCAGUGUCCGUGCCAACCCUAAGGUAAGGGCUCCAACAUCUUCCCCCUCAAUUCCCCAUUUCGGUAUACGCUCGAUUCAUGAGUAAACAAAUUCUUGUUUAGAUGGUUGUUCUCUUUGAUUCGAUCUUCUUUCUUGUUGUCUACGUAGAGUGGUUACGCGCUUUUGUAAGUUCAGUUGUUGAGAAUUAUGGUUUAGUUUGCUUAAUUGGUUUGAUGAUGCUGCGCGUAAUGUAAGAGAAUUUGAUGCAUUUGUUUAGGCCUCGUUUGGAUAAUUGUAGAAUUGGAGCUGUGUACGGAACACCUGAUUGCAGGGAUAUCCUGAUUAAUGUCCAUAUGAUGGAGUUUUCUGAUUAAAGUCCAUGGUGUUGUUAAGGUUAUGUCAGGAUGUUUCUUAAAGCUAAUUGUACUAUGUAUUUGUGUGAAAGGGUGCAAAUGUUGAGAUUCUUGAGAAUUGUUAUGUACUCUCUGAAUGUUGCCUUAUUGAGAUUGUGGAACCUUAGAAUGAUCGAAUUAAGGUGGUAUUUGUUUUUCCAAGUGUCUCCGGAAUGUUGCAUUUGGAGUUCAUUUCAAGUGGUGGACACCCAUUACUUACGGUCUAUCUCUAGCCAAGGAUCUAAGUGCCCAUGGGCCGUAUCGUGCCAAUAAGAUAUCAGCACGAUACAGCCCCUGUGCCGAUGACAAAGCUCAAUACCCUCUUUUCUUUAAAUUAAUAAGUAAUUUUCUCUAUAAAAUUUUGAAAAAUUCAUAAAGAUCAAUUAGAAUAUUUUGUUGCUAAAGAAAAUUAAUAUUUCAUGCCAUUAUGUGUUGGUACACAUGUUUAUUUUUUUGAUCAACACGCAUCGUAUCGUACCAUACCAUGCUGACAAGUUUUCGGCAUAAUCCCGUGCUAUGACACUUAAAUCCUUGAUCUCUAGUUUAAAUUAUCUUCCAAUACAAUUACCUAGUUUGCUGGCCUUCCUCUUUCAUCCACUGGGUUGUGCAGCUUUUCCUCUCAUUCCUUUUAUUCAAAGGUGGGAGGUUAUGGGGGGACCCUUUUGUUCAGCAGAUUGCAAAAGAAAUCCUGAAGGUGACAGAGAACUCCCCCAAGAAGUCUUAUAAAGAGGCCCUCAUCCAACCUUCUCCACAUUCUAGUCCAACACUACCUUUCCCUUCUCCUAGGUGAAACAACCACUCUCUUUAGUUUCAAGAGCAGGUGCACCCCACGCUAGCCCCGACUAGGAGUAAAUUUUUCUUUAAAGGAAGGUGCUAUAGGUGUCUAGCGAAGGAUCAUCGGAUCCACGAGUGUAGAGUAGAGACCCUAUCCGGUAUUCCAGGUGCUUCAAAACUAGUCAUAUUGUGCGAAACUGCCAUAGUCGCAGAUCCCUUUCCCUCGCUAAGAUGCAUAGGGCUAUGCAGUUUCGUCCCCCUUCCAGGAAGGUGUUCAUCCCCCUCACGGAAGGCUUCCAUACUCGCUAGCAAAAAUGUCAGAACGCCGUACUCGCUAACGUCAUUGGCUCGUCGAGACUCGGACAUUUUUCUCAGGAUACGAUCGCAAAUGACUUCGCUAACAGUUUUGUCGGGGUAUGCAACGAUUUCCUGGUUGCUCGACAUAGCGACAGGGACUUAGUUAUUUUCCUCCCUCUCUAGGUGCGACCUUAGGUCUAGUUAGACGAGGGAUUGUUUUUUUCCUCACUGUCAACUGCUAUGUUACGUUUGGAACCCGUACAGGGACGCCACACGUUCUCGAAUCACCUGCAAAGCUUGGAUUAAGUUGAUAGAUUUGUCGUUCGAAUGUUGGUCCGAGGCAAGAGUCGCAGCUAUUGUCAACAGGUUCGGUCGCUACCUCUGUGCUGACGAUAAGAGUGCCAAUAUGAAAGACUUAAUCGGGUUUAGAUGCUAGAUUGCGGUCGACGACCUUGCUGAAAUCCCAGAAAACUUGGCAAUUACUAUAGGAGAUAUUGUCGUGUCCUUUAUUGUCCACCUGGAGAGCACGACCCCGUUUGGAGGGGAUGACCGCGGAAUCCCCUUUGCUGGAGAUGACCCAAACGAGGGUGGAGAUCAAACAGAUUCGCUGGAUCGACGGCUAGGCCGGAAGGUUGAUAACCAUGGCGGGGGCGCGGGUGACAGCUACUCAAGAGAGGGAGAUGCUUCUGGAAAAGAAAGGCAAGAUGAUACCUGGAACUCGUUUGAAAUCAGAGAUCGAAGGCGGACUACGGCUUCGGACUCCCAAGAUGUUCAGUGUCGGCCGGUGGACCUAGGCAAAGGCACGGUUCAGCUAGCCGUCGGAGCGGAUGUGGUUUUUCCUAAUUUUCCAGCAGGCGGUGCGUGAUGGCCUAGUGGCUCGCUCCCCAAUACUUGCCGGAUUGUGGAAGACUCUCAAUGGCCUCCCAUACUCAUCGGUGUGCAUGCGAUGAAUAGUUGUGCUCCCAUACCCAUCGUGAUAAAGGAAAAGCGGCUGUUGACCUGAUCGAUCUGGAAGCAAAUGCGGACAUCAAGGAGCACAACGCUUCAGCGCUAGGUGGCUCCUUUUUUCGCAGAUCGGUGAAUCGGCACGUUCCUCGAGCGGGGUGUCACCAAGGAGAGAGCUCCAGGUCUCACAGCGGAGGGAUGAGGCCUAGACGCUCCGGUACGGCUUCCCUAGCCUCGGCUCUUGUGGUGUGGGAGCUCGAGAUGGCUUUCGUGACGAGGGGGUCUGAGACGGAAGGAUGCCCGAUGCAGACCCCGCUGUUUCCUGUAGAUAAUAAGAGAUGGGAUCCAAUCCUAGGAUGUUCUUGGAGGCAGUUGGCCCGUUCUGAUAUAUGGGCUCCCCAUCUUGUAGGCUCAAAACUUGAUCAGGACGUGGGUCAGCUUGUUGUGAAGGAUAUCUUGCCUCGGGUGGAUGUGGACUUUCUGGUGGGCUCCUAAACAGAACCUAAUGCAUUGGGAUUAUUUCUUUCAGUAUCUAGUUUCGGAAAUUCAAGCUAUCUGCUACAUGAUCCAUACUUAGACUCAGUUGGACUAGUCGUUCUGACCGGGGGCGUACUUUAAUCUAGUCGUGCCAUUCGGUUCUCGGCUUGUUGGGGACUCGCAAGGCGGGCUACUAACGUGGCGCCGCCUCUCACUGAGCCGCGCUGUUGUUUGUUGGAGGGUGCACUUGAUUGCAAUGACCACCACCAGGGUUUAGAAUAUAGUUUGGCACCCCCAACGGCAGCGACGGCCACAGUCGGUACGGUUUUGGGAGAAGUGGCCGAACUUUCUCCUCCCACCAAGAAGAGCACUCGUAAGGUGAGGAAUGAGCAUAUACUCAUGAUGGAUAGGGCUAUUUCGCGCAAAGUGCUGCUUAGAGAAGGGACGACUCGGGAACUGCUGGACAUGAGUACCAUGAGCGCACAUGGGAAGAGUAAAGGUGCCCCAUCUAACGGGUACAGUAAAACCAAGAAGAAAAGCUAAAAGUGCGGGAUUAUUAUGAGCGAUGAUGACCUCUGUAGUUUUAUCGAUUUCGUUACGGCCUCAGCUCAGGCCCUUGCUAGCUAUAGAGUGUUUUUGAUGUUUUCUUGUGUUUCCAUGUUUCAAAUCUGUAGUUGGAAUAUCAGGGAUCUAAACGACUUGGGUAAAAAGGGUGUAGUGAAGUUUGUCGUCUCUAAGUUUAGGAUAUGUGCUUUGUCUACAAGAAACUAAAGUGGACACUGUGUCUCGUUGUUUUCUACGAUUGCUCGUGGGAUCAUACUUCGAUAAAUGUCAAUUUAUCAAAUCAAAAAGUGCGACAGGAGGGACUAUUACCUGUUGGAGCUCUCACGACUUCUCGUGUGGAGAAGUGAUUGUUCGAAACUUUUUCCUUACUAUCUGACUGAAACACAAUGCCAGUAACACUGUUUUUUACCUAACGAACGUGUAUGGCCCCUCUACGUGGAAUGGAAAGUCUGAAUUUUUAACGAACUAGCUGAACUGAAAAUAGCCUGUGGAGGACUGUGGGCCAUGUGCGGUGAUUUCAAUCACCAGAAAUCUUGACGAGAGGGGGGCUGGAAGUUGGUGCGAAGGGCUAAUGGCUAUGUUUACUGAUCUUUUAAACGAAUUGGGACUAAUUGACCUACCGCUGGGUAAUCAGAAGUUCACGUGGUCCAACAUGCAAAACUGCCCAUCCUUGGCCAAGUUAGACCGGUUUCUCAUUUCCACGGAGUGGGACCAAGCCUUUCCUUUGUCGAAAGCUUUAGCAGUCCCGAGAAUUACGUCCGACCAUUCUUCGAUACUAGUUUUUAUUAUGGAUAUAAAACCUCGCCGUUUAUUCAGAUUCAAGGAGGUCUGGCUAGCUCGAGAAGAUUUUUGCAACCUAGUGACUGUAUGGUGGGAGGAAAUGUCGUGUAAAAAUUCUAGUGUCCUAACCUUAGUUGCUAAACUAAGACAUUGUCGUAAAAGGAUCAAGGAAUGGUGUGCCAUGAACUUUUAUGCUAUCUCGAGGACGACAAUGGAACUGUUUGAAGAGAUACAGAAACUUGAUGUGCUGGAGCAGCACCAAAAUCUAACAGCUCAGCAGAUUGACAGACGAAAACAACUGAAGACUCAGUUGACAAAAGUGAUCCUCAACGAGGAGAUACUUUGGAAGACGCGAGCCAGACAACAUUGGUUAAAAGAGGGAGACGGUACCAUGAAAUUCUUUUAUGCAAUGGCAAAUGGAAGAAGACGCAAUAAUGGCAUUGGGGUUGUUGAAGAUGAAGGCAAGACAAUCUAUAAAGAGGAAGAUAAAAAGGAUUAUUUUUACUUGAAAUUCAAAGAGUUAUUUGCUCCAAAUGAGUCUGAAAGGCUGUUGACAGGGGAUUGGAGUGGCCUUUUUACGGAUAAACCGUUGCUAAAGCAUAACCACCUCACUAGGCCUUUCUCUUUGGAAGAGGUUAGAAACGCUACCUUCCAGUUAGGUGGAGAUCAAGUGCCAGGUCCUGACGGCUUUAACAUGCAGUUCUUCUAAAGGUUUUGGGAUGUAGUUAAGGCAGAUCUCUUCUACACUUUUACAGAUUUGUUCGCCGAUUCUCUAAACUCUAGACCUUUGGAUUACUCGUACAUCUGCCUAAUUCCGAAGAAAGAUGGAGCCAAAACAACUAAUGAUUUUAGGCCUAUUAGCCUCAUUAAUAGAGUCCAGAAGAUUAUUUCCAAGGUUCUUGCUAAUAGACUCGAAGGGGCGCUAAAAGACGUCAUCUCUCCAUCUCAAACUGCUUUUCUAAAAGAUAGAUCGAUAUUGGACUCCUUUGUAACCGCUAUGAGAUUGUUAACUAGUGUUCAAAAACGGAGUGGGAAAGUGAUGGCAUUAAAGUUGAUUUUGAGAAAGCAUACGACAGAGUGAGCUGGGGAUUUCUUCAAAAAAUCAUGAUGUGGCUUGGGGCAAAUCAGCUAUGGUGCGAGUGGAUCGACCAAUGUAUUUUCAAUGCCAAAAUUGCCAUUCUAGUUAACGGGGUCCCUUCCAAAUGGAUCAAAACCAAAAAGGCCUACGUUAGCGCGAUCCUCUCGCUCCAUGCCUUUUUAUUCUGGUAGCGGAAGGUCUAGCGAGAUUGAUGGAAAAUGCAGUUAGCAAUGCCUUGGUAAGAGGAGUUGGCCCAAACAGGGAUUGUAAGGUUGCAUUUAUCCAGUAUGCCGAUGAUGCAAUCUUCUUUUGUUAGGCUAAGAGCAGACAAGUGAGGAACCUCUUUGUUAUGUUGUAUAUUUUCGAGUGGGCCUCAAGUUUGAGCAGACAAGUCUGAGCUUUUCUAUCUGGGUAGGAUCGACCAACUUGGUGAACGGUUAGCAGAUAUUCUAGGUUGUAAAUUGAGGUCUUUUCCGAUACGCUACCUCGGGCUCCCCCUCUUGAAUAGGCAACUAAGUAAACCGUAUUGGUGGCCAAUCAUGGGUAAACUCGAGAAACAGAUUGAAGGAUGGCAAGCUAAACUUUUGUCUCUUGGUCGUAGGCUGAUACUGGUAAACUCUGUCCUUAUGAACCUACCUCUUUACUUCUCUGUAUUCAAAGCACCCAAAUGAGUUAUAAAAUGAAUUGAAGCACUUGUGAGGGCUUUUUUCUGGAAAGAGAGGAGCGUUGUAGCUGGACAUUGCUUGGUGAGCUGGAAAAUGAUAUGUCGGAGCAAAAAAGAGGGGGGUCUAGGGGUCAAGGACUUAGAAGCAAUGAAUGUUGCUUUACUAGCAAAGUGGUAGUGGAGGUUUCUCUUAGAUAAGCCCUCGCAAUGGGGCGGUUUUAUCAGAGGUGUUUACUAUUCUAGAAGGAAACCCCUUAGGGAAGGAGUAUCCUUUAGACCUUUCUCCCAGUAGUGGUGAAGUGUUCUAUAGACCAGGGACAUCUUCAGGUGUGGUAUUUCUUAUACGAUAGAGGACGGUAGCAGUGUCAGUUUUUGGAUGGACAGAUGGAGUGGCCAAAUGUCCCUGCGGUCACUCUUUUCUAGAAUUUUUAGUGAGGUAGCAUCAAAAAAUCAUAUGGUCAGAGAUUGUUUUGGAAGAAACGGCUGGAAGUGGCAUAAGAUUUUGCAGGGCUCUACUCUAGGAUCCCAAUUCGAUAGUAAAUCAAUAUUGGAGCUGAAGAAGCUACUAGCCAACAUUACUUUGACGGACAACCGAGGCGAAGCCAGAUGGAGAUGGAAUUUAAUAGAAAUGUUCACGGUUAAAGAUGGAGAUGGAAUUUAACAGAAAUGUUCACGGUUAAAUCACUUUAUAACUUCUUGCAGAAUGGCGGUGUCCAUGCAAGGAGGUUUAUUUAGUUGUGGAAGAUCAAAACUCCCUUGAAAGUAAAAAAUUUUCGGGUAGCUGGUACUAAAACAUAGGGUACUAACAAGAGAUAAUCUGUUGAAAAGGGGAUGGACAUGAGAGAUGAGUUGUGUGCUCUGUAUGGAAGAACCUGAGACGGUUGACCAUCUUUUCGCUAGUUGUUGUUUCUCAAGAGUGCUGAUGGAGUGCUUUCUGUCAAGCAAGCGAUUUCUAAGUACCUGCUCUUCAACCGGUGUGCUCUCGAACGCUAGCAACGUUAAGUAGGGCACUGUAGGGAGAAGGGAAUUAUCAACCAUUGUUACAGUCUGGUGGGCUCUUUGGUUGGAGCGGAAUAGAAGAAUUUUUGAUAACAGAAAAGUAAUGUUGAGACAAUUGUUGAUGGAUUUACGCUCUUGUAGGAAUCUUUGGGAGUUGCAUUGCCUUUAGUUAGUUUUUUUUUUUUUUUUUUCCCUACGAACCCUUGUUGCUUAAUUCACCUUCUUAUUGAAUGAAGCGGUAACAUGCUACCUUUCUCUCCAAAAAAAAAAAAAAAAAACCCCAUGGGGCAUCUUGUUGAUGUAGGAACCUCCACCACCCCUUCAUCUUUAGAGCCUCAAUUUGCAAUUUAAAAUUUAUAUGACUUGAAAUCCUCCCAUUUCUUUCGGCCGACACGUAACUCUCUAAUUAACGAAGCAAUGUCCACCGUUGAUUGAAUUUUGGCCUUUCCACAAGAAAACUCUUCUAAUCUUUUUUGGCCCAAUUUGGAAUCAUGAAGAUUGAAAGAAACUAAGAGGAGAUUGAGGAGAGGGAUGAAUUGCUAAGUGCUAAUUGUCCACAUCUUUAGAGUAGCUUUCCUUGCCAUUCGGCAAGGCGCUUUUCUGUUUUGUCAAUAAGGGGAAGAUAGUGUUGCUUGUUUACUACAUAAAGGGAAAAGGGGAGGCCAAGUUAGGAUAUGAGGAACUUCUUCUGCAACCACAGAUGCUUGCCAAAAGUUCACCCAGGUUAUUAAUUCUUCCAAUGGGUGGUAUAAGAGGUUUUUAAGAAAUUAAUAGCUAAGCCCGAGCAAUUACCAAAUCCUAGUAGCAGCAGUUUGGUGUCAUUGCAAGCUUCAGGAGUGCGUGGGAGGAAAAGGAGUGAGUUGUUGGCCAAGUGUAAGAGCAGUGUGUUAUUUCCUGUCAGACCCACACUUGUGAUUUGGCCCAAGUUUACAGCUUAGAUUAAUAUCUUUUGGACCAGGUCCACAACAAGGAUGAAUUCGAAAGGUAAUGGUUGGUUCCCUUCCCACAGUCCUCUCUUACCAUAGAAGUAUGUUGCCGGCACUCCAUGUAGAAAGAUUGAAGUUAGCUCUGAAUGUAGUAGUGCUGCAACCCAAUUGAUCCAUUGUUGUCGAAAGCCGCGAGGUAAUAGGAGAUCUAGUAAGAAUCUCCACGAGACUAUAUCAAAAGCCUUUUCGAAGUCCAAUUUAAGCAGUAUAGCAUCUUUUUUUUCUUGUCAAGCAAUGAUGUAGGAGCUUAUGAGUUGACAGGAAAUUGUCAAUUAUAUAUAUAUCUUCUUUACAAAAGCACUCCGUGAUGGCAGUCGAUUAAUUGUCCCAAAAAUGGUUGAAUUUUUAUAACCAAUAAUUUCGAAAUAAUAUUUGAGAGAGCGAGCGUGUAGCCAAUAAUUUUAUAUUUUUUUCCAAUAAUGGGGACAAGGAGUUGUUGAUGUUAUCUUUUUAGUUAAUAACUUACCCCAUUUCGUUGUAGUUUAUAGUAUAAAAAGACACAUAGGAUUCUUUCCCGCUUUUGUUAUUUUUCUCCUGGUAGAAAUAAUUGAUUGACGUAUUUCUACUCGCAGGUACAGAAAGCAAUUGUCCAUAUCUUUAUAAGUGCAUAAUGUUCUCUAAGAAAUGUAUUCAUGAUUAUUUCAAGCUGCUUGAUGUUUUGAUACUAAUUCCUAAUGAACAGGAAAAGGGGCUUCCAGCUUUAUAUUUACUGGAGCCAUGAAAACCUGCCUUUGUGAAAUAGAUGGCUAUUUAAACAAACUAAAUGGUUGAUCUUGUUGAAGGGGCCCUUCAUUAGCUUGUAUGGGGUAGGUGCUUCUCAUUGCUUGAAUAGAAAAAGCAUCAGCUCACUAGUAUGUUAUUGCCCAUUUGGCUUUACUUCUAUAGUUGAUUCUUUACUCUAAAAUGUGGCAGCUAAGCAUUUGGCAAACAGUAGCUUUGGAGCUUCUGUUAUGGCAAGAAGCUGAAACAAGCUUCUAGGCUCCAAAAUUUUUUUGAAGCUUCUGCUUCCACUAUAGCAACAAGCCAAUGGGGAGAUUUUUUUUAAUUAAAAAGCCCUCGGUGCUUCCUCAAAUAGCUCUAAAAAGAACUACAGAAGUUCUAGCUAGCUCAAAAUGGGCCAUAAGUGUAGUUUUCGUUAGGUAAAGACAUACGGACCUUAUCAGAAUGUGGACUUCAAAAUAUUUACUACCUAACUUUUUUUUUUUGUCAAGACUUGAAGAUCACUUUUUGACAGAAGUUCUCUAACGUAAUGGAAUAUAAUGUUACUUGAGGAGUAUUUUACAGGAGAACUUAACUUUAUCUUUGGAAAUAAAAAAAGAAUGAAACAUUAGGUCAUAAAACAAAAUCUUGUAAAGCCCAAAUACCUAUUUCAAUAUGACAAUAUUUUAGGUAGGUCUAUGUUGAUCUUUUGGUUAUGCAUUAGUUUAUAUGUUCAGUACUGAUGAUUUGAGCUGUUCGCAUUUGUAGCACUUCUCAUUUUUCAUCUUCAUGCAGAGCAGUAGCUGUGUUGGAGGCUUAGCUAAACACCGAUCACUUUCUGAUAAAAACCUAGGAGUAACUCAAAGGAGGAAAUUUGGCCAAGCAUCCAAAGGCAAGAGACGGCAAUGGUUUUCGAGUCCGGAGGCAAUGGAGAAUAAUAGCAUCACCAUUUCUCAUUCAUUUGAAGCACACAUCUCUUCCGGCCCCACUUGUGCUAAUGAAAACAUCAAGAUUUCAGAGGAAAAUGGGAACAGUUCUUUGUUUGUCAACCAAGGUCUGAUCAUUUGCCUUGUUGGGAAGUAUUGUAGUUAAAGAGAUGGUCAAUUUCAUAAUUUAGUCCCUAAAGUUGGUUCGGGAAUUCAAUUACGUUCUUAGAGUAGCAAGUGGAAUGAUCAAGUCCCUGAACAAGAUUCAUGUACUAAGUCAUUGCGGUUGGAACAUUGAGAAUGAAAUUGAAAUCAAGAUUAAGAUGGCUUUGACCAUACAACUAAUUAACUCUUAAAUAACGAUUCACCUAAUGCUUGUAAAUCCAUUAGAGUAGUUAAAAAGAAAAAGCAAUUGUUUCAGUAUUUGUUUGGCUUUUUCAGAUGGGAUAUAUGGAUUUACAAGCAUUAGGUGAAUCGUUAUUUAAGANAGACUUUAUCCUUUUUUCUUUUUUUUUUGCCUUUUGUCAUUUAGUUGUCGCAUGAGAAGAUGAUUUUUUUAAUGUUUUUCUUUGUCAGUUACCUCAAAAUUACUUGCAAUGAAUAUUCACUUCUUGAUUUUUGUAGCUGUUGUAGCUUGGAAUGAGAUGAGGAAAGAGUGGAUAGGAGAUCAAUCUAGAAAACCUCGCAGAGCUCCAAGAGAACCAAUUAUAAGGUGAGGCAGUUGCUCCCAUUUGCUGAGGCAGUUGCUCGCUCCCAUUUGCCAUUUGAAGUUAGAGAAUUAAUCCACACUCUAACCCUUUCUACUGUCAAUUACACCAAUGAACAUAAAACUUUUGGUAAAGAAAAAACCAUACGAACCUUACCUGAACUGUAUUUUUUUUCGAAGUGGGUACUUAAAAGAUUUUUUUAUUUUUUAACACCUAAUCUUGCAAUGUGUUUGGCUUAACUAUCUCUUAAACAGAACUUAGCAGUGUUUUAUUAACUUUCUCUGAGAAUAUAAAAAUAUCAUCGGGGAACAUUUUUUUACUCAAACGGAAUAUGUUGAACCAUAAUCCUAAUAGAAUUUGACGGUAUUAUUUUUGACGGAAUAUUAUGUAACCUAUAAUACAGAAUUUUCUGUUUCUUGACAUAAUAUUUUGCAACUUUUUUUUUGACGCAAACUGUUAGGGUUUAGCAAAACUUGUGGAAUUUUAGGAAUCAAAAGUAACAAAAGGUUUCAAAUUUUAGGUAAUCAUUUCUAUGGUUCAGGUAAGAAGCAUACAUUUUCAUCAUUAACUUUUAUUCCCUAUCUCACACUUUGCUGCACAAUCUACUCCAACUGAUCAUUUCUUUCAGCUGGUGUACAACAUAUGAUGAUCUCCUAUCAACCAGUCAGCGUUUUCCGCAACCAAUUCCAUUAUCUGUAAGAUAUAUAGCAUAGAUUUUGCUCAAUUUUUUCCGUACUACAACUGGUUCUAUACAUCUGCUUUUCUCGCAAAAUUUUCAUUCAACUUUUGAACUUCUACAGGAGAUGGUAGAUUUUUUGGUCGACAUAUGGCAAGAGGAAGGGCUUUACGAUUAGAGCGAGCACCUUCUUAACUACAGUUGUAGCUUCGUGUACUGUUUUGAAAUCGAUUUCAUGUUUAUUUUUCAUACGUGUAGCUUCAGAAGCUCUGAUGUUGUCGAGAAAGUUUGCGUUCGUUUGCGUGGAAAUAGUGUCUCGAAGCUUUUGAUCCUUGUUCUUUGGAAUAUCAUUACAUGAAUGAAAAUACUCUGUUAGAUACUAUCAUCGCAAUUGCUGUUUAUAUGUGCCGUGUGAUAUUAAACUUCAGUUGAAGUCUAUGUUUGACAUUGCUUAUGGGUUUUGUUUUCUCCUCCUUGUUCUACAGAGUGCAGGGCCUGCGCUUUGCUGUAGGCAAUUUUGUUUUGUAUAAAUUGUUUAACAUUAGAAGUUUUGGUAUGACUUUAUGGUGAAAAAAAUUAUCACUAAUUGGUUUAGUUAUUAUAGGAGGCAUAACGAAAUUGUUAUCUUAGUGUUUAGUGGCGAAUUUUGCAGUAUAUGAACACCAUCUUACUUCAAGUUCCUCAAUAUAUGGCAGAUCUUGUUUGAGUAACUAGGGAAGUGUAAGUCUCUCAACAUGCUGAACUCCUAUUCACUUUGCCGUACUUCGCAAAUAAUACUAUAUACUUGAUCGUGAGAUGAUCGUAUAAUAUUUUAUAAAAUGUCUUGUUUUCGCAGUUAGCAUCUUUAAAAUGUAGGUCAAGUUCGACCCUCGACUUCUGUAUGACAGUACGAGAAGCAUCUUGCUUUGUUGCAGUAGCAGCAGAGGACGGAGCACCUCGACAUCGAGCUAUUUCAACUAUUGGUCCUUUUUGAAAAACUUACAAAUGCAUGUAUGUAACAAGAUGCCCCUUUGUAUUUAUAGCUAGCUCAUGUUGGCUUAAAUGUGCCAGCAUCAUGCUCUGUGGCAGGAGGCCAUGUGGGUCGAGUCAUGUUCGAAGUGGCGUGAGGCUGGUUGGACCGAGUCACAAUCGAGACCCGUGGGCGUUGUAUCCAUACGCUUUAAGUGAAUUGACUGCGUAUUUUCAACAGUUCGAACUUUUGGGAUUAAUGGUUAGCGCCAACGAGCUGACAGAAUAAUAAUCAUCUAUUUGGGUAUACAUGUCUAUAUAGUUAUGUAGUUGAUAGUUGAUACAGAGUCCAUAUGCUGUGGUCUAUGGUUUGCAGAAGAUAUUGGUCAACAAUAGACUAAUGAAAAUAUUCAACAUGGUCGAGCCACGACCCACGAGAACAUCUUCGUGUUGGCCAAAAGUGGAUGCCCAAUAGGGCAUUUAUUAAAAUGCAAACGAAUUUUAUUGGGUUGUUAAUUUAUUAAGAAAAAAAAAGGCUUAUCUAAGGAAUGCUUUGGGCAUUCUUUGCUCGGAUUCUCUCGACCUAAUAAUAUAGAAUAAGAGAAGAGAGAUCUAAGCAUAGAAAGAUUAGCUAACAAAUGCUUUUGUUAUAUAGGAAUGAGUGCUUGAAUGAUUCCGCUUGGGUUUGAGAACGUCCCACAAUGGAUUCAUAGAUUUAGCUUGACAGGCUCUAGCGCGAAAAAUCUUUUUUCUAUUUCCUUUGGUCUUUAUUUUAGGAUAUGUUUGGUUCGCCGAAAGUGUAGUAUCGAAAGUGAUACUUUUAAAAAGUGGCGUUUUAUCGAUUGUUUGGUUUACGAAAGUAAAUAUAAAAAUCAUUUUACGAAAGUGGGCUGAUAAAGUAAGCUAUAACUAAAUCUCACUUCUUUCACUUCGGCUCAAAAAAUUUGGAAGUCAUCGAAAGUGGAGAGGUUAGCUAAGAGAUUAUAUUUGGUCUUAACUUUUAUAUUUAAAUUUAUUUUUAAAGUUUAAUUUCACUUUAAAUUUGAAUUAAAAUUAUGAUCACAUUUUGAAUUUUAUUUGUGAAUUAAAAUUCAACAUAAAAUUUUAAAUUCAAAUUUAUGACUUUAUACUUAAAUUUAAAUUUUUAAAUUUUAUUUUUAUUUAAAGUUGAAUUCUAGAAUUUUAAUUUUAAUUUUUAAUUUUUAAUUUUAAUCAAAUUAUUUUUAGUUAAGAACUUUAAUUUGAAAUUUGAAUUCAAAUUGUUCCAAGUGUAAAUUCAAAUUAUUGACUAAAAUUUAAAUUUUUAAGUUAAAAUUCAAAUUCAAAUUUAAAUUUGUUAUUUACAUUUAACUUCAAUAAUAAGUUUCAGUCUGAAUUUGAAUUCAAAUUAUGAAUUCAAAUGUUCGAUUCGAAUUGUGAUUUAAACUCAUAUUUUAAUUUUAAUUUAAAUAUUAAUUUAAAUUGUGAAUUCAUAUUUGAAUUCAGAAUUUAAGAUCAAAGAGUGAAUUAAUAUAUGAUUCAAAUUAUAAAUUCAAAUUUGAAUAAAUGUUCUAAUUUUUUGUGUUGAACUUUUAUUUUAAAAUUUAAUUUCACUUAUAAGUUAUAACUUAAAUUUUAAAUUCAAAUUGCAAAUUAAAUUUAUAUCUUAAAUUUUAAUUAUAAAUUCAACUUAGAUUUAAGUUUAAAUUUAAAUUUUAAAAUAUAAGUUUGAAUUCUAAAUAUUAAUUUAAAUUAAAAUUUUUAAUUUAAAUUGCAAGUAUAAGUCAUUUGUUUAUAUUUUUAUCUCUUUAUAUAUAAUUUAAUAAUCAAAAAAUAUAAAAUUAUAAUUAUAAUUUUUUACUUUCUACCAACCAAACAAUCGAACUGAAAAGUCACUUUUAUAAAAGUUACUUUUAUAAAAGUGACUUUUUUUCACUUCGCUGACUUUAGAGUAACCAAACAUGCCCUUAUAGUGAGUGUUCCCUGAGUGGGUUCUUGAUUUGGGCAAUGAUUUAAAAAUCAGGUUGAGCUGUCGGUUUGACUAGUCCGACCAUGAUUUAGUUUAUAAAACGGUUCAGUUCAACCCUUUGAUUAUAAGUCAAAAAAUAGCUUUGAACUGUUCAAACCAGCAGCUACGUUCCUUAAAAAGGAAUAUUUUUUGGAUAAAUCUCUGGGAGAAGACCACUUUUGGGUAAAAGUCGUGGUUGGAAAUUACUAGAGAAGCUAAUUGAGGGCGGAAAUUCUCAAAUAUUAGUAUUCCCAAAUCUCUCAAAGAAGUUCGCAUGAAGUCGAGAGAGAGAGAGAGAGAAAGAAAGAAAGAGAGAGAGAGCUUGGUUGGAAGAAGAGAGGUGAAUAAGCACAAGAGAGAGCUCAGGUAGUUUAUCACCUAAGGUUGGCCUAAUUAUCACAAUAAACUAACAAUGUAGGCCCAAUGUUGUUUAUAAAAUUGGAAUUUAUUAUCAUUAUAUCAGGGGUUUAGUAAAUUGCUACAAUAAAGGAAAAACAUAUUGGCAUAAUAUAGUUUUAGUAGUAGUUGGCCUAAUUGUUGGCUAAAAUAAUCACUAAACUAAAUAUUUAUUAUAGUGUCUCAAUGCAUUUUACCACACCAAUAUGCAAAAAUGGGUGACAAAACGCACCUAAAUGGGUGACAAAACGCAUCGAAGCGAUAAGGAGGGAUUUUUUUCUGGAACGGCGGGUAUAACGCUCCAGGCAAGGGAUGUUUGAUAGCUUGGGCGAACGUUUGUAAGAGUAAGAAAGAAGGGGGGCUUGGCAUUUUAGACGUGGCGAUCAUGAACCUUGCCUUAUUGGCAAAAUGGUGGUGGAAAUUCCACACGGAUACCCGAUUAUAGUGGAACUUGCUAGUUAGAGACUUAUACUAUCGAAGGCGAAAACCAAUGAGGGAAAGGAGAUCCUUCAGACCCUACUAAUCCUGGUGGACGGGUGUCCUUAGUCUCAGCACUAUUUUCAAAUGGGGUACGAUUUUUUCCCUUGGUGACGGGAGCACCAUUGACUUUUGUUAGAUCGGUGGUGCGGGGAGAAUACGUUGUCUUACGUUCCCUGAGAUCUAUGACUCGUUUGAGGCGAAGGGCCUUAAGGUAAGUGCUUGUGCCACGGGGGCUGGUUGGAACUGGAGCAGGGUACUGGGACCCGAUGUCGGACAUAGUCAUAGGUCUAACAUGACGCUAUCGGAUUUUGUGGAAAGGAUCUCCAACUUCUCCGUAGAGCAUAGUUCGGAUAGGUUGUUAUGGCGUUGGAGUCAUGUUGGUCUUUUCUCGGUUAGAUCGACCUACCUCGCGCUGUCUGAUUGGGGUACGAGGGAUGCACGGACUGCAUUGAUCUGGAGCCUCAAAAUCCCUUUAAAAGUGAAGGUGUUUGGCUGGUUGGUACUGAAGAAGAGACAAGCCACAAUCGACAAACUUUUUAAGAGAGGAUGGGUGGAAGACUCAACCUGCGUGUUAUGCGGGGCAGAAGAGGAGUCGGUGGACUAUCUAUUUGCCCGGUGCGUCUUCUGUAAGUUUCUUUUGAUCAUGGGUGUGGACGAGGUUCAGGAUCUGGAUCUGGGGAUAGACGUGUGCCUUGUUUGGGACAUGUGGAGGAAUAGGGACGGUGCACAAACGAAGAGAAGCAGAUUAACUGACCUGGUGGGUUGCUGGUGGACCAUCUGAAAGGUCAGAAAUGAUUUGAUCUUCAGAAGGAUCCAGCCUAACCCUGGACAAGCUGUUCUCUACUUUAAGCAAUUGGUGCAAGAGUGGGCCUUUCUUCUCCCUAUUUAGGCAGCUUUUUUUAGCUGGCCGUUUUAUGUACUUACGUUUUUUUUUUUUUUUUUUUUUUUUUUUUUUUCUUUUUCGCGUUCUCCCUGGGGCCGUCGUUGCCCCACCCUUGUAGUCUAGUUCAUACUUUCAAUGAAUAAAGCAGGUAGCGUGCUACCUUACUCUCAAAAAAGAAAUAUGCAAAAAGAUGAUAAAGUAUUGGAGAUCAUAUCCUCUCACAUAUUCUCUAUUAUUAAAUACACUUAACUAAAUUCUAAAAAGCUUCCUUACUCUUAGCAUUAUAUCAAACAGAUUCAAAAUUUAGAAAAUUGACAAAUUAGAAUGGUAGCUUCGAAAACUCAAUUUUAUUUGAAAGAUGAAUAAUUUUUAGAAAAAUACAAGAAAUUUUUCUUAUGUCAAAUUUGUUAAUGACUCGUCGGAGUCCUCUUUUCUAAUGAUUUAAAAAUCAGAUUAAAUCAACUGAUCCGAAUGGUCCAACCGUAAUCUAGUUUAUAAAACUGUUUGGUUCAACCCUUUUAACUAGAUUAGUCUAAAAAAUCACUUUAAACCUCCGAGUUGGCGGUUCAUCUAUCAAACUAGUGAACCAGUCCGAUUUUAAUCAAAUCAGUCUAAUUUUAGUAGACAAAUCAUAUUACAAUUCAGCUGCUUAAAACCAACUUAGCUGAUUUUAUCUUUUAUUAGUACAGAUUAGCCUUAUAAAAAUUUGAACUUGAAAACUUAUAUCAACUUAAUUUAAUCUAAAAAUAAGUAUUUUAAAUUAAGUAUAAUAUUAAAAUUAUAUAAAAUAAUAAAAUUAAAAAUAAUAAUUAAAUAUCUAUCGGCUGAGUUUCUGAUUUAACCUGAGAUUCUUCAUCUAGCAAUAUUUUCUGAUAGCGGUGUGGACUGGUUUCAUUGCACUUUUCCCCUUUCGACUUUUUUUUUUUUUUUUUUAACAAUAACCUUAUAGAAUUUUUUAAUUUGUCAAAUGACAUUUUCAAAAUUUUAUUUUACCAAUUAAUUCUCUUUUGGCUUACUCUGGACAAAAUAAGGAACUCGAAAAAUUAAUCACCGCCGCUUAGAAAGUGGAGAAUAACUUAGCAUUUUUAGAUUGUUUAUCAUUUUUUUAUAGGAGAUGUGAAAAUUUUUUUGAGGCCGUGAGUGUUGUUUGUGGAUUAUAGAAUUUUGCUAGGUUGUUAGUAUGACUUAUUAUAAAAAAUAAUAAAUAAUUUAUUAUUUUUAAAAUUUCAUUAAAGAUUAUAAAAGAUUCAUUAUUUUUAAUUAUUCUGCCGAGUUGGACAAAAUAGAAUUAUUUGACCAAAUAAAAUUUCAUAAGGUUACAUGACAAAUUAUAAAAGUUUAAAGGGUUAAACUGAAAAAAAAUAGAAAAAAAAAGGUAAGACUUCGUUUGGGAUUACAGAGAGAUUAUGUUAUACGGGUGAGAAACGAUGAUAAAAAAAUAUUUUAUUUAUUUUUGUAUAUAAUAUUGUGUUUCGCAUAAUCGGUUUGAUAUAUUUUUUUACGGUGUCAUCGGAGACUUAGAAGCAUAUCUCUGUACGCUUUUUCUCAAUUCGAUUCUAUCUAGCACUGUUAGAUCAACGUAAAUACCAAACUAAGCCUAAGAAUCGAACAAAUUCGAAAUAGAAAAAAGAAGAGGCCGAAGCAGAAGCAAAAACAGAAGCGAUCGAUCGCGUAGUGGGAGGGGGGAGAUGGAGUCGGUGAAGAAUCUUCUGAAGCCGAAGCCGAAUCCGACGCAGCAGCUUCGCGAUUGGCAGCGUCGACUCCGCCAGGAGUGCCGCAACGUCGAUCGCCAGAUUCGCGGUUAGGGUUUCCCCGAUCCCCCCCCGAUCUUUGACCCUUUUGUUCUUUUUUUUCUUCCUUUCGAUUCGAUUAGGGUUCGUUCUUCAUGUGUUCGAUCGUACUAUGGCGAUCGAUCGAUCGAUCGAUCGAUCCAUCCACGCAGAUGUGCAGAGGGAGGAGCGGAACGUGCAAAAGGCGAUCAAGGACGCGGCGAAGCGCAACGACAUGGGCUCCGCUAAGGUUUCUUUCUUUUCUUCUUUGAAUUUUUUCAUCUAUUUAAUUCGGGAUUACACAUCUCUUAAAUGCCCUGUUUGGAGUUAUUAGUCAAUGCAAUGUUAAAAUGUAUUCAAUAUUAGGUUGGUCGAUGCAAAUAUCAUUUGAUGUUUUAUGAUUUCAUGAUAUUUUUUUUUUCAAGAUACAAUUAGAUUGGGUGAUUUGAUGUUCCAUUGGGUGAGAAUUUGGUUACUGUUAGAUAGGUAUAAUGUAUUGAAUAUGCGAAAACAUCCCUUCUGGAGCCAUUGUUUAGUUCUGAUCUCUGCUGGGGAUAUGGAGUAGUUGCCGAAUCAGUGACGCUUCCAUUUGCUUAUUACUCAUGCAAAACUUUGGAGGCUUGUUUGAUUCACCUAUUUUAGAGUAUGAAUCGGAAUGGGAUUCAUUGAUUCCGAUAGUUGUUGUUUGUUUUACAGGAAUCAUAUUCCGAUUCCCAUUCCACUCUGGAAAGGAAAUGGCGCAAUUCAUGUAUGGUCCAAUCUAGCCGGGUUUGAAUCCCGGAUUGGCCCAUUCCAAAAUAAACCACUCAAAGCCCUCUCUCACGAACACCUCCAUCUCCUCUCCCUUCAUCACUCUUCUCUCUCUUAACCAAAACACUCACAAAAUUCUAGAUGUUUAUUCUGAUUUCCAUUCCAAUAAUGAACCAAAUAUUUUUUGGAUGAUUCGUCAUUGCAUUUUUCCAUUCCAAUGCAAUCCAAUUCCAUUUUCCAUUGCUAUUCCGAUUAUGAACCAAAAAUGCCCUGAACUUCUUUGGAAGUUCUUUAAUAUUAAUUUUUACAAUGUAAUGAUGUUAAAUUUGCCUUUUCCCUCCUAUAAUCAGAAAAUCAUACAUGUACCGCUUUCUGUUUCGUCUUGAUAAUCUAUUAACUCUGGAACAAUGGCAUCUAAGAAGUCUAAAUAUUUUGGAAUAUCUAAGAAGCCAAAAUGGAUUUUUUGAGGACCUAAAAGGAAGUUGCGGUUUGAAGAUUCUGCUUCUUUCUCAAUGGAAGCUCUGUGCAAUUGUCAUGAAAAUGCUCUUAGGAUCCUCAUUAGCUCUAUGCUAAGAGAACUAGUACAGAAGCUUCAUUUGGGCCAAAGAGUUUUUUAUUUUACACUAUUAUGCGUUGAUCGGCAAGGGAUAUUUGUGGCAUCUUUCCAUUUAAUAUAUCAAACUUAAUGAUUCAUCGUGCCAUUUGUUUAGGCUCUUUAUAUUACGCAGAAUUACAACAUAUCAUCAUUUCCUUGUUGUUAUAAUUUCAUUGCAAUGGUGAUUCACUGCAGUUUGCUUUUGUAUUCUUUACUUUUAAUCUAAUAUGAUCGAGGAAUUAAAGAAUUAAUUUUAGCAGAAUCACUGUAAUUAAGUUAUAGUGAAUAAGUUUUUAAUCUUAACAAGCUCUGCAUGUGUUUAUGAAUCCUUCUUGUUAUUUGAUUUCAAUCGGCAUGAAUAAUACAUUAUUUAAUGCUAAUCUCUACACUAUUGUGUUCUUGCAAUUAUUUUCGAUCUUUUUAACUGAAAUUAAGCUUAGGUUUAAACAGCUAUGUUAUGACGUAACACUCAUUCAAUUUCUAUGUUUCAGUCUCUUGCUAAGGAAAUUGUGAGAUCAAGGCGGGCAGUGAAUCGUCUUUAUGAAAAUAAGGCUCAAUUAAAUUCAAUUUCAAUGCAUCUCGGUGAACUUGUUGGUAUGCUACAUUUCUCUUUACGCUUGACAGUACAAGGUUUUUGUAUGGUUAACUGCCAUAUAUUUUGGCUAAUUUAUUUGAUCAAAGAGUUUUGAUGUCAUAAGUGUGCAUCUUUUUUAAGCAUCAUUAAUAACUUGAAUAUUGAUGUUUAAACUGGACAUUGCUCUCUUAGUUGUGUUCCUGCAAUUACAGCUAAACACUUGCGAAUGAUUACUCCUCUAACCGUAGUUUGAUUCAGAUUGUUGUUCAAUUGAAUUGACAUCGAUAUUUUUUGGCUAAUAUUUAUCAAAGGAUGUAGAAAAUAAAAGGAUGUAGAGAGUAGUAUACACAAGUAAUGUCAAUGAUGAAUGUUUGGAAGUCAUGUAAAAUGAUUGCACUAUAAAAUUUACGAAUUUUUGAAAAGGGUAGCGCCCUGUAAGAAUAGUGGGAGAAACUCAAAUAUACGUUAAUUGUUAUCUACACUAGCACAUUUGGCAAGGAUUGAAUAUUCUUUCGCAAAUUUGGGUUGUAUAUUGGCUCCAACAUGUGGAUUUUCUUGUAGCUGCAAGUAGAAUGAUUGACUUCUUGCACUGAAGAAUCUAUUACAUCAUGAUUCUCUGGUGACAGUUUGUGAACUCCUUUCUAGUACCUCUAGGUUAUAGGUGAAACGGCUCUUGAUGGCAUGCUAUAUUUCAUGUAAUUUUAAUUUUUAAAUCGUAAAACAAUUAGAAACAAGUAUUUGAAUAUGAACAUUAGGAUAAAAUAAUCACGUGCUUACACACAUAUUCUCAAACUCAAAAGUUAAGUAGUCACAUGAAUAGAUAAGUUGAAGUUGCUAAACAAAGUACUUUGGUUUUUUUUUUAAUUUUUUUCUUUUUGGUAUCUAGAUUGCUAAACUUUGUGAAAGAGGAAAAAUAAAUGAUCGAAUACCUUUAGAAUUCACAUCUUAAAUCUUCCAGGUUUCAUCGUAAUUAUGAACAAAUUGCUUUCAUUAAAGAAUUGAAGGUUCCAGUUUGCAUGGAUUUGCUAGACAAAUUCAGGGACAUGCUAUAUUUAUUUUGCUAUUAGUUAGUAAUAUAGUAAGUUUACCUUUAUUGGUAUGAAUUCCAGCGACUGCUAGGACUGUGGGUCAUCUAAAUAAGAGUGCUGAGGUUAUGAAGCUUGUAAAUAAUCUUAUGAAAGCUCCAGAAGUGGCCGUUACGAUGCAAGAGUUUAGCAAAGAAAUGACAAAGGUAUGUCAUCCAUCAUAUUUAUUGUACAUAUAUUUUUUUCUCUUCUGCUGUGAUAGUUACAUGUGAUUUGGUGAUUCUAGUAGUUAAGAAAAAGAAGAAGAAAAGUGCCUCUAAAUUAAAAUUUGCAAUAUUUGGAUCUGUUGAUUGCAAUUGAUUGAUAAGGUCAUUGGCAUUUGAGAAGACUUUGACAUACUAUGCAAGUAAAUUAAGCAGUUUUUUGGAUGAAGUUUAUGAAGGAUUACAUGGUAUUUACAAAUUUCAUGUGAAAAAAUUACUUGGUUCCAAUGCAUUGAAGCAUAUCUCUAGCUGAAUUGUCUGAAGACUUUUUUCUGCAUGCAGACAAUAAUUUGUAAUCAUUUUGAUUUUUAAAGCUCCUGAAAAUCAUUGCUUUGUUGGCUCAUCUACUGUGAGAAGGAAAAACAUAUUUUUCUUUCCUGAUUCUGUUUGUAAUACCAUAUCUCUAUUGCAACAAUCAUGAAAACAGGUAGAAAAUAUCACUGUCAGGGGCAACUUAGUAAAAUUAAUUAAAGGCCUUCACCUUGUUGUUAACGUAUUUAUGAAACCUAUUUAAAGGACAUAAGCUCACUAUAUAAUUUAAAUGCUUUCUUAUCAGUUCUUUUCUCUUUUUUUUUUUUACAAGAUUUUCUUGAACGGUGUUCUAUGUUUUUGUGCUGUUUUCACCUAUGAUUUUCCAAUGAUGGAAAAUAAUGAGUGUUUAAUGUGAAUUACUGGUCAAAUGCUAAAUCAUGUCAUAAUAAGCCAUCUCUUCCAUGUCGUGGAUAAUAAGUUUACUAGUCUUUUCCAUAAUUGUUAAUUAAUGGUUCUCUUGGAAGGCUGGCUAUGCUGCUUUGCAAGGGGUAAAUACAUAGAGCGCUUAACUAUAUCUCAAUUUUAAUGUCAUGGACAAUAAGCUAGUAUAGUCUUUUCCAUAAUUGUUAAUUAAUGGUUCUCUUGGAAAGCUGGCCAUGCUGCUUUGCAAGGGGUAAAAACAUAGAGUGCUUAACUAUAUCGCAAUUUUAAAUGGGUACCUAAACUUGGAUUGCUUAAUUUUACUACGAAGUGCUUCCGUUGAUUUCAGAAAAUUUUAUUAAAUUAUGAAAGAACUUAAUGUUUUCUGCCAAGAAGUUACAGAAUAUACUGUCAUGGGCAGAAUAUUUAGGUUGUAAAUAAGAGUGUCCCAUCGAAAAAUUUGAGCAUACUGUUGAGUUUGAUCGAGAGGGUUUUUAAAUUAAAUACACUGUUGAGCUGGGAUAUAAAAUCAAAUUUUUUGAUGUUUGGGUACCGAUUUUAGAACAUGCUGUUUGUUUUUACCUUCCAUACAUUCUAUGGUGCAUCUAAGAUAAUGACUAUAUUAUUUUUUAUUUUUUUUCCCUUAAUUUUAGGCUGGGGUGAUUGAGGAAAUGGUGAAUGACGCUGUUGAUUCGGCUUUGGACUCAGAAGACAUUGAGGAAGAAAUUGAAGAGGAAGUUGACAAAGUGCUCUCGGCGAUAGCGGGCGAGACGGCCUCACAGCUCCCAGAUGCCGUUAGGAAAGAGAGGAUAAAGCAACCUUCAACCAGUGAGGCUGUCGAGGAGGUGGGGCGUGCAUCACAAUUCUUAGCACAUUUUGGCGUGGCUUCUAGAUCAGAAGCCAAUGCCAAUGACGAAGUUUGGAGAUUUUGCUAUGCCGAGAAGCUAAAUUGAGCUUCUCGGUCCUGAGCUCUGGUCUGGAGAUUUUGCUUAUGCUACUAUGGGAAGCUGUAGGUGAUACUUGCAUAAGAAAAGCUGUUAAUGCUUUGAAUAGCACUAUUUCAACAGCAUUCAGCGGAAGCUCCGGUUGGACUCUAUUGUCCUGUAUGGCCUGCCUAAAUCCAGCGUCUAAGCCCUAUAAACAGAAGAUCCAGUUUGAAGCUUUUCCUUUAUAGUUGCAUGGAAGCUCUUGCAAGGAUUUUUGUUUAAAGAGUGUUGGUAAUGCUUGCAACAGUUCUCCUCGAAAGGCAUCUUCUGUAACAGUGUCUAUAUUCCUAAAAGCAUUAGCUUUUUGCUAGUGAAAAAGCCUAGAGGUUUUGUUGCGGUGCAAAAGCAGAAGCUCUAUUUGAAGCUUCUGCUAGAUUAGGAAGCUGUUGGGGAAGCUAUUAACUGAAAAAUGUUUGUUGCUUCUUCCCAUUUUUCUUGUGACUUUGGAAACAGCUGAUAAUGAGGUUCCAUUCUAUAUAUAUUUCAGGAAGUAGCUGUCGCCGAGGGUGCUGAUGAUGAGGGAGAACUAGAAGAGAUGAGAGCACGCCUUGCGAGAGUGAGGUCGUAGAAGAGCUCAGGUUUGAGUUUUCUGCUCGCAAGGGUGAGGUCGUAGAAGAGCUCAUGGUUGAGUUUUCUAUCUGGGGGUUUGUUUGUGAUGAUAUGCAUGCACGAAUCACUAACAAAGGAAAUAGCACAUACACUUGCGUGUACUAAAUUAUUGAUAUAGUGGAGAUAAUCUUGUGUAUUCAUAUUUGGCGGAUUUAAUUGUGCUUCUUUGUUGUAUAUAGGAGAUCAUUUAUGUUUCGCAAGUAAUGUUAUUAGUUGAUCAUGAAAAUGUGGUUGCACAAGUGUCCAAUCUUCGAUAGUUUCUGAUGGUAUUAAUCGCUUCUGACCGGCAAUUUACAUGCUUUAUCAUCAGCUUUGAGAAUCCCAUUUCAAGAUCCGAGUACCUACUGAGUUGUUGUGGAAGUGUUCUUAAUUACUGUCGUUGUGAAAAUGCUCCUAAUCUUGUUAAGUUGAAAAUUGCUAUAUAUGGGGAAUAGAUGAUGCAGUGGGGGGAACUUAGGCACAGAAAAUGUAGUGGAAUUACUGGUUUGUGUUAUGUUGUAUUGGGUUAUUUUCGGUUGGGGUACUUAACAAAUCCACAACUCUUUCCUUCUAAUUUCGGUAUGUGGGGUCAGGAAGAGGAAUGAGAGAGAGAGGAAUAAACAUUCAAAGGGCUAAAAAGUCGAAAGCACUAAAUUCUCUAUAUUUUAGAUAGCAUAGUAGCUCUACACUAUAAAGUAUAACUUUUACCUAUACAACUAUACAAAAUUAGUUAUUGAUUAUAUAAUUCUAGAGUGUAGAAUAAUAUAAUUAUUUUAUAAUAUUUUAUUCCUCUGUUCCAGUUGAGGAUUUGCCACUAUUGAAAGGAGAAGUUUCUUAGAUUUUUUAAUAAAUAUUUUGUCGAUCAAUCGCCACUACCAACAAAUAAUGAAUUUUAUUCUUUUAUUUAAGAAAUAUAAUAGUUUUUGCUAUCAACUAGUACAACCAGCAGGUCCGCCGAAAUAAAACAUACAUCCAUCUUGAUAUCCAUAUCUGCCUGAGUUAACAAGUGCCGAAACAUUGUAACAGUCUAUCUUAUCAGUAUAUGGAUUUUGUGCACCAUCAAGAAGAUCAUAAGAUUGGCCUUCUGAGUUGAAAAGCUGAAUAUUUUUUAUGUACGCUGCUUUUCCUUCCAAUUCACUUGCAUAAUGUCCACUACCCAUUGGAGGGCCUGUUGCGUCACUUAAAUAGCUAACAGAUCCACCCCAUCUUACUGUGCUUGCACUCUUAUCUAAAGUGGUAAAGAGUGACUUUGGCCAAUACCCUAUUAGUUGGGGUUUGCCAGUAUCUUCUCUAAAUAAUAACCAGUCUCCUGUCUGAGGACCCUGCAGUUAUACAAUCAAAUACAAAGUAAUCAAAUAAUAAAAAAAAUAUUGUAGUGAACAAUUUUAGAUAAUAUAAUAUCAAAUUGAAUCAUUUUCAUGCAUACCCAAAGGGAAAGGACUACUCAUGGCAAGGCAAUACAUCACUAGCUCAUAAUACAUUUAUUACAUCAUAGCAAUGCUACAGAUAAUUCAUAUACCUAUAAAUAGAGUGUACAAUUUAUAUCUUACUCAGCCAAAGACUAAUAUCUCUUCGUUAGUUUUAUUUUUUUUAAUACUAAGAAUUCAAAGAAUAUUUUAAAUCCUUACAUGGCUGAGUAUUAGAUUUACAUAUUAUAAUUAAGUAUAAUGUACAGGUAACACUUUAUAUCACAAUAUUAUGUAUUUAUAUAUAUAUAUAGUGCACAAUUUACAUUGUAAACUUGUUAUAGAUAUUGCUUUUUCAUUUACACAAACUUUCAAUAGCAAUCACACGAAAUUGCUAUAUAUAUAAGGAAAAGAAAAAAAAUUCCAAAUAUAGAAAAUUUGGGUAUUGCUAAUCUAUCUAAUAUCUUUAUUAAUGAAAUAUUAAUUGAAAAUAUUUCUACUCAGAUUUUGUCUUCAUCUCUGUCUGAACUCAUAGGGAAAAGAAAGAUAGCCCUAAAGUGUAGGUGUAUUUUGAAUAAAACUUCUUGAAACUUUUAUUAAUUGAAAAUAUUUCUACUCAGAUUUUGUCUUCAUCUCUGUCUGAACUCAUAGGGAAAAGAAAGAUAGCCCUAAAGUGUAGGUGUAUUUUGAAUAAAACUUCUUGAAACUUUUAUUAAUUGAAAAUAUUUCUCUUCUGAAUCCGACUCAUUACUUUUUUCACCUUAUACUUCCGUGGGCAAUGUUAGAUAUAUAAUCAUUUUGGAUCAUAAUUCUACAAUUUUAACCAUCUAAAGGUCAAGCUUACUAAACUACUUUUAUCUCUUAUUAUUGUGACUAAAAUUCAUAAAAAAAUUGGUUAAACAGUAGGAAUUUAUUGGAUUAGGGGUUGUAAAAACUAUAAUCCAUGCAUUUUUGUCGUAGACUUAACAUUUCUCAACUAUUUAAUGUUUAAUUAGAAGCUAUCACAUUGACAUCAUAAUAUAAGUUCCUUUUAAAUGGGAAAAAUAUAAAAUAACAAAUAUUUUCAGACAUAAAAUAUAUACGAAAAAAAGCUAUUUGUAUACUCUAUGAUAAAGUGUAAAUCGUGCACCCUAUCGUAUCCAAGUAUUUAAAAAUCCAUUUUGUGUUUUUUAGCAUAUCCUAAACAAAAAAUAGUUAAGAUAAGUAAAUGUGCACUUUGAGGGCUUAAGGUAUAAGAAUUAACCCACAAUACAGGUGUAGUAUUAAGGAAUGCUAAAAUUCAAUAUUAUAAAAUAAACUGAUGUUAAAAAUGUUGAAGGGAAAAAAUUUAUUCAACCUUUUUUAUACCAAGUGUGAUGUAGUAUUGUGGGCCAUUAUAAACAGAUACGUUAUCAAUUAUAUCUCCUGGUGUAAGUAUAUCCCAAUUAACCAUUACGAAGCCUUGGCACUUAAGAUUGUAACAACCGGUUGAUUUAUAGCCAUCCGCCUGUAAAAGGAAAGAAAAGAAAAUUCUUUAAUGAUGUUACUUUGUUGAAUACAUAAGAAAUUAAGGAAUAGAUAUGUUGUCUUCAAAUUAAGAUACUAGCCAUACUUCAGUCCUCAAAUUUAAUUUAUUAAUUAUAUUUCUGGCUUAAAAUUUUAAAUUUGUUACGAUCAAAUCUAAUCAUUAAACUUGAUUAUAAAAUGCAAAUAUGAUACUUACAUGCACAGAUAUAGCAUCUUAUUAGUUGCUUGAAUCUCAUAAGUAAACGAGCCGAACACGAGCGCGGCUGGAGUCGGCUCGUGUUUGGCUCGUUUCAAUGAACCAUGAGCUGGCUCAUUAAAGUAUAAGAGCCGAAAAUUCAGCUCCGUUACAUAAACUAGCCGUUACAAGCGAGCGCUGGCUCACAAGCUGGACAACGAACAAUAAGUUAAAAAGGAUUAGAUUGAAUAUAUAUAAACUAAACAUAAAUUUAUAAAAUCUUAUCCAUUACAUUUUGAUCUAACAGUUGAAAUAAUUUUAAUAUAAAUGAAGUCUUUUUAUAAUUGAGCUUCGGCACUUUACUAUUUUUAUUUUACUAAAAAUUAAAAUAAAUACAAUAGAAUAAAUAAAUAGAAUAGAAUAAAGUGUAUAAAUAUACUACUAUACUAUAAUAUAUAUAUAUACCUAAAUCUACAUAAAAUUAUAUACAAUAUAAAAUAUAUAUAUUCGAACUGUUUCGAGCCGAAGCACGAGCGAGCUGACCCAGCUGCCGUGCUCGGCCUCGGCUCGUUCUCUAUUAAGCGAAGCUUAACAAUUCAGCUCGUGUUUAGCUCGCUUACCAAACCGAGCGAUUCGAUCUUCGAGAGCCGAACACGAGCUGGCUCGCGAACGGCGAGCUGUAUUGCCACCUCUACUCAUAAGUCGUGACAGCUAUGCUGAUAUGAUAGUAUAUCAUCCCAGUCUUUGGCUCAAUAUUAUUGUUAUGUUAGUAUCAUCAUAUCAUUAUAGUAUAGGAGAAAUAGAGAGGACUUAUUAUUUGCACCAGAUGCACCAUAUCAUCUGUACAACAAUUUACCAAUUAAGGAGUUCUUCAAAUGGUAACAUAAUCCGAAAAAGGAUCUUAGAGUGACUAUGAUUGAGCUAGGAGGAUCUUUCAAACACUACUUAAAUAAAUUAGAAAUCCUUAAUCCUUCAAAUCGCAGCCAUGCACGUACGUACCUUUGUUAGUUAUUUCAUGUUUUUCAUGCAUUCGAUGAUUUGGCGCACCAAAUAUAUAUUUAACCGGUCUUGAUGCAAAUAAUAACUUGUAUAUUAUCUUAACCUCUCUUUUGGCUAGUAAUGUUGUGAUGUUAUAGUAAUAACUAAUUAAGAUGCUAAUGUUAUCACGGUGGUGUGAUUGACAAAUUAGCAGAUCACAACAUUUCUCAUGUAAACAAAAAAAUGAAAUUUGAGGUCUGAAUUAAGUGUUGUCUACCUUUUAGUUCGAAAACUAUUAAUGUUAUUUAGCUUAAAAGAAGAUAUUUGUAUACGUACUUACCGUCCAAAAUAUGAAGAAAUGAAGCUUGCUGUCUUGAUAUAAUGAAGGAUAUACCUGUUGUAUGGCAAAAUUUUGUUAAAUAUCCUAUUAUAUAUAUAUAUAUAUAUAUAUAUAUAUAUAAUUGAGCUCCUAUGCUUUUAUUUGUGAUAAUCAAUAAUGGACAUAAAUAUCGGUAUUAAUAAAAAUAUGCUAUAUUUUCAACAAAAAAAAAUUAUAAAUUAUUGGGAAAUGGCAAUAGCCAACUAAUUGAAAAUUAGUGCUUAUGUUAAUAUUGUGACUUGCACUUGGCUCUUUUAUUAUUGGAAACCCUUAUUUAUUUUCAAUCUAUCCGAAUUAUUUAUAGUGGAUAUCUAUAUAAUCUUUCAGGACUAUAAAAAUAUCAGCUUGUAAAAAGAAUUAAACAAAGUGCAAACACAAUGUUUACAUAUAAAGUAUCUCACCUUUUUUCUUUUCUUUUUUUUAAAGUUUAUGUAUUUAGAGAGCAAUAAAAACUAUAUAUGUAGUAGCAAGAAUUUAUUUUGCGUACAUGAAAUCCUGCUUCUACGACAUUAGUGGCCGGAGUAUCAGAGUUCACAACCCAUAGUGCAGUUGAACUUCUCUGAGCAGUCGUUAAAUCUGGUUGACCCCAUAGAUUUAUUUUAGCUUGAGUACCAUAAUAUUCCCCAGUUACUGUUUCAUAAUGAGCCCACUACAAAAAAAAAAAAAAAAAAAAAAAAAAAAAAAAUGCUCCCAUAUUUAGAUACAUAAAAUUCAUUAAGAUUGUAGAUAGUAAAGAAACUUUAGAAAACUAACGAUCUUUAUAUUUAAAAUCAUAAUAACAAGCAAGUUGUAUUGCAAAAAAAUGAUUCAGUUUGGUACAAAAAUAAAACACAUCUUGAAGCAAAAAAUUACAUUUUUAUGGAGCUAGCAUUUCAUUCCAAAAAAUUAAAUUUCCUAGAAUUGUUAAAAUAAUAAUAGUAAAUUACAUUUUUGGCCCUCGAACUAUGAGACUUGUGAGAUUUCGAUCCUCAAACUUUGAUUUGUCGCAAUUUCUAGCUUGAACUUUUUGAACUAUUAUAAUCAAGUGUCAGAAUCCAAUACAAUAGGCUGAAUAUAUAUUGAGAAAUUGUUGAUAUAGAAGUGAAUGUAAUAUCUUAAUUAUUAUUUCGUCAUCGAUCACAAUACUUUCAUUUCACUUCUGUAUCACUAAUAUGUCAAUAUUUAGCCAGUUAAAUUAAAUUGUCGGACUCGAUUGCAACAAUUCAAAAAGUUUGAGCCAGAAGUUAUAACAAAUUAAAAUUUAAGGAUCAAAGUGCUACAUGGAUCAUAGUUUUGAGGAACAAAAUUAAGUGUAAUUUAUCCUAUAAAUAACAGAAAUUAAGGUAAGAUGAUUACAUGACGAAUUUCAUUCGGUGCUGUAAUAUCAUAAGUCGCAUCUGAAUUAUUGUGUGCUGAUCCACUUGAAUGAUGUCCUUCAAGCUGUGAACACAAAUUAGUUAGACUAUAUUUUUGAUUAUUUUUUCUGGCAUCUAAUAAGACCUCUUUAUAUAUAUGAUAAAUCAUUAUGUAAAUUAAUGAAAAAGCUAAGUAUUAGGCACAUUACCAAUAUGAUAGAACAAAUUAUGUACGUGCCUCAUCAUGAAGAGAAGUUUAAUAAUUAAUAGUAAAAUAUUUAUUUAUUUUAGCUAGAUGACAAUAUCAUUUAGACAACCAUCAAAAUUAGAGUACGUAAAAAUAUAGGCUUCAAUAUGAAAAAUGAUCAAUUGUGCAAAAGAUUGUUACCCACUCCGAUCGAGUUGGGUUUCAAUGUGUAGUUUCAUUUUCUAAAUAAAAAUGUUACCGGUACAAUACAUUCCUUAUAGAAAUGUAUAUCUUACACCAUUUAAUGCAAGAAUUAAUAAAAACUCUCUUGGAAUUCAAUUCUAGUUAAAAAAAUUAAAACAAAAAUUUGCUAAAACAUGUAAGUUAAUAUGAACCAUAAGGAGGCUACAAGUGCAAGAUUUUUAUCGAACUAUAGGGUAUAUAUAUAUGGAUAGCACUAUUUUUUUUUCUAAAUUGCAAAAAUAAUGACCAAACAAUAACAAAUAUAUUGCUUAAUAAUGUACAAUUAAGAUGUCCAUCAAUCAUAUGGCUAAAGUAUUGUUAUACAGGACAAACAUGAGACCAUAUAAUAUUGCAAUGGAUAAAAUGUGUAAUAUAAUUUUGAAUAGAAUUUAAGGUGACACAACUUUACAAGGUUGGCCAAUAAUAUAAAAUACUUUACUCAAACUGAAUAUUUAGAGGUUUUACAUACAGUUAAUUUGAUUUGGCCACUAUGUUAAAAGUCGCAAACGUUCCAACACGUACACACACAUAGACAUACUAUAGGUAAACGGUUUGAUUUACUAUUAAUUUAUUUUUAGUAAUAGAACUUGCAAAUCGACGAUUGAUAUUGUUGAACAUGAUCUAGACUGUUUAAACUAUCUAAAAAUCAAAUUUCUUUCUUUGGUCCUCAAAUUAUAAAAUGUGUGAUACUUAAUUUGAUCUUCAAACUUUAAGCCCUUCUAAUUUUUUAUUUAAUUUUCUAAAUUAUUGCAAUCAAGCCCUGUAAUUUAAUUUCGUUAACUGAAUAGGAUUGCUGAGAUGAAAAUAAUCGAAUGAUAUUAUAGUUGAGAUAUAGUAACGAGUAAGAUACUACAUCAAUCUCAUAUCAGCUGUUAUGGCCGAUCCACCGGCAGUAAUAAUUUAUUAAAACUAAUUAAACCAUAAUUGAUGGUCUUUCUACCCAUUGUGGAACGUGGAACUAUUGGAGUAUCACAGACUCUCCCGUCUGCCGUCUGGCUGGUAGUAUGAGGGAUACCUCACACUUUCUGUUGGGCUGGGCAGGGCUGGUGAUUUGAUUCUGAUAUCAAAUAUAACGAUCCGAACUACAAAUAGUAAUAAUUUAUUGGAAUUCGGUUACUAUUAUUACUAUAAUUCAUGAUCUUAUAUUCCCGAUUACAAAUCCGUUUCAUUCAUAGUUGGACUAUUAAGAUGUCACAUCAUUAACAUAUUAUUAUUUAGUUAAAUCAAUUGGACAUACGGGACUUGAUUGCAGCAAUAUAGAAAAAUAAACCGAAAACUAAAACAAAUUAAAAAUCGAAGAUCAAAAUAUCAUGCGCCUUAUAGUUUGAGGAGUGAAACUUAACCAUCAUAUAUAGAUAGUUUAUGUACUUGAAAGUUGUGGAUUAAUGGAGGGUCUACGAGAUAUCGGUUUAGCUGCUCCCCCUCUCUCCCUUCGUAAUAAUGGAGGUCUCUUCCACAAACAACAUGAAGACAAAGCCAUAGCAAACAAAAUUGAGAUGACCAUUUUGAAGCCAUUAUAAUAAUAAUAAUAAAAAAAAACAUAUGGUCUCGCAUGGAACCCUAGCCCUCUCUUUAAAUAUACAAGAUUAUUGUAGUUGAAAACUUUUAAAUGGAAAUUAUUAAUUGUCACAUUAAGUGAAAUUGAUACAUGCACUUUGAUUUAACACUAGAAAAUUUCUUUUCCUUUCACAGAAUCUAUCUAUAUAUAUAUAUAUUAAGGGGCUCAGUAUUAAGGAAAUAAAUAUUAAAAUAAAAGAGGAAGGAAAUAAAGUGUAUUAAGACCUUUCUUUUGACACCUGCAAUCAACGAGGAAAGAAACAUUCAGAUUUUAAAAAAGAGAGAAACAUUAAAUUCUUGUCGCUCUAAAUUCACAUUCAUAUAUAGAAAAGCGUACGAAGAGAGAAACAUUCAGAUUUUUGACAAAAAUAUGUCCACAUUUAUAGUUGUUUGGAUGUGAAUAAGUAUCGGAUGUUGAAUUUUCAUUACCAUACAUAUCCGCUAGAAAAGCAUUCUGAUUCGAAUAUUAUUUAGAUUAAUAAUCUAUAUUAAUAUGCGUAUAUUGUUAAAUAUAAAAAUGUUGAAACAUCGUUCUCUGAUAGCUUAAGCUUUUAGAGUACAACAGUUGUUUCAAAUGGUAUUAGAGCAGAAGGUCCUAAGUUCGAGUCACGCCAGACUCCUAACAUAUUAAUUUUCUCCCAGGUCUUGAGUUCGAGUCACGCCACCUCCCAUUUAAACACCGUUAUACUCUAAAAAUUUAAGCUAUUAGAGAACGGUGUUUAAACAAUUUUAUAUUUAACAUAUAUAAAGUAGAAUUAGUGCGAAUAGUGCAAAAUGCGCGUCACUAAAGUUCUAUACUUGUGUUUAAAAUUUACAUGUCUUUUUUUAAAUAAAAUUUAAUAUUUAACAAAUAUAAAUAUAAUUUAAUAUAAAAAUCAUAAUAAAAUAAACAAAGAAUAGGCUUUUUUGCAAACAAAACACUAAUUUUUCAUUUUUACAAAAAUAAACUAUUUUUUUAAUUUUGUAUAUUUGGACCAAAAUUUUUGAAAAGGACAAAAGUACCUUCCUGCCUUAAACAUUCUAUUUCUCUUUUCUCUCCCUUCUCGCGGGCUAUGUCUUCACCGUCGGCGGUCGUCUUGAACACUCAUCCCACCUCCGCCACCUCUACACCAGCUCCUCCGUCGUGUUCGCGUCAUGAACACCUCACGAGCUAGAGGAAUACGACGAAUUUAAUAUACUUAUUGUUGUGACUGCUCAACUCGGUACUUCGCCGGAGACGAAGGAGAAGGUGGAAGAGGAAGAUGAUAAUCACUGGUCAAGAAUGCUUCCAAAGAAUGUUCGCAGUGAGCGUGGCCAAUUGCAACGAUGUGGUGGCGGUAGUGAUCAGAGGAAAAAAAAAAAAUCUACGUUGACGUGAUGGUGUUUACUAAAAUGUUGCUCUAUUCGAACAUAUGUUGUAUUAUUAAUUAAGAAAGUUGUACUAUCUUACAAUUUAAUAUACGUAUCAAAUAUUGUAAUUUUCUUGCUAAAUAAUGCAAUAUAUAUGUUCAAAUAGUAAAUAUCUUUUUAAAUAGUACAAUAUUGUGUCGUUUGUCAAAAUUUUUUAUCUCACUACCACCACUAUUUCGCCGCUACGGCCACGCUUGCCACCCACUCGCGAACCUGCUUUAGGAGUAUAUAUUUUCGAUCAUCAAUCAUCGCCCUCCUCCUCUGCCAUCUCUGUCUUCAUCUUCGACGAUGUGACGCUCCACUUUUCAGAAAGUCAUCCAUCCUAAGAUUACGCUAGCCCUAGCAGGCUUAACCCUUCUUAACUUCUUGGACAUAACCACCGCCCAAAAUACUAUAGCCAGAUUAAGAGUUUUAACUAUAUUAUACUUUAGUGUUAAUUGUAUAAAAAUUCCUACAAACAAACAUAGUAAAUCGCAAAUAUAUCCGUACAAAGUUUAACUAUCAUAUGCAGUCUCCGCAAAAGUCCCAACUAUUAAUGAAAAGGGGUAAAAAGGUCAAUUCACCUCAUUCACUAAAGUCGAUUAAAACUAGCGAGACGAGUCUCAUAUUGUUUGGUAUUUAUGAGUCUGAGUCUGACGAAAACAUCAGAGUUUGGGGGAAAAAUGUGAGAUCUUAGAUAGUCCUAUAUAUAAAGUAUAAAAUGACUAAAACUCAAAUCUGGUUAUAGUAUUUUGGACGGUGGGUAGGCUCUAGAGGUUACAAGAGUUAAGCGGGCUAGGAUUAAAGUAGUUUUAGGAAGGAUGACCCCCUAAAAAGUAGGGCGUCAUAGACGACGCGCCACCCUUGUCUUUAAUUACAGUGGCGACCUCGCCAAAGAAUGCCGAGAAUGGUCACAGCCAUGGCUACGAACGAAUCAAGUUUCGUCUUCAUCCUUUUGCUCAUGCACGAGGGAAGGGUGGAGCAGGACGAUGACAUGGGGCGCGGUGGAGGAGAAGUGAAAGAAAGCGGGAGAAGAAAGAGAGCACGAAAAGAGAGAAUAUGAGUAUUUUGGUCAUUUUAAAAAUCAAUCUAUAAAAAUAAAAAAUGACCAAUUUUUACAAAAUCGCAAAAACUAGUGAGUUUUUAUGUGAAAAGGUCCAAAAAAUAUGAUAAAAAACGGUCUUAUUUUCCUACAGUAUAAAUUAACACGCCCUCUCAUCUCGUAUACAUAAUAAAAUAAACAAAAAAUAUGAUAAAAAACUGCCUUGCUUUUCUACAAAAUGAAUUAACAUUUCUUCUUAUCUUAUAUAUGGGUGUAAACGGCUGAACAUGGUCGAAAUCUUGUUGAAAAACUAUAUACGUACGUACCCACAGUUAAUUUUUUUUGGUAUAUAUAUAAAUAUACGUCGAAUGCUAAAUUUUAAUACUUGUAUUCGCAUCAUAUCGAAUCUAGUGUGCAUUCUGAUAUAAAUUUACCCUAAUCACUUUCGCCUGUUGGUUGACCCUCCUCCUAAGCCUAACUAACAAAAAGGAAAAAAGAAAAAGAACUAGUAAAAUCUCUCUCCCAGGUGCCGAAGAGGGCAACCCCCUACACACCGUAUAUACUGCCCAAUAUCUGGCCAACCACCGACUGUCCCUAACGCAAGUGGUAAAGAACUUGAUGGUUGGUAUCUGAGGUCUCAAGUUUAAAUCCUAGUUGAUUCACAUUCCGACUAAAUUUACUUUUUUUUAAAAAAAUGAAAUAGAUAGCAAACUAUCUUUUCUCAAAAAAAAUAUUUGGCCUAACGGGAGGAGACAUGGUGACCCCAAAAAUGUAGCGAGUCCCGUCAACUAUACGAUAUUUUGAAUUUUCCCCUCAACUUUAUCUUUUUUAUUUUGAACUUUUAAUUUAUUUUAAAUUUGAUUAUUCUGAUUGAUUUUUUUUAAAAAUAUUUUAUUAUAUUUUUAUCUCAAAAUAAGAUAUAUAAUUAGCUAGUUAUAGAUGAUCUGUGGCAUAAUAAACCGUCCCCUCCCCUCUCUAGUCCGAAGAGAGAGAGGGCGAGAGGGGCACGAUCCUCUCCCAAUAUAAUUUAUAAGGAAAAAAAAAAAAAAGAAUGUAAAGAGGGAGACAUCCCUCUCUUCUCUCUCUAAUUCAAACAGGGAGAAACCGACCGUCCCUAGAGCAAGUGGCAAAAGGCUUGGUGGUUGAUAUCCGAGAUCCAAAUUCGAAUCCUAGUUGAUUCACAUUUUCAGCUAAAUUUAUUUCUAAAUGAAGUAAGCGGAGUGGGUAGCGUGCUACCUAUCUCUCAAAAAAAAAAAAAUCAGACAGAGAGAGUGUGGACGGGUUCUGCCACGCAACUGGGACAUUCCUCAGCGUGCGUGUGUAUAUAUAUUAUUAUAUAACAUAUUUUAACUUAUCUUUAGCUCUCUUAGUUAGCUAUCAGGCUCUCUAGCAUUAAUAAUUUAUUAGAUUCAAAUCACCCGUCUUAAAUCAACGGCUUAAAAUAUUUAAAUCUAGUCAUUAUUAGGGUCUAUGUUCUUUUGUAGGGCUUUUGUGGUGUUACAAACUCUUCGGUUUAGACUCAUUAGGCUAAUCACACGCAGUCCAAAAUUAUCAGACAAUAAAAUUCAAUCACACACAAAAUCCAAAAUCAUGCGCAAUGUGAGGCCCACCUUAUACUGCCGGCUGAUGAACAGCCUCUAAUAUCAAAUGUAAUGAUUAAGCUUACUAGCAAUAAUAACUCGUUGGACUCAAACUACUAACCAAAAUAUUUAAACUCAAUUAUUAUUAUUAUUAAAGUCUAUGUUCUCUUACGUACCCAAUUACAAUCCCCUUUUUAUGGGACUCUUGAAAUAUUACACUACUACUAUUUCACCCACGCCUACUAAACCUCACGCGUUCAAAAGCUAUAUAGUGUAGAAACAAGUGAAUAUUAGUACUUUCAAAAAUAUUCCAGCACAAGAGCAUCAACCCCUAUAUGUGUCUAUAAAUAAGGUUCCACGAAAACGCAGACUCCAUAUAAGGAAUUCUACUAAACUAAAUUUAAAUUUUACUCGAUUUCUUUAUUACAUAUUUAAAUCUCUAUCCAAAUCAAACUAGGAUUGAAAUAUAAUAUAACCAAAUCCUACCAUUUUAUGAGGUGCACUAUUUAAGAUUUCAUCAUGUGAUCAAUGCACUAAGUGAGCGUUUGAGUGAUCUUUUGAAGUUUCAGUCCUACAUGUCUCUAAGAUAAAAAAGUAUAAAACUUAUCUACAUUGUUGACUAUUUUGAUCGACUAUCUAAUUUUUUUAAAUUUUAAUUAUUUUUUAAAAUUUUAAUUUUGGUAUCCGGUCCGUCAACUUCUUUGAUUCAAGCCAGUUUAGUGGUCAUUCUGAUAAAGCUAAUUUAUAGUCAAAUAAAUGGGUGAAAUCUAUUUUAUCCAUUUACAUAUAUGAUAUAUGAUAUAGAAAUUAGGGAGAGAUGAAGUCUUAGAGGAGAGAGAUUUCUCAUACGGUAUAGCAAUCAGGUACAGAAUUAAGAAAUUUACAUAAUUUACCAAAUACUGAAGAGGUUCUAAGCAUAGACCACAAUAUUCCUGAGUUAGAAAAAAAAAAAAUUAAAGGCAAGAUAAAUUGUUAAUUAAACUUUAGGAAUUCUCAACAAAAGGAGUAAUUGCAAUUCGAUAUAGCACUUAGAAUGGUUGUAGGACAGGUACAGCCGCAGCUGACAACUUAGAAACUUAGUAUUUUAUUUGACAAUUAUGCUAAUAGUUGCUAUCAUUUAGUACAACCUGGCGGCCCGCCAAAAUAAAAUAAAAAUCCAUCAUGUAAUCCGAACUUGCUUGAGUCGACAAGUGCAGAAACUUUGUAGCAUUUUCUCGCAUCAGUAUAUGCAGAUUGCAUGCCGUCAAUAAGGUCACAGGAUUUGCCAUCUGAGUUAAAAAGCUCGAUAUUUUUGAUAUAUGCUGCUUUUUGUUCUAAUUCAUCAGGAUAAUGCCCGCUGCCCAUUGGAGGACCUGUUUCUUUCUGCGAAUAGGUGACAAAUCCACCCCAUCUGAUCAAAGUUGCACUAUCAGCUAAAGUUGUAAAAAGUGACUUCGGCCAAUAUCCUAUUACUUGGGGCAUGGCUAAAUCUUCUCUAUAUAACCACCAGUCGCCGGUGUGAGGAUCCUGCUACAUACCAAACAUAAGAAAAGAUUAAAAAGUAUAUUUUAAUGAGUAAUUUCAAAUAACAUAUAAAUCUUUUAAUGCAUGCGAAAAUCUGAAGGGACUGCUAGUUAUUACUACUAGCUAGUCACAGCACAACAAUACAUUACUAGCUCAAAAUACAAAUCACCAUAUUAUGCAUUUAUUGUAUAGUUUAAAAACCUUUAUUAGAGGUGAAUAAACAACCAAAAUGUCAGAGUAUUUUAUUUCUUUCAACAGAAACACAUUUGAAACUGCUUUAAAUGUACGAAAUAAAAAAACCAAAUGUGGAUAACUUGAGAACUGCUAAUCUGUCUAAUACCUUCAUGAAUAAAAUAUCAAUUGAAAAGAAUAACAAACAGUGGCUAACAAUGUAUUGACCUUACUUGAACUGCAAACCAUUUUGAGAUGGGUUUGUGAACUUUAUCAAGUUAGUACCUUUCACCUUAAACUGUCUAAUGUUUUAUCAUAAACUAUCGCAUUGACAUCAUUAUAUAAGCUCCUCCUAAUAGUUUAGCAACUAUAAAUGCAAAUAAAUAGAAUAAUGGAUAUUUUCAUACACAAAAUUUUUAAAGACUAAGUGCCAAAAAUUCCUUGAUAAGUAUCCGUUUUAUAUUUUACACCGUAUCUUUUAAAAACCUCUAUAUUGUCCAGCGAAAUUUAAAAUUGUAGCACUUAAUUUUGCACUAUUACUACUUUGUCACUGUUCUGCACAUAAAUUGCAUGGUAACUACUGAUAUACUUAUUUUAUCCUUAGAAAUGAGUAAAAAAGAACAGUUAAUUAGUAAAUCGAGGGGAUUAUUUUCAUAAAGUUUUCUAAUAUGAUCGAAAACAAAAGAUUAUUAUGUAUUCUCACCAUUUCCAAGGAUAGAAUGGAUAUUUUAGUAAAUUACUCAAUUAACCACAUAAUUUAUGCCUUGAAUAAUGACAAAAUAGUAAUGGUGCUGGACUAAAUACUACAACUUUAAAUUUGAAGGGAAGAAAAAUAGAAGUUUUAAAAAAAAGGAGGGAAAAGCAGAAAAAGCACAUAUUUCUAAGGAAUUUUCCGCAUUUAACCAUUUUAGAAGUAUGCCAAAUUAUAGAAAUGACUAUCUCAUCUAUUUCUAGUAAAUGAUACCAGAAUUCAGUAUUAUCAAAUAAAAUUAUUAGAAAUAUUAAAUGAAAGAAAAUUUCUUUAACCUUUUUUAUGCUAAGUGUGAUAUAAUAUUGUUGGCCAUUGUAAGUAGAUACAUUAUCAAUUAUGUCCCCUGGUGUAAGUAUAUUCCAGUUAAUCAUUUUAAAACCUUUACAUUGAAGAUUAUAACAACCAGUUGAUUGAUAGCCAUCUGCCUACAAAAAAAAAAGGUAAAUGCGAAUUAGAUCUCGUCUUCAAAUUAAGAUAAAAGCAGUACUUGAGUCCAUAAAUUUUAAUUUAUUUUAUUUUUUAGCUCAAAAUUUAAGAAUUAUUACAAUCAAGCCCAACUGUCGAGCUUGAUGACAAAACACAAACAUGAUAUUUACAUCUAACGACAUAGCAUUCUAGUUGGCUUAGUCUCAUUAACCGUAAUUGCUAUGUUGACAUAGCAACAUAUCGUUCAUUCAUUCUUGUCAUUGCCCAAUUAUUGCCAUAUAUAAGCAUCACAUUAUUAUAAUAAAAAUUAGAAGGAACAAUUUACCGCUUGCACCAGGUGCACCAUACCAUUGGUACAACAAUAUAUAAAUAAGGUCUUUAGACCAUAACAUAAUCCAUUGUUGGACAUGACCUAUAGUAUUGAGAAGGCUAACAUGCAUGUUUCUUAUGCAGUAGAUGAUUUGGCGCACCAAAUAAAUUUUCUUUUUUGUUACAUGAUAUCUAGAUACAUAUUUCUCAUCCAUCAAAUAAAUUCAACUUAUGCGUUUACUUAUUUUGCACUCCUGAUGCAAACAAAAAAUUAUCUAUUCUCUUUAGCUCUUUCUCUUAAUAAUGUUGUGAUGUUAAAUCAACCACUAGAAUGCCACACAGUUACCAUAUCGUCUUGAUGGUUGUCAUUGAUGGUGUAGCAAUUAUUUGGAUCUUAUGACACUACCACACCAUCAUUCCAUCAUCGAAGCUUAAUGACAAGGCUUGAUUGCAACAUUCCUAAUGCAAAGCGAAAAUGAAAAUUUGGGUACUUAAAUGCCACCCACCUUAUAGUUCAAGAACUGUUGGCGCUAUUCAACCUAAAAAAAAAUUUUAUACUCACAGUCCAAAAUACGAAGAAAUGAAGCUUGCUGUCUUGAUAUAAUCCGGGAAAUACCUGUCAUGUGGCAUGUUUAAAAUCACACUAAUAAAUUAUAGGCUAUCAAUAUCUUUAGAAAACUACUACUGAGAAAAUAAAAAACAAUUAACCUAUUUUUUAAAAAUUGUGAUAAACAAUAAUUGGUAUAAAUAUCCAUAUUAGUAGAAAUAUGCGAUUUGCAAGAAAAAAAAAAAUUAUAAAUAAUUAUUAGCAAUGACAAUAGUCAAUUAGUUUAAAAUUAGGAUUAUGGGAAUAUUAUGACAUGCUGUUUUAUUAUUCAAAAGAGGGAUUCUUCUAUACAUCAACCAAAUCCUUAUAGUUUAUUUUUUGAGGGAAUGGCCAAGAUUUGUUGUAAGCCAGGUGAUCGACCGCUGUGGUUGGGCUUUGCUUGAGCUCGAUCCUAGUUUUCCAGCUAACGCUGUUACCAGUGACCCCGCCUUUGUGAAGCACCACCAUUCCAGGUGCUCCUCCAUCGCUGUGCUUCCCUUUGUUAUGGUCCAUCGACCCCCAAUAGUUGGUUGGACUGCAGCGCUCCCAUGGACUUCUCAUUUCGGAAAAAAAGUUGCUUUGACUGUGUUGUAGGCAGCUGUUGGCGCUUCGGACCAUGAGCACGGUGUCCGAGACAUCUCUGCCCACCUGUUUGUGCCAUUGGUCGACUUCCAUAUUGUGGAAUCGUCAGUAGAAAGUCUAAACUUCAAUUUCUAUAGUAAUGCUUCAAUUAUAUGAAAUAAUAGGGUUUUUGUGCAAUUGUGCAUUACUGGUUGGCUUGGACAGCAUUCAUUACUCGUGUACUUCGACUAAUUGUACUACGUGCAAAAAUCAUUUGAAAGCUCGAAUGAGACUUCCGAUGCGAUAAUCACAAAAAUUGGUCGAUAAUAUGCGAUUUUGGUUUGAAAUUUGCGAAAACAUCAUUGUGGCUGCCUUUUUUUGUUGCUGAGCUUUCUUGAUUCUUUGGUUCUCGCUAUAUUGAGUAUUCGGAGAUAAUGGGAGAGUCAUGCUGGAUUCCGCUGCCGAAGUUCGCACUUCUGGAGACACGUUGUGGCCUAUUUCCAACUACAACCCCUUUUUAGCUUAUAUUUCGCAUGCGACUGCUCAGACACUGAAAUUGGUGUAUUUCGGGACAACAUAUGGGCUAUGGAGACAAAUGGCAUAUUUUUUAAUGUGCUUCAUGGGUUGUAGAAGUGUGUUCGGUGAAUUUUCACGAAUUUCGACUGUUUUCGGGAAUCGGUAAGUAGAACCGACCACCCGAUCGUUUCGUUUAGUGGUUUGCUGACUUUGUGUCACUUUGCUGUUGAUUUGGGUUAUGAAGCUAAUUGUGACUUUGUGGGAUCUUUUUUAGGUGCGGAUGAUGUUUAGAAGCAUCAACCGAGUCGCGGACUCAGUUUUGUUUUCGAGGUCGAAGUCGGUAAAAUGGUGUCUACACGAUUACUUUCCCUUAUCUCUCUAUUCUCCUGUAUGAUUGAGUAUUUCUUUUGCACUACUUGAUUUAUCAUCGUAGUUCCUCUACUUCAGUUGAUACAUUAUAUAGAUUAUAAUUGAGUUGUAGAGCAGUAGAUAUUUCAUUACUUGUUAUACUAUUAUUGUUGUGACAUUUGUUUGACCUUACUAGUCGAAGGACUAUCUGGUUACCUUUUUCGUUAAUUUGUCAUCGGUUUGGCUAUUGAGCAUAGAACAUCUAUCGCUGCUGCUCAUGGAGAACUUCACCUUUACCAAUGGUUUGGCCACCGUAGCGAUACUUUUUUUUCUGGAAAAGUGGUUGUGUGUCGACCAGUGAGCCCUAUGCAGCAUUUUUGCAGUGGGGUUUUAUGCCGUGACUGAGCACGUGUGUGGCAUUGCCUGAGAUCUUUAGACCAACAUUGUGGUAUUUGGAUCGGGUUUGUAUAUUGGACUGUUUGUUUGGUUGAUGCAUAUAUACAUUUAUUUAUCUUUAUUACAGUAGCAGUAUUAUUUCAAAUAUUUGGUUGUAUACUUCUUUUCCUACUUUAUUUUUUGCUACUGUAUCAGCUAUACCUGUCGUAUUUAUUUUAUCGCUCUUUCUUGUUGACUGUGGCUUGCCUUCAAUGGCUUGUAGUACCUACUAAGAAAUAUGUACAUAUAUUUCUCAUCCUCUAUUUUCCACAGAUGACACUGGAGGUGAGCUUCAGACGAUGCAUGUGUACUAUUAGAUAGAAGAGUCAAGAGUCCCCUUGGCUGUAGCUUUAAGUUUCAGUUUUGCCCUUUUCAUUUCAGACUCUUGUUAUAUAGUUAUCACUUAUGUUAGUGGUUGUGGAUUGGUGUUUCUGGCAUUUGCAUGUAGCUUCUUUCAAUUUCAGUUUUUAGUAUUAUUAUCUCUAUGCAAUAUCUAUUUUUCAUUCAUUUGUCAGUUGAUUAUCUCCCUGUUGUCGUCGUUGUUGUUACUGUUGUAAUUGAUGCUAGGAUUAAAUGUUGUACUCUGAUUUCUAUGUCGUGCAUGCACAGGAAAAACUCUAUCCGUUCGGAUAGGACUAUCCUCUGGCAGAUCUAUGCAAGUUUGGGGUAGUUUUUUAGUUUUUUUCUAAAAAAAAACUAUGUUUUUGGUUGUUUUCCUUACAUAAGGUUCUACAAAAGAGCCCCAGGGCAUGACACAAUAACUCGUUGAGCUUUGCUCACAGGCAGUCAUGACCCCACAAGCAAAGCCCCUUUGAAGGUAUAGACCAUAAGAGGGCAUGCGCGAUGUUUUCACCGCCAUAGACUUUUACGCCGAUGGUGUGCACAACAAUUUUGCCGGCAAGAGCCAAGUUGAGUACAGGUUGGGACGAAUCUUAGAGUCGGUCCUUAUAGAGUGUGAAGCAAUGAGCAGGUGACCUACUAUGUAGGUUUCGGAUGCCCGAAGGGUAGUUCCAACCACUUGAAAGAUCUGAGCUGGAAGUUGUUAAUUAGGUUUCAGACGCUUACUUGAUGUCCCGGCGCCAGAAAGGAGGGGGUUGGCUAUACUAAUGAGGUUUCGGACGCCUGAAAAAUGAUCCUGGGUGCUUGAAUCAUGUUUCGCACUGAGGAAACAUUGAGGAUAGUUUUUGACAUUUGAGGGGCCUAAAUACAAUUGUUAGGCCUUCAUAAAUAAGUUCUCAGUUCCAGCUACUCUAUAGUCGUUUCUCAGGUAAAGAAAUAUCCUUCUUCUCCUCUCUUGCAUCUAUAUUUCUUCGGAUUUAAGUUUUGAAUCUACGUUUUGGAGGCCCUAAAGUUAAUUAAAGCUCGUAUUGCUGAUUUCUGGUGUACACAUAGCUGAAGUUGGAGUUGAAGAGUGAGGAGGAGAGCUUGCAGGAAGACUUGCAUUGUGUUCCAAUCUAUUGAUACUCAACAGAGGUAAGAAUAGAAGGAUUAAAGGAUAGAGAAGAGUAAUUUUGGGAUGGAUUAUAAUUGUUAUUGAGAAUAGUGGUUGAUGUGAACUGUAUGAAUUGCUCAGGGUGACUUUGGUUGUGGAGUUGUUUUGAUGUGGUGCUGUAGGAGCUGAGGUUGAUGCACUUCAGAUUGGAAUAUUGGUCAGGGAGGUAUUUGUAUGAAAUCGGCGAACUAAUUGCUAUGUCUUCAAAUGCAUAUUUUACUUGAGAUGGUUAAUUAUAGUGGCCUAUGGGUCAUGCAGUAGAUUGUCGUUCAUCUUAGAUGGCUAUAGGAAGGAUAUGUAAAAUGGAUUAGUGCAAGAGCAUGCAUUAUAAUGAUAUAGUAGGUUAUAAUGUAUGACAUUGAGAAUUAUAGCUAAUGACAACCAAUGCUCUAAGUGGUAGUAUGCAUUAUGUUUUGAUACAUGCGAUACAUGUGAUAUUGUCAUGAGGUUAGUAAAUGUGAGUAUGUGAAAAUGCCAAAGGGCAGAUGAAAACUAAAAGGUUGAUAUGAACUGUGUAAAGCUCUUGUGACUUGUUGAUGAGGGCAUGUGACUAUAGUCUGUUAGAGCCAAGUGAGUUCAACUGUAUAUUUAUAUACUCAUGUGGGGUUGCUCCCCAACAAGACAGUCCUCUGGAGGCAAACUUGGCAGUUGUACGAGUGAUCAAGCUGUGAGGCAGCUAUGCAAGUGAUUGAGCUGUAGUAGUUGUACAAGAGUUGGAGCUACCUAGUUAAGAGCCUUAGUGGUACAGGUGCGAUGGUUCGUUGUUCCACUAGGCGAGGCGCAGGCUAGACCAGACUGAUAGGUCGGCUAGUAAUGAUUGGGGGAUGUGGCCUUUAGUAUAAGAUGUUAUCAUUGAUGCAUAUGAGACAUCCUUUAUAAUUUCCAAUAUUUAUAGAGAUAUGAUAGUUGGUACUUGUUUACAGUUCAUUAUAUUAUGUGAUUAUUUAUUCAGUUUAGUUUUAUAUUAUUGAUGCCUAGUGUAGGUCGUCACUAUUGUCGAUUGUAGCCACUGAAAUUAUUUUUCAGUAGUUCUCACACCUUUUUAUUGUUGUUUUGAUUUUAGAGCAUUCAGUAUCAGGAGGUAGGAUCGCAAGCUAGAUAGUGUCUCCUACCUAGGACGAGUGCUAGUGGAUGAUUUGUACCCUGUUGUAUAGUUAGCUGUACAUAUUGAGAUGGAUGAUGUACUUAGUCUAUUUUUGGUUGUACAAUAGUUAUAUGUAUAGGUGUAACUAUAGUCACUAGUAUUAUAUAGACUCUAAUGCAUAUUUUCAUCUAUUUGUUUCUUGUACAUGACUUGGAUAGGUUGAUUUUAUGAUGUUUUGUGACACUCCAAUUGUCCCACAUCGGAUGAAAAUAGGAUUGUAAUUGGGUAUAUAAGAGGACUCUACUCUAGUAAUAAUAACUGGGCUUAAGCAUUUUUGGCUGAUAAUUUAGACCCAAUGAGUUAUUAUUACUUGUGGGCUAGGUCAUUACAUUUAGUAUCGGAGCUGGUUCGCUAGCCGGAAGUGUGAGAUGAGUCUUGGCUGAGCCAGGCUCUGUCGGAAUGAUAGACUAAGCCAGCGUCGAUGAAUGACGGGUUAAGUCAGGACCGGAAUGACAAAGGCUAGCGAGACAACUCUCACAUCGCCUGGUGAUCUUGGCAAUAGUCCCACAUCGAAUGAAAAUGGAGUUAUAAUUGGGUAUAUAAGAGAACUCCACCCUAAUAGUAGUAACUGGGCUAAAGAAUUUUGGGCCGGUGGUUUGGGCCCAACAAGUUAUUCUUGCUAGUGGGCUGAGUCGUUACAUGUUUUGUGUGUGUGGAGCGCAUCCUCGUGCAUACAAUAGAUCUGAUAGCAUAAUCCAGAAGCUUCUGCUAUAGCUCGGGGUCUGACAGUUGUCAUCUAAUUUAUACUCUAAUUGACAAUUUAAUCAAUUGGGUACUAUCCAAUUUAGUAAACAACAAAAUCACCUAAGGAAUAAAAAAAUUAAUAAGGCAAUAUCAAAUUUGGUAAAUUGGUACCAACUCUUUUACAUUAUUAUCCUUUUGAUUAAUUUAGAUCUGUAACCCAUCAAGUUUCUUCAUGUAAAUGUGAUCAAUUAUAUCCUUUCCAAAUGAAUGGUUAGAUUUGAAUACCUUUGUCAUAUUGGAGAAUCCCUCUAUUCAGAAACCCAUAUUUACUCACCUUUGUUUUUUUGUCCUCACCUCCAGAUUUUGGAUGGAUUGGUUGAAGAGAGAAAAAGACGAAAAGAAAAAAGGACGAGAUUGCGAUGAAGGUGAAGAGCUUUUUUUUUUUAUCACAUGUUUUGUUAUUUUUCUAAUAGAUUACUAGUAAUAAUAGACUAAUGGAAGAGCACAAAUUGAUAAAUAUAUAAUCUAUGAGGACGGUAAAAAAACUAGCUCUUAAAAAGAACAAAGUGCAAACAUAAUACUUACAAGAGAGUCUUAAUCUUUGACUUUUAUUCAAAUAUUUUUUGUAGUAUCAACGUCACAUCUUUAUUUUAACUGUGCAUUUUUAGAAAGCAAUAAGGAUUUAUAUUAUGUGCUCGAAAAAAUCUAUAUUACAUUAUUACAUAUAUGAAAUCCUACUUCUAAGAUAUUAGUGAGUAACAAGGAUUUAUAUUAUCUAUUGGAAAGAGUUUAUGUUACAUACAUGAAAACCUGCUUCUAUGACAUUGGCACCACUAUCAAAGUUCAGAACCCACAGCAUAGUCGAACUUCUUUGGAAACGUUUUAGAUAUGGAUGACCCCACAAAUUUAUUUUCGCUCGAGUACCAUAAUAUGCCCCAUAUUUUGUUUCAUAAUGAGCAAACUACAAAGAAAAAAAAGAAUUAAAUAAUAGCACUUGUACUUGUCAAUUAUGUCAUAACAAGGCAAAUAAAAAUUAGGAAAAUUAUUAAGAUCACAGAUAAUAAAGAAACUUUAGGAAGCCAACUAUUAUUACAUUUAAAAUCACAUAAGCUUUACAUUCUAUUGCCUGUUAUAUACCAAGCUUUUAUAUACUAAAAUUGCAUAGAAGGCUUCAAUCACAAAACUAUUCAUAUUAACAAGCGAAUUAUAUGAAAAAAAUUAUUCUGCUAGUACAAGAAUAAAACAUAUCUUGAAAUUACAAAGGAAGCUUUAUUGAAGAAUUGAUUCCAAAGAAAUAUGAUUUCUUGAAGUUGUUAGAGUUACAAAUAACAAAAAGGUAAGAUGAUUACGUGAUGAAUGUCAUCCGGUGGCGUAACAACAGAAUUAUAGUGUACUGACCCGCUUGAAUGAUUUCUUUCGUUUGAAUCUCGUAAUUUAUGAUAGCCUUCGAGCUGUAAAUAUAAACUAAUUAGACAUUUUUUUAAUAAUUUUUUUACAUUUAAGUAGGACAUUCCAAUACGAUAAAUCAUUACCUAAAUUGAAAAGAAAGAAAAGGCAAGUAUUAGGCAUUAUCAAUAUGAUAGAUAAAAUUAUGCACCUCCUAAUAAAGAGCAGUUCAAUGAUUAAUAAUAAACUAUUAAUUUGUUCUAAAUGGCAAUAUCAUUUAGACAGCCAGCCAAAUUUGAAUAAGUCAAAACGUAGACAUCAAUAAGAAAAAUCAUUAAUUAUGCAAAAGAUUGAGAGCUUCAUCAUGUCAGAUUAUGAUAUGUGGGUCAAUUUUCAAAAUAGCAGAAAUGGUAACCAAAUAAUAAUUAAAUUAUUGCUUAAUGUCUAUGGAAUUGGCAAUGCAUAUGAUGUCAACCUAACAUGUAGCUUAAGUCUAUUAUUAUAUAGGACAAACAUAAGACUAAGUUUUGCGAAAAACAGAGAUUAACAUCAUUAAGAUAAGAAUUUACAGAACAGAACUUUAAAAGGUUGAUUUAUACACUUUAACCAAAUUAAAUAUUUAGGGGUUUUAUAUAUAAUUGGAUGGCUACUAAGUUCAUAUAUAAUUAAAUAAAGCUUCACCAAAGUUUUCAACAAGUAUGUGCCACCUUGAAGUAUUAUAGUGCCAUCAACCAAUAAUUCUUAGAAGGCUGAUAAGUUAUGCUUUUGGUCCUCAAAACUAUAAAAGUGUGGCACGUUUGUCCUCAAAUUUUAAUUUACUGUAGUUUUAUGUUUAAGCUUUCUAGAUUGUUGUAACCAAGUCCUACAAUCCAAUUUUGUUGCCAGAAUAUGGCUUAUUGCUAACUAAUAGUGUUGUAAUAGUAUUAUAGUUGAUGAUAUGGUAAUGUCUACGAUAUUACAUCAUUGUCAUAUAAGUAACACAUCAUGAUUUAGCUAACUAAACUAGACAUGCAUGAGACUUGAUUGCAACAGUGUCAAAUAUCUAAAAAGUAUAAAUUACAGUGAAUUAAAGUUUGAAAACCUAAGUGUCAUGCCGUUUAGAAAAAGUGUUGAAGUACUUGAAUGUUGUAGAUUGGAGGAUCCACGAGAUGACUCAGGUGCUUCCAUUCUCUUCCCUUAUAAUAAAGCUCUCUUCCACAAACAACGUGCAAACAAAACCACAACAAACAAAAUACGUAGGACCAUUUUGAAGCCAUAAGAAAAGACACAAUCUCCUAUGGAACCCUCCCUCUCUUUAUAUACACAAGAUUAUUGUAAUGGACAACUUCUAAUCUAACAAACUUCUAAUCUAAAAUUAUUUAUUGGCACAUUAUAAGAUAUGGAUAUGCAUAUCUUUGAUAUAAGGGAUAUUAAAUGCACAAAUCUUUUAACAAUAAAUUUUCUUCUUUUUUUUUCCCCCUUUCAUAGAGUCUAUCUAGUAAGGGGAUAGAAUCUCUUUCAUAUCGGUGGCAUUGUCUUCCCACUACAUAGAUUUUGGAAAGAAUGUAUCUCAUAAAAACCAUAAUAAAUUUCUCGCCAUCAAAUAUUGUAACACUCUCAGCCUAAUUUGAAAGGAAUUUUUCCCAAAAAGGGCUCAAUUUUUUACUUUUUCUAAAUCAGAGUGUGCGAAAAGGUUGACCAAGUCUCGACCUACCUGCCACAUGCCAAAGUAUUCUUUGUCCAUACGGACAGAGUUUUUAAGUAAGUCAAUAUCAACCGAACUAAUCGGGCACUAAAGAAAGUCAAAACUGGACCACAUAACUUAACUACUCAUUCUCACGACACAUCCUGAGCUACAUCCCCAGCAUCAUCUGCAAAAAUGGUGGGAUGAUGGGUUGAAAAAUGUAUAAAAUGUCUCCCAAUGGGUACGACAAGCUGACAGAGGCGAGUAAUACCAACUGGGCAACGAAAAGCAAUAAUAACAGAGUGUAUCAACUGGAUGAAUAAGUAUACAGUGAAGUAUAGCUAACUAAAAAGAGUAUGAUAUAAAUAACCAAAAUGAACAGUAAAAUACUGAACUACUCAAAUAAAGAAUGCAUCAACAGUGAAUAAGUCACCUAGUUUAUUUACCCAAUCUGUGCCAUUGUUGGUCUUGAGGAUCUCAGACUAAUAUCACGUCUGAGCUCGAUGUCUCCGGCAUAUAAUUCAUAAGGUUAGGCCACUUUUGGUACGCCGAAGGGCUCAUGGGUUGAAGUUCAGCUACUUUCUAAAAAAGAAUACCUAUAUCACGUAAACGAGGCCGUCAAGAUACCUAGCCGCAAGCCUCAUUCAAAUUCGAUAAGAAUCGACCCAAAAGAAACAUAUGACAAUCAUCGGAUUUCCUAAAACCACAACAACUUUGACAACUCAACACAUUAAACAAAAUCCAAAAUUAAGAGAGUUCGAGAAAAUGGUCGUUACCGUCGAGGGAUGUUGGAUUGAGGUCAGAGCAUGCAAAAGUGUGAAUAUGCUGAUGGAUUGCAGUAGUUCACAAGGAAACCGACACGGCCUAGGGAGAGGGCUGCAACCAAGGGUGUGACGCACCGUGGACGGUGCACAUGUCGAGGCUGAGGAAUGGUGGUGUCGCUAGGGAGGAUCUUGGCUCAGUUCAGGUCGAGAGGAGAAGGAUUGCACGGAAGGAGAAAACAUAUAGAGAGAGAGAUUUGUAAAGAGAUAGAGAAAGAUUGAUGCGGAAAAAAGAGAGAGAAAGAGGUAUAACUUGCGGUAGUAUCGUGGAAGCUCGCGCCUUGAGAGAAAGAGAGAGAAAAAGAGUAGGCAGAGAAAGAUCCACCGUUGAUUUCAAAUUUAGGGCCACAUCAAUUGUGGGAUAGUCCCUAAUGCCAAUACUGUCACUAGCCAGGUCCUCUAGCACAAAAUUUGUGAUACGGGACGAUCAAACCAUCCGAAUAAGUUUCAACCAUUCCUGAUAAGGCGGAGGUGGUUCCAACUACUUCGGUUAGGAUUAGGGGUGGCAAUCCAGCUCGCUGUUCACAAGCCAGCUUGUGUUCGGCUCGAAAUGAGCUCGAGAUCGGCUCGCUUGUUUAAUAAACGAGCCCAACAUGAGUUGGAUUUUUCAGCUCGUUUAAUAAACGAGCCAAACACGAGCUAGGGUCAGCUCGCUCGUGUUCGGCUCGAUAACAGCUCGAUUAUAUUUAUUUUAUAUUAAUAUAAUUUAUUUAUUAUAUAUAUAUAAUUAUAUUUGUAUUAUAAAUAUAUAAUAUAGAUUAUUAAUUUUAAAUUUUUAGCCCAACUAUUUUAAAAAAAUUCAACUUAUUUAUAAAAGAGGUCUAUCCAUAGGCCCAUUUAUAUUUAGAAUUCUUCUUUUCACUCAUGGCCCAUAGCCCAUGAAAUAAAUUUCACACAUUUUCUUUCUAACCCUAAUUACCUUUUCCCACUUUUUGUUCACACAGCCGCCUCUCUCUCUCUCUCUCUCUCUCAGUCUUGCACAGGCACAGGCUGGAGGCCGCACAACCAUGAGCCGCCUCUCUCUUUCUCUCUCGCUCUCAGUCUUUCACACAACCACACCGCACAACCCUAGUUGCCUUUGCCAUUCGCACACCCUCGGCAGCGCAUUCUUCGCCGUUCGCAAACCCACGGCAGCGAACUUCGGCGGCGACGCUUUCAACAGGUUCAUUCAAUUGAUCUUCAUCUUUUUUCUUUUCUUAUGAUUUUUUUUAGGGGAAUGAGAGGGAUUUUGUCUCUUGAGCUUCUAAUUAGAAUUUAUUUUUUUUCUUAUGAUUUUUUUUUUAGGGGAAUGAGAGGGAUUUUUUCUCUUGAGCUUCUAAUUAGAAUUUGAUAUGCUUCUUUUUUAGUGGAAUGGGAGGGAAUUUUUUGAGGGGAAUGGGAGGGAUUUUUUUUCUUAUGAUUUUGUUUUUUUACGAGUAAGGUAGCAUUAUAUAAUCGAGCUAACGAGCCGAUCACGAGCCAGCUCGAUUAAGUUUCGAGCCGAUCACGAGCCGGAGUUUUCGAGCUCGUCACAAGCUCGAGCCGAACACGAGCCGACCUUGAAACAUUCGAGCCAAGCUCGAGCUGGGUCUAGCUCGCUCGAGUUCGGCUCGUUUACACCCUAGUUAGGAUAAGGAUCGAGGUGGUUUCAAACUACUUCGGUUAAGAUAAGAAUCGAGGUGGUUCCAAGUUCCAACUACUUCGAUUAGGAUAAGGAUAAAGUUGUUAUUUUCAAAAUAUUUUGUUCUUAUCUUCUUGUAGGCCUGAAGGCUAUAAAUAAAGGCCCUACUAGCUUUUGUAAAGUCACUCCAGUUUAGAGAGAAUUAAUAUAGACUCUUCCACAUAAAAAUAUUGUGUUCUUUUCUUUUUUUCUCUUUAAUCUGGUUUCAAAUAUCCAUCGGGGAGACGCUGCGACAUUGCUUCCUCCACCAACGGAUCAAUUUGCAUAAAGCCACUCUCUCACGUGAUAUUUGUGGAACAAAACACUCGAGCAAUCCGGUUCAAUCCGCAACCAAAAACUAUGCAUGAUGAGUUUACUUUGGAAGCCCAAAACUUCUCGCUUGGGACCUUGUUUUUGGUAAAACUUGAAUCAGCGCAUUUAUCUCUGAGUGUAGUAUUUAUAGAAUCCUUAAGAGUUUGAAUUCCUGGAAAUAUUUUGCUAGAAAUUCUAUUUUGAAAUUGAAGUGGUCAGUUUCCUAUACAUAACCGCAUGUGCUGAUUUUCGAAACCGAUAAUUUCGCGCAUGAAAUUUGACUUCAGACGUUCGUUUUUGAGUUUACUUGCACAUCAAAUUUGUUGUUUCCAAAAACUAGAGAAAGAUUUACAUAAAAUGAUAACUUGAUCGCGAGGUAGUCGAAUUUUUUCAGUUUCACCAAAAAACUUCAAAAAAUCUAAAAAUGUACCAAGGUGACCUUGCAAACAAAGUGCCCACUAGCACUAGGGACCCUCAGAGACCAAGAAACUUAAAUUUGUAGAAUUUGGCUUGCUUUUUAUUAGACAAAAGUAAAAUCACAAGUUAGUCACAGAAUUAUUACAAAAAUAGGGGUUGACAAAGAACUGCAAACAACUAAAAGCCAAACACAAAAUCAAUAAUUUUGUUUUGGUUUAGUCGGUGCUUUGUUGUGAGUGCUUUGGUUUUGAUUUUGAUUUGAAGAACACAAGUUUUUGGCUCGAACUAAGGGUGACAAUUUUGACACGACCCAUGAAACCCGAUGCUAAUUUAGCAUGCUUAGGUUAUCUUGCAGCGAUAUGGGCCACAAAUGAAUUGAUUUGCUUAACUAACUUAUUAACUUGUUUGUAGUGGUUUGGUCCGGAAACGUGUUGAUCUGCUUAACACAUUUUAUUAAAUAGUUUGUGUUUAGGUUAUACCUUGACUCAUCAACUAAAAAUAAUUACAUUAUCAUACGUACGCACAUCUGUCAUAUAAAACUCAAGGUUUUAAUACUGAUAUACUACUAUGAAGAAUCAAAAAUCAACAAUUUUAGAUGACUCAUGUAAGGUGUUUAUAAAUUCAAUGGUGUAGAAUAGUAUAUAUCAAGUGAAGUUUUCAUAGAAAUUUUUUCAUUAUCAAUAAAAAAAUUAGUUCGUUUGGCCUGAAAUUCAACUAUUGCAGUCAUUAUUUCUUAUGCAAUUAUUAUUUUGAACUAUUCAUUUUAUAAACAGUUGUUUACCAGAUCAAUAGUAUCAAGAUAUUAUCUUCUGGACAGAGAAAAUGUGGCUACUAACCUCUUAAUAGGAUAGUAGACACAAGGCACAAUGGUUCAAAAUAGGAACUGGAAUCGGAAUAGAACGAAAUUGAAAAUGGAAUAAUAAAUUGUAGAACCCGAAGUUCUUGAUAAUGUAAAGCUAUAAAAUUCAGGGGACUCUUGUAUAUUUCGACCUUCUAGCUCGAUUCUAAGAAAAUCUAAGCGUAUGUAGGGUUUUUGUAUAUAUUACAUAGAUUCAGGACCACAAUGUGGAACUCACGAAAAAAAAAAAUUUGAAAUUUGAGUUCGGAUGCUUAGAUCGCAUUCUGCUUGACUUUUUAUGUGGGUCUUCUAGAGUUUUGAAAACUGAAAAGUACUGCCCGAAAGUUCACUUGAAUAUGAACAUGUGGAUCAAAGACUUUCUGAAAUAUCAGUACAAAUUCGAAGUUACAGUCUUCCAAAGUUAAACUUCACAUGCAGUUUACUUAUGGAAUCAGACCUUCUCACCUUCACGUUGUUAUUUUAUGCAAAUGUCUCCAUGCAUUUUGGAAGUGGAGAGGUCUAAGAUUAUCUACGAAUUUUGAAACCAAGUUUUGUUGAAAUCGCAGCUCUGAGUGAGAAAUUAUGGGUUUCCAAAGUAGACACUACUUGCGCAGUUAUCUGCAGAAAACUGAUCACUUUACCUUCAGAAUAUAAUUUCUAGCAAAUUAUUUCAUGGAGUUCAAAAGUUAAAGAUUCUAUGAAUAUUUACAUCAGAGACGAACGCGUUGAUCCAAGUUUCACUAAAAACGGAGUUCUGACUGUGAAGUUACUGACUUCCGAAGUUAACUCAUUGCACACAGUUUUUGGCCGCGGACUGAAUCGGGUUGCUCUGGGGUUUUGUUUCGCAAAUAUCAUGUGAGAGAGGGUUUUUUAUGCAAAAUAUGAGGGAGGGGACCUGGCUGACGAUAAUAUUAGUAGUUGGGACGACGCAAUUGUCACAAGCACACCUUGAAAUUAAUGGUGGAUUCUCUAUAUAAGAUUUUUUUUUUUAACUUUGCCUAAAAAAAAUAGAUACUAAAUCUCCAAUGUUCAACUACAAUCAUUUCCAAGCAAAAGAGUUCACAUAUAAUUAAAGUUCCUGGAAUCUGUAGUUUGAAUUGAAAUCAAUUGCAUGUAUUCUAUUGUUUUCAGAUAGAAUAUAUUAACGAAGAGUGAAUUUUAGUAAUUUUAAUUAUGGCCAUUGGAAGGUCAAAUAGGUUAAAACAAGGAUGUUAUUUUGAACAAUAUAAUAGUUGGAAGUUAGUACCUGAGCAUAGAUAAUAUAGAUUUUAAUUACUAUGUAACCUUUCAAUAUGCUUGGUUAUGGAUAGUCAUAUCAAAAGUUAAAGGUACUUAAAUAUUUUACAAAAAAUUUGCGAUCAAAUAGAAUGUUCUUUAAUUAUUAUUUUUUUUAAUCAUAAGCUAUUAAUUCAAAUUGAGUUUAUCGACACCUUCCUAUAAAAAAAAUUGCAAUGAAAUUAAAAAAGAAUCUCACCAAUUUAUAUGACUUUGUACACUAUCUCAACUUUCCAAAUAAGGAAAUUUUCAUGCAUUGGAUUAAAUUGAAUAUAUAUAUUUCUAUACAUGCACAUUCUUGCAUGUAAUAUGCUAUAUACACAUAGAUUUAGCUGAGAGUUUCUUAUGUAUUCUUAUUUGGUGGAUUUAUCAUUUUCUUUGGCAAAAUAUUUGGCGGAUUUAGUUAUGCUUUGUUGUAUAGAGAAGAUGAUUAUGCCUCCGAGUGUUGUUUAACUUGAUCAUGGAAAUGUAGUUGUUGCAAGGUACUUGUCUUUGACUCUUUUUAAUUUAUUGUUCCUAUUGCUAAUUUACAUGCUUGUUGUAUAAUCGACUUUGAGAAGUGCAUUUUGAGGUCCGAAUAAUUCUGAGCUAUUAAAUUUUUUUAGCUAUUCUUGAUUUUGUGUUGUUAUCACCAAACUCCUUCAGGAGUAACAAAGCUUUUCAGUUGGUUUUUCCUACGCAAACAAUGUUCCCGAGCAUAAAGUUUUCAUCGCGCGACAACAACAGCACUGAUCAGCUCGAUGCAACACAUCACUACUUUUUAGAGAACUCCAAGCCAGUGAGUGCUAGGUGAAUUGAAGACGAACAAGAAAGGAGAAAUGCUAAGUCUACCCAAAAAAGUCGGUAAUUCCUACGACCCUUGGAAAAAAAUAAUAAUAAGAUGACUGAAAAAAAAAAUGUGGGAAGGGCUGGAUGGGAGGGGUUUUACCAUUACAGCCCAAAAUGGGUUGCAAUCCUAACACUCCCAAAACGUCAAGAGGAUAAAUUGCAUGUUUGGUCCUCAAACUAUGAGGCUGGUGACACUUGGUCUCCUCGGUUUCUUUGGCCUCCUAUCAUAUAUUUAUCUAAUAUAUGUCAAACCAACUUUAUAAAUUGUAAGACUUCAAGAACAAUAGCUUCUUCAGCACUGCAUGUGACUACAUUACAAAACAAAAACAACAAUAAAAUAACCGCAUCACAGCUUAAAACUUCAAAAAGAGCUACAUACUUAAUGCCACUAAGCCUACAACUAGUUCUAAAUGAAACAUUUGUGUCUGAGAAAUUCAAAUUGUAUCCCUACACAAAACACAUCUCAUAAUACUUGUUAGCUUUUGAGAAGUAUGAUUGCAUGAUGCGCUUAUCCUUACUAUCGAACGUUGAUGUGCAUUUCCUUAUCAUGUGUUCCUAGCUAAUCUAUCCUUUCAUACUACAGGGCAUUUGGGGGAGGCAAUAAUGAAAUUGUAACUUAUAGGAGGGAUGUAGAGGUAUAGACACUAAAGUCAAUUUUUUGGUAAUACAAAAGAGUAAAUUGCACUACGAAUCCCUGAACGUUUGCUCGAUUUUCACUUUGAUCUUUCAACUUUUUAAGUUUGACAUUUGACAUCUUUGAACUCUAGUAUUUCAUUCUAGUCAUUGUUUACGUACUAUAGGAGAAGAAAUUAUUAUUUCAAAUACCAAAGGAAUUUUGUUAAUACAUAGCAAUUCAUAGUUAAGAAAGUCAUCAAUUUUGAUGAAUACCUUAUUCAACUUAGAAAAGGUUCGAAUCAAAAUAAUUAAUAGUUAACAGGGUGCCGAUCAAAAGAAAUAAAGUUGAAAGUCUAUUUUAAAGUGGCCUAUAGUAGAAGAAGCAUACAUUUUUACCAAUAAUGAAACUAACAUAGCAUUCAGAAGAAGAAGUAGGUGCAUAGAGGGGGAAAACAAUCACCUUUUGCUACUAUUUGUCAUUUAGCAGUAGAGGGAACGAUCUUCUUAGAUAAAUUGGAUAGCAGAGAGAGGAUAUUGAGAUAGCGUUUGAUCACUCUGAGCAAAAGUUCUGCAACAACAAAGACAUCAACUACAGAUUAUAACAUGAAAAAUAAACGAGCGUGGGACGUGCGACUGGGGCAGAUUAGCUAUGAUAUCAUGCUCUUCUACUGCUGAUGUUAUCAUGCUCUCCUACUUCAUGGGGUCGACCUUAAUGGUGAAAUCUCGAGAUUAGGGUUCAAGUUAAAAUUCAGCAUUUAGAAGCCAAUACCUUGUAUAGGUCUUAAUCACUGGAAUUGGAUCCACUGUUGUAAUGCAAGGAUAAAGGGACGAAGCAUUCCCAGGGGUGGUACAGCCCCGGUGGCGCACGUGGUGAUGUGGCAUUUUUUGCGUCAUCUGCGGAGGUGUAGGAGGAACCCGCGAUGACAGAGCUAAGCUCGCUGCAUCCGGGAGAAGAGAUCGCCAUAGAGGGCAAGGAGAUGGGGUGGAGGGGGACGAAGCUCGCAGGAGACAGGGAGAAGAGAUCGCCGGAGAGGGAGAGGAUAUCGGGUGUAGAGGGUGGAAGCUCGCCGGAGACAAGAGAGGAGAUCACCGGAGAGGGAGAAGAGAUCGGGUGGAGGGGGUGGAAGCUCACCGGAGCGGAGAAAGGACGGGUACUAGUGGGAAACGGCGGAGAGCUGGGGUUUUGGGAAGAAACAGCCAAACAGGACGCGACGGAAACUAAGGUAAAAAUGUAGAGAGACCCCACACCUUAGGCAUUUUUGAAGCGGACUCCCCCAUCUUCAAAUAGUUCAGUGAAAACUUUAAAUACCAUCCCUAUGUUUCACACUUUCUCACUUCAAUACCAUGUGAUUUAAAGUGUAUCAACUUUGGUGUCCUAUGGUUUCAUCAUUAUCUUUUUAUUAUUGGUUCCACUAAUUUGUUAAAUGGGUGAUAAAGUUGUCACCAACUUUUCUUAUUUGCUCUUAAAUUAGAAGCAAAAUAAAUAUUUUUAUUAUUUUUAAUUGUGUUUAAAAUGUAACUCGCAUUUAAUCUGAAAUGACUUAACGAGUACUAAUAGUGGUGGUGGUUCUGAAUAAUAAUAAAAAAAAAAAAACCAAGAGGGUUCUAUUUAAAAUAAAAAUAAAAUAUUUCAGACGUAUAUAAGCUCGUUGGUUUGGAAAAUGAGUAGGGGAUGGGUCCCCAUAUUUCUGACGUAUAUAGGCAAUUUUCUAAGGGCGUAAUGUGGGAUAUACCGGACCGGCACGGCCCACAUUUUUCGGGCCGAAACGGCCUAGGAAUUGGCCCGGGCUAGGAAUUGGCCCGGCCCAGCCCGACAUCAAAUUCGGUUCGGGCCGGGCGGUGUCGGGCCCGAGCUCCCUAGCCUUUGGCCCAGCACGGCCCCUCGGCCUGGAAGGCACGGACAGGGCAGUGCUUCGGACCAUAGUUAGUUAAUUCGGAUUCCGCAAAAAUUCGGUACAGAUAUUAUACGCAUAAAAUUCAUUUUUUAAUUUCUAAAUUCAUUGAAAAAACGGCUUAAAAAACGGCUUAAAAAACGGCCGGAGAAAGAGGACGAGCCCAAUAUAAAGCUGUGCGGGCACAGCUUGCUCCCGUGCCGCUACUGUCGCCUCCCACUGCAGGCUAGCGCGCACGCCAACCUCUCCCUGUCGGCUGCACCUUUACUGCCGACGCACCUGUCGCUAAACCGCCGCCGGCUGGGCUUGGCCCCCCUGCUCCUAGCAAGCUUGAUUAGGGCUUUUUCUAUGUGCUUUCACUAUUCCGGCGACCUGGGACUAAUCUGACACCUUCGGAGGUGAGCAUAGUGACCCUUGGAUAGCACUGAUUACAGUGCUCACCUGAUUUGCUGUGAGCGAGGCUCGAAUCAUCAGUUUCGCCUUUGUCGCUCCCGAAAUGCAUUCCUUGCUCAGAUUAGGCUUGCUCCCGCGCACUCCACAGUGAUUUGCUAUGCUCCGGACAAUGAGCACAGCCUUCGCCUCGACGAUACCUGUCGGUUCGUGCCUCGGCUGACCCCUGAAGUGCUCGGAUCAAGGUAAUGGCCUUAAUCUCCUCAGAUUGCUUGUAUAUAUAGCAAAUAUUGGAUUGUAGUCUGGCUUUUGUGCAAUUGUUGCACUGUGGGCUGUUGUGGGCAGCAUGUAAUUAUAGUAGGUGACCUCUGGACCGACUGUCCAAGGUUCGAAGUCUUUCGCGGAGAUCGAAUAUCGAUUUUGUGCAUUUUUCGGCAAAGUUCGCCGGCGGAACGCGAUUUCGGUUCGGAUUUCACCCGACGCUGUUAGAAUGCUGUAGGUUUUGCUGCAGAGCCAUAUUGGCUGGCCACCCAUGUCGUCUCGAGUGUCCGGAGAUGACGGCUGAGCGGCGGAGGGUUUCGGUGUCGAAUUUGACAUUUCCAGGAACCCAAAUCAGAACAAUUAUCCGUCGAUAAUCGUUUCAACGUGAGAUCUAGAGUUUGUUGCCGGGAGACCCAAAUCAGUGUGUUUCGGAUCAGUCGGUGACUUGUGGCACGAGUUGGUGCGUUUCGGGGCACUUCGUGGGCCUCGACGACGUCCCGGUGUAAUUUUCUUUACGGUCAUCGAUUUUUGGGAAACCGACUCCGUGGGAAAUUGUGGGGAUUGUGAGUUUUGUGUUUUGAGCUAGUAGAGUUGGACUCUAACUCUGUGGACCCUUCGUAGGUCCGGUUGACUGUCUUGCACAUCUUAGGGGCAAACGUGACAGUGAUACAUAUGGGUAUUUCGAUCCGAAGUCGGUCUAGUAAUGCAUGCUUGAUGAUGUUCUCUCCACCCUCUCCUUAUAGUUCUUGCAUUAUUCGCUGUUGUUGAGCCUGACACCAUAUGACCCUGAUUCUUAUUGGUCUACUUAAUCAUUUUCUAUACAUGUUUAUCGUGAUCUAGAAGUAGAGCAGCUGUUUACUAUACUUGUGCAUGAUGUGACACCCGUUGUGACCUAGUUGGUUGAUUUUCAAGACUCCGGUUGUGUGAUGACCUAUUCGGUUGGUAUACUUUGAGGGGUUUGAUUAUUGGUUAUUUGCUGACGGUUAUUCAGCAUAUUUGCAUCGAUUGUCACUUGCUCGUCAGUAUUUCACGUACACCGGCGGUUUGGCCACCAAAACAGUGUUCUUUUCCGAAAAAGUGGUUGGGAGUACCAACCCGUGAGCCCAGGAGCUUAUGUUAGGGUUACAUGCACAUUAAAGCGGUCGUGGCACUUGCCUGAGGCCUUAGACCAAUACAGUGGAUCUGGAUUGGGUAUUUUGAACUGACUAGACAACGAUAAUUUUUGCGAUGAAUUAGAAUUUUGACACACUUUGUAAAAAUUAAAUGUCUUUUGGAGGAAAAAGAAUCGUAGGUAUCUAGUUGCUUGUAUAAUGUUAACACGAUCUUUGUAUCGAGGCCAUGAAGAUACAGGGGCCCAGAUGCCCAGUUGGCUUCCGAGCUGGGGCAUGACAAUAAAUUCAAUAUCAACUACUAAGCUGACUUUAGAAGUUCAUGAAAUAAGCAUUGCACUUAAAUAUGGUAUUUGCAAUGGUUUUCCCCAUACAAACUUGAAAGGGAAAAAAAAUGUCUAAAUUACUUAUAAAUAUGUUGUGGUAGGAUAGAAACAACAACUCUUGACAACUUAAAAUUACAUUAUUUCAUCCAGAAAAUAUAUUAAUAGUUGUUAUUACUAAAGACAACCCCCAGGUCCACCAUAAUAAAAUAUAUACCCAUCAUGAAAUCCAUACUUGCCUGAAUUAACAAGUUUAGUGACUUUAUAAAAGUUUGCAGCAGUAGUAACUGAAUAAUGUUUGCCAUCAAUAAGAUCAUAAGAUUUGCCUUUUGAGUCGAAAAGCUUAAUAUUUUUUAUAUAUGCAGCUUUUUUUGCUAAUUCACUAGCAUCAUGUCCACUCCCCAUUGGAGGACCUGUUUCUUUUCUUAAAUAACCAACAUAUCCUCCCCAUGCGAUGAAGGUUGCUCUAUUAGCUAAAGUUGUAAAGAGUGACUUGGGCCAAUAGCCUAUUAGUUGGGGUGCACCUAAAUCUUCUCUCAACAAUAACCAGUUUUCUGUACGAGGAUCCUGUUAUAAAGUUACACAUAAAAAGUUAAAAUUAUAAAAGUGAGUACUUAAAGAGGUAAUUUAAAUGAUAUAUGCAACUAAAUAUAUUGCAUGUAUAUAAAAAAGACUAAAAUACAAAAAAAAAUCUCCCUACAAAUGUGACACCCAAAUAAUCCCACAUUGAAUGCGAACGGGGUUGUGAUUAGAAAAGUAAGGGACCAUGGAUUCAAGUAAUAAUAACUGGGUUUAUAUAUUUUGAGCUAGUAGUUUGGAAGAGCUAUUAUUGUUAGUGGGAUGGGUCGUUAUAUUUGGUAUCAGAGCCUGUUCACGAGUCGAAAGCGUGAGAUGAGCCUUACAUUACCUGGAGAACGAAUUACAACCCUAAAUUGUUAAAAAUAACAUAAAUAUUUUUUGCUAAAUAAACGAUUAACAUGUUGUGUUUUUCUAUUAAUUCAAACUUCUAAAACAUACCAUAGGUUUUAUUAUUAUUUCUUAACUUGCAAAAUAUUGUUACUGUCGUCCAAUCUUUUAACUCUAUUUAUCAGGACUAUAUCACUCAAGUAAAAUAGAAUUCAAUUUUAAAGAAGUUUAUAAAAAGCGGCUUAGUUUGAAAAGGUAUGAAGCCAAUUAAUAGAUUGACUUAUAAGAUAUAUUAUUAUUAUAUAUUUGAGAUAUAUAAUAUAACAUGUCCUAUAUAAAUGUUUAAGUUUUAGAUAAAUAAAUUAUCUAGCUAAAGGUAAAUUGACAUAGAAUUGUAAUGGUGAUCUAUAAUAUCUUAAUCAAUUAUGAAAAUAAAUAAAAUAUGCAAAGAAAAAUCAAUUAUGAAAAUAAAUAAAACUAUGCAAAGAAAUAAAACCAUCAAAUAGUUUUUAUUUAAAAUGUUAUAGAAAUGUUUGUAACACAAUAUUAUAUCUAUUCAUACAAUAGUCCUAGAGUAAACCAUUCAAAAAUAAAUAUAAGCAAAAAUUUAAAUAUGGACAAUUUGAAGAUUGUUAAUGUAUUUAAGGGGUGUUUGCUUAUUUACCCCUAAUUACUAUUUAAAAAUUUUUAAAAUUUUCCUGCAAGUAUCAAAAUACCCUUUUAUACCCUAAUUUCCAUAAGUAAACCCUAUAAGUGAUUGGGUAUAUUCGAAGAGAAAUCACGAAGGGCAUUUUUUACAAGGAUAUAUUAGAUAUUUUUGAACUUUUUGAAGGUGUGUUAGAUAUUAUCUCUAUUUUUUUCUAAUACGUUUAUUCUUUUUGAAAAUAAUAAAACUUGGUAAAUAUGGGUUGUGAGGACUGAGAUUUUUCUGUAAAUUUGACAUAUUUUUAAAUGUUAUCGUGUGUAUUUUAGUUUUAUAACUGCUCGUCAAAUUUUAGCGAAAAAUAAUUUAAAAUAAAAAUUUUACGUGAUUAUUACUUUUCACUUAAAGUGAAUAGUAACUUGUAUUUCGAAAAAGACCAUUGAGUAUAGAUGGCUUCUGUCACGUACCGGACUCCAUUUCAGGUGAUCCAAUAGCUCGUUUUCGACUGUCUAACUAUGCUGGACCAAUGGCACUGACAAAUUUUACGUUUCAUACACGAUUUCGAGAAAUAUGGCUUUUAUUGCAGAUAGGGCAAUUCAUUGUGCAGACUAAGAUUUUUAUGAUGUAUUUUGGUACUUUUCUGUGGUGUUGUACAGCAGUACAUGAAUUUUAAUUUUUGAAAUUAUCAAUUUAAUUUCGGGGGAAAAAUAAGUAUAUAUUAAAGGUGUAUGGUGACUAUUACUAUUCACUUAAGUGACUAGUAACCCGUAUUUUAUUUUGAGGAUUCGGCUUGAUAAUGGCUUUGAAGGUGAAUCGGACUCUGUUUCGGACGACCCAUUAAGUCAUUUUCGAUGGUUCGGCUAUGCCGGAAGUGAUGGCACUAUCCGAUUUUAUGUCCAAUGCACGGUUGUUGAGGAAAUCUGCUUUUAUCGUAGAUUGACCUUGUAUUACUUGAUGUUUUUGCUUUUUAGAAUUUGUUGGUGCUCCGUUUUGCCUGAAAAUCCUUGGAAAGGUCCCACUAGCCAAGGAACAUGCGUUGGUGAGUUCUUGGAAUGAAACUCAUAGGUUGGAGGGCUAAAUUGCAGUCUUUGCAAAGAACAAAUUUGGAGCACUUCGCAAAGAAUUCAUCAUUUUAUGUGAAGAAUUUCAUAGUUUUGGCGAGUACCAGGAUCUACAAGAAAAUAGUCUCAAAGGCAAUCAUGAGGAAUCAAGUUUUACGGAAUUCAGAAUUUUCUAUGCAAAUUGGCACUGAGAUGAAUUCAUUGAAAUAUUUUCGAAUUCGGGAAUUAUUGAUGCAACAUUUCAAGGUUUGAAAUUGCACGAAAAUCAUUGAGAUAGUGCUUGAUGCAAGUGUUGCGGGCUGGUGGGGGGCUGAGGAGAAUUUACCAUAAGUUGGAGGACUAUAGUGCUCUUUUCCUCAUUGUAUAUGCAUAUUGGUAUGUAUGUAUACAUGUAUAUAUACAUAUAUAUGUAUGUAGAGGGAGGUGGAGAAACCCUAACCCUGGUCUCCAAUGUCCUCAACCGCCACCUCUAUAGGGCUUACCGGCGAGCCGCCUGCCGCCGACGACCCUCGGCUGGUGGUGAGGCCAAGCAUUCCUUCCUCUCUCUCUUUCUCUCUCUGGUGGUGAGGCCAAGCCUUCCUUCCUCUCUCUGUCUUUUUCUCUCUCUCUCUCUCUUUCUCGGACUCUCCGCUCUCGGAUGGUCGUGGCUGGGGUUGUGGCUACCGCCACCGCCGGCCUGCGCAGGCUCCGACGACUCACUCCCAUUGCCGCCUUGUUUGCUCUAUCCCCUGCAUGCUCGGGUUCCAACAGGAACCUGAGUGGAAGAAGGGCGUGGCUGCACCUUGGGACUCGGUCUGCCACCGCUCGGUCGCCGGCCCCGCUCGGCGACCACUGUCUAGCCGCCAUGGCGACCUUCUCCUACAACGACACCACCAUCUCCUUGUCGCCUUGCCUUUUCAUGAGUUGCGGACAAGCUAAGCUCUAGUUUUUGGGGGAUCUAGGGUAGGAUCCCCGAUCUGGUGCUGUCGAGCCGUUGCCGUCCCUCACCAUCGGCUGCCGCACCAGGAGGUCCCUCUUGGUUGGGACCAACCCAACAGAGCUGGUGCCGGCCACCCUCAUACCACAGAGGGGUCUGGAUGACCAUCAGGCCCUCCUACUCCAGAGCUGGACUCGGGUUGGGGUUAGUUUUGGCAAAGGUUACUGUUCAGGCUACCCGGGUUGUCGUUGUCUCCUCAGUUGUGGAGCACGAUCAUCUAGAGUACACAUAAAACACCGUACUCAACCUAAUUGUUGACAGGGGGCUGGUGGUUACUCUAUUUGCGACGUCAAUCCCCGGGGACUUGUGGCUUAGCGGACAACUUGCCCCGGUGCACUCCUCAAUACUUGUAUUCGCUCCUGACAACGAACACGGUGCCCAAUACGUCGAGACCUUCUGGACCAUACCUUCAUUCGGAUUUCGAAGUCGCGGAAUUGGCGGUAUAACUCUAAUCACUGCGUUACUAUGCUAAAUGUCGGGCGGCGAGCGGGUAUUCGAUGAAAUUGCAAUGACUCUUUUUGCAUCAUUGUUGUUCCGGAUAGUGGGGGUUCUUGCAUGAAUGGUUCAAACUUGAUGUUCAAGGUCCAGGAAUCCCUCAAUUGGGAUUUUAGGGUGAUCGGCCUGUAAAAUGGUAGGUAAUGUGUAUAAAAUAGGUGAUUUUUGGCUCCAUUUUUACAGAACAGGUUUUACUGCUGGCUGCAGUGGUUGGAAAGCCGCGUUGGUUGGUUGGGAAGUUGCUGGGGUAAAACACGAACUAGCGAUAGGCCCUAGUUAAGCAAUGGUGGCUAGGCCCAAUGUGACACCCUACUAGUCCCACAUACCCUAAUAAUAAUAAUUGGACUUAAUUAAGCAUUUUGGUCGGUGGUUUGGGCCCAACGAGUUAUUAUUUCUAGUGGGCUGGGUUGUUGCAUUUGGUAUCAGAGUCGGUUCACCAGCUGGAAGUGUGAGAUGAGUCUUGGCUAAACCAGGGUCAGAAUGACAGACUAAGUUAGGGUCGGCGAAUAACAGGCUAAGUCAGGGUCAGAAUGACAAGGCUAGCGAGACAAGUCUCACAUCGCCUGGUGAUCUUGGGCUGUGUGUGUGUUUAGGAUUAACGAGGAUGUCAGGGUCUAAACGGGAGGAGUCUGUGACACCCCGCUAGUCCCACAUACCCUAAUAAUAAUAAUUGGACUUAAGCAUUUUGGGCCAGUGGUUUGGGCCUAACGAGUUAUUAAUGUUAGUGGGCUGGGUUGUUACACCUAAGAGGUUAAGAGAGUUAAGCGUGAUAGGACGGGAGUAGUCCUAGGAUAAGUUACCGCUUGGAAAGUUGAGGCGUCACAGUCUUCAAUGUGAGACCCCAGAUAGUCCUAUAUAUAAGAAAUAACAGAGGUAAAACUCUUAACCCGACUUAAGCAUUUUGGGUAGUGGCUAGGCCCAAGAGGUUAAGAGAGUUCAACGUGCUAGGAUGGGAGUAGUCCUAGGAUGGGUGACCCCCUAGAAAAUUGGGGAGUCACAGCUGGUAUUAGAGCCAAUUAACAGCUGAAAAUAUGAGAUGAGUCUCAGUUGAACCAGGAUUGGAAUGACAAGGCUAGAGAGACGAGUCUCACAUCGCCUGGUACUUGUGAGUCUGAGCCUGACGAGGACGUCAAGACUUAAAUGGGGAGGGAGAAUGUGAGACCCCAGAUAGUUCUAUAUAUAAAAUAUUAUAGGGCUAAAACUCUUAACCUGGCUUAAACAUUUUGGGUGGUGGCUAGACCCAAGAGGUUAAGAGAGUUAAGCGUGCUAGGAUAGAAGUAGUCCCAGGAUGGGUGACCCCCUCGGAAGUUGGGUUAUCACAGGGACGAUGCGUGAGGACGGCUCUACAUAGCGGUGUCCUGGAUUGUCUUCCUCAUGGACUUUUUACUUCUGUACUAGUUCAGCUUCUGUGGGAAUAAUUCUUAAUUAGUAUCCCUCGAUCUAUUCAUUCAUUAUCCGCUGAUUAUUUAUAAAGCUUAGGUAGUAGUUUGAGCUAUCUAUUUAGUUGUUUUCCUAUCGUGAAUUUUCAAUACUGUGUGAUCAUCUCUCCAUUAGUUGUCGCUUUUCUGCAUCCCUGCUGUAUGAAUGUAGUGUAGUUGAUACUUGUACACUUGCGCUACGCUAUGCAUGUAUAGGGGAGACUAUGCCCGUUUUGAUUAGAGGAUCUGCUGUUCAUUUAGUAGGUCUGUGCACAUUACAGGGUAUUCUCAAAGUGUUUAGAAAAAAAAAAAUUCACAUUUUUCGCUUAUUUUCCUUAAAAAGGAUUUGUAGAAGGACUCUAGGGCGUGACAUGGAUCGACUGUACUUGAACUAUGAACCAUUUUGAAAUUGGUAAAUAAAAUUUUAGGGAUAAUUGCCUAAAUACCCCUCGUACGUUUGAAAAUAUCCGAUUUACCCCUAUUUUUUUUUUCUUUCUAAAAUACUCCUCAUAUGUUCCACCGUUAUUGCAAAAUACCUCCGCAGUUAUUUCCUGUUAAGUUAACUUGGGUUAAACGUGAGUUAAAUAUUUACCAUAAUUUAAAAAAAUAAAAUACCAAUUUUGUCCUUAACUUAAGGGCAAAUAAGAAAUGUUGGUGACGGUAGAGGGGUAUAUUGGAAAAGACCAAAAGUCAAAAUAUUUUUUGUGCCAUUGACUUUAAGGGCAAAUAAGAAAGUCAGUGAUGGUGGAAGGGUAUAUUUGAAAGGGCAAAAUAGUAAUUUUACAGGGAUAACAGAGUUAAUUAACAGAUUUUAACUCUAGGGGAAUAUUAGAAAUAGGUUGGAAUGUAGAAAGGGUAUUUUCAAUAUUAGCCUUCUAAGAAGGGUAAAUCGUAAAGUCAAAAAUUUUUCAGGGGUAUAUAAGCAAUUGCCCCUAAAUUUUAUAAGGCUAGUAAGUUUUCCACUAAACUGUUAAUUGUUAUAUUAUUAUAUAGUUACAUGUAAGCUACAAUUUUGGCAUCAUUAUAUAAGCUCCUUCUGGUAGUUUAACAACUAUAAAUGCAAAUAUCUACACGCAUACAUUAUUUCUCAUAAACUUUUGCCACGUGGAAGCAUCAUAUAUAAGCUCUCCUUCUCAAAAUUUCUACUCUCCAAUCAUUACGACCACUCACCUUCCUCGUAAUGUCUGCCUCUUCGGCUUUCCGUCUUAUUAAUUUCUUCCUUAUAACGUCUGCGUCUUCGGCUUCCCGUCUCAUUAAUUCCUUUCCCAUAACAUCUGCCUCUUCGGCUUUCCGUCUUAUUAGUUUCUUUUCUAUAACGUCGCUUCUUCGACUUCCCACCUCAUUAGUUUCUAUUUUCUAAGAGGUGUUGCCCGAGGAGCCUGUGGGCACGGCAUACGGCUUCCUCGAUAAUGACCUUGCCUAUUACGUCCGCUCCAACCUCAAGCCCCACAGGCGCGCCGCCCUCACCCUCGUCGUCAAUGUUGGGUGAGUCGAACUCUAACCCUAUGUAAGGACUGAGAUUUUUGCAGUGUAGCUAAACUCUCAGUUGACGAUGUUUUUGUGUGUAAUUUAACUACAAAAGCACUCGUCAAGUUUCGGGCGAAAACGAGUUAAAACGAAAAUUCUACGCGAUUUCCAAGUUUCACUUAAAGUGAAUAGUAACUCGAUUUUCCGGAGAAGCCGCGGUGAGAAGUUGGCUUCUGGCUCGUACCGGACUCUAUUCAUAGCAGUCCAAUAGCUCGUUUCGACCGGUUCAGCUGUUCUGGAACUAAUGACGCUGACGGAUUUUGAGUUUGACGCACGGAUCUCGAGAAAAUCCAAAAAUACAUGUUUUAUAUGUAUUUAUGUGUGUGUUUCCUUCUAUUCGAAGAAGGUUGGAUUUUGUCGUGAAUCCGUGGUCGAUCAAGACGAAACGAAAUCGCAGCUUUGUUGUCUCCGUCGUGCUGAUCGCACUGGUGCAAUCCGUUCGCAAAUCUGACGGACGGAUCUGCGGAGAUCGCGCGUUGAUCGAGGAGAGGUCGGUAGUGGCAAAAUGGUAUUUUCGCGAAAGUCGCGAUAUUUUAUGUACCGUUUCGCGUGAGAUCGCAUGUGGAGGGGCGUUCAUGCGUUUUAGUCGUACUGUGAGGAUUUCGGAUUGAAAUUCUGAUGUUUGGGGGACCUUUUUGCAUUUUUCACUUUAGUAUUUAUAGCUCUCUAGGGUUUGGAGCCUUGUAACCCUAACCUAGCCCUAGCCACACCACCCAACCGCCUCCCUCUCCUUCCCCUGCACCUGCUGCACGCGCCCAGGCCGCCGCCGACUGAGCCCCGGCCGGCCAACCGCCGCCGCAGCCACCACUUCUCUCCUCUCUUCCUCUUUUAUCUCUCCUCUCUCCUCUCCCCUCGGUUGAUGAAGGCCCGGGACUUGCGCCUCUGCAGACCCUCCUCGUGUACCCGUGCUCUGGCUAACCGUUCCCCGACCGACCGCCAACCGUGCCGGGCGCCGCCAGCUGCUCGCUGACCUCCGCCUGCAGAAGCAGGCCGACUCAGGCCGAGCUAGGGUUGCAGCUCGCUGCAGACGCCACUGUGCCCGGAAACACCUUACGCCCGACGAUCCUCCGUGCCCAGGCAGCUCUCGGUUCCCGCCGGUCGCGCCCCGCUGCGUCCGGCGGCUACCGCCGUCGCCGCCUUCGGCCAGCCGCGACCGCACCAGCCUCGCUCGGCCGAGCCGAGGUGCGACUCCACCCCUGCGCCGCCGCCGCUUGGGGCAGCACCCGAGGCGUCCCUCCGGCCUCCUGCAAUCCUCCUCCGCCGUCUCGGAGCUCCCCGGCCGCCGCCGUGGCCGUAGCUUCGCCGGAACUCGAGCUUUAGCUCGUGCGGGCUGAGUUGGUUCCGCCGCCGCCGCCGCCGCUCCUCGCUGCCUCCUGAGGUGAGCACGGUGUUCCUCACCUCCCCCGCACCCGUUCCUGGCCGCCGCGCGCGCCGCCGUGCCGCCGNNNNNNNNNNNNNNNNNNNNNNNNNNNNNNNNNNNNNNNNNNNNNNNNNNNNNNNNNNNNNNNNNNNNNNNNNNNNNNNNNNNNNNNNNNNNNNNNNNNNGCAUUUUUUUUUUUUUUGAACUCAACCUAGACCGCCACGAAUACAAAGUUCUCUGUCCAUACGGACAGAAUCUCCUCUAUAUUUGCACGGCGUACCCAACGAUAACGACAACAGGAUCACAAAAACAACCUAUAUUUAUCAAUCCACAAAUAAUUUAUGUAAUACAUUUCCAUAUAGCUAGUGAUUUUUAGAAAUGAUGAAUGCCUCUAAACACUCCUUAGGGGCUGGAUGAUGUAAUACACAAUACAAUAGUCAUCCUAUUUAAAAGUGCUCUCCACUCGAAAGCUUUUGUUUUUAAACUCUAUUUGAUCAUCCAUAAAAAUCAUUCAGUUAUGGUGUCGUGUCCUUGUUGGUGCACACAUCGUGUGCGGUUACCCCAACACCUUGAUUGUUGUGGUGGGAACUGUAGGCUUUUGUCGUUUUGGCAUGUCAUGAGCUACUUCUUGGGAUUACUUAGGAAUCUUUAGUGGUUAGUAGCUGGUUGGCUGAAGUUCGAAAUCUUGUUGUAAUCGCAUUAGCUUGUGCGGGUGGCAACUUUACGUUGCAGGUUAUCGUCUGUUGUUGUGGAGAACUGUAGGGCUCCUAGAGAGUUGGCUCAAAUGUUGGUCUAGUUUCGAAAAUUGACUUCCAAAGGUGAUGUUUCUAUGGUGUUUUGGUGCACCCCGGUGCGGUAUAGAUGUAAUGGUUGGUUUGGUUCUCGUGUCACUUCUCCAACUGUGGUUGGUGAUGGAUCUACGGGUAAUUUGCCUUUCUUUUGAUAAGCAACGUCGACUGCAGACAAAGUAAUGUUGAAAGUUGGGACGAAGUACCCUAUCCCUUCUGGGAGUGUCAAGAUUGGGUCGAUGUAUUUUCUGUGAGACAAUCUCUAUUGGUCGUCUUGUGGAAAGGCUUGAAGCAUGGUCUUUUUUCGACCGAUGGUUUGCCUUGGGUAGUUCCCAAGCUGUAGUUGUGCAGUUGAUCUUUGAGCACUGCACAUAAUUGACUUUCUGAUGUGGGUUAGGUCGCCUGCCAGCCCAAUAGUAGUGUCUUGCACAACUGAGAGGUGUGUUAAAUAGGGCAAUCUCGGUCAUGCUACCGGAAGGUGUAAACUAUGUUCGACAUGUGUUUUAAGUCUGGUUGUGAGCUUUAAAGCCACCAUGCGCGGCAGCGUAUGGUGCGGCAUGGCACAUCAUGAAUGUCAUGGUGUAGGAGAUGAUGAUCCCAUCUUUGGUGACAGAUGCCCCUGGGUCUCUUGGAUACCGGUGUUUAUUUUUUUUUGCUAAGGACAUCGAUCGCUAGGGUCCUUUGUGGACGGCAGCGAUAGGGUCUCGUAGAGAUAAAUGUUGGACAGCUUGGAGAGGGCUUCGCGGUUUAGUGCUAUGUCUCCCGGUUUGAUUUGGGAUGUUGCUUAUCAGAUCAUAGCCUAUGCAUCUCGACACCUGAGGUGUCCUUCAUGAUUGUUUGCUUAGUGGAGGAGCUUGUCGCGGGCUAUGGAAAUAAAGCUGAUUUUUUCAGUACGGCCUUCUGCCUGCAGAGCGAUGGCCAGUCUGAGCGGGUCAUUCAGACCUUUAAGGACAUGCCUCGUGCAUGUGUCCUGAACUUUGGUGAGGGAUGAUGCAAGUACUUGUCGCUUGUGGAGUUCACCUCUAGUGACAGCAACCAGAUGAGCUUUGAGAUAGCGCCAUUUGAGGCAUUAUUGGGCGUCGAUGUCUGUCCCCCAUCUAUUAGGAAAAUGUCGGUGAACGCCGGCAUUUAGGGCCAGACUUGUUGAAGGACGCUGAGGCAAGGUUUUGCAUCGCCAGAUUGUGGUUGUCGAUCUGGCAGAGCCAGCAGUGGAGCUACGCAGACCAGCGGCGGCAUGACCUAGAGUUUCGGGUUGGUGAGCAUGUGGUGCUCAAGGUGUUGCCGUCCAGGGGAGGGGAUCAAACGGUUCGGUUUGCGGAAAGAGCUUAGUGCGCGGUUUGUUGGACCGUUCGAGAUCCUAGAGUGUGUUGGUCCGAUGGCAUGCAACUUGGCUCUACUUCCAACUCUCGCCCGGGUACACUGUGUACCUUGUCUCUUUAUGCCUCACAAGUAUAUGCGUGUCUCCUCGCACGUGAUUGACACUAUGGCUUUUAAACCUCGUGAGGAUUUGAGCUUCAAGGUGGAUCAGAUGCUUGUUGGCAUGCUAAGAAGGCUACUACGGAAUCAGACUAAUCAUUGUGUGAUGGUUUUGUGGAUUGAAUCACGAGGAGCGCGAGGUGACUUUGGGGUUAGAGUCGGUGAUGUAGUAUCAAUAUCAAGACUUUGUUGCAGGAGAGGUGUAAGUAAGUUUCGAGGAUGAAACUUCUUUUGGAGGGGAUGAUGUGAGAACUGAAAAUUUUCCCCUAGAUAUGCUUGACACCUUUUUCAAUGUUAUUUUGUGUAUUUUUAAUUUAUGCUUACCGGUAAAAUUUCAGCGAAAAAGAAUUUAAAAUAAGAUUUUUAUGUGAUUAUUACUGUUCACUUAAAGUGAAUAGUAACCCGCAUUUUCGGCGAGGACCGAGAAGAGAGUUGGGCUUCGAAUGUGAAUCAGACUCUAUUUUGGGCGAUCCAAUAGCUCUUUUUCGAUGGUCGAACUAUGCCGGAGCCAACGGCAUUGACGGAUUUUAUAUUCGGCGCAUGGUUUUUGAGAAAAUCAGAUUUUCAUUGCUGUGAGGGCUUUUAUUUUGCGUCGAGACCGAGAGAAGGUGUGGAUCUUCUUCGUGAAUUCGUGACCAAAUCACGCAAAAUAAAAACAUGACCUCGAAGCUCCAGUAGUGCUGAACCCGCCGGCAUAGUCCAUUCAUAAAUCUGAUGGACGAAGUUAUCGCAAUUGCUCGAUAACCGAGAAGGGGAUAGAUCGGGAAAUUCGAACUCCGAAAAAUCUCCCAACAUUUUAUGUUCUGAAUUGCACGAUUUCGGAUGUGAGGGUCUCGUUUCGCGUAUUACUCUUGCUGCGAGGGACUGGGGUAAAAUUUUUGGAUUUUAGUGGGUUUUUCUGUGAUUUUUCCAAGUGAUCAAGAGAUAAACCGUAGGUUUCUCUUCUCUUCUCCUCUAACCCUAACCUAUUACCCUCUUUUUCGUCACAGCCGCCUUCACCCCCUUCCCUGGGUGCGCGGCGCGUAGUCUGGCUGCCGACGAUCUCCCCGACCGGCGGGGAGAUCCCGUGAUGUGAUCUCUCUCUCUCUUGAUCUCUCCCUGGGGCAUCCCGACACAUUUUCUGGAUUCCCGGUGAGUUCGGGAUUCGACUCUGAAAAAUUGAUUCUACAAGUGGUUUUGGGUUUGUGAGAGCUGUGUUUUAAGUCGGUAAGUUUGGUUAGGUACUUCGAUCAGAAGUCGGUCCAGUGGUGCACGCUCGGUGACGUUCCCUUCAUCUCUAUCCUUUACUGCUUACAUAUACUUGUCUAUCUAGUACUCGAGCCUUAUACCGCAUGUCUUCGACCUUGCUCUACUUUGUGCAUUUUCUCUUGCAUUCAUGACUUAGAGUGGAGCGGUAGUGACAUUAAUAUACACUUGAUAGUUGACCUGAGUGGUCGGUACUUGCAUACACUUGAGAGGUAGUUGAGAUCCUAGUUGACUUUCAUGGUCGAUACUUGCAUAUACUUGAGAGGAUGUUGAGUGAUUCCAUUCUAGUUGACCUGAGUGGUCGGUAUUCAUGUUCCCUUACAGUUCGAUGACCUAUUGGUCGGUGCCCCGAGGGGCAGUGAUUGUCGAUUAUUCGCCGACGGUUGGCUAUUGAUCAUAUUCGUAUCGAUCGCCAUAGCUCGAUAGCAUUUCAUGAACACCAGCGGUUUGAUCCAUCGUAGGAUGGUGUUCUUCUCCGGAAAAGUAGUCGUACUCCCGACCCGUGAGCCAAAGAGCAUAUGCUAGGGUUAUAUGCCAUUUAGAGCAACGUAGCACUUGCCUGCGGUUUUUAAAUCGAUACGACAAACUUGGAUUGGGUAUUUUUGGGACUGAUCGUCCGAUUUAUUUAUCUCAUUACAGUAGCGGUAGCUGUAUUACAUUUGCACCUUUGAUUCCUUCUGCAUUGCUACUGUAUUACUAUUGCAUUAGUUUGACUGCUUACUAUGGUUGGUAGUUGUUUUAUUAUCUCACCGUAUAGUAGUAGUUUCCUUGGUGAUUAUCAGUUGUUAUGGUUAUUGUCAUCAUAUUUGAUUUACUUGUUACUAUUACUCUUUUCAUCUGCUGGUGUGUACAGCUUGCUUUCAUCAGCUUGCGAUACCCACUGGGAGGGGGAGACUUGUUUACAUGUUCUCACCCCCCCUCCCCCUCCCCCUCCCCCUACUAUUUUUCAGGUAGCUCGGGUGGUGAGAGUCGAGGCGGUGCGUGAGGACGAUCUUACAUAGUGAGCCGAGAUAGAGAUCCCGACCUUACAGUAUCAGUUUUUGUUUGAUGGUUAUUGUAUAUAUGUGAUAAUAUAGUUUACCGCCUAUACCUGUUAGUAUUUGUUUUUAUGUGGUUCAAUUGACGGUUUUAUUCGUGGAUUUUCAAAUAAUAUUCUUUUUGAGUUUUAGAUACUCACGGCUUUGGGAUUUUUGUGGCUUUUAAACAAUUGUGAUUUUGAACUCAAUUUCGAAUGUUGGUUUUCUACCCCUCAUGGUAGCAUUUUCAAAAUAAAGAUUCCCGUGUGGGGAAUGGUUUUCAAAUGGUUUUCUUGUGUACAAUGAAAAUUAGAAUUUCAAAUAAAGUGAGCCUUUGUGUUAAAGCCACUUUUAACUAAUAGAAAUAAAUAUGAAAUGCCGAUCAUUGUGAUGUGUAGAUGUUGUGUGCGAGUGGUAUGUCAUGGUUGUUACUUAUAAUAUAUGGUACACCGUGCAAAUAUAGAGAAGACUCUAUCCGUUUGAACAAAAAAAAUUUUGUAUUUGUGCCGGGUCUAUUACACGUCAUUGGGGUUCAGAUUUAAAAAAAAAAAAAGAAAAGAAAAAUUUUGGACAGUUUUUCGCUGACUCUGAUUUAUAAAGUUAGCCCGAUCUCAAUUUGGAUUUCAAAAAUAGGACCCCAGAGCGUGAAAGUUUUGACGUGAGAUCUAGUGUUUGUUGCCGGGACACCCAAAUCGGUGUGUUUCGGAUCAGCGAGUGACUCGUGGUACGAGUCAGUGCAUUUCAGGACACUUUGUGGUCCCUGACGACUUCCCGGUGUGAUUUUCGGGACUUUCGAUGAGUUACGGUGAUCAUUUUUGGUAAUGCGACUCCGUGGGAAAUUGUGGGGAUUGUGAGUGUUGUAUUUUGAGCUAGUAGAGUUGGGCUCUGAUUCUGUGGACCCUUCGUAGGUCCGAUUUACACUCUUGCACAUCUUAGGGGCAAAUGCGACAGUGAUACAGGUAGGUACUUUAAUCCGAAGUCGGUCUAGUGGUACACGCUCGGUGAUAUUCUCUCCAUCCUCUCUUUAUACUUCAUGCAUUAUUCGCUAUUGUUGAGCUUGACACCAUAUGACCCUGAUUCUUAUUGCUCUGCUUAGUCAUUUCCUAUACCUGUUUAUCGUGAUCUAGAAGUAGAGCGGCUGUUUACUAUACUCAUGCAUGAUGCGACACCAGUUGUGAUCUAGUUAGUCGGUUUUUUGAGACUUCGGUUGUUUGAUAACCUAUUCGGUUGGUAUAUCCUAAGGAGUUUGAUUGUUGGCUACUUGCCAACGGCUAUUGAGUACAUUUGCAUCGGUUGCCACUUGCUCGUCAGUAUUUCACGUACACCAGCAGUUUGGCCACCGCAACGGUGUUCUUUUCUGAAAAUAUGGUUGGGAGUGCCAUCCCGUGAGUCCAGAAGCUUAUGCUAGCGUUACAUGCACAUUAGAGCGGUCAUGACACUUGCCUGAGGUCUUUAGACCAACACGGUGGCUCUGGAUUGGGUAUUUUGAACUGACUAGACAACAAUAAUUUUUGCGAUGAAUUAGAAUUUUGACACACUUUGUAAAAUUAAAUGUCUUUUGGAGGAAAAAAAAUCGUAGGUUUCUAGUUACUCAUAUAAUGUUAACACGAUCUUUGUAUCGAGGCCAUGAACAUACAGGGGCCAGACGCCCAGUUGGCUUCCGAGCUGGGGCAUGACAAUAAAUUCAAUAUCAACUACUAAGCUGGCUUUAGAAGUUCAUGUGAAAUAAACAUUACACUUAAAUAUGGUAUUUGCAAUGGUUUUUCCCAUACAAACUUGAAAGGAAAAAAAAUGUCGAAAUUACUUAUAAAUAUGUUGUGGUAGGAUAGAAACAACAACUCUUGACAACUUGAAAUUUCAUUAUUUCAUCCAGAAAAUAUAUUAACAAUUGUUAUUAUUAAAGACAACCCCCAGGCCCACCAUAAUAAAAUAUAUACCCAUCAUGAAAUCCAUACUUGCCCGAAUUAACAAGUUUAGUAACUUUAUAAAAGUUUGCAGCAGUAGUAACUGAAUACUGUUUGCCAUCAAUAAGAUCAUAAGAUUUGCCUUUUGAGUCGAAAAGCUUAAUAUUUUUUAUAUAUGCUGCUUUCUUUGCUAAUUCAUUAGCAUAAUGUCCACUCCCCAUUGGAGGACCUGUUUCUUUUCUUGAAUAGCCAACUAAUCCUCCCCAUGCAAUCAAGGUUGCACUAUUAGCUAAAGUUGUAAAGAGUGAUUUUGGCCAAUAGCCUAUUAGUUGGGGUGCAUCUAAAUCUUCUCUGAACAAUAACCAAUUUCCUGUACGAGAAUCCUAUUAUAAAGUUACACAUAAAAAGUUAAAAAUUAUAAAAGUGAGUACUUAAAGAGGUAAUUUAAAUGAUAUAUGCAACUAAAUAUAUUGCAUGUAUAUAAAAAGACUAAAAUACAAAAAAUCUUCCUAUAAAUGUGAUACCUAGAUAAUCCCACGUUGGAUGCGAACGGGGUUGUGAUUAGGAAAGUAAGGGACCACGGAUUCAAGAAAUAAUAACCGAGCUUAUAUAUUUUGGGCUACUAGUUUGGGUCCAAAAGCUAUUAUUGUGAGUCGGAUGGGUCGUUAUAUUGGGUAUUAGAACUGGUUCACCAGCCGAAAGCGUGAGAAGAGCCUUACAUUACCUGGAGAACAAACUACAAUCCUAAAUUGUUAAAAAUAACAUAAAUAUUUUUUGCUAAAUAAACGAUUAAUAUGUUGUGAUUUUCUAUUAAUUCAAACUUCUAAAACCAUACGUUUUAAUAUUAUUUCUUAACUUGCAAUAUAUUGUUACGGUUGUUCAAUCUUUAACUCUAUUUGUCAAGACUAUAUCAAUCAAGUAAAAUAGAAUUCAAUUUAAAGAAGUUUAUAAAAAACGGCUUGGUUGGAAAAGGUACGAAGCCAAUUAAUAGAUUGAACAACCGUAACAAUAUAUUNAGGUAUGAAGCCAAUUAAUAGAUUGACUUAUAAGAUAUAUUAUUAUUAUAUAUUUGAGAUAUAUAAUAUAACAUGUCCUAUAUAAAUGUUUAAUUUUUAGAUAAAUAAAUUAUCUAGCUAAGUUAAAUUGACAUAGAAUUGUAAUGGUGAUCUAUAAUAUCUUAAUCAAUUAUGAAAAUAUAUAAAAGUAUGCAAAGAAAUAAAACCAUGAAAUAGCUUUUAUUUAAAUUAAAUGUUAUAGAAAUGUUUGUAACACAAUAUUAUAUCUAUUCAUACAAUAGUCCUUGAGUAAACAUUCAAAAAUAAAUAUAAGCAAAAAAUUUAAAUAUGGACAAUUUGAAGAUUGUUAAUGUAUUUAAGGGGCUUUUCCUUAUUUGCCCUUAAUUACUAUUUAAAAAUUUUUAAAUUUAUCGUGCAAGUAUCAAAAUACUAUUCUACACCUUAAUUUCCAUAAGUAAACCCUAAUUGUGUUUGGGGAUAUUCGAAGAGAAAUCACAAAAGGCAUUUUUUCUAAGGAUAUAUUAGAUAUUUUUGAAGUUUUUGAAGAUGUGUUAGAUAUUAUCUCUAUUUUAAUCUAAUUCGUUUAUUCUUUUUGAAAAGAAUAACUAAAACUAGGGUAAGGGGUGUUUGGCCUAGCUUCUCAGAAGUUAUUCUGAGCCUAAAAUAUGGAUCGACUAUACUUGAACUAUGAACCAUUUUGAAAUAGGUAAAUAAAUUUUAUAAGGCUAGUAAGUUUUCCAUUAAACUGUUAAUUGUUAUAUUAUUAUAUAGUUGCAUGUAAGCUAUAAUUUUGGCAUCACUAUAUAAGCUCCUUUUGAUAGUUUAACAACUAUAAAUGCAAAUAUGUAAAAAAUAAAUAUCUUCAAAUAUAAAUGACUUCAUAUUCUAUCCUACUAAGUAAUAUGAAAUAAAAUAUUAAAUACGUCAAUGAAAAAAAAAAUCAUUCAACCUUUUUUAUGCCAAUCGUGAUGAAGUACUGAUUACCAUUAUAAGUUGAUACAGGUUCAACCACAUCUCCUGGUGUAAGUAUAUUCCAAUUAACCACUACAAAACCUUUGCAUUGAAAAUUGAAGCAACCAGUUAAAUUAUGGCCAUCUGCCUGAACAAAAAAAAAAAGAAGUAUUAAUUAUAAAAGAAAGGCUAAAUUGGAUAUUUGGUCCUUAAAUUACGAGGACGAAUGACAGUUUAUUUCUCAUACUUUAAUUUAUUAGAAAUUCUAUCUCAGUCUUCGAAUUGGUGCAAUUAAGUCCAACUGCAGUGUUAGUUAUAAUUAUGAAAUUAGUAGUUAUGAUUCAUUACAUUGCUCUAUCAUGAAUCAUAUAACUAUUAACUAUAGUACCUGUCACAUUAUUGUCAUGUUAGUACCAUAUCAAUAGAAAGAAGAAGAUAUACAGGAGUAUUAUUGCUUGAAACAAGGUGAAUCAAAUUGUCUACUUGCCAUAAAUAAAGUAUAAAUAAGUUUCUCAUGCAUUAAAUAAUUUGUUAUGUCAAAAUAAAUUUUAUUUGUGAUGCACUAAAUAAUCUAUCAAAUAAAAGCUAGACACCCAUUUUAGUGCAUCAAAUAAAUGUUAUUAGGGGUGUAUAGAUGAUUUUGUGCAUUUGAUGCAAAUAAAUAUUUUUCUCUUUUUCCCUCUAAUGAUGUAGAGUUAAUGCGAUAAUAAUUAGUAUGUCAUGUUGUUGUCGCAUUAUCAUGAUAGUUAUGAUUGAUAAUAUAGUAAUGGUUGGAAUGUUACAAUCUUUCAAAUUAUCUUUUCAUAUUAAAUUUUAAUAAAUUGAUUAUUACACUUCUGAUUAAAUAUUUGAAAUUGAAAUUACAAUAAAUAAAAGAUUUGAGAUUAAAGAUAGCUUGCCUUAUAGUUUUGAGCAUAUGCAUGCUAUGUAGCUGAAAGAGAAAUAAUCAUACUUACAGUCCAAAAUGUGAAGAAAUGAAGUUUGCUAUCAUUAUAAAAUCCAGGAUGUACCUGCAACCAAUAUUUUUGAAAAUGCUAAAAAGUUUUAGUCUUUUGGAAUUAAUCUUUGUUCGAGAUUUUAUGCCCAUAUUUAAAAACCGUUUUCAAAAAGAUCAAGAAAAAUUAGCUAAUUCUUUUGAUUGCAAAAAUUUGUAAUAGACAUAAAUAUUUUUAUUAUGAGAAAUAUGUUAUUUUUUUUAUAUGAACAAAUGUAGAAAUCAUUUGCAAAUGACAAUUAUUGAUAUAUUUUGAAUUAAAGCUAUAUGAAUAUCAUGAUUUGCACUUUACCUUCUGGUGAUUUUAAAAAUCCUUUUUUUGCCCAAAAUGUAUCAAAUUUUUUAAAAAAAAUUGAUUUGAAGGGAUAAAAUAGAAAAAAUAAAAUAAAAGCACCAAAGUGCAAAUCAUAAUAUUUAUAGGACAAUCUUCACAAUAUAUAGGAAUAAGAAGUUAUAUAUCUACAUAGAAAAAUUUCUAUUACAUACUUGAAAUCCUGCCAUUAUGACAUUUGGGAUUUUUUCUUUGUUCAUAAUCCAUAUCGCAGCCGAAUUUUUCUGAUGAGGUUUUAGAUUUGGAUGACCCCAUAGAUUUAUUUUAGCUUGUGUACCAUAAUAUUGAUCAUCAACUGUGCGAUAAAGAGCCCACUACAGAGGAAGGGAAAAAAAUCCAAAAUUACACUUGUUCUUGUCAAUAAUACUUAAUAUAUGCAUAUAAAAGAACUAUCAAAAUAAUCUAUAAUAUAAAAACUUUAAAAAGCAAUUCGGCCUUAUACAUAUAUUUGCGAUCACAAAAAAUCUUUAGUUUGAUCUGCCUAGUUAUUUACAUAAUUUCUAGCUACUAAANACUUAAUAUAUGCAUAUAAAAGAACUAUCAAAAUAAUCUAUAAUAUAAAAACUUUAAAAAGCAAUUCGGCCUUAUACAUUUGCGAUCACAAAAAAUCUUUAGUUUGAUCUGUCUAGUUAUUUACAUAGUUUCUAGCUACUAAAAUUUUAUUAGAAAGUUUUUAAUACAAAAGCAUUCAAAUUAACAAACAAAUUAUAAGGAAAAAAAAUGUCUUUUGGUAUGAAAAUUAAAAUCAUAUCUUGAAAUUACAAAACAAAAAGUUUAUUAAACAAUUUAUCUGAAACAAUUAAAACUUUCUUAAGUUGUUUGGUUAUAAAUAUGAAAAAAGUUAAGAUAAUUACAUGACGCUCAUAAUCAGGUGGUUCAUCAUCGAAAGUUGAUGAUUGUGUACGAAUAGUCCUGCUCGAAUUGCGUCUUUCACCUGAAUCUUCUUUGUUAUAGCCUUCAAACUAUGAAUGUAAUUUUAUUAGAAAUUUCUUGAAUAACCCAUAUCCAUUAAAAACCUAGUAUAUUCACCAUUACCAUGAAAAAAGUACGAGCCUCCCAAUCAAGAGAGGUUCAAUAAUUAAUAAUUGCAAUUCAUGUGUAAAUAACUUGAUUAUUGAGGAGUAGAGCUACGAUGCUAAUAAUAUUGCCAAAUCCCUUGUGCUAUAGACUUGUUUUCAAUGAUCAAACAUCUAAAUCCAUAGUUAAGACUGUUGGAUAUAAUCUUCGGUAUUUGACCUUUCUUAGAAUUUAAUUUUGUGAUUUGUGAAAGUUAUUUUCAUUUUUAUCAAGUGGCUGCAAAACCAAUACACAAAAGUGAACAACCCUCAAAUAAUUAAGAUCAUUAAAUUAAUGAUUAGGAUAAUAGAUCUUGAUCUAGAGAAUGAAAAGAUUUUUUAUGAAAAAUUCAAUCUAUUUAAAUCAUUUUGCACUAUUAAAUGCAAAAAACACCUCAUAUACGUAAUUAAAAUUGUAACUUGUAAAAUCGAAAGUGAAAUUAAUAGAUUAUGGAAUUUGAUUCUCAAGAAGAUCAAAUAUUCCAAAAAUAUUCAAUGAUGUCAGUUGUCAAAACAAAUUCUCGAACACUCAAAAUGACUCUGUGGUACAAAGAAUUUGGUGCUAUUAAUCCUAGCCCAAUCUUGGUCCUUAGUUUAUAUAAUAAUAGCUCUCAAUUACACUUCAAUCGAAAUAAAUAUUUUAGUAUUGAACAGUUGGAUUGGCCCAGUAGGCUUAGGUAUAAUCAAGUAAAUUUCUAUUAAUGAUCAAAUGAGUUUAUUUAUUUUUGGAGUAUUGAUAUAAUGACCCAGCCCACUAGCAACAAUAACUUGUUGGGCCCAAACACCGGCUCAAAAUACUUAAGCAUAGUUAUUAUUACUAGUGUUGUCAGUCUAAUUACAUAUACAGUCCAAGAUCUCGUUAAGGCCCUGACGUCCUCGUUAGUCUAAUCACACCCACAGUUCAAGAUUACUAAGCGAUGUGAGACUCGUCACGCUAGCCUUGUCAUUCAGACUCUGGCAUAAUCUAUCACCUUGUCUUUCAGACUUUAGCUCAACCGAGAUUCGCCACACAUUUCGGCUGGUGAACCGGCUCUGAUACCAAAUGUAACGACCUAGCACACUAGCAACGAUAACUUGUUGGACCCAAGCAUCAGCUCAAAAUGCUUAAGUCCAGUUAUCAUUACUAGUGUCUAAGUGUCUUAUAUACCCAAUUACAUUUCCAUCCGAAUCCGAUGUAAGACUAUUAGGGUAUGACAAUUGAACGUUGAUCAACACAUGCUAAUCAUUAAGUCGAUCUAGUAUUGUGUGCCUAAAUAUUUCAAGUUGUCUAGCAAUUCAAACAAGAAUGACCUAUCCUACAAUUAUUAUAAACAUUAUAAGUAACCAAAAGAAGCAUUAAAGUACUCGAUUGUUACGGUUUGGAGGGUCCAUGAGACGACUUAAUCGCUCCCAUUCUCUUCCAUUGGAAUAGUACUCUGUUCUAUCAAGUUCCUCACAAACUACGAGAACUGAAAACCAUAGCAAACAAAAUGAUGCAUAAGACCAUUUGAAAGCCAUAAGGAGAGACAAAAUCACCUAUGGCAACAACCAAUUUUUCUGCCUCUCUUUAAAUAGGCAGGAUCCGCAUAAUUGACAGCACAACUUUAAUUUAGAUUUAUUACCUUCAAAUAUUAAAAGAUAUGGAUAUACAUAUCUUUAAUUUAAUGGAUCAUAAAUGCGCAUAUCUUUGAAUGUAGUUUUCUCUUGAUAAUGUUCACAUGGUGUCCAAUAAGAGGACAUCUUCAUUUUUAAAUGGGCAGGAUAUUCCUCCCACAUUUCAGAUAGUACAAGGCAUGCCUCUCACCGAAACAAAAAGAUUUUCAGAUAAUCAGAUCUACGGAUGGGCUUAGAACUAGUAGGAACGAUCGUACCAAUCGGACCACAAAAUUUAAAAGUGUAAUAUAUUGGACUUUGGCAAAUUGGCACACUGGCAGUUUGAGUUCCUUGACAGCAUGUUUUGGAAUGUUGGAUCAAGUUAAAAUCAUUUUGGCGCGAAAUUGACGUGAAAAUAGAGUUUAGAUUCGAGUUCUGUUUGUAAAUACUGUUGCAAGCUGAUUUUAGUUCAAACCUUAUGUUGCUAACGCCCAAUCUAGCAAAUGAAGGUCAAAUUCUAUUUUGCGCCUUGGAUUCAGAGACCCAUUUUUACUGUAACAGUCUAAAAUUGGACGAUAAUUAAGUCAGUGAGUUGAUGACUUAGCAUGUUAAUUCAUCCAGGUAACUCAUUAAGUUUUUAGACGCAGGAAUCGGGCACCCGAAAAAUAUUUUGGAUGCUCCUAUGAUAGGUUUCGGAUGACCAGGUGCAAGAGAGGACAUCUGAAAUGGCUCAAACAGGAACUUUCAAAUGCCCAAAUUAAGGAUCGGGCGCCCGAAAUGUCGGAUUUUGGCUCAAAAUAGAAAUUUUCUAACUUCGAGGGCUUGUGUGUGAUUGUUACAUUAUAACUUAUAAGCUUGGCUAAAAGCUUCUUUUCUUUGUUUGGCACAUAGAGAAAAAGAGCGAACAUGAGGGAGAUAGAGAAAGGAAGAAAGAGAGAGGAGCCCGAUAUAAUAUCAUGAUUGAUGCGACAAUUAUGGGAGCACGACUUUGAAGGUAAGUAGAGUAAAUAUACGAGAUUUAGAUUGGCAUUUUUAUGUAAUAGUAUGUGAUAGUGGUAUAUAUGAUAUUUUUAGAUGUGGAUUUUUCCUGUAAUGUUGUGAGUAAACUGGUGCAAAGUGUUCCUUUUCAACUUUCUCUGGACCCUCUAUUUAGGUGGGGUCCACAUCGCCGAACACAGUGAAUUAACUACUCACCAUGUUUAUUUUUUAUUUAUUAUAGUUUUUUAAUACCUAUUAGCAUAUUUGCAGUUGUUAACUUCUUGUAUAUCCAUGCAUCUAUACUUGAGAUUACUAGAUAAAAUUCAAUAAUAUGGUGAUUAUGUGAUUUGACAUUCCUCACUCUUGUUACAUAUUAUACUUAUUGAGAUACUAUGAUACAUGAAAAACUGUAAAUUGCUAAAAUGAUCAUAGACAGAUAGUGAGAUAUAUGAUUUUGAUUGAGGACACUGAGAUAGUACCAUCAUGAUUUGUUUGAUCAUUGCACAGACCAUAGACUGCAUUGGGCUGGAUUGAGCUUAGUUGUAAGCGGUGUGAUGAUACUCAAUGGGGUCGCGCCCCACGAGUGCCCUUCCAGAGCUAUGGCAGCUGAUUAAAUGGGCUAGGUGUAAGCAUGCGGAGUGCGCUACAAGGUCAAGGUUGGUUAUCGAGUAUGCAGCUGUGCAAACUUGGUGACUUAUGAGCCAGCCGGUGCAAUUAGGUCACUUUGCUUAUCCGAUUUAGUUGACACACGGUGACACUUGGUACUUCAUUGAUUUAUGUAAGGUCUUAUAUCCACCACUACUGUAGAGGCAUAAUAGUACAAUAUUUAUUAGUUCACUUUCAUAUUAUGCUUAGCUACUCACUUCAUUACUGUUCAUUUAUUAUCCUCUAAUAGAUCUAUGGUGUAGGUCGUCAUUAUCGUCGACUGUACCCACUAGAAACUAUUGAUUAUCGUUCUCAUUACCUUCCUUUGCUAAUUCUCUUUUAGAGCAUACAGCGCCAAAGACAGUCAAAGAUUGAGGUAAGGGCAUGGCAAGCUAGACAACAUCUCUCUACCCAGACGAGUGUAUAGCAGCUUGCAUAUGAUGUACUAAUAAGGCCAGUGAGUGAUGUAUUAUGUAUCAUUUAUUUGGGAUAUUAUGAGAUAGUAGGUUUGUUUUUAUAUAUAUGUUGGCUUACCUAUUAUAUGUUUAUAUACUCUGAUAGACUGGUACCUAUUUAGUUAUCAACUCCUAAAUUAGUUGUGGACUCCUAAGAUUGUUGACAAGUUCUUGUUGCAUGCUUCAGGUGUACAAAGUGUGUCCCAUGUAUCCGGCUGUCACGCCUCGGAUUACUCGUUUUUUCGGGCACGCCGACAAAUCCGCCGUAUACAAAGAAAUUUUUUCUGUAUACGAAGCGAUAGCUGUACCUGUAUCUGUAAUCAUACAACACUACAACCAGUAGUAUAAAGCUGCCGAAAUAAAACAUAUAUAAACAGUAGAGGUUCACUCUAUAUACAUCACAUCCUGGUAAACAAAAUACUCGCUCUAGCGAGAUACAAGCAUCAGUAUAUAUAAAAACCUAAAAACUACAACUACCUGUAGCUGGUACUCCUCUAGCUCUACAACUCGUCAGGAAGGGCUCUAACUCGCCACACCCUUUACACGAUCAGACUCAGCAGCAGCAGCAGCCGAAAAAGAAGGCUCUGCAAAAGGUUUCAACAACUGGUUGUGAGAACUACUACAAAAAGAAGUAGUCCUCAGUGGGUACCGCUACCGGCCUCAACGGCUCACCCACUAAGUCUACAGAAGUAAGCAGGGAUAGUAAGAAAAACUGGAACAGAUCUACAGCUAAAUGCCACUAUACUAUUAUAUUCUAACACUAACAAUCUGUAGAAAAUGUAAAUCCUGACCCAAUCUCAGUAGGGAUUGUUAACACACCCGUCCCGCCUGUCGAAGCUACACUAACUGCCACCACCCUAGAUCGUCAGUGGAGAGCAAGUCCAACCAGGACAAACAGACAUCAACGCAAAAGAACAAAGCCCGACUUCAAAGUGGCACUCGUGGGCGCUACCCAACCGAGUAUGUAAGCGUAUCUCUGCCGAGCUCAAUCAGGCUCUCACAGGCUGUAAUCAAAGUAGAAAGGUCCACUGGUCUAACAACUAUAAUCCACAUGCCCUCGGCACGGUCUGAUGCAAAAACUGCAAACUAGGUCCACCGUCAACCCCAAUGGCACCCGACAGUCCGGAACAGUCUGAACACUACUAUAAAAAUACACUCGGCAUCUCAGCACGAGCGUAAAUGCAUUCUACACUAUUCUGAGUAUCCACCGCCCACAAACUGCAGCGAUACAAACAAAUUAUGGCUCUUAGAGCUAAAUCCGGUAGUUUCAUAAUAUGACGGUGUAGAAUCGAUAGUUUUCUCCUAAGUCAAUUCCAAGUCCAACAUGCAUAAUUUAACAAAUAAUCUAAGCUCCAAUUCAGAUUUAGAAACAUGCAAAUCCAAGAAUUAAGCUAAUCAACAUGCUAAAUGAAGCUAAAAACACAUGCUGUUGACAUAUAGAAUUAGGAGGAAAUUCGUAGAAUCCGGUAAGCAUAACAUUAACUCACCUGAAAAGCUAAUCCAAAACUGGCGAGAAGUCAAAAGAAGGGGAAACACGCGCUCGCUCGGCCUCCCGACGGUGCUACCACGACGAACGCACGCUCAAACGGCUUCCCGGUGCGACGUCGGCAUCGAUCCGAUCUCCAACCGGGUCCUCCACCUUGCUCACGAUCAAGGAGUAGAGAGAGAGAGCACAGCAAGAAAACUCCCUUCUCUGCCUCUCUACACGUAUAUGAAGGUGUGGGAGAGAGGGUGAAAACAACGAGGCAACAAAAGACGAAAAGGCCCCUCACCUACCCUGGUGUACCGGUACCAAGCCGAUGCUGUACCGGUACCACGCAGCAGAAUUGGCAACCCGAGAGUAGUCUGCGCGCAGAAUACACUUGGUACCGGUACGCCCCUGGGUGUCACCGGUUCACAAUGCAGAAAAUCUAAAAUUUGCAGAUUUCAGCGCUAACUUCCUGCUCUCGUGUCCCAUUGAGUCCGGUUUGCGUCUAUUUCGCGCCAACGUGACUCGGACUUGUCCCGACACUCUCUAGAUGUUUCGACAAGCCUUAGGUGCUGAACUCCAGGGAUACUACACCGGCGGGUCUGUUGAUGCGUCCUGUGGCUUUCGUUGUAAAUUCGGGGCAUGACAAAAAGAAUAAAAAAAAAAUUGUACAAUUUGAAUGUCAUGGCCCAACACAGAAGCCCAACCGGAUAAGGCUUUAUAUGGGAGGAAAUGUUGAUUUCUAAUUCAUUAGAGUGAAAUCAGCAAAAAGGUAGCGGUAAGCCUUGAUAUGUUAUGAGAUGUCGAAGAGAAGGCUCAUCUUGAGCGUCAACGGUCAUUAACAAUGCAAACUCGACAGAAAAGCUAUAGAGGCAAGCGUCAUCGAGAUCUUGAAUUCGAGGUGGAGGACUGCAUUCUCUUGAGAGAAGAAUGAAGCAAUUUAGAGUUUAGAGAAAGAUAAGUCCCUAAUUGUGAGGCUUGAGAAUUUUGCUGUGUAGUUAAUUUUUUUGUUGACGAUGUUUUUGUGUAUAAUUCAAUUACAUAAGCAAUCAUCAAGUUUCAGGAGAAAACGAGUUAGGAUGUAGAAGUUACACGAUCUUCACUAAUUACUUAAAGUGAAUAGUAACUUGGGUUUUUCGGAGAGGCCAAUGAGUAGUGAUGGCUUAUGGUGAGUAUCAGACUCUGUUCAUAGUGAUCCAAUGGCUCGUUUUCAACGGUCCAACUGUCCUGGACCCAGUGGCGCUGACGGAUUUUGGUUUUGACGCAUGAUUUUUGAGAAAAAGGGAUUUCAUCGCAAAGAGGGCUUUUGGUUCUUUAUCAUUUUUACUUUUAGAACUUCUCGUGCUCCGUGCGUGUAUCCUGGAGUAGGGAGGAGGAUGGUUCGGGUAGCUAACAGUGGUAGGGAAUUCAAAUUGAAUUUGAAUUUGAAUUCAGUCGCUAUUUAAUAUAUAUGUAUAUAUAUAUAGGUGUCGUGUUGGUGGAUCGGGAGAGGAUGGGUUUCGUCGCAAAUCAGUGACCAAACCAGGCAAAACAAAAUUGUGGGUUUGAUGUCUCGGUCGUGCUGAACGCGUUGGUACAGUUUGUUCGCAGAUCUAAUGGACGGAUCUCCUGAUAUCGCGUGAGAAUCAAUGAGGGAUCAUAUGUGGCAAAAUGGAAAUUUUGCGAAAAGCCUUACAUUUUAUGUACCGAUUUGCGUGAAAUCGAACAUAGGGGUACAUUACCGUGUUUUACUCGCGCUAUGAAUGACUCAAAUUAAAAUAUCUUGAUUUGGGGGACUUUUGUGCAAAAUGAAACUUUGUAUAUAUAGGCCAUCUAGGGUUUGCAUCGUGCAAACCCUAACCCUAGCCUUCUUCCUCCCUGAGUUGAACCCCCCAGCUGCCUCGCCACCCUCUCUUGCCCUCGCUGCGCACACCACAGCCGUCGGCGUACACCUCCAGCCGCCGAAAAGCCACCACAUUUCUCCCUCUCCCUUACAUUUGCUUCUCCUUCCUCCAUUUUUGCUCAAGAUCCUGGCAGCCCUUUUUUCAGCACGCUACCAGACCUCCGGCAGCCUCCCCCGCUAAUUGCCGCCGCCCCGAGGCUCCAUGGCCAUUGCCGUGGUCGCCAUGAACUGCUGAACUUGAGCCGAGCUCGUGCGGGUUCAGGGUGCUCCAUCGCCGCUGCCGCCGCUCAGCACCACUUUGGCUGCCUUCCCCUAACCCCCGGCGACCUUACCCGCCUGCCGCCGCUACCAUCCUUGGCAGCCUGCAGCCUAGCCGGGCUGGCUUUGGCCGCGGGUGACUCAACCUUUUCCUCUCACGCCACCGCCGCCUAGGGCCAACCGUGCCGUCUCCCUCCUGCCUCCGGCGAACCAUCGCCGUCGCCUCGAAGCUCCCCGGCCGCCGCUAUGGCCGUUGCGACCAACUGAACCCGAGCUGAGCUCGUGUGGGCUCGGGUUGCUCCAGCACCGCCGCCGCCGGCCAGCGUGAGCGCCGGCUUCCCUUGGUCGACCGCACCCGAUUGCCACUGGCGCCUUCGCUGCCGAAGCCCCCUUCCGGUCAGAUUGGAGCCAAACCCUCCUUCGCCGUCGCUGCCUUACGUCGUCGGCCGACGUGCGCCCCGACCUCCCCCUGUCGGCCUCACCCGCCUACCAUUCGCGUGCCCGCUACCGAGCCGCCGCCGGCCGUGCCCUAGCUCCCCCUUGCCCGGUAAGCUUUUUUAAGCCCAGUUUUGUGUAUUUCCUGGUUGGGAUCACUAUUUCGACAAUCUGAGGCCACCCCGAUGCCUCUGGAAGUGAGCACGAUGAUCGUUGAUCAAUGCUAAUCAUCGUGCUCAUCUCCUUUGGGGUCGGUGAGCCCCUGUUUUGCGAAAUAUGCGCGGUUUAAGCUCAGUGCGCAGGGUUCGUUGAAAUUCGUGUCACUCCCGUGCUUUCCACAGUGGAAGGUUGUGCUCCAGAUCGUGAGCACGACCUCCGGCACAUCGAGACCCAUCAGUACGUGUCUCGGGUAACCUUGAAAGCCCUCGGUUUGCGGUUUCGAGCCGUAAAACCCAAAAAAUCAUAUAAAAUAAUGUGAUUUUAUAUACUAGUAGGGGCCUUUAUGCAAUUAUACAAUUCGUGGCUACUGUGGGCAGUAUGAGUGGGUGGCCGGUGAUCUGUAAACUGAUUGUCCAAGGUCUGAGACCUUUGCAGAAAUCGAAUAUUGAUUUCUGUGCGUUUUUCAGCGAAAUUCGCCGACAAAACGUGGUUUCAGUUUGGAUUUCAUAUGACGGUGUUAGAAUACCCUGAGUUUGUCACUGAGCCUUGUUGGCCGGUCACCAUAGUCAUCUCGAGAGUUCGGAGAUGAUAUGUGAGCGGCGGUGGGUUCCGGUGUCGAAUUGACAUUUCCGAGAACCCGGAUCCGAACCAUUAUUUGACGAUAAUUGUUUUGAUGUGUGACCUUGUGUUUGCUGCCAAGACAUGCAAAACGAUGUGUUUUGUGGCAGCGGGUGACUCAUGACAUGAGUCGGUGAGUCUCGGGACUCUUCGUAGGUCCCGACGUAGUCCCGGUACGAUUUUCGAGACUCCCGGCGAGUUACGGUAAUCGGUUUUGGAAAAUCGAUCCCCGCGGGUUUAUUUGUGGGGUUGUGGAUUUAGUGCUCCUUGUAUGUGGGUUAGAUACUAACCCGGUGGACCCUCCGUAGGUCCGGUUGACGAUAUUCCACAGUCGGGAGAUAGACGCAUUAUUCUUACAGGUGGGUACUUCGACCCGGAGUCGGUCUAGUGGUGCACGCUCGGUAAUAUUCUCUCUACCUUAUCUCUCUUAUUGCAGUUGUUUACCAUUGUUGAGCGUCACACCAUGUGAACCUUUAUGUGUUGCUAUACUUAGUCUUUUUUUAUACUUGCUAUCAUGAUCUAGAAGUAAAGCGGACAUUGUUUGCAUCUCAUCCAUUGUGACACUCUUGUGACCUAGUCGGUCUGUUCCAUGACUCCUGUCGUUUGAUGACCUAUGAGGUCAGUAUACCAUGAGGAGUAGGAUUGUCGGCUAGUUGCCGACAGAUGAUUUUAGAUUACACUGAUCUAUGAUUUGACAUUUAUGUGACCUAGUCGAUUGGUUUCGUGACUCUUGUCGUUUGAUUACCUAUGAGGUCGAUGUACCCUGAGGGAUAGAAUUGUCGGCUAGUGGCUGACGGCUAGUUCUGCAUUAUACUUAUGCAUAACGUGACAUUCUUGUGACCUAUUGGUCGGUUCUUGUGCAUACAUUUUAGUUGACCUGAGUGGUCGGUACUUGUGUUUUCUUACGGUUCGAUGACCUAUUGGUCGGUGUGCACCGAGAGGCGAUGAUUGUCGACUAUUAGCCGACGGUUGGCUAUUGAUUAUAUCCGCAUCGAUCGCCACAGCUCGAGAGCAUUUCACGUACACCAGCGGGCUGAUCCCCUGCAUGAAUGCGUUCUUUUUCAAAAAAAUGGCCGUACAUCCGACCCGUGGGCCCAGCAGUGUUCUCUUUUGUGCUAGGGUUACAUGCCAGGAGCGAGCAGGGAGUGGCUUUUGCAUGAGAUCCUUAGACCGACACGGCGGUUUAGAUUGGGUAUAUUUGGACUAUUCGUCCGGUUGAUGUAUAUGGCUAUAUUAGCGGUUGUUGCAUGCAUACUUACAGUUCUUUUCUUUACACUUGUCUUGUUGCUAUAGGUCUUACUUUACUUUACAUUACUUGUACUUGGUUACCUCCUUCUUUUGCCGGUGAGUACUCCUCACCCUCAUCGGCUUGUGGUACCCACUGGGAGGGGAGACAUGUUCUCACCUACUUAUAUUACAUGUUCUCACCCCCCACCAUUUUUCAGGUAAUAUUGCUGGUUCGAGUCGGAACGAGACGUGAGGCACGUACUUAGCGGUCGAUAGAGUUUCUGACCCGAUUCUUUCGGUUUAGUUUCUAACUUUGCUUUCUUACAAUAAAUGACUUAGACAUUUUAUAAUCCAGUUGGUUUUAUUUCAGUUGGAUAUAAAUGGUUUUAUGAAGUUAAAUAAUGUUGUUUUAACUAUUAUCAUAUGAGUUGUGAAAAUAGUUUUCUACCUCUCGUGGUAGCAUUUUUAAGAAAAUGUUUCUGUAUGGAAAACAGUUUUAAAAAGAAUUCUCCGCUUUAUUCAUGAUUCUAGUCUUUCAAAAUGAGUUUUUGAGUAGAAAACGUUUUAAACUAAUGGAUUUGGAUUUAUGAAUAAAAUAUUGUAAUCUUGUGAUUUUGUGAUGGGGUGAAUGCAUAUGGUUUGUAUAUAUUCAUGGUUAUAUCUUGUACUUGUGUGAUGCCGUGCAAAUAUAGGGGAGACUCUGUCAGUGUGAACAAUAGAUUUUCUAUAUUUAUGAUGGGUCUGGCAUCCCCUAGGGUCAAGGAUUUCAAAAAAAAAAAAAGUUUGGGCAUUUUUUCGCUCACUUACAUCAAAAAGGGGACCCCAGGGCGUGACACUAAUAUAUUAGUCUGUAUGAGAUUGUAGAGUGCGUGGGCACAAUGGCGUAUUGACUUGCGCUACUACCGAAGCAUGCAGGGGUUCACAAUAUAUAUCAUGUAUCUACAAGAACGGUUAGAAGGAUUUUAUAAUAAUUAGAAGUGAGUUAAAUAGCAUGAAAAUAGGAUUUUUUUGAGCAAAAUAAGUCAGAGGGAUCAGACCUUCAAGAUUCAGCCCAUAGCAAAGGGAUCCAGACUUCGAAGUUAUUGUUCGAUCUCCGAGCUUUAUUUUUGGGACCUUGAAAAGGAAAUCCGAACUUUCAGCUCACAAACUCAAAUGAAAUGUGUCACAUCCCGAGGCUACCAAUUAGGCCCAUUUAGACAUGUGCAACAAGCUCACCGAAUGGGAAAGGCUUCCCUCACCUACAAGAAACAUACCAACUUGUACAAUAAUAUGUGCAGUAUGGAUACAAUAGAGAUUAGAGUGAAUACUAAUAAACUAAAACCAAUACAAUUUUAAACUCAAGGUUUACAAUACAUAAUAUCACUCCAAAAUAUUACAAAUCUUUUUUGGUUUACAAAAAGGGUUGUCUGUCGCGAACGAACCGGCCUCGCCGUAGGUAUUUCUAAGGCGAGUGGUCAUUCAUGAUAGAGAUUAAAUCUAUUUAUGUUUUAUCUUGAAAUUACGAUUAUAGGUUCAUAACUACCAACAGACUCAAGAAUCUGCUGUUAAUUACCCUACACUUUCAGUGUUAAGGAACCCUCGAUUAAGAGAUCAAAUAUAAAUGCUGAUAAUAAAAGAGACCACAGUAUAAUGAUGAACUUUUAUUCAUAUAAUUUUCAAGCACAUGACUUAAGUACGGGCAUACCCCCACUGUACAUUAGUGAAAUGCACAGUUUAUAAACUUGGUGGUCGAUUGGGAUAAGGUUGCACAGUAUAAUGACAUGGCGGUCGUUUGAAAUAGGUUGAAGUUGAAUUUAAUUUUAAUUUGCUCAGUUUAACGAUUUUGCGGUCAAAAGAUUUUAAAAUUGGUUUGCUCAGUUUAACGACUUGGUGGUCAAAUAUUCAGUUUAACGACUUGAUGGUUAAUUUUAAUUUGAACUUAGUUUAACGACUUGACGGUCAAUUUGAAUUUAAAUUUAGUUUAACGACUUGACAGUCAAAUGUUCAGUUUAACAACUUGACGGUCAAAUGCUCAGUUUAACGACUUGACGGUCAAAUGUUCAGUUUAACGACUUGACGGUGAUUUGUUCAGUUUAGCGACUUGCGGUCGUUGUUCAGUUUAACGACUUGACGGUCCUUGUUCAGUUUAAUGACUUGACGGUCAAAUGUUUAGUUUAACGACUUGAUGGUCAUAUCUGAAUUUGAUUUGCUCAGUUUAGUGACUUGGCAGUCGAUUGAAGUUGAGAUACUCAAUUUAGCAACAUGGCGGUCGGCUUGAAGUUGAGUUAUUUAGUUUAACGACAUGGCGGUUGGUUUGAAGUUGAGGUGCUCAGUUUAAGGACAUAACGGUCGACUUGAAGUUGAGGUACUCAGUUUAGCGAUAUGGUGGUCGGCUUAAAGUUGAGGUUCUUAGUUUAGCGACAUGGCGGUCGGCUUGAAGUUGAGGUGCUCAAUUUAGCGAUAUGGCGGUCGGCUUGAAAUUGAGUUGCUCAGUUUAACAACAUGGCAAUCAGUUUGAAGUUGAGGUGCUCAAUUUAGCGACAUAGUGAUUGGCUUGAAGUUGAGAUGCUCAAUUUAGCGACAUGGUGAUCGGCUUGAAAUUGAGGUGCUCAAUUUAGCGUCAUGGCCAUCGACUUGAAGUUGAGUUGCUCAGUUUAACAACAUGGCGGUCAGUUUGAAGUUGAGGUGCUCAAUUUAAAGACAUGGCGGUUGAUUUGAGUUAAGUUGCUUAAUUUAACGAUAUGGCGGUCGGCUGAAGUAGAACUUGAUGUUGGCUUGCUCAGUUUAACGACUUGGCGGUCAAUUGUUCAGUUUAACGACUUGAUGGUCAUUUGAAUUUGAAUUCAGUUUAACGACUUGAUGGUCAUAUGUUCAGUUUAACGACUUGAUGGUCAUUUGAAAUUUAAUUCAGUUUAACGACUUGAUGGUCAUAUGUUCAGUUUAACGACUUGAUGGUCAUUUGAAAUUUAAUUCAGUUUAACGACUUGAUGGUCAUUUAAAUUUGAAUUCAGUUUAACGACUUGAUGGUCAUAUGUUCAAUUUAACGACUUGAUGGUCAUUUGAAUUUGAAUUCAAUUUAAUGACUUGAAGGUCAUUUAAAUUUGAAUUUAGUUUAACAACUUGAUAGUCAUUUAAAUUUGAAUUCAGUUUAACGACUUUAUGGUCAUAUGUUCGGUUUAACGACUUGACGGUCGUUUGAAUUUGAAUUCAGUUUAACAACUUGAUGGUCAUUUGAAUUCGAAUUCAGUUUAACGACUUUAUGGUCAUUUGAAUUUGAAGCCGGUGAAAUUGAUUCAUGAAAUUAAUUCAUAAUAGGGGCCAAUUUGGAAAAUCCAUGGAAUAGGUUAAUGAAAUUAAUGCAUGAUAGGGGGCACAUUUGAAAAGCCCAUGAAAUGGGUUCAUGAAAUUAAUUCAUGAUAAGGGGCCACUUGGAAAGCCCAUGAAGUGGAUUCAUGAAAUUAACUCAUGAUACGGGCCCAUUUGGAAAUCCCAUGAAAUGAGUUCAUGAAAUUGAUUCAUGAUAGAAAUCCAUUUGGAAAGCCCAUAAAAUUAAUUGGCUGAAUUUGGUUUGGGUUAGAGGCAUUUGGAUGAUAUAGCUUUAGUAAUUUCGGACUUUAUUCUCUUGUGGUUUGGUGGGUUUAUUUAUAGAAUAAAUUAAAUUGCGUUUUAUUUGUGGACUUUUGGGUUCAUCGGUUUUAUUUGAGGACUAUGGAUUUUAUUUGUAGACUUUGCGUUGAAGAAUUUAUUCAUAUGGAUUUUCAUUGGUUUUGGGCUGAGAUGGGUUUUGGGCUUUACAGGUUUUGCGCCCGAAUCUACAUGUGGGCUGGGUUUCGGGCUUUACAGGUUUUGGGCCCGAAGCUGCAUGUGGGCUGGAUCGAGAAAUUUAUUCAUAUGGUUUUGUAUUAGUUUUGAACCCAAAUCUGCAUGUGGGCUGGGUUUCGGGCUUUACAGGUUUGGGCCCGAAUCUGCAUGUGGGCUUUCUGUUUUAGGUUUAUUUUUCUUUGUGAACUGUUUUCAUUGGGCCCAAAAGUAAAUUAUGGAUUGAACCCCUUUCAAUUAAAUAGCUCCAAACUUGUUUCCUUUUUCUUUUUUUUUUCUUUUUUUUUUCUUUGUUCUCUUUUUUUUUGAUUGAGGGAGAGGACCCAACUUUCUCUUAUUUUUUUCUUUCUUUUUUUUUUCUUUUUUUUUUCUUUGUUCUCUUUUUUUUUGAUUGAGGGAGAGGACCCAACUUUCUCUUAUUUUUUUCUUUCUUUUUUUUUUUUCUUUCUUUCUUCCUUUUUUUUUUUCUUUCUUUCUUUUCUUCUUCUCUUUUUAUAUUUAUUUAUUAUUAUUUUUUUGUCCAAGUAUGUGAAUUUGAUCAUAUCGAGCCUAUUACGAAGAUGACGAUUUAAUCAAAUAUGUGCUUAUCACGAAAAUAGCGAUGACGAAAAUAGAGAUGUAAUUGAAUCGAACUGUGCCUAUCAUGAAGAUGGUAUGAGGUUCGAAUAGUGCCUAUCACGAAGAUGACGAGUUGAUCAAGUCGAAUCGUGCCUAUCACGAAGAUGGCGAAUGAUUCGAACAAUGUCUCUUACGAAGAUGGCAAAUCAAACUAUGUUCAUCAUUUUUAUUUUUUAUUAUUUUUUGUUGUCCACAUAUGUGGGUUUGAUCGUGUCGAGCCUAUCACAAAGAUGGCCGUUCGAUCAACCCUUUGACCGUGUCGAGCCUAUCACGAAGAUGACCGCUCGGUAUAAGGAUUGGCGAUGCAUACGCAGGUUUGAUCGUGUCCAGCCUAUCACGAAGAUGGCCGCUCGAUCAACCCUUUGACUGUGUCGAGCCUAUCACGAAGAUGGCCGCUCGGUAUAGGGAUUAGCGAUACAUACGCACGGUAAAAGUGAUGGUUUAAUGUCGAAUUUGAUCGGUUCGAGAAGGUGGUCAGUGCUGCGCGGCAGCAGCUCAAGGAUGGCUUGGGGCGGCGACGGUGACCUCACUGAGGUCAACGGCGACGAUCGGCGGCGGCGGGGAGGUACGGCGGCGGCCAGGUGGCUCCCUAUACCCGCGCGGCUGCUGUAGCUCCUCCUUGGUGGCGGUGCAGCUCCCACAGCACGACGGCGUUGGGGAAGCUCAGGGGUGGCUACCCGGAGUUGGAGGACUACGUCGGAGGUGGUUCGGGUCGGCGGCGGGGCAAGAAAAGCUAGCUCGGGUCCCCCUUCUCACAGCAAUAAUAGAGGAGAGAGAGAAAAAAGAGAGGGAGAGAUGGGGCCUCUCCGGCGGCUGGCGUAGCAACGGCGGCGACGGCAACUCUCAGGAGGUCUAGAUAGGGGAAGGGAAAGGGUGGCUAGGGUUAGGGUUAGGGUUUCCAUGAAGAAACCCUAAAAUCCACCAUUAUGGCAUGCCGAAUUCGUGCACAACUCCCUUGAAAUACAAUAUUUUUCGCUGAGAUCCUGUCCACGUGUGUAUGACAACCUCGCGCAUCAGCCUGCCAAGUUUCAUGAAAUUCUGCGCAUAAAAUAUCGGGGGUUUCGCGCGAAAUGUGAAAAUAUCAAUUCGUCCCUUCCUCGAUAAGCACGUGAUAUCUAGCAAUCCGUCCGUCGGAUUUUCGAACGGAUCGUGUCGGCACGUUCUAUUAGAUGUAUGCCCUAGAAGCCAACCAAGCUGACACAUGUAUUUUUUGUAGAACAUAAAUUUGUUAGAUGUAUACCCUAAAAGCCAACCAGGCCGACACAUGAUAUCUACUAACAUUCUAAAGUUCAAGUCGAAUCAAAUUAGGAUGUAAUCGAUUUAACAAAUUAAGAAAAAGAUAAAUUUAAAUCUAGAUUUGUACUUAUUUUUAAUGGUCAUUAUAUUAUUAAAAGAGGAUUAUAUCCCUCUAUAUAACAUACGGGAGUUUUUAGAAAAUCCUAGCCGUUAUCUCUCUCCUUCUCUCUCUUCCAUUUUCUAGCAAGAAGGACCCUUUGUAAGAAAGCUAGCACCCCGGUGAGGACAUCGGUCAAAUCACCAACCUCGUGUGGAUACAUAUAGAGUCCGGUCGCGUGAACGGCUUCAAGAGAACCCAAUUUUACGAUCUUCAAAUUGUGGUGAAGAUCUAUCCGCGCAAAGGUAAAGAUUGGAUCUUGCUUUACUCCUUUAAUCUUAAAGAAUACGAGAUAUUCUAAUUGCGUGGUUCUUGAGAUCAAAUCUUAAGAGUUUGUAAAAUCAAAUUUAUUUGAUUUCUUUUUUCGCUACAUUUUUACCGUAUGCAAUUUUCUAACACGUUCAGCACGACCGAGACAUCGAACCCACGAUUUUGUUUUGUUCGAAUUGGUCAUCGAUUCGCGGCGAAAGCUAUCCACUCUCCGAUUCUCCAAAACCACACACAUAUAUAUAAAACAAUAGUCCCUCCAAAACCCCUCGAACAAGUAUAUUUGCGGCCAAGGUCCCUCUACACAAACCUCCUCUCGCAGAAAGAUCCUCACCCGAGGGUCCACACGCAAAACGGAGUAACAAGAAGUUUUAAAAAGCAAAAACGAUAAAGAACAAAAGUCCACUUUGCGAUAAAAUCUAGUUUUCUCGAAAAUCGUGCGUCAAAUCCAAAAUUUGUCAGUGCCAUUGGGUCCAAAAUAGUCGGACCGUUGAAAAUAAGCUAUUGAAUCACCAGAACGGAGUCCGAUAUGCGCCAGAAGCCAUCUCUUCUCAUUGGCCUCUCCGAAAAUCCGGGUUAUUAUUCACUUUAAGUAAAAGUAAAGAUCGCGUAAAAUCUCCAUCCUAACUCGUUUUCUCUCGAAACUUGAUGAGUGAUUACGUAAUUAAAAUAUGCACAAAAAUAUUGUCAACAGAGAGUUUAGGUACACAGCAAAAUUCUUAAUCCUCAUAAUUUUUUUUUGAAAAAGUGAUCGUACUUUCGACCCCUAAGCCCUUUGAGGUUUAUUAUUUAGGCCAUAUGCUAGGUAGAACAGGUGUGGCACUACCAAAGAUUUUUAGACUAACAUAUGCAGAUUAAUUGGUAUUCUUGGACUAUUAAUCCUAUUGACGCUUACUUUUUCUGUUUACAGUAGCGAUAGUAGUGCACUUGUUAUUCAUUUUCUUUCAGUUCAUAUCUGCUAUUAUAUUUAUUAUAAUUAUAACGUGCUAUACUAUCAUUUAUUUGUCGGUAAGUACAGCUUGUCUUUGCCAACUUAUGGUAUCCACUGCAAAAUCUAUGAUUGAUUUUUCACCGUGACACAUGCGGUGACGGUAAGGAUGGUGCAUGAGGUUUUGUGUAGCUAGUGAACUCCUACUACUCUCAUGCUUCUCUAUUAAAAGUUGAGUUCUCAGAAAGCUCCACGUGGCAGCGCGGCGCGGGCACGUGGGUCACCCGCGGGCGAGCGUGGCGAGGAUGGGCGCAAGGGUUGCAAGCGGGCGCGGGUGGGUGGCUCGGGUGGGUUUUUUUUUUCUUCUCUCUCUACAUUUUUUUUCCAACUCAUUCCUCUCAUCCUCUCCUAAAAUUUAAAUUAUAUAAUCUAUAAUUUUUACACAUAACUUUUUAUAUAACUAAAAUUACAUAUAUUAAAUAUAAAUUCUAAUUUUAUAAUAUUUAUCACUUAAAAAUAAGUUGUACAAUAAAAAUUAAAAGAGAGAUUGAUAGAGUUUAAUUUAAUUACUUACUUUAAUAAAUUUAAAAGUACGAUAAUUGUAUAAAAUAUAUUCACUGAAUGUGUAAAAAUAAAUGACGUAUUCAAAAUUUAAAGUCAAAAUAUCAUUGAUCGACUCAAAUUAAAUAAACUAAAAGAUUAAAUAAUAAAAUAAAAAUUUUGACAAGUAAAAUAAUCGAUUCAAAAUGAUCCAUUUGGUUUUAAUAUUAAACUUCAAUACUAUAUUAAUAGUUUUACAAGCAAUCAACUUUACAUUNAUUCUCAACUCUUACUACUGCUAUAAAUAUAAUUCUUCUCAUAGUUUUUUUUUUUAAUACUUCUUGUAUGUUUAUUGUAGUAGCUGUUGUUUCAUCUUUAAUUUCUUUAUUUAUAUUUUUUUAUUCUUCGACUCUAUUUUUUUCGUUGUUUUUUAUUUUAAAAUCUAAUUCAUUAAAUAGAAUUUAAAUUUAUUAACUUUGUAAGUUAUAUAUGUUUAACUAAGUUUUGAUAUCAAAAUAUUUAUCAUGUAAUAUAAAUUGUGGUGUAUAAAAUGUUAAUAUAUAUCAUGUGCGUAUAAGAUUUUUUUUUUUCUAAUCAAUUUUAACAAGGUAAAGGCAUUUUCGCAUUUUCGGCAAUUUGAAAUAAGUUCCCCAAUUUUAAUUUUUUAGUUAAAAAAGUUAUUUAUAGAACAGUUUUCAAAACUAUUAAAUUUGAUUAAUUUAUAAAUAAAAUUGUUAAAAUAAUGUAACUAUUCAAACUUAAGAAAAUAUUAAUAUAAAAGUUAUUUUUUGUAAUGUACAUAACACUAUUUUAUAAUUGUUUUAUUUAGUUAUAAUUUUUUAUCUUAAAAUUUUAAUAAUUAUCUAUCUAUAGAUAUAUUAAUUUGACAGUUGGGUCACAUCAGAAGUCCUUAUAGCGACAUAUGUUUUUUUUGCCUCUCCCUCCUCUACUUCAACAAUAUUGCAUGCACCCGGUCUAUUAAAAUAUCACAUACACCAAACCACUUUUUAUUGUUAAUAUUUUAAAAUCUAUAAGAUAUAUAAUUUGGCAGUUCCAUCACAGUACAAAAAUUUUUAGUACUAAUUAUCAAAUAUUCUAUCAAUCAUCUAAUAUACUUUUAUAGUGAAUAAAAUAUUAGUAUACAUGCAAGUAAAGAUUUCUCCUCUUCUUCUUGGAACUAUGAAUGCACUCUAUUAAGCAUUUUCUAUACUGGAUGUACAGAAGAACAUACACCACAUAGUUAAAAUAUUUAAUAGAGAUUUUAAAAUUUAAUUUAGUAAACAUAUUUAAAUUAUUAGACUUCGUAAUUUAGAUAUAUUUAAUUAAGUUUCAAUAUUAGAAAUUAGUUCUUUAAUAUAAGUUGUGGUGUAUGGUGUGUUAAUAUACACCAGGUGCAUAUAACAAUUUAUUCUUUCUCCAAUCAAUGUUAACUAGAUAAGGAUAAUAUUAUAUAUUUGCAAUUUAGAAUAAGUCCUCCAAUCUUAACUUUUCAAUUAAAAAUUUAUUUAUAGAAUAGCUACUAAAACUACUAAGUUUGAUUGAAUUUUUAGAUGAAGUUAUUAGAAUACUUUAACUUUACAAAUACUGAAAGUUAAAAAUAUUAAUAAAAAAAAAGAUUAGCUUUAUAAUAUAUAGAAGGCUAUAUGAAUUUUUUUUAUUAUAUUUUUAAUUUUUAAAAUUUUAGUAAUUAUAUAUCUUGAUUGACUGAAAUACUACCGAUUUGCUGCAAAGCGCGGACCCUAAACUAGUUAUUAUUAAUAAUUUAGAUACGGUGGUGGUUCAUAACUGACAAUUUGAUUAUUACAGAAUAAAUUGUAUUUUGUCCAUAGAAAGAUUGUAAUCCACCAACCCAUGUCUAUUGUUCAAAUUUAAAAAUUAUUCUAAAUUUUAGGACCUUUUUGAAAUAGUGUAGAGAUAGGAUUCAAAAUUGUGUAAUAUUUUAUGCAAAGUAAUUUGCAACACAGUCUAAAAUAUAGGAAUUAUCUUUUACCUAAAAAAGUAUAGAUACUAAUUCUCAAAUGUUCAACUCCAGUCAUUUCGAGGCAAAAAAUGUUUACUUACAAUUAAAAUUUGAUUUCUGGAAUCCGCUCGUUUGAAUUGAAAUCAAUUUCACGAAUUCUAUUUUUUAAGCUAGAAUAUUGACAGUAAGUGAAUUUUAAUAAUUUUAAUUAUGAUCAUCCGAAGGUCAAAAAGUUAAAAACAGGGAUGCAAUGAACUAUGUAAUCGUUGGAACUUUGUACCAGACCACGUAUAGAUCGAUUUGUACCAAACCAUACAAUAGCUUGAUUAUAAAUGUUCAUGUCAAAAUUUAAAAGUACUUAAAUAUUCUACAAAAAGAUUUGUGAUCUAAUAGAAUAUUCUUUAAUUCUUUUAUCAUGACUACUAGGACGGGUUUGGUUCGCACUAUCGUUUAAGAUUUCCAGUAAUUCGAUAGGAAAAAAAAAAUAUGAUAGCGUUUGGCUAAAUACACUAAGUAAUCUAUAAUUUCUACAAGAAAUAUGAUAUUUAAGGACCCUUUUUUGAACCACUAGAGACGUUUUUAUAUGCCUCUAAAAAAAUCUAUCGAUGCAUUGCAGAGCGUCGGUAAAAGCGUCAACAACAAAUAAAGAGUCGCCAUGUAUUUAUCAACGCUUUAACUAAGCGUUGGUAAAAUAUAUUUCGAUGCUUUUCAGUGUCAUAGAAUUACUUUUAAGCAUCAGGAAUUCUCUCAAUUCCCCGACGCUUUGAAGCGUCUUGAAGCGUCAUGUUAUUGUUCUUAAUUUCCUGAAGCUUCAAUAUUCCUAACACUUUGAAGCAUCAGAAAUUUAUCUUUUUCUUAUUGUUUUUUUUUUUUUUAAUUUUCGUUGCACCCAACAAAUAUUUCAACUUAUUAAUAAAAAAAUAAUUUAUCGAUUUACAUAUCUAUGAAGUUGAUAAUAAUAACCAAAAAUUACUAUGAUUAAUACUAAAAAAUAUGAGUUUACAUCCAUUGCUAAUGUACUAUAGCAAAAAAAUUGUUCAUGAGGUAACAAUUCGUUUACACACAAAAAAAUUAUCUAAUUAAAGAUCUAUGCAAACUCAUACUAUAAUGUAUGAAAUGUCUACAUGAACAAAAUUGCAAAAAAAAACUCAUUCCCAUGUAUCGUUUUAAACCCUCUAUAUAUCAAUUCAUUCCCCUUUCAUGAUUACUUGAUGAAGGGUUAACUUCAAUUGGCCCUUGAAUAUAAGGUUGGUUUUGUGAGGAUUCAAGAUGUGCAGCAGCUUGUGUUGAAUUAGAUUCUAUCAUCGUAUUUGACGACCUUGAUUGUGAGAUAGUUGCCGAACCAUUACAACUAUUUUGUGCCUCAUUGCUUCUAAUCUCGCCAUCUCUUGACCUUUUUAACCUAACCAUGAUUCUAAAACCUGCAAAGCAAAUAAUUACAAGAAAUUAAUAGUAAAAUAGAUUAAGCUACGUAUUAUCUAGUUUCAUUUUGACAACCACUGCACAGAAUAGUAAUUAUUAAUAGUUUCAAGGUUUCCUCACUAAAAAUUAACAGACAUUUCUUGAGAAAAAAGCUAAUUGUUACAUGCUUAAGCAAGUCAAUAGGUACAAGACAACAUUAUCCAUUUAGUUGAGAAAAGGACAAGGUUUGAUAGGUAAGAUAAGUAGAUUAUGUAGUCUAUAUUUUAUGGAGCAGGAUUUGAAGCCGGGUCAUGCUCUAAAAAGCUAUUUAGUUGAGAAAGGUAAAAAACACUAGUUGAACAACUAGUUGUUGAUUGUUCAUUCAUUAAUAUUAUUCUGACAUUAUCAUUAGCCACACAAUAUAUCCACUUGCAUGCAUGAAUCCACAUAAAUAAUAUGGCUUAAACUUGAAGAUACAGUAGUUUUCAGGUGGCUAGAUAGCUUGUAGAAUUGACUCUUUGAUUGAACUAAUGAUUCCGAAAUAAUAAGGUAAAUGAUAUGAGUAAAGUUUUACUGAAAUGCAUUGGCAACUGAUGAAGUUAAAUUCACGGUCUUUAUAAGGUAGUAUUUAGCUAACCAUGAAUACCAUUAGUUAUCAGAGUACUAAAUUGUAGACUCUCAACAUUUUCAUUCCCCUCCACAAAAUUCUCAGAUAAUUCAACAAAACUAAAAUUAAACUACGGAAUGCAUAUACAUUAAAAGAAGAUUUACCUGACCAUUUGCAUAUGACAAUACUGUGAUGGUUAGAGUUGGCCAAAAGGAACUACCAUGGAAUGAAUGUGUGGAAACAGAGGGAGAAUAACAGAGUGACUAAUACAUGUGACACCCAAUAAAUUAUGCUCCGCGCUGGAUAAACUCAACUGAGUUCAUUCUUGAUCCCGCCAAUAACAUUAAACUAUACCACCUCUGAAGGCAACAACAGGAAAAGCAAGAUGGAACAUAAGGAAUUUGCAAGCCCAGGACACAAAAUAAGAAAAUUAGACCACAAAGCUAUUACACCAACACAGGGCAAGGGUCAAUACUUACAUUAUCUUGUUUGAAUCUAUUCUUCCGCUCCACGUUCUUACUCUUCGGCUCCUUCUGACCGCUGGGAUCAGGCUGUUGAAAGGUAACGAUAAACACCGUUAUUUGUUAAACUGCUAACAACUGCAUCCUAACUUUUCCACACGCAUUUAGCAGCAAAUCAUAAUGAGGCAGGUAAGAUCCAAAUUAUGAGAACCAAUGAAAAGAUGAGCGAAACUAAUCAGACUGUGGCUAACACAGAAUUUAACAAGACAUUGAAAAAGGAGAUGAAAAGUUAGAAGCUACUUUCCCCCACGAUUACCGGCGGUAACUACUCACAUCCUCCAAUUCAUACAACUCCAAAGCAGGAGCACGUCACUUAUACUAGGAGAAUUUUAUUUAGAAGUUUGUUCAACAUAUCAUAUCCAGUCUUUGUAAGUCAUUUUUUUAGGAAUUAGAUAAAUCACACUAUGUAAAAUAUAAUGUCCUACCAAAUCAUAGAGAGCAAAAAUCAAAUUUCUAACUUUUGGUCACAAGAAAAGGAAAAAAAAAAAAAAAGUCCUCACAUGAAGCAUGGUAUCAAAGAAUGACUCAUUUCAACAUCCAAACAAAGCCGGAAAAAUAAUAUUUCUCACGCGCAACUACAAUGCCAUAUACUACCCUCAUCUCCGAACCCUAAACCCAAUUCGAUGAGUUUUUCGACACGCUUUACGACGGAACUCGCAGUAGCUUUCUCUCGGUGGAGCAGAAUGAUCACUCUACCUAUUUACAACACUUCAAAGUUUCGAUCUCGGGGAUUCAGAUUCAAGGUGCUCAAACAAUUUCAGGAAAAGACCAGUGAAACAGGAUGCAUGAGCUGCUAUAACAAAUAAAAGCGUCGAACUAGCACAUUUCGUUAAUAAUCUUGUUUGGCUGCACCUAAACAAGAUCAUUAGCCACAGCGAACGAAACAACCACAUGAAAUCAUCAUCUAAGUUUCUAAAUUACUUCAGUGAAUAAAUUGAUUCAUGCAUGAAUUAGAGAGAUUUGUGCAACAGAGAUAAAGAGAGAGAGAGGAGGUGAAGGGGAGGAGGGCCUUUCUCUUGUGUGGAGAUCGGCGACGAAGGGGUCACCGGCGAGGAGAACGAUAGUGACAAGGUCGCCGGAGAGGCGAUCGGCGGCAAGCGGCUUGCCGGCGAGGAGAUCGGCCGUGACCGGCUCUCAGCGGCGAGGAUAAUACGAGUGAACCCUUAUUAAUUUAAACAUGAAAUGCCGUAAGCAAAAGUAGACUCUGAGUCCACACAAAAAUAAAAUUUAUUAAUUAAAAACAUAUCAGAGCAUGUAUAGAUCUUUGUUACUACCUAACCCUCCAACAUGGUUAACAUACAUUCCCCAUGCAACUUUAUUAGCAUAUAUUCCCCAUGCAACUUUAUUAACAUAUAAUAUAUACACAUUACACACACAUGCAUAUACGUGUAUAUAUAUAUAUAUAAAAAUACACACACACUGCACUCUAAAGGGACUUAUUUCUCCUCGAUCUGCUGCCGUUCCUCCCGCCUUCCUCCUCUACUGUUGCGCCGCCGCGCCGCCCCAGCCGCCGCCGUUCCCGCCGCGGGCUUCCUGCCCACGCUUCCAGCACCAGUAGAUGAGCAUUCCCGCUCCAGCCAUGAAAAUCAGGCCGCCCACGACCAUCCCCACGAAGGAAACUUCGGAGAUUCCAAAGCCAUAAGGACCGUCUGCCAUUGGUGCAAAGAGGUGUAGUGGUGCAAAUUAAAGAGUAGUGGUGCUGCAAAUAAUUAACUGAAGAGAUCUUCAUUUUAUAGGGGGGAGAAACGUAUGAUGCUACGCAAAUUAACUCCCAAUACAGGUCGAUAUAGUAUUACUUAAUGCCAACUCAAGGAUAGGUAGUGGGAUGCACGGUAGCAAGCUACUCAUUUCUCAAGAAAAGAUAGGUGGGAUGCAGGAGUCCACUUAAUUACCAAAGUCCGGAAUAAUGUUACUAGAACUAGAAUAAUGUUACAAUUAAGUAUCUAGUCUAGUAUAGAUAUAACCACACGCUAUCAUCUAGUGCGCGGAGCUAGCUAAUCUGCAAAAUUCAACCCGAUCAAACAAAUCAAUUCAAACCAUUCUAAUUGAUUAUGUGAUAAAAGCCAUCUUCAGAAUCCAUUAUUUGAACCAAUAAACCAAACUGGAGACCAAAACAAAACUAUAGUUAAUUUGGUUUGGUUUGUUUUGUUUUUCAUCACCAUUGAUUUAACUUCAAUUUGACUUUCUUAAGCUAAUUUAGAAUUUCUUCAAUUCCGAUUAACCUCAUAAACCGAACCGAUCCGAACCAAACUAUCUAACAUGUGGACCGGAAUAGGAACUUUCAGUGACUUAUUUUUAUGUCUGUAUACUCUACGUACCUUUCUUCUUGUCAUUACUAGCAGAGUUCGACAUUAUCCAAGCCUCAACUGGUUACUCUGCGAGCUUAAACAUGAACUUAAUUGAGGAUAAAUUUUAAAAAAAAGGUUAUGCUUUGAUAUCACGUGAAAUAAUUAAUUAUUAUAAAAACUUAAGUUGCUAAAGAACAAUGUUCAACAUUUUAUAUACAACAGUUAGAUCAACUUAAGUGGGUGUUUGGCCUACAUUUUGAAAAGUGAUUUUGAGUUCAAAAGUAAUUUUCGACUCAAUGGAGUGUUUGGCGACUUCAUUUUCAAAAUCUAAUUCUAAUUUUUAGAUUCAGUUUUCUAAUUUUUUAGAUUCAAAAUCAGAAACAGCUAAAAUCUCCUUCUUGAAAUCUAAUUCUGGUUGGUUUUAGACUCAAACUUCAAACUUUUCUUUUAAUUUUAGAUUCAAAGUUUAAUUUUAAUUUUAAUUUUAAUUUUAAAUUCCUAAUUUGUAUUUUUAAAUUUCAACUUUCAAAUUCAAAAUUUAGAUAUUAAAUUUCAAAUUUUAAAUUUUAAAUUUUAAAUGUCUAAUCUCAAAUUUUAAAUUUUCAAUUUUAAAUUCAAAUUUUCAAUUUUCAAAUUUAAAAUUUUAGAAUUUAAAAUUUAAAAAUUAUAAAUUGAAAAUUAUAAAAUUUAAUUUUCAAAUUAUAUAUUUAAAAUUUUCAAAAUUCUACUUUUAAAUUUUAAAUUUUUAUAUUUUAAUCUUUAAAUUUAAAUUUUAAAUAUUCAAAUUAUAAAUAUUCAAAAUUUUAAAUGUUAAAUUUCAAAUUUCAAAUUUUAGAUCUCACAGCAUCCAAUCUCAUAUUCCUGCAAGUUGAAAUAGGUUGAAAAUUAUGUUGUUCGUUUUAUUAUUAUUAUUAUUAUUUUCAAUAAUCUGCAAUGGUACUAACUCUUCAGUUGUCAAAUUUAUACCAUUCAUAUUCUUUCCAAACACAGAUGUUAAGAAGCCUUCGUGCAUCUGGUCUGGGCCGGUUUCAUCAAAUCUCAUAUCUAGUCAGGCCAGUCAAAUGUCAUAUCUAGUCAGGCCAGGUUUGGCACCGUCAGAUUGAACUCCUCCAACCGACCGCCUGCAGCAAAAGAAUAUUCUUGAAGCCUCACCGGAAAGUGGGGGAAAGCACAUAGCAAUAUGCUUCCACGACGCUUGCUCUGCGACGAACAGUAGUGGACUUAUGAACUUCAACACCAACCAACCUAAUAGUCUUUCGAGUUACAGGAAUCCAAAGGCUAAAGACUAGCGAAAACAAGAUUUUGCUUUUACUGCAACCUGAGCAUUCUGAAGAACACAAGAUCACAACUUUUCACUGCUUUCUUGAUAGCACGCGAGCUGGUAAACGCUGCAGAAAUCUGAAAUCAAAGUAAUAAUACAAAGGAAGAACCAGUCACUUUGACAGUUCAAGAAUUUCUAUGUUUUCAUACUCACAUAACAUUCAAAGUUAUGAACAUAUGACCAUAGCAAAGAGACAGACUCGAUGCAGCAUCGCCUCUGCCCAAAGACUUAAUGCGGUGGAUGCGUCCUUUGAUCCAUUUCAUCAAAUCGGCAUAGAAAGUGAAGUUCAGUAGAAGCAAAGACAACAAUACAUAAAGCUUGCUACUGCCGAUCGAAAGGAGAAUGCCCAUUGUUAGACAAAGAACAAGAGAAUUUCAACAGAGAUCUAAACAAAAAAUAAAUAAAAAAAAAAAGCUGCGUCUAUGCCGACUUCUGAUUAUGGUUAACGCCAUUUAAUUCACCAUUUUGACCACUUGUUCUCCACUGUUCCCUCAUCUAUUCAAAUGAAAUUCAAAAAGAAAGGUCAAAAGUAAUAAAGCAGAAGUAAAACAGGAACAAAUACUAAAUAAAUGCAAUUUUGAGUGAGUGGAACUCUCUAAGUAGAAACAUACAUCAUCAGGGUAAAGCUCAUAAAAAUUCACUAUACACGACAAAGGGCAUACUAGGUCCUGUUGGAAUUUCGAACUUCUGCAAAAGUUUUGCUUAAAUAAGCUUUUUGGCGAAACAUGAAGAGUUUAUUUCUUAAAAUUCCCUUAAUAAGUUCCUAUUGCAGCAGAAAUAGAAGGUUCAAAUUUAAGCUUCUGUUUUUGAAACUUAUGGGCUUAUUAUAGCUUCCUCCACAGCAGAACUCUAGAUUUUGUUGUUUCCUAAAUGCUGGCUGCUGCUUCAGGAAGUAGCUUUGCUAAAGCAGGGCCAAACAAGCACAAGACAUUAGAUGUGAAGCACGUAAUUCUCAGGCAAAGAAACAGGAUAUUCAGGAAUAUAAGGACACCAAGAAAUGCACAAUUACCUUUGCUAAGUGUUCCUUAUGGUAUCUGUAGCCCUGAGUUGAUUAAGAAAAGUUGCAUUAGCUUUUGUUGCCACUCACUUCUGGUAAAAGGCAAAAAAAAAAAAAAAAGAAUAAAAGAUAUCUCCAAUAUACCUUGUCCGUUCCGUAGAUGUAGUCGCAGUAUGUGAACACGGAAGCAAAGUUACUUUGGCUCUGUCCUCCUACAUAGUGAUGAUAAUCAUGGUACUCCGCUCCCCCAUAGAAAGGAAUGUACUUUGUUGGACUAAGUGGAAAGUCAUAUCUGUUGAGAAACCAACAUAUUAUGACAUGAUUCCUGAAGCAAAAAUUGUUUGUUUCUUUUCCAACACAAUAUAGUAUAGAACCCAAUAUACAGAAGAUAUUCCAUCACAAUUAUUCCCUUUACCAGACUAAAAUUUAUUCUGGAGUCUAGUCAUAUUAUGAUUUAGACUAACUGUAUCUUGUAUUUGUAUGAAUUUUCUAACUCCUCACCAUACUUUUCCAGCAGUAGUUUAGAGGAGUUUUGGUAGACACGAUAAAACUUGUUUGAAAGAAAUAAACCAAGGAUUGGCAUCCCACUUACUGUGACGUACUACGAUGUUCAAAUAAAGGUCCCAUCACUUUUACUGCUUAACUAGAAAUUGUUUAACGACUGUUAAUGAUAGCAAAAGUCCUACCAUAGGAAUAAUGUUGUAGAAACUAAUGGCUUUAGGAUGGAUACUUUUUAUCAUUGUAUGUACAGUAUACAGAAUUAGUAUUAUGAUGUAUAGAGCUAAGAGACAGCCAAAGUUGAUUGUUACGAUAUAUUGAAAUGAUCAUCUCUAUUACUAUAGGUUCAUGGUACAACUACUAAAGAAGAAAACACUUUUUUUAGUCCCUAAAUAAAGGAAAAUUCACAUAUGAUACAUGAAAAAUCUGCACAUCGUUUAUGGUUUAGAAUGUGGGACCACGAUAGGAAAUCCAAGUGCAGCUAAGAUAAGAAUGUGUGCCAAAAUAAGAUAAGAAAAAUAUUCAAUUAUACUGGUAAUAAGAUGUGAAAAAUUUUUCAGAAGAUGGUGUGAACAUGUCAAGUGGAGAACCUGUUCUCAUCAGUAAGAAUUGAUAUAAUAUGUGAAAUAUGUGAAACAAUCAAAGAGAAGAUGCAGGAAGGCAGCUGAAAAAUUAAAAUAAAGAUACAAUGCCAUUUUAUGAACAAAGGGCAUCAGACAGAUACUUAAUGACAAAAAAUCUACUUAAUGCUGAGCAAGAGAGACUUCUAAUAGUACUUUGGAAAUACCAAGAGACUCUGGCAGAUGAUCAUGGUUUAAGUUUUCUGCUACCGUUCCCAUGAGUAAUAUGUGAAUAUUAAGAGAGAGUCUAUUUCUUAGAAGUAAACAUUUCAUCAAUUUCUCAUACUCUCACUUUUCAGCCUCUAACAAACCAACUUCCUACCUGAACUUUUGUAAUUUCAAAUACACUUUAGAAGUUGCUAAUGAUGUAUAAAUGAAAGUUCAUUGUUCUGAACUUCAGUUUUGCAAGAAAGAAUAAAUUAUUUUAUAUAAUGUCCAGUCUGCCAUUUGGGGUGCCAAAACCAAUUUGAUGUGCUUAGCAACUGGACAAGGAGAUCUGCUAGUGCAAACAAAGCAUAAGAAACAGAACACAUAUCCCAAGCGAGAUUAGCUUAUGGUAAAACAUUGGGCACUCGACGCCUAAUAGCAUUUGUUUCUGUUUUUUUUUUUUUAACAAUUACUGAUAAGUGAAUGAAGUAGAUGCAUUUACACUCAUAGAAUUCCUUAAUUCAUUACUGCGAAUCAAGGAGAAUCAAAAUGGCAACUAAUAAACAGAUUGUUCACACCCAGAUAACAUAUAAAGAUCUCAUGCAACAGAAUCAAGAAUCAAUGAAAUCCGGAAUUAGUGCUUGUAAAUGGGGAACUACAUACCCGCUGUGUGUGUCGAUGGCCUCGGCCUGGCGGAGGAUGAUCCAGAGCCAGAAGGUGACCAUGUGGCAGGGGGCAAUGGCGGGCCCCACGAAGGAUGGGAUCCCUAAAAUAAGCACCUCCGCCCAGUGCGCGUAUGGCGCAGCAAAACCAAUUGGCGCCGUAAACUCGUGGUGGACGCGGUGGAUCUUCUCAUACCCCCAUUUCCCGUGCAAUAGCCGAUGAAUCCAGUAAUUCCCAUAGUCUUCUAUCAAGAAGUACACCACAAGCUGCGCCACCAUCUCCCCUGCCGUCGGCAGAGGCAGCCCUGUCCUGAUCCCUACCAACUGCGCCACCCAAAUUACAUGCACAUCAACACGGUGAGGCGAAAGAGUGAAUCAAAUAGACUAAUAAGUAGUGAAAGUAAUGAUUUUGCUCUAUCCUGAAUAAUAAUAGACAUUAUAACUUAUUGGAAUAAAAUGUGACAAAUUAACCAACUAACAAAUCUACUUGGUUUCUACAACAUCCUAUUGUUGCAUCAAAACAUACAAAAUGGUUCAAUAUAUGAGAAAUUAGCUUAUUCGUGAAUGCACAUCGAUCAAGGGUUUGAGACUUCAACAUUAGCGUAAGAGAAAAGUUGGAGGGAUAUAACUUAGGAACAGAAAACAAAUAUAAGUGAUUCAUCAUCUCUUUUCAAAAUCCAAAGAGCAAAAUCCAAUCUCACUCCAAACAAAAAAUUUCACUUCUAAUUAAACUCGGCUAAAUCCUGUUACUUCAAACGAUCGAAUCUACGGUACUACUCAUUUCCGGACGAAACAAAAAUUUCAAAUUUUAAAUAGAAUUCGCCGGAAACUGACUUCUCCGAAAUCAAUCCAAAUCAACGGAAAUCAACACAAAUGGCGAACUAAUUCGCAUCAACGACAACAACGACGAGAUGAAGAUCGUCGGAUCGAGAUCGCAUCGAUGUGGAUCGUUGGAGGGAGGGAUUCGAGAGCACCUUGAUGGUGGGGUAGGAGACGAGUUGGAGGGGCCCGACGACGAGGAUGAAGACGCGCAUCACGUCCCAGUAGCACUUGGCGAAGGAGGCGGCGGAGAGGCGGGUCUUGGGCUGGAGCUUGUAGGCGUCAAUGGCGGAGGGGAGGCGGAGCUCGAGGAGGGCCAGGGGGAGGGGGGCCAGGGUGAAGAUGACGAGGAGGAAGAGGACGUUGUGGUAGUAGAGGAGGGGGUCGGGGACGCGCGCGGAGUAGCGGAACCAGAGCGACUCCGCCGCGGUGAGGUUGCGCCCCAGCGCGGCCGCGGCCUCUGCGGCGGUGGCGUAGGGGAGCAUCGGGGGCUCGCCGGAGCUCGAGCUCACGGGCGGCGGAGGGGAAUGGGGGAGGAAGGAGAAGGAUAUUUUGCGGAGAGGCCCCUGGAUUGUGGGAGAAUUGCGGGGAGGGGGCUAGUGCUUUUUAUGGAAAGGUGGUGGUUGUGGCCGUCAUUUUAAAUCGGAGGUGGUGGCAUCGUCCAUAGAGCCAGAGCGGAAAAAUUUUUGCCUAAACCCGGUCCAUCAUGGACCGGUCCUUUUUUUUUUGGGCAAAAAUGUACAGAAUUUGCCUAAUUAUUUCCUUUUUUAUCCCACUAUAUUAUAAUUAAACAUUUUAACCUUACUGUCUAAUCUUUUAUUAGUUUAUUUAAUUCUAGUCAUUUUAUAUAGUGCUUUCUUUAACUACCUUGAUUAGCAUAUUUUAUAUAAUUUGUGCAUCAGAGACUAAAUCACUUUUUUCUCUGUACCAAUUAACUACGCUGUAAAAUUUUCAUAAGCCGAGUGCGGUCCAUAACAUCCAAAAAAUCUAUAUGUAAAAAAAAUUAGAAUAAUUAAUUAAUAAGCACCCUAAUGAUUUAGCCCAUUUAUUAUCGAAAAACUUAUUCUUUCCUUUAACUAUACCAAAUCUUUGGUUUAACAAGAUGAUAAAAUGUUCCACCUUGCAAACUACAAAAGUAGCAAAAUAAUAUUAAUUUGUCAUAUCGCAUUGUAAUAAAAUAAAAUUAAAUUAUAUUGCAAUAAGUUGCAAAUUUUUAUACCGAAAGAUAAAAACACUAAAACGGUCUCGGGCACAAGGUCGCUCACUGAAGUUUAAUUUCGAAAAUCUAUUCGUUAUUCGAGUUUCAGUGCUAUACUUUUAUGAAUAUAAUUAUCUUCAUAGUCAUAAGUUAUUUUCGAUAAUAAAACUUCCGAAUCGACGAUUUAUAUCGUUGAAUAUGAUUUAAAAUAUUUAAAACUUCUAAAAAUUAAAUUUCAUAAUUUUUGGAUUUCAUUUGCUUUAUGAUCAAAAGAUCUUAAAUUUAACAAUUUUAACGGCCAAUAUGGAAGACUUGCUAUUUUAACAGUGUAAAAGAUUUAGAAUUAGUAAAAUUUUUGAAAAUUUAAUUCUCUAUCUAAAUAAAGAUCAAUAACUCUGAUCUUAAAUUGAAGAAUUCGAUCAUCUAUUUCAGGAAGUCAUUUAAUUUUGACCGUUCAUUUUAUGUCCGCUUGAUGGACUUUAAUAUAAUUUUAGAAAAUUUGCAAAAUUUUAUUUUUUUAAAUAUUUUAAAUGCUCUAAAUUAUAUUUAAUGGUGUGAAAAAUCAAUUCGAAAUCUCCAUCAUCAAAAAUAACUUAUGAGUAUGAAGGAAUCUAUACACAUAAAAGAUAUGGUAGCGCUACUCUUGUUAGGCAACCAUUAAUAACUUGUCUAGUGUUAAAUAUUUGGCUUUGAGAACUUAGAAAGUAUAUUUUAAAUUUGUAUUGUAAACUCUUUUGUGACGCCCCAACUUUUCACGGGGGUCACCUAUUCUAUGACUACUCUCGUUCUAGUACGCUUAACUCUCUUAACCUUUUAGACCUUACCAUCAUCUAAAAUACUUAAGUUGGGUUAAGAAUUUAGUCAUAUUAUAUUUUAUAAUUAGGACUAUCUGGGUCUCACAUCUUUAGAAUUUAAAAAAUAUUGUUUAGUUCGGUGUUGACAUGGUCAUCUAGGUUCAAUCAAUCAUUAAUUGCGAAAAGGAUUCUGAUAUUUUUUUAAAUUUUUGCUAGAAAUGUGAGAACAAAAAUUGAAAAAGAAAGAGAUGGGAGGAUGCCUGAGGUAUAGUUGAACGACAAGCAAAUUAUUCUUGCUUAUUCGGUAUUUCUUUAAUCUUCUAUUGAGAUUCAAAAUAAAAAUUUUUAUAUUCAAAUUAAAUUUUAAAAUUUGAUAUAAUAUAAAUUAUAUCAAUUACCAAACUAACUCCAUAAAAAAAAAAUAAUAAUAAUAAUAAUAAACUAUUUGUUUCGUUCAUUAGAAAAAUAAAGAAGAAUGUUAUAAUCGCGUUGACGAAAGCAAAAAUUCAACAAAAUCUCUGGAAGGUGUUUCUCGAGGAAUUCCUAUUCCUAUACCUGAGUAAGCAAAAGUGAGUUUUUUAAACAAAUUUGGAUUAAUUGCACCAUUAAUCUCAAUUUUUACUUGAUAUUUUAUUUUGGGCAAUCUCAACUUUUACUUGAUUUUUUUUUCCGGGAAAUUCGGUUCAUAAUCUUUUAUCUCUUUCCAAUUUUGGUCCCUAAAAAUUUCUUUUAUAUUAGUGACCAUUAAUUGUAGUAAGUCCAAAUCAAACGUGCUAGUUGAAAAUUUUCAAAAUGUCAGUAUCAAAAUUGAUGAAGAGAUUGUCGGGAAGAAAUUAUGACCUAUAUGAAUAGAUAGAUAAGAUAUAAUUAAAAUAAAAAAUAAGAGAAAGCUUAGGAACCAAAUAGCAAAAAAUAAAAAGGCCAAGGACCAAAGUGAAAAAUGGGAUAGAGGCCAAGGACAUACCACCGGCACAAUCAAUCCUUUAUUAAAGACUUUUUUUGCAUUUGGCCCCCUAAAAAAAUAAUUUUCAUAAAUAAUCUUAUCAAAUUUAUAAUUAUAAUUUUGGUCCUAUUCCUACCACGCAGGCGCCACCAAGCAAGGAUGAAAAUGCUAAAAUAAAUUGAAUGUAAUAAUUCAUUCACCGUAUCUAAACACAGUAACAUAUAAGUAUGGAACACGAUAAAUCAUCAUUGUGUUUGACCGUAUUCAACUUAGCGUCCCUCUCCAGCCAGCUUAUGUGGUACUGAUGUGACACUUACGUGACGGGAAUAAAAUCAAAAUUAUAAUUAUUAAUUUAAUAGAGCUAUUUAUAAAAAAAAAAAAUUUAAGUGGCCCAAAUGCAAAAAAGGCCAUCCUUUAAUUUUUGAGAGGGAGGGUGUUUGAGCCAUUUCCGAACUUUGGGAACGUGGGGCAUCCGAGAGAAGUUGGUUUGUCGUGUGCAACGGCAGCGCCCGCCGAUCCGCUGUAGGGGUCGUCGCACGACAUUUUCCUGCAGGCCAAUGAAAUGCAGACGCGUGGAUGUCGUCCUCCUUACUUGGAAAAAAUUCUCAAAUUACUUGGAAAAAAUUCUAGAAUGUACAGGUUAUAUUAGUAACGUGGCAUCCCGAUCAAUCAAAUAGAUAUUUUUGAAUUAAUCUAUCACAUCAUGAUUAUAAAAAUAUUUUUAUUGCACUUUUUUUCUAAAUAGAAAGACGUGAAUAAGUAAAUUUUCUUCUUAGGGACGAAGGUAUGCUGAGGCCCAAGGUGGCCAUGAUCCCCCUAAACUUGUUAAUAUUUGCUUAAUGGUCCUUCAAAGUUUUUUUUUUUUGCCGACCAUGGAUAGCUUUGCCCCCCUAAUUUUUUAAUAUUUACUUAAUAAUAUGGUGCCAAUAUAUAUAACUCACUCUUUCAUUCUCCUACUCGUAUACUCUUUUUAUGGGCGAAAAUAUAUUAAAAGUUUCUUGCUUAUAAAGUCUUUUGUAAUAUAUAUAUCUCUACUCUAAAAAUUUUAUUUAAUAAUUUUUUAAAUUUUUUAUUUAUCUUAGGUGAGCUUUUUUAUUUGACUAAAGCAAAAAUUGUACUAAAUUUAAUAGCUAUGUUAAUUUUAUUUACUAAAAAACUAAAAAAUUAGUGUUAGAUUUAGUAAAAUUUCUAAGUUAUUUUAAUAUAAUAAUAUAAAUAAAAUAAUUAUAAGUUAAACAUCUAAAUAUAAAAAAAAAUAAAGUUCAUACUUUUACAUUAUUUAUUUAAUUAAUAAUUUUUUAAUAAAAAAUUUUUAAUUAGGAGAAAUUUUGUUUAUUAUUUAUUACUAAAGUUUCUAUUUAAAUAUAUUUUGAGCCCCCUCAAGAUUGAAUUCUAGCUUCGUCCCUGGCUGGCAUGGCGGCUUCUCAGCUUUCACUCUUGAAAGAUAAAAGAGCUCAAGCAGCGUUUAGUUUAAUUCCGCAUAAAGUUAACUAAAAAAUUAUUUUAGAUAGUAAAAAUAUUUUUUUUAUUUAUUUAUUUAUUUCGAUAUAAAAAUAUUUUUUCGUAAAUUUUUUUUUAUAAAUUUAGAAAAAAAAAAAUUGAAGCUUUCGAUUUUCACAGAAAAAUGGCGCAAAUGCAUAAAAAUUUUUCAUUUAUGUUUUUCUACCGAACCAAAUAAAUAUAGAUUUUUUUUUUCAACCAAACAAAUAUUGAUAAAAAAAUUACUUUUUUUUUCCUCUAAACCAAAUACUACAAAAUUUAAAACUUUUUUUCUCCAAAAGUUCUUUAUUCUACGAAAAAUUAUUUUCUGCAAUUUUAUGUUGAACCAAACGGGCCCUUGUCGUUGGCGAGAUGCAUCUACAUUAAUCUAGAGUUGAUUACAAAUUUGCAACAUUCAUUCCCAACUUUUAUCUAAAUUGUUGUAUUUUCAUUUUCAAUCUACUUUUUAAUCAAAUUUUAAAAUUUUAAAAUAAAUUACAUUAUUAGUUCCUAAUUUAUUCUUUAUUUUUUAUUUUACUUUCUAACCUCUUCUCUCUCGUACUUGUGCACUGAACACGUUCCACCAAGCCUCUUUUCACCGUUCUUAAUAUUGUCCUCUAUAUCUACGGCUGAGCUCUACCUUACACACAAUGUUUAUUAGCUCACACACAAAAUUAACUUUGAUGAGUAAAUUGAAAAUUAGAGUAAAUUUGAUGAUUUUAUCUUGAAAAUAAGAGCACCUUUUGAGCUUUUCUAAAUAUCUUUACCUGGCCCGAAUUUCCUUUAUUAAUAAUAUAUGAGGGCUUUAUUCCUCUGCAAUUUCAUAUACGAAAAAAUUCUACACGUUGAGUGGCGUAUAAUAUAUUGGAAAAAUUUCAAAAAACCCUCCUGUAGUUUCGUAGUUUCUCACUUUGCCCCCAUGUGGUUUAAAAUGUAUCAAUUUCCUUCCCGUGGUUUCGUUUUUAUCUUUUCGGUAGCUUUUUCGUUAAUACUUCAUUAAAUUAUAUACAAAAAACUUCAGAUACCCAUCUAGAUUUAUCAAAUAUUCACUUUAGUACUCUUUAAUUUUAACUUUAUCACUAAUUUAAAAAAAAAAUAAUGAAAUCAAUAAGAAAAAGAGAAAAAAAAAAUCACAUGAAAGCAAAUUGAUACAUUUUAAACUACAGGAAGGCAUAAUGAAAAAGUACGAAACCACAGUGGAAUUUUUUGAAGUUUUUCCUAAUAUUUUUAAGCCCUUCAAUGCGAAUAAUCUAAAUGCAUUCUUUCCCUACAAGUGAUGUGAUCGUUCCGUGCGCUAAAUGAUGUGAUCGUUCCUACAAGUUGCAACCUAAUAUGCAAUUGCUUCUCUAUUUCGAGAAUUUGUUGUUAAACAUCAUAGUAAAGCUUUUAUGCGCUAGGUUACGUUAACAAUUUCUUCUUUUUUUUUUCUUUUUCUGGGAGAGAAAAUAAUGGUAUACUAUCAGUUUUAUUUUCUUUUCCAAAAACUAAAGCAUAAUUAUGUUUAGAACCGUCCCCAAAGCAAGUGGCAAAGGGCUUGGUGGUUGGUAUCCGAGAUCCAAGUUCGAAUCUUAGUUGAUUCAUAUUUCCAGCUAAGUUUAUUUCUAAAUAAAAUAAACGAAGCAGCUAGCGUGCUACCUAUCUCUCUCUUUCAAAAAAAAAAAAAAACUUAAAAAUUUCAAAUACCAAUUAUCAAGUCUUUUGCUAAUUACACUGUCAAAAAAAAAGAAAAGAAAAUUAUAUACAAUUUUAAGUAAUUAACUCCAGAUUUAUGAUAUCUUUAUGGAAUUUCAGUCAAGCAAAGAGGACAUUGACAAUGCAUGUAAUUUGAUUGUAUGUAGACCUAAAAUUAUAGUGAACAUGAUGGAUACUCCACUAAAGAUAGUACUGCUGCUACAACCUCGGCAAUAUUAUUUUAAUAUAUUAUUAAUGUGUUAGUAAGUUUAUAAGAUACAUUAAAAAAUAUAUAUAAAUUACUAGGAUUGUCUAAAUUAUAAGCGUCAAUGUAUCAACAAUAUACAAAAAUAAUAUUAUAAAAAAACGUCAGCAGUUAUUACAGGUAAGAUGUGUCUUAAAUUAAACUUAGUAUGUUCGAGUAGGAUUAAAAAAGUCCAGUAAAAAAUUAUAUAAUAAAUUAUAUAUUAAAAUAGUAUUUAAAAUUUUUUAUAUUUUAUGUAAUAUAGAAAGUCCGGCUACUAUACUUUUAUGAGUAUUGAUUCUCUUAUACUCAUAAGUUUUCAGCCUUUAAAUUUAUUCUAUUGAUCAUUUUCAUCCGUUAGAUCACACUAUUCAACCAACUACCCACUCAAUCCUAGAGGAUUACUAUCAUUCUAAGUGGAGGCCACCAUCAUUCUAACCACACAUACCAUCAAUCAACGGUUAAAAAUUUAUGAGUAUAAAGGGAUCUAUACUCAUAAGGAUAUAGUAGCCCCAACCGUAAUAUAGAUACAAUUAAUUUAAAAUUAUUUUAUAUUAUAGCGAAUCCAGAGCGCACUUUCUCUGACAAAGUGAUUGGGAGAAGAAGGAAGCGAAAGCAAGUGCAUGUCCAUGUCCUUUGUAAUGAGCAGAAAACAACCGUCAUUGUAUAAAAUGGAGGAUUGGGAGAAGGAAAGGAAAACAACAUGCCUGCCUGCGCCCUUUGUAAUGCGCACAAGACAACCAUCACUAUACAGAAUGGAGGAUUAGGAGAAGAAGGAAAAGAAAACAACGUGCGUAUCCACGUUCUUUGUGAUAGGCAUAAGAUAACCAUCAUUGUACAAAAUGGAGGAUUUGGAGAAGGAAAAGAAAACAACGUGCGUGUCCACGUACUUUGUGAUGGGCACAAAAUAGUCAUUACUGCACAAAAUGGAGGAUUGGGAGAAGAAGGAAAGAAAAAUAAGCGUUCAUGUCCAUGUCCUUUGUGAUAUAUAGACACAAGACAACCAUCAGUGUACAAGAUAUAGUGUGCAAAAGGGAGCGCAUGAAGUGUACCGUAAUAUUGUAUUGAAACAAUCUAAAGGAGCACGAAAUUCAUACAUUGGCUCAUUAUGCAUUCAUCAAAAUAAAACAUUCGUCUUUCUAAGUCGUUUUAAAUGAUAGAAAUUUUGAAUUAAUAAUGAGAACUAUUAAAAUUGAUCUGGAGUAUUUAAAGUGUCUACAAACUCAAGUUUAUAAAUUUUAAAAAUUAUUUAUGCAGUAUUCAAAUGAUCACAAAAUCCAAACAGCUUGAAUUUUAGAUAGAAAAUUCUUUAUACUAUUUAGAUAAUGUUUGAUAACUCUGAUCAUGAAUUGAAAAAAAUCUAGCAUCUAUGUUAACAAGAUUAUUCAUUUUAAAAUGUAUGAAACUACAAUAAAUUCAUAAUUUAGCAAUAUUUACUCCGCAAUAUUUAUUUAAAUCAUGCUAAUUAAUAUAUUUAAUAACAUUACUUGAUAAUUGCCGCUAGAUUUAAUAAUUUAGAAGUAAUUUACUAUUAAAGCUGUAAAAUAUGAUAAAUUAGCAGCGUAAAUUAAUAAAUGUCGCUGAAGUUCCGACAUUUUAUAAAAAAUGAUACUAAAUAUAACAAAGUAACAACACUUAUUGCUAAAUGUCGUCACUAAUCAAUAUAUAAUUAGAGUCCGUCUGGGGUACUAUCGAUAGCACCAAGGAUUUGGUGCUAUCGAGCUUUCCACCAUUAGAUUUAACCUUUGAUUAUUUUUAUCUGUUAGAUUAUAAUAUUCAACCAACCACUCACUCAACCCUAAGGGGCCUACAUCAUCCUAAUCACACAUUUCUUAAUCCAAGGGUUAAAAAACUAAUAUCACCAAUAACUUGGUGCUAUUGAUAGUAUUCCAGCCUAAUUUAUAUAAUUAUUAAUAUAUUACAUUUUAUAAUUAGAAUUUAAAAUUUUGAAAUUAAAGUUUAAAAAUUUAGAAUUUAAAUUUUAAAAAUUUGUAACUAAUAAUUUAAAAAAUUAAAUAUAAUUUAAAAUUUUAAAUUUAAAAAUUUUAUAAUUUAAAAUUUAAAUUCUAAAAUUUUAAUUUUAAAUUUUAAUUUUUUAAUUUUUUAAUUUUUUAAUUUUAUCUUACAUUUUUAAUUUCAAAUUUAAAAUUACGAAUUCUGAAACUUAAAUUUUGAUAUUUAAAAAUUAAAAAUUUAAAUUUAAUAUCUAAAUUUAGAAUUUAAAAUUAAAAAUUUUAAAACUUGAAAAUUUAAAACUUAAAAUUUAAAAUUUAAAGAAUUUAAAUAUUUAUAACCAAAUGUCCUUAGCGCAAGUGGCAAAGGGUAUGGUGGUUGAUAUCCGAUGUAAGUUCUAAGUUUAUUUUUAAAAGACAAUAAAUGAAGCAGGUGCGCAUGUUUCUAAUAACACCAAUUGAUAGCAAAAUAAGGCACCUCACCAGACGCUCUAUUAUUACAUUCUCCCCAAAUACACCAACGAAUAGCUAUGACUAGAAUAUCCAAUCCUUGUUUUCGAUUAGACUUUACUCUUUUAUUCUCCAUUUCAAUCACAGGUCUUUGACAUCAUAGGGUAAAAAUUUUAUUUAUAAACAUGUGCGGCGGCGCCGGCGUCGCGGAGGACGCGCACCGACUGUCUCUAGAACAAGUGGCAAAGGGUUUGGUGGUUGAUAACUGAGGUCCCAAGUUCGAAUCUUAAUUGAUUUACAUUACCGGUUAAAUUUAUUUUUAAAUAAAAUAAACAAAGCGGAUAGUAUACUAUCUAUCUCUUUCAAAAAAAAAAAAAAAAACAAAUAGAGCAUAGCUUUCUCUCAUCCAAAAACAAAAAAAUAAAACACAAAGGACUCGAUGGUUUUGAUUUAAUGCAGCCAAUUCCAUAGAUAAAAUUUUUUUUAGGCCAAUUGCAUAAAAAAUCCACUUAUUUUGGGCUUUUGUGCAAAAUCGGCCAUCUUUGGGCUUUUGCAGAUUCGGUCCGCUUUUUCAGCAAACUGACAAAAAUAUCCUUAUAACUUUUUCUCUCUUCCUCUUUCUCUCUCCUCUUUUUUUCUCUCGUUCUUUUUUUCUUUUCUUCCCAGAGAGGCGGCGAAGACGGAGCGGAGGUGCCUUAUACUUUUUCUUUUCUCUUUUUUCUCUCGUCUUUUUUUUUUUCUUUCUCUUCCCAGAGAGCGCAGAAGACAGAGCGGCGUCGCCGCGGCGACCCGCCCCACCUUCCUCGUCUCCGAUCCCCCUAAGCCGGGCUGUGACUUUUUUUUUUUUUUUUUUGCAUUUUUCUUUUCUUUCUUCUCUGACUCUCCUCCACAAGUUUUCGACGAGCGCUUCUUCGCUCUUCCUGCCCUUCCGUCUCUCCUUCUCCCAUCCUUCUCUGCUGCCUCUGACGACGAUGCAUCUUCGCCGACACGACGCCGACACCGUGGAGAUCACUGCGGCGCUGCAGCUCGGAGUGGGGGGUCUUUAGGCGGCGUCGUCACCGACACCCGUGGCUAUUGACAGAGAGGGUGACAAAAAAAAAAAACAGAAAAAAAAUAAAGAUAAAAAAUUAUAUAAAAAAAAAGGAUGAAGAUGAAAUUGUUAUCAUUAACUACUAAAAAAAUUACAAGUUGCACUACUUAAGAUGUAAACUGCCAGCUUUAAAUAUAAAAUUACACUUUUAAAUAAAUAAAUUAGCACUCUUUGAAAGUAUUUACAACUGUUUCUCUUCUAUUACACUCUUUCAGAUAUAAACUGCACCCACUAAGAUAAAAAUUACACUCUUUAAUGAAAGUUGCACUGUUUCUCCUCUGUUGCAGCCGUUUCUCCUCUGUUGCAUCAUUUCUCCUCUGUUACAGCUAUUUUUUAUGUUAAACUCGACACCAUUUAAGAGAUAUUUAUCUGCUUCUCCUCUUGUUGCACUGUUUCUCCUCUUGUUGCACUGUUUUCCCUUAUAAUAUCUGUUAAAGAUUGUAGUUUCAAAUAAAAAAUUGUAAUAAGAGGAGAAAUGGUGCAACAAGAAAAAACUGCACCAUUUAUCUUAAAACUGCACUCAUUUAAGAAGAUAUUAUACUGCUUCUCCUCUUGUUGCACUGUUUCUCUUGUCGCACUGUUUCUCCUCUUUAAAGAGGAGAAACAGUGCAACAAAGAGAAGAACAGUGCAACAAGAGGAGAAGCAGUAUAAAUAUCUUGUUAAAGAUGUGUAGUUUAAAAUAAAAAACAGUGUAACAAGAGAGAAAAAUGGUGUUAUAUAAGAAAAAAAACUACACCCAUUUAUCUUAAACUUGUGCACCCAUUAAGAGAUAUUUACAACUGCUUCUCCCUCUUGUUGCACUGUUUUCUCUUGUUGCAGCUGUUUCUCCUCUUUAAGAGGAGAAACAGUGCAACAAAGAGAGAAACAGAUGCAACGAAGAGGAGAAGGCAGUAUAAAUAUCAGUAAAGAUGUAGCAGUUUAAAAUAAAAAUAGUCCGACCCCGUUCGCGCGGGCCGCUGCCGCUGCGGCGACGGGAUCGGGCUGGGGUCCGCGGCGGAGCGCGUCUCGACGUCUUCGUGGGAGAAGCAGAGGCGCUGGCCGGCGCUUCUGCCGCGGCGCGGGAGGAGGGGCAGCGCCGCGACGGAAAGAACAGCGGCGCCGCUGGUGCCGGGCCGGUUGCGCUUCCGCCUCCCCCUCCUGCGCCCUGUCCGCUUGCCUCCGCUUCUAUCUUCUUCGCCGUUGUCUUCUUCUCGCGCAUCCAGCCGACCCCCAUUCGCCGCGGCCCGCUGCCGCAGGGACGGGCGACCUGGGAUCGGCUCGGGCUCCGCGGCGGCGGAGGAGAGGAGAAGGGGGUCGGAGCGGUGGAGAGGAGGGUGAGGAGGGGGGACGGUGAAGAAGGAUGGUGAGGAAGGAGGCGACGGUGAAGAAGAAGGCGACGGUCGCCUUUUUUUUCGGCGAGAAAAAAAAAAAAAGAACGACAGAAACGAAGAGGGAGAGAGAAAGAGAGAGAAAAAGUAAUAAGGGUAUUUUGGUCAGUUUGCUAAAAAAGCGGAUCCAUCUGCAAAAACGAAAAAGGUGACCCGGUUUUGCAAAAGCCCAAAAUAAGUGGAUUUUUUAUGAAAAAGGCCAAUUUUUUAUGUGCAAACAUAUGUGUGAUUAAUUAAUAAAUAAUUAUUGCUUGGCUUAUAAAAUAAAAAAUGUAUUUGACAAUAUUAUUAAUGAGAUUAUCAUAUAUAAUUUUUAAAAUAUAAAAACAAGUCGAGAACAAUUAUGAUAUAUUUUUUUAUUUAUAUAAUAUUAAUCACUAAUUUAUUUUUUUUAUUAUAUACUAAUUCAUUAGAAAAAAAUUCUGAAUCCUCUAGUAUCAAGAGGAAUUCUACACUAUCACACUUGCACCACGUCAUUAAUAACAAGCUAAUCACAUUCCUUCUUUUCAAACAAAAGUAUAAUAAAAAUAAUUUUUUACAAUCAUGGUGAGACAUAUAUCUCUAAAUGAAGAUAUUUGAUUAGUUUAUUACGCCACGUCACCAAUAUACCCGUUGCAUUCUAGAAGUUUUCCUAGUGUCAAUGGAUUUAACAAGCCUAAUAUUAAAGGACACCUGACGCAACCCUUUGAAUUGACACUAUAGACAGAUGAAUUAUAUGGCUAAUAAUGGAACACUAACUCCUACCCCCCUCUCCCCCCCCCGCCCCACCCCCCCCCACAACAAAAUAUCUCUCAGAUAAUUCAUACUAAAGUGGUCUAGGGCCGUCAACGAUCGAAUCGAACGGAUUCAAAAAAGUCAGAAUCCGAACUGACUCCAAACCAGAAAUGAAAACCUAAUGCGAAAUGUUUUAAAAUUUUAAUAUUCAAAUCCGGAUCUGACAAAAAAAUUUAAAAACCAACCUGUUUCGAAUCCGAAAUGAAACUAGAAACAAUUAUUCUUUUUUUAAUAAUUUUAAAUAUAUUUACAUUAAAUCCUAUUUUUUUUAUUAUUUUUUUUAGAUAUAUAAUGUAAAAUAAAUCGAUUCAGUACCUCGUUCGGAUAGGUAGUCAAAAUUUAUAACUGAAUCAUAUGGGUGGAUUUAUUUGAUAUCAAUUAAAUCAUAUCCUUAAGUACGAAAAUUAGUUCGUUCGUUCAAUUCAGAUAAACUUACGGAUCUCGGCUACCUAGCGGAAGCAUUUGAAUUCCUAUAAAUUUACAAGCCAGAUGAUGCAUACAACACAUUCACCUGGACAGCCAAAAGAAUGAGAAGUGAAGCAUAUUAGACCAAUGCAUUGAAACUGGAGAAAAAUCUGGCUUUGAAGGAUUGUAUGCAACAAAAAAGAUUUAAAUUUUGAAGCCUCGUUAAAUAAAAGAAAAAUGCAACCACGAACCUGUAUCAGAAUUUUGACAGUUCAUCGCUUGUUUUGCAAUAUUUUGAAGAUAGUUUGUAAUAAUCUUCGGUAGCACAGAGGCUCCGUAUAACAGUUGUUCAUUAUGCGCUUCAAAUCGACGAUCACUGGCCCGUUAGACUGGAUCUAAACAUCUUGAAAGUCUUAAAACUAAAUUUCAUAAUUUUUCGUAUCAUAUAUUAUCAACGAUAAUCUUAAAAAUGAACGGCUGAAAAUAACAAUCCUCAAAAAUGAUGAUAAAACUUGAAUUAAGAUCAGAGAUACUGAUUUAUUCAAUACUGAAUAAAAUUUCUAUAAAAUAUCAUCAAAUUUGGAUAUAUUUUACAUUAUUAGUAUUUGUUGACGUUAAUUCACAAACGCAUAAAUUACCAUUAAAUUGUCAUUGAGACCUUUUUGAUCACUAGCAAAUAAUCGCAAAGCGAAAUAGUUUCAAAUUACUUGCAUAGUGUAGAAUCAAGUUACAACGAAGUCUGAUCGUCGAUUGGAAGUCGCGCAUCAUCGAAAAUCAACUUGUAGCAAUGAGCCGUCCGUCUACCCGAAGUAUACUCAGCCUACGCUCUCUCUACUCAUUCUAAAUAUAUAUAUAUUCUAUAUAUAUAUUAUAUAUUAUAAACAUCAUUAUAUAAUAGGGAUGAAACUACUAUCAUAGUGCACAGUUAAUUAGUCUAUAUAAUUUCGACCACAUUGAAUGAAAAAAAUACGGUAGGAUACGUAGAUCUCUAGGUUAGUAAAUUGGGAUUUUUGAAUAGUAUAGAACUAGGCAGAUAAAAAAUAGUCAAAGGGUUAAAUCUAACGGCGGAAAACUCGAUAGCAUCAAACGUUUUGUGCUCUCGAUUAUCCCGGACUCACUCUCUCUCUCUCUCUCUCUCUCUCUCUCUAUAUAUAUAUAUAUAUAUAUAUAUAUUUCAAAAUAUUUCUUAAAAUUCAUUUUUACGAAAUAUUAUGUCCAAAAUGUCAUAAAAUUCUUUAAGUUCUGAUAGGAGAAUCCAACUUUUUAAGGCAAGUUAUCGAUUUCAGUAAUAUUAUAAGAUUAUAUAGUAAUUCAAAAUCUUUGAAGUUCAGAAAUUUAUUCCAAAAUGAGCUAAAAUUUAAGUUUUGUAUUUUCUUCCCGGAAAAAGUUAGUUUCACCUUACAUACGGAAGUAGAACAGUAUAACUAUACAUCCACUUUUAAAAGCUUUUUUCAUGGAGAAAAUUUAAAUUUUUUAUUUGCGAAACAUCUGAUUUAUGUUUCAUAGAAAACAUAAAAGUUGAAUUAAAAUUUACUAAAUAAGAAUUCAAUAAUAAAUUUGCUUAUCUUUUAAUAUCUCCCAAAACUUCUUAAAGAGCAUGUUGGCUAGAUUUAUUCAAGUACAUACACUGUAAAAAGUGGACCAAAUGCAACAAAAAAAAGCUGAGAAAUUUUGCAGGUUGAGCAUUUUAUUAGUUGCACCCAAAAGGCUGCUAUUCACUAGUUAAAGAUACAAAGAGGAUAAUGGACAGAGACAAAUGAGUGAGAGGAAGUGGUACCUAACAAUAUCUAAAUCAGCCAAUAGCGCCGCGCCACAUGGCUAUUGAGCAAAAAAGGAUAAGGAUUUAUAACUAUCAUCAUAAUAAUAUAUAUGACCUCUUUGAUUUUGUAUUGCCUUUUUAUACCUCCAUUUGAUGCGGCCAAUUUAGCAUUAAAAUUUAUGAGGAAGGGUGAUCGAUCCAAAUUCGAUCCGAACAUGAAUUUAUUUUACAUUAUAUAUAUAUAUAUAUAUAUAAUUAUAUAUAUAUAUAUAUAUAUUAUAUAUAUAUAUAUAAUUAGCUAGGUUAUCUUCGUAGCACGAGACCUCAGUAGCUACCAAGUUUUUUUAAUGAUGCGGCUUCAAAUCUGACGAUCGGCUUCCGUUAGACUUUGAUUACACUAUCCAAAAGUAUUUGAAAACUAAAUUUCAUAAUUUUCGUAUCAUUGUAUAUAAUCAAACGAGAUAGUCAAUAAAUGAACGCGAUUGAAAAAUAAAUCUCAUUAAAAAUUAUGAAGAAGACUUGAAUAUUAAAAUCAGCAGGUACUGAAUCUUACUUCUAAUAGCUAAAAGAAAAGAAUUUAUAUAAUAAUUUCAUCUGAUUUGGAUUGUUUUACACCGUUAAUUCACAAACGAUCACAAUCUACCAUUAAAAUUAGUCAUUUUGACCUUUUGAUCCACCAGCCAAAUGCUAUUAAAAAUUAUGAAAUUUAUUUUCAAAUACUUUUAAUAGUGUAGAUCAAGUCUAACGGAGCGAUCGUUCAAUUCAAAAGCGCGAUCAUCGAAACAACUUAGGAUAGCACGAAGGCCUCCGUGCUACCGAUAGUAUAGUAGCCUAACUCUCUCUCUCUCUUCUCUCUCUCUCUCUCUCUCUCUCUAUAUGUCACCGCCCCGGAUGACUCGUUCCCGGGCACGCCGACAAAUCCGCCGUAUACAAAGAAAUUUCCCCUGUAUACGAAGCGUCAAAGUACCUGUAGAAAUACAAUGCUACAAACAGUAGCAUAGAGCUGCUCAAAAAAAUAAGCUAAAUAUCUGAGUUUCAUAUACAUAGUUAGAAUCCAAAAUACAAAGCUACUCGCACUGGCAGUUAAACAACGAUGUACAUAAACUCCAAAACAAACUACCUGCAGUAGGGAAAGCCUCUAGCUCUGACUGUCGGGUAGAGCUCUAGCUCGCAACGCCCUUGCCUCGAUCCCUGAUCGGCAGAAGGUGCAAGCCGGCACUGGUGGCUCUGCCAAAACAUAGUAACAACUGGGCGUGAGAACUACUGUAAAAACAAGUAGUCCUCAGGGGUACCGCCCAAAACGACAUCGGUCACCCACUAAGUCUAACAGAAGGGACAAGGAUAGAAGGAAAAGCAGGAAGUACACUCUUACCGCUAUCAUCCACUACACUAUCAUCUCUACACUAACCAACUGUAGGAAAUGUCAAAUCUGACCCAAUCCAAAUCAGGACUGUAAGCAUACCCGUCCCCGGACUGUGAAUACACCCGUCCCUGCCCUGUUGCGACUAUCGGGCUCUAUCCACACUAACUGGUCCGUGGAGAGCAAGUCCAACUGGCAUGAGCGACACCAACGCGAAAGCACAAAGCCUGACUCCGGAGUGGCACUCGGUGGGCGCUACCAACCGAGUAUGCAGCGUUAUCUCUUGUCGAGCUCAAAAGGCUCUGAAAAGCCACAGUCAGAGUAACGACUCAAACUGGUCUAAACCACAACAGGGUAAUGUGCCCUCGGCACAAUCUGACGCAAAAAAGGCGGGUCACCGUCAACUUGACGGACCCACUAGCGAAACAACCUGAACGAUCCUGUAAAAAUCCACUCGGCGCACCAGCACGAGCGUAAUGUAAUCUAAACUACCUGGAGUACUCGUCUCGAAGAUACUGCCGACAGUACAAUUUAAUAACGGCUCCUAGAGCUAAAUCAGGCAGUUUAAACAAGUGACACGGUCCAAAUCGCAGGUUUUUCCUAAUUCAAUUUCAGUCCAACAUGUAUAACCUACUUAAUUUAUUAUCACAUGCUCCAAAUUCAAUUUACAAUACAAUAUAAUCCAUGAAUUCGAGCUAGAAUAGAGUAUCCAAAGGUCGACGAAAUUAUACAUGCCGACGAAUAUGAAUUUUAGGAGUAAAAACCGAUGUAACCCACCUCUCAAGCAACUCCUGGCAGCGAAGAAAGCGUUAAAUCCGAUCAAGCUAACCUUAUCCAAAUUCAGCAAACAAGGGUCCUGAAGCUUCGUCUCGAAGUCACGAAUCCAAUGGCCCAGGUUUCGCUGAAUUCCAACGCUCCUACGCAGAGAACGGGCCAGAGUACGAAACGUCGACGCUCGAACCUGCGAAACAGCAUCUCUGAAAUCUGCUCGGCAAACAGCAGCCUAGUAAAACUAGGGUUCGACAGGGCAAACCUGCUCCAAAAAUCGCGAUCUUGGGCUCAGAAUCUUCGUCUUGAAGUCGUGAAUCUAGCACGUUAAAUUUCGUCGCGUUUCGACACUUCUACACAGAGAACUAGGUAAAACACGGCGGGUCGAUGCUGGAAUCAGCAAUCAGCACUUCAGAGUCUGCUCGGCAAACAGCAACUCAGUAAAAAGGGAUUUUGACAGAACAAACCUUCUCCAAAUCGGGCGAGUAAGGAUCCUAUGGAUUCGUCUCGAAGUCCCGGUUCCAACGAACCAAAUCUCGUCGAAAUCCGAUGGUCCUACGUCGCAUACGAGCUGAAAUACUAAUAGUCGACGACAAGAUCCUGCGAAUCAGUACUUAAGCUCGAAUUGAAUGAAGCUUGAAGUAGAGAAGAAAUCCAUGGAGGAAUGAGAGAUUACCCACCUCAACCAGCGACUCCAAUUCCGGCACGGCGUCGAGAAUGACGAAAUCACACCUUCGCCCGGCCUCCUCACAAUGCUACGACGACGAACGCACGCUCGAACGGCACCGCGGCGCAACGUCGACGACAAAAACCUCCCGAGCUCGAGCUCUCCACCGUGCCCACGAGCUAACAUAAAGAGAGAGAGGAUAGCAACCUUAAUUAGUAGCACCUGCCAUCUUAUCCUAAUUAAGGCGGUGGGAUAAGGUUGAAAGGUGACAAUUAUCCAAAAGCCCCUCACCUAUUACGAUAUUCAACUUUAGUCCUCUACUUUGAAACUUGAGUUUUAAAGUCUGUUUUUUUACGUCUAUUCUGCGCCAAACGUCUCGAGCUCAAUCAAGCAUAACUUAUACUAUAACCUUACUAAUUUGCUAAGGUUUAGUAUCUCACACUAUAAUAGUAUAUAUCAAUAUAUUAAAUUAUAUAUAUAUAUAUAAUUAGGCUGGAAUACUAUUAAUAGUAAAACGCUCUUUUUACUAUCAAAUUUUUAACCCUUGGAUGAAAAAUUGUAGGGUCGGAAUGAUAUUAGUUGGUUAGAGUUGAGUGGUCCCCCUAGGGUUGAGUGGUUCCCACUGGGUUAUAGUAUUUAAUCCAAUGGUUAGAAAUAAUGAAAAGAGUUGAUCCAAAGGCUAAAAAACUGAUAGCAACAAUGGAAUUUUGCUACUAAUAGUAGCCCAGUCCAACUCUAUAUAUAUAUAUAUAUAUAUGUGUGUGUGUGUGGUGUUCGAUGAACCAGUUUAGAGUUGAUCAAUAAUUGUUUUUCUCUUUUCGAAGAAAUGACUUAUUUCUAUAUAUCUCUCUACUUCUGCUUCUUCUCUCUCAAUAGGUCUUGAGCUUCCUCACCAUUGCUCUCUUCUCAAACAGAAAGAUUCAAGUUUUUGACUAUACAGUGGAAAGCCUAAAUGUAAUAUACUUUUGAGCUUUAAAGUACUUUUUAAAAGGCUAAAUUACACUUUUGGUCUUCAAAUUAUGACACUAUGACUUAUUGCAAUUUGUACCUUAAACUUUCUAAAUUGUUAUAUUCAAAUCUUAUACUCAAUUGAAUUAACUAAGUAUUAAUAUAUUUCUAAUAUAAAAGUAAUGUAGUAGCAUCAUAUUGACGACGUGAUAAUAAUUAAUAUAUCACAUUAUUUUUAUAUUAAUAAUUUGUCAAUAUGUAGCCAAAUAAUUAAUUAGGUUGAAACACUUGAUUGCAACAAUUUACACAGUUUAGGCCAGAAAUGGCAACAAAUUAAAAUUAAAAUUUAAAACUAAAGGGUCACACGUCUUAUAGUUUGAGAAUCAAAAGUGCUCGCAAUUUAUAUCGUUUAAAGUGGUUAUUUGACAAAUAAAUUCGUAUUCACUUUUUUAUUCUUUGAAGAAAAUAUCUUCCGAGUUAUGGUGCAUUACAAAUCCAGCCAAUAAUGAUUAAAAAAAAAAUUUAAAAAAAAAGAAAGUUUAUCUGCUGACUUUCCAACUGCUGAAAAAUUUUGAUUACAAAAAUUAAAAAGAACAAUAACAUUAUAUGAUGUUAUAAAACUUCUGUGUUCAAUUAUAUUAAGAAUUACAAACAAUAAUUUAAUGUAAAAAAAGAGUUUAGUACAUCUAUAAAUAUUCUGUAGCAUAAAAUACUCUUUGCAAAAGCUGAUCAUGGCAAACAACAAAACCUGUGAAUCCCACAUGCAAAGUGUCAUCUAAAUCUAUUAGAAAAAGAGGGUUUCUAAGUUCAAUAAAAUAUUUGGGACUCAGAUUGAGCAAAGUAGAGGGAUUGGGACAAUUCCUGGCUCUGUUUUUAUAUUCUAUGGACUAACACAUAUACUUAAUUUUCCACUGAACUAUACAGGCUCUGUAUGUGUACUAUGUUGUCUUCUUCUGUGUCAUGCAAUAAAUUCUAGUGUCUACACCAAUGAGGAAUCAUUCUCUAUACCAGGUCCACAAUGAACCAACUCUUUAAAAUUUCAAUUUAGAUGCUUUAAAGCAAAAUUUUAAGCUAUUGCAUGUGAUCUAAGUCAGCAAAAUGGUCUCCACCUCAAAAAUCAUAAUUUGUAAGAACAAAUUUGUCAUGAAAUGAACAGAACAAUCCCCCUUUCCACAUUACAAAUGUUUGGGAUUAUCUGAUAAUAAGAUAUAAAUGUUUAGUAGGACUUGUUCAAUCCUUAUCCAAUUGAGUGGCUAGUCAAUGUGGAGCAAUUAAAAGCUGUUGAAUCUACUGUUGCGCUUGCAUUAAGUCAACGAAAACUCCAUUUUACAAUUGUGGGCCGCAACAAUGAGUAAGAUGCUGACUAAAUAGGCCGUACACUAUUACAAAUAUUGAUCAUAUUUAAUAGUUUAGAUUUAAAUUCCGAGGGCUCCAAAUUUGAAAUAAAUACGCCAGCUUUGACUGAUGUGGCAGACCAGCUCAAGGCAAUAAUCUGUCCUACACUGCAGCCAGAGUCAUCACGACAACAAAUUUAGAAUGCACCGAUUAUAUUAUUGACAUGACAUGUCUCAACCAAUAAGAUUGUUUUUUUUAGGCUCACCGGUCCUAUUAUGAUUAAUAAAAAAAUAUUUUUGCUAUAUUUUUUUUAAAAAAAAAUUAUAAUUAAUUUGUUAUUAAUGACGUGGUGCAAGUGUGAUACAGUAGGCUUUUUGGAGCCAUCACAUGAGUACGAAAAACUCCCGUGACAGAUUGGUGUAGGGACACUUUUUAAAAGAAAAGGAGAGAUAUUAAAUGAUAUGAUUUGUAUACACACCAACCACUAUUGAAUGAGAAUAUGACGAGGUAAUGGACUUUGGAUUUGGACCACUACUUGCAAACCCUAUUAUAAAAAAGAAAAAAAAAAAAAACCAUAAAACCCUUUGUCAGAUUCCUUCUGUAUUCAGCAGCUGUAAACGGUUUUGGUGCCAAGCUUCUUGAAUAUGUUUCUCUGAUGGAGAAGAUAGAAGCAGUUAUUUCAAAAGGUUAAUUUUAUAUAGGUUCAUGCAAAUAUAGUAAAUAAUAAAUAUAUCCCAAUAAAGUUUAAUUUUUAUAUAUUAUUUCUAUAAAAAUUCUGAUAUUUUUAAAUAUAUCUUUCUAGUUUGUUACCGUUAAAGAACCAUUAAAAAAUUAUUUACAUUUCCAAUUUUGCGAUCACAAAUAUGAUCUUUUAAAAAUCAUAACAGUAUAAUAUAAGAAGGAUAAAAAUAUCAAAAAUUAAUUAAAAUAAAGUAUUUAACCUACGGUUAACUAUAUUUUUUUAAUAGAUUCUAACGGAAGGGACAUAUUUGAAAAUAACAGAAUUUUUAUAGAAACAACAUAUGAAAGUUAUCUGUCUAUCUUUUACCUAUUUUUUCGUGUGCCUAUUAUUUCAAUCCAAUCGUACAACACUCAACAUCAUCCUCUACACUCUAAAGAUCUCGCACACCACGUCCGCUGACUUUCUUUGGAGCAUCGGACACUUUGGCGUCGAGCCAAUCACCGCUAUGCCCUUCUAAAAAUUUGAAAAAGUUAGUGUCGAGAUUGCUUAGAAUUUACUAUACGAUAGAUGUGAUUUAUAUUAUCACAUGGGAUAAAAGUUGACGUGGUCUAUUACGUCAAAAUUAAUAAAAAUUUGGCUUAGUUUAGUAUUGAGUCUCAUCUGACGCUAUUAAAUAAAGUAGAGUUCGAAUAAAAGCAUAUAAGAGUACGCUUUUGCGUUUCUGGUGGGACCGUAAAAAAUAUAUUGUAACCGACUUAUUGCGAUAUGCGUAACGCAACAUUACGUACGGAAACAAAUAGAAUAUUUUCUCAUUGUACUUUCUCACCGCACAUACCGAUUUCCCAGUGGAAUGGGAAUCAUCAUACUUUCUCACCGCACAUACCGAUUUUCCAGUGGAAUGGGAAUUUCCCAAUCACCUCUUUUUCCAAUCCGGCCGGAUUGGAUGUUGAUUUCCGACGGAAUGGAUAUUUAUUCGGAUUAAAUUUAUUAUUUCAACUUUUUUAAUUAAAAUGCGAAUUUAAAUUUAGAAAUUAUAUUUUAAAUUUUAAAUUUUAAUUUCAACUUGAAUUAAAAAUAAAAUUUAAUCAAGUAUUUCGAAUUUAACUUACGAAUUUGAAUUUAAAUUAAAUUUUAGUUUAUAUAAAGUUUUAUUCAAAUUUUAUUUAAAACUUAAAUUAAAUUUAUGGAUUCAAAUUAAAAUUUAAAUUGUAAUUUUAAGUUUGAAUUUGAAUAAAUCGAAAUUUAGUUUCUAUUUUGAAUUAUCCACUUAACUUUAAAGUUUAAUUUUUUAAAAAAAAUAGAUUUAAAAUUUUAACAUUAUUUCAAAAUUUUGAUGUAAAUUUUUAAUUUUUAAUUUUUAAUUUGAAUUUAAAUUAAUAUAUUAUAAAGAUAAAAUUAGUAUGUUGAUCUGAUUAUGUUUUUUAUAUUUACCUUAACCAAAUACCGACAAUGGGAAUAAUUUUAACCAAAUACCGACAAUGGGAAUAAUUUAUUCCGAUUCCGAUUCAGGUGAUGAAUCAAACAGAAUUAGGUAAUGAGUCAUUCCAAUUCCGAUUCUAGCUUAUUUCGAUUCCGAUUCUCUCCGAACCAAAUACGCCCAUAAUGUAAUCUCUCUGCAAUACUAAAAAAAGCUUUGGAAUCGUUGUGGCGUAAUUACUACAAUAAUAUAAAAAGUUUAAAGACAUAAUUAGGCUCAACCAUCUCAAGAAGCCCAAGUGUAGCACUAUUACUCGGUUUUUUUUUGUUUUUUUUUUUUGAGAGAUAGGUAGCACGCUAUCCGUUUCAUUUAUUUCAUUUAGAAAUAAACUUAGCUGAAAAUAUGAAUCAACUAGGAUUCGAACUUGGGUCUCAGAUACCAACCAUCAAGCCUUUUGCCACUUGCUCUAGGGACGUUGGUACUAUUACUCACUUGUUGAGAAUGGUCUUUCGUGCUAUAGACCACGUUGAGAAAGACCAAAAAAUCAAAACCGUACCAUUUGGGUUCCUCGAAAGGGAGGUGCUCUUGAUGAUUAGGAAUGUCAAUACAUAAAGAUAUCCAAAUUUUUAUCCGAAUCUGCAUCGGAGCAUAUUUAUUCUAUACUAAACGGAUAUGAUUUUAGAUAUAGAUAUCAAAAAUAAAAAUCCGAUGAAUAUAAAUUUUGACUGUAUCCAACCCGAAUCCGAACCUGAAUCCGAAUUUAUUUUACAUUAUAUGAUAUGUAUAUAAAAAUUAGAUAUUAUAUUUUAAAAUUUUAGAUUAAUGUAAUAUAUUUUAAAAUAUUAAAAAGAGAAAUAAUUAUUUUGGUUCGGAUUUUCGGGUUUGGAUUUCAAAGUUUUGGUCGAAUUCAGGUUUGGAUAUGGACUUUUAAAAUCCGUCAAAUUCUGAUUCAGAUUUCAGAUUUGGUGUCGGAUUCAGGUUCGGGUUUUUAAAAAUCCGCUCUGAAUCCAAUCCGUUGACAUCCCUACUGAUGAUAGUACGAACGACUGUCCGAAGUGCAAUGACGGGCUUGGAUAGGAUUAGGAUUGUGCGUGCCGACGGCCUUCAAUGGCAGCUUUUUUUCUACUUGAAAAUUGCAUAAACUUUCAGAUGUCAAAACUUUGAUAAACAAAAAUUACGAAACUUUUUUUCUUUUAUUACGGAGGAAAACUGAAAUAAGUAUUUGAGCUUCAAAUGCGUACUUCUAAGUCGAAAAUUUUGCUUCUGUGGCAACGAGAACGAAUUAAUGUCAAGUAGGUAGCAAAAGAGUUAGAAAGUUCCAGCCCGGCCCAAGGCACUUGUAUAUUCUACACAGAGUUGGAUCAGUCUCAUAUGCCUCCACAGCUAAAGGCACGUUCCGACGGUUCGGUUGUCCAAAAGUAGCUAAAACGAAUAUAUAUAUAUAUAUAUAUAUAUAUAGAGUUGAGCUGGAAUGCUAUCGGUAGCAAACGGACUCCAUUGCCAUCCAUUUGUUUUUUAUGGUGGAGCUUUCAAAUUGAUGAUCGGCACCGUUGAACAUGAUCUAUAUCACUUGAAGUAUCUAGAAUUCAAAUUUCAAAUCUUUUCGAUAUCAUUUACCUAAUGAUCAAAGGGUUUUAAAAUUAGUAAUUUUAAUGGUUGAUAUGAGGGGUUUUCUCGUUUAACGGUGUAAAGCUAUCCAAAUCAAUUGANACUAAAAAAAGCUUUGGAAUCGUUGUGGCCUAAUUACUACAAUAAUAUAAAAAGUUUUUUUUUUUUUGAGAGAGAUAGGUAGCACCCUACCCGCUUUAUUUAUUUCAUUUAGAAAUAAACUUAGCUGAAAAUAUGAAUCAACUAGGAUUCGAACUUGGGUCUCAGAUACCAACCAUCAAACCCUUUGCCACUUGCUCUAGCGACCUUGGUAUUAUUACUCACUUGUUGAGAAUGGUCUUUCGUGCUAUAGACCACAUUGAGAAAGACCAAAAAAUCAAAACCGUACCAUUUGGGUUCCUCGAAAGGGAGGUGCUCUUGAUGAUUAGGAAUGUCAAUACAUAAAGAUACCCAAAUUUUUAUGCGAAUCUGCAUCGGAGCAUAUUUAUUCUAUGCUAAACGGAUAUGAUUUCAGAUAUAGAUAUCAAAAAUAAAAAUCCGAUGAAUAUAAAUUUUGACUGUAUCCGACCCGAAUCCGAACCUGAAUCCGAAUUUAUUUUACAUUAUAUGAUAUGUAUAUAAAAAUUAGAUAUUAUAUUUUAAAAAUUUAGAUUAAUGUAAUAUAUUUUAAAAUAUUAAAAAGAGAAAUAAUUAUUUUGGUUCGGAUUUUCGGGUUUGGAUUUUGAAUUUUUGGUCGAAUUCGGGUUAGGAUAUGGACUUUUAAAAUCCGUCAGGUUCUGAUUCAGAUUUCAGAUUUGGAGUCGGAUUCAGGUUCGGGUUUUUAAAAAUCCGCCCCGAAUCCGAUCGGUUGACAUCCCUACUGAUGAUACUACGGACGGCUGUCCGAAGUGCAAUGACGGGCUCGGAUAGGAUUAGGAUUGUGCAUGCCGGCGGCCUUCAACGGCAGCUUUUUUUCGACUUGAAAAUUGCAUAAACUUUCAGAAAGUGUUUGAGCUUCAAAUGCGUACUUCUAAGUCGAAAAUUUUGCUUCUGUGGCAACGAGAACGAAUUAAUGUCAAGUUGGUAGCAAAAGAGUUAGAAAGUUCCAGCCCGGCCCAAGCCACUUGUAUAUUCUACACAUAAUUGGAUCAGUCUCAUAUGCCUCCACAGCUAAAGGCACGUUCGGUUAGGGAUGUCAAUGGGUAUGGAUACCCGAAAUUUUAUCCGAACCCGAAUCCGAAUGAAACGGAUAUAUCCGAUGAAUAUUGAUAUGGAUUCGGAUAUGGAUAUAAAAAAUAGAAACCCGACGGAUAUGGAUUUGGAUAUGGAUUUUGAUUGUACCCGACCCGAACCCCAACCUGAACCCGACCCAAACCCGAAUUUAUUUUGUAUUAUAUAUAUAUAUAUAUAUAUANNNNNNNNNNNNNNNNNNNNNNNNNNNNNNNNNNNNNNNNNNNNNNNNNNNNNNNNNNNNNNNNNNNNNNNNNNNNNNNNNNNNNNNNNNNNNNNNNNNNNNNNNNNNNNNNNNNNNNNNNNNNNNNNNNNNNNNNNNNNNNNNNNNNNNNNNNNNNNNNNNNNNNNNNNNNNNNNNNNNNNNNNNNNNNNNNNNNNNNNNNNNNNNNNNNNNNNNNNNNNNNNNNNNNNNNNNNNNNNNNNNNNNNNNNNNNNNNNNNNNNNNNNNNNNNNNNNNNNNNNNNNNNNNNNNNNNNNNNNNNNNNNNNNNNNNNNNNNNNNNNNNNNNNNNNNNNNNNNNNNNNNNNNNNNNNNNNNNNNNNNNNNNNNNNNNNNNNNNNNNNNNNNNNNNNNNNNNNNNNNNNNNNNNNNNNNNNNNNNNNNNNNNNNNNNNNNNNNNNNNNNNNNNNNNNNNNNNNNNNNNNNNNNNNNNNNNNNNNNNNNNNNNNNNNNNNNNNNNNNNNNNNNNNNNNNNNNNNNNNNNNNNNNNNNNNNNNNNNNNNNNNNNNNNNNNNNNNNNNNNNNNNNNNNNNNNNNNNNNNNNNNNNNNNNNNNNNNNNNNNNNNNNNNNNNNNNNNNNNNNNNNNNNNNNNNNNNNNNNNNNNNNNNNNNNNNNNNNNNNNNNNNNNNNNNNNNNNNNNNNNNNNNNNNNNNNNNNNNNNNNNNNNNNNNNNNNNNNNNNNNNNNNNNNNNNNNNNNNNNNNNNNNNNNNNNNNNNNNNNNNNNNNNNNNNNNNNNNNNNNNNNNNNNNNNNNNNNNNNNNNNNNNNNNNNNNNNNNNNNNNNNNNNNNNNNNNNNNNNNNNNNNNNNNNNNNNNNNNNNNNNNNNNNNNNNNNNNNNNNNNNNNNNNNNNNNNNNNNNNNNNNNNNNNNNNNNNNNNNNNNNNNNNNNNNNNNNNNNNNNNNNNNNNNNNNNNNNNNNNNNNNNNNNNNNNNNNNNNNNNNNNNNNNNNNNNNNNNNNNNNNNNNNNNNNNNNNNNNNNNNNNNNNNNNNNNNNNNNNNNNNNNNNNNNNNNNNNNNNNNNNNNNNNNNNNNNNNNNNNNNNNNNNNNNNNNNNNNNNNNNNNNNNNNNNNNNNNNNNNNNNNNNNNNNNNNNNNNNNNNNNNNNNNNNNNNNNNNNNNNNNNNNNNNNNNNNNNNNNNNNNNNNNNNNNNNNNNNNNNNNNNNNNNNNNNNNNNNNNNNNNNNNNNNNNNNNNNNNNNNNNNNNNNNNNNNNNNNNNNNNNNNNNNNNNNNNNNNNNNNNNNNNNNNNNNNNNNNNNNNNNNNNNGUCCAAAAGUAGCUAAAACGAAUAUAUAUUAUAUAUAUAUAUAUAAUAUAGAGUUGACUGGAAUGCUAUCGGGUAGCCAAACCGGACUCCAUUUGCCACCAUUUGUUUUUUAAUGGUGGAGCUUUCAAAUUGAUGAUCGGCACGUUAACCAUGAUCUAUAUCACUUGAAGUAUCUAGAAUUCAAAUAUUCAAAUCUUUUCGAUAUCAUUUACCUAAUGAUCAAAGGGUUUUAAAUAUUAGUAAUUUUAAUGGUUGAUAUGAGGGGGUUUUCUCGUUUAACGGUGUAAGCUAUCCAAAUCAAUUGAAUUUUGGUUAGAAAAUUCUUUUAAACUAUUUAGAACAAGAUCUAUACUCCGAUCAUGAUUACAAAACUUCUAUCAUCACAUUUUAGAGGAUAUUCAUUUUCAGCCAUUCAUUUUUACGCCACUUGAUGGACAAGAAAAUAAUAUCGAAAAAGUAUGAAAUUUAUUCCUAGAUACUUCAAGUGGUAUAGAUCAUGUUCAACGGUGCGAUCGUCGAUUUUGAAAGUCCAUUAUCGAAAACAAAUGGGGCAACGGAGGCCCGUUUGCUACCGAUAGUAUUCCAGCUCAACUCUCUCUCUCUCUCUCUUAUAUAUAUAUAUUAUAUAUAUAUAUAUAUAUAUAUAUAAUUAGGCUGGAAUACUAUUAAUAGUAAACGCUCUUUUUGCUAUCAAGUUUUAACCCUUGAAUGAAAAAUUGUAGGGUCAGAUGAUGAUGAUUAGUCGGUUAGAGUUCGAGUGGUCCCCUAGGUUGAGUGGUCCCCACUGGGUUAUAGUAUUUAAUUCCAAUGGUAAGAAAUAAUGAAAGAGGGUGAUCCAAAGGCUAAAAACUGGCGAGCACAAUGAAAUUUUGCCUACUAAUAGUAGCCAGUCCAACUAUAUAUAUAUAUAUAUAUAUAUAUAAUAGAGUAGGGCUAGAAUACUUGUAAAAGUAUCUAUUCGGGGGUGAUUACUGUGUGUUUUUAGCCUUUGGAUGGAGAGAUGUGAGGUUGAGAUGAUGGUGUAGGUGGUGUAGGUGGAAUGUGUUUUAAUCCAAGGGCUAUUAAUAAUCAAAAAGCAGAUCCAAUGGGCUUAAAACCUAAUAGCACCAUGAUGGUGAUUCUUAUAAAAGUAUCAUAGCUCAACUCUAUAUAUAAUAUAUAUAUAUAUAUAUAUUAAUAUAGUUGAGCUAGAAUACUUUCAAAAGCACCAAGAGUUCCUUUAAUACUUUUGAGUUUUUAACCCUUGGAUGGAGAAAUAUAAGAUUGGAAUAAUGAUAUUAGUUGUGGUAGGUGGAAUAGUGUUAGAUACCAAGGGCUAUUAGUAAUUAAGGAGUAAAUCCAAGGGCAAAAACCUAGAAGCACCAAAGGGUAAUACUUCUAAAAGUAUUCUAGCUCAAAUUAUAUAUAUAUAUAUAUAUAUAUAAUAUUAUAUAUAGAAUUAGGCUGGAAUACUGUUAAUAGUAAACGCUCUUUUGGCUAUCAAGUUUUUAACCCUUGGAUGAAAAUUGUAGGGUUAGGAUGAAUUUAGUCAGUUAGAGUUAUGUGUCCACUAGGUUGAGUGUCCCCCUGGGUUAUAGUAUUUAAUCCAAUGGUUAGAAAUGAUGAAAGAGUUGAUCCAAAGGCUAAAAAACUGGUAGCAACAAUGAAAUUUUGCUACUAAUAGUAGUCCAGUCCAACUAUAUAUAUAUAUAUAUAUAUAUAUAUAUUAUAUAAUUAUGCUCCUAUACUAUCAAUAGUAUCAAGCCCUUGGUACUAUGAGUUUUUGGCGUUGGAUGAAAGGAUGUGCGGUUAGGAUGAUAGUGGUCCCCUAGCGGUUGAAGUGGGUGGUUGGUUUAAUAGUAUAAUCUAACGGGUGAAAAUGAUCACAGGGUAGAUCUAACGUUAGAAAACUCUAUAGUACCAAAGGCUGGUACUAUCAAUAGUAUAGUAGCGGACUAUAUAUAUAUAUAUAAUAUAUAGAGACAGAGAGAAGAGACGAGAGAGAGAGAGAGAGUUGAGCUGAAUACUAUCGAUAGCAAACGGGCUCCGUUGCCCACCAUUUAUUUUCGGAUGAUGGAGCCUCCCAAAUGACAAUCAGCACGUUGAACAUGAUCUAUACCACUUGAAGUAUUUAGAAAUCAAUUUCAAAUCUUUUCGACAUCAUUUGCUAAUGAUCAAAGGGUUUCAAAAUUUGUAAUUUUAAUGUCGAUAUAAAAGCGUUUUCUCGUCUUACGGCGUAAAGAUAUCCAAAUCAAUUGAAUUUUUGUUAGAAAAUUCUUUAAACUAUUUAAAAUAAGAUCUAUACUCUUGAUCUUGACUACAAGACUCUUAUCAUCAUUUUUUAAAGAAUAUUUAUUUUUAGCCGUUCAUUUUUGUGUUCACUCGAUGGAUAAGAGAAUAAUAUCGAAAAUAUGUGAAAUUUGAUUCUAAACACUACAAGUGGCAUAGAUCAUGUUCAACGGUCCGAUCGUCGAUUUGGAGGCUCCAUCAUCGAAAACAACGCGGUGGCAACGGAGCACGUUUGCUACCAAUAGUAUUCUAGCCUCAACUAUAUAUAUAUAUAUAUAUAUAUAUAUAUAUAAUAUAUAUAUAUAUAUAGAGUUGGAGAUUGGGCUACUAUAUUGUAGCAAAAUUCUAUUAUUGCUACCAGUUUUUAGCCAUUGGAUUAACUCUUUUCAUCAUUUAUUGACCAUUGGAUUAAAUACAUAACCUAGUGAGGACCACUCAACCCUAUAUAUAUAUAUAGAAUUAGGCUGGAAUACUAUUAGUAUAAACGCCUCUUUUUGCUAUCAAGUUUUAACCCUUGGAUGAAAAUUGUAGGGUCGGAUGAUAUUAGUCGUUAAGUUAAGUGAUCCCCCUAGGUUGAGUGGUCCUCACUGGGUUAUAGUAUUUAAUCCAAUGGUUAGAAAUAUGAAAAGAGUGAUCCAAAGGCUAAAAAUAACUACUCUUUUCAUUAUUGCUACCAGUUUUUUAGCCUUGGAUCAACUCUUUUCAUUAUUUCUAACCAUUGGAUUAAAUACUAUACCCAGUGGGGACCACUCAACCCUAGGGGACCACUCAACUCUAACGACUAAUAUCAUCCUGACCCUCAAUUUUUCAUCCAAACGUUAAAACUUGAUAGCAAAAAAUAGCAUUUUACUAAUAAUAGGUAUUCCAGCCUAAUUCUAUAUAUCUAUACUAUAUAAUAAAAGCGUAUAAAAAUUCCGACAAUGACAAACGGAAUCCAAAAAAGAAUAAAAUAAUAUUCCCUGUGAAUGAUUGUAAUUAAUUUUUUAAAAAUCUCAAAUAAAAGCGAACGGUUAUGAUCAAUCUAUUAAAUCUCUACUAUAUCAAAAAAAAUAAAUAAUAUUUCCUAUGAAUGGUUAUGAUUAAUUUGUUAAAAAUAUCUCAAAUAAAAGUGAACGGUUAUGAUUAAUCUAUUAAAUCUUAUUAUAUAUAAAUAUUUAUUCUCUACAAAUGGUUAUGAUCAAUUUGUUAAGAAUACCAUUCUUAUUCAUCAUUUAUUUUAUAUUAAAAUUAAAAUUUGAUUUUAAAUUAUGAAUUAAAUUAAAUUUUGAUUACAAAUUGAAUUAACAAUUAAUUUUUUUAUUACAGUAGAUGAAAAUUAAAUUUAAAUUUAAGAUAAAUGUGAAUUAAAUUUGAUGCUUUUAAUUUAAAAUACAUAUUUAAAUUUGAUUCAUCAAAAAUCAAAAGUAUAUAAAAAUGUUCGAUGUAUAUAAAAAAAAGAAUACUGUAGGAUAUUUAUAAUAUUUUCUAAUAAAAAUUCAUAUUAAUUAUAAAUAUAAUUUUUUAUUGUAAAUUUUGAAUAUAUAUAAUGUACAAAUUUAUAUUGAUUUGAAAUAAUAUUAAUAUUAUUAUGUGCAUUUGCACGUACAUUCAACUAUAUAAUAUAUAUAUAUAUAUAUAUAUAUAUAUAUAAUAUAUAUAUAUAUAUAUAUAUAUAGAGCCGGCGCUACUAUGCUAUCAUCAUUUUUAGAGUAAGAUCAGUAUAUCUGAUCUUGAAUUUAAACUUUUAUCAUCAUUUUUUAUGAGAUUUUUAUUUUCAGCCGUUCAAUUUUAGACUACUUGUUUGAUAGGUAAAUGAUAUCGAAAAAUUAUGAAAUUUAGUUUCUAAAUACUUUCAUAGUGUAGAUCAAGUCUAACGGAGCCGAUCGUCGAUUUGGAACCGCAUCAUCGAAAACAACUUGGUAGCACGGAGCGCUCCGUGCUACCAUAGUAUAGUAGCCUAGUUCUAUAUAUAUAUAUAUAUAUAUAUAUAUAUAUUAUAUAUAAAAGUGAUUUUUCCAAAGUAACUUUUUAAUUCUGAUGAUUAGUUAACUAUAAAGUGAAACAUAAAUAAUUAUAGCUUUACAAUUUUGAUUGUAUUAUCAUAUAGAAAUGUAAAAAUAUAAAAAGUAAUUUAUAUUCGCAAAUUAAAUUAAAAAUUUAUAUUUAUAUUUAUAUCUAGAAUUUAAGAUUUAAUUUUAAAUUUUAAAUUUAAACAUAAAUCUGAGUUGAAUUUAUAAUUAAAAAUUAAGACAUAAAUUAAAUUUGAAAUUUGAAUUCAAAGUUUAAUUAUAACUCAUAACUAAAAUUAAAUUCUCAAAUAAAAGUUCAACAUAAAAAUUAGAACAUUUAUUCAAAUUUGAAUUCAUAAUUUGAAUCAUAUUUUAAUUUGCUCAUUGCUCUUAAAUUAUGAAUUCAAAUAUGAAUUCACAAUUUAAAUUAACAUUUAAAUUAAAAUUAAAAUUAAAAUUUAAGUUUAAAUCACAUAUCAAACUAAACAUUUGAAUUCAUAAUUUGAAUUCAAAGUUCAAUCUGAAACUACUUUGAAAUUAAAUAUUAUUAAGCUUAAAUGUGAAUUUGAAUUUGAAUUUCAACCUAAAAUUUUAAAUUCAAGUUUCAAUCAAUAAUUUGAAUUUAUGGUUGGAAUCAUUUGAAUUCAAGGCUCAAAUUUAAUUUCUUAGCUAAAAAUAAUUUGAUUAAAAUUAAAAUUAAAAUUAAAAUUUCAUCAAUCAAAUUUAAAUAAUUUUAAAAUUUUAAAAUUUAAUAUAACUAUAAAUUCACAAAAUUUUAAUUUAAAAAUUUUAUGUUGAAUUUGAAUUUACAAAUAAAAUUUAGAAUGCGAAUUUAAAUUCAUAAUUUUAAUUCAAAUUUAAAGUGAAAUUCAAAUUUAAAAAUAAAUUCAAAGAUUAAAGUUAAAAGUAAAUAGAACCUCUUCGAUAAGCUUUUUACUUUGGUUGGCUUUCGAUAUUUUUGACCCGAAGUCAAAAAAGUGAGAUUUAGUUAUAACUUUACCAACUCAUUUUUGUAAAGUGACUCUUAUUUUUGUAAACCAAACAACCGAUAAAACGUCACUUUUCAAAAGUAUCAUUUUCAGUGUUUCACUUUCGACCAAUCAAACAUGCCUUAAAGACAAUUUACUUUCACGCGACGAACGCACAAACAAAACAACAAAAGACGACCGCAAAGUAGACAAAUACAGAUAGAAUAAAAUAAAAUAAAUAGAAUACAAGUAUUUACAUGAAAAAUUCUUUACAAAAAAGGAGAGAACUUUAUUAUGAAAAAGAAAGUAUAAUGUUUUUUUUCUUGUUUUUUUUUUUUGGAGAUUACAGAUUCUCUGUAACGCCUCUAGCACAAAAAGAUAAAAUAGGUUCCUUGACGGAUAUUUUCAAUAUCGGAUCCGACCUGCAGGCGGAGCCCCCCGCACAGCCUAUCGGAUAUCAUUGGUGGGCUAUGGACUACAGCUGGCCCGAGCCCUCCGGUUCCUGGCCCGAGCCCUCCGCUUCCCACCACAAACAUCUAUUCUUCUUUUACAAAUUAAUUUUUAAAAUUUAUCACAUCGCGAAGCUGUCAGCGAAUCAAGGACGCAAAAUCAAAAACAAUUUUGAGGCACAUCCAACGCAUAUAUUUAUACACAAAAUUAUGCAUCUACUGCAUCUUUCAGAACAAACAAAGAGAAGAAGAAUUGAGAAUUGCAUGUGAACGUGUUCCAAUUAAUUUACAAAGCUAGACAUGAGAAAAAAAAAAAAAAGAAAAAAAAAAGAAGAAAAAACACACUAGGAAAUAAUUGAUCUCGUGAGUAGUAGUACAGUUGAAAGCAGGGCAUCACUACAUAUAUGAUAAGCUAAACAUAAAAGAAAAUUGAUCUCUCGAUGAGUGAUAGGGAACCAAGUGUACUGAAACAGCAAAAAAGUUGCUGCUUCUACGGCCCCGACAUAAUUCGUAUUUAGGAAGUAUUGCGGCAUGCAGUUUUAACUUUAAAGAGAACAUAGGUGGAGAGGUUUCCUGCAAAGAAAAGAUUUCCGCUGUUUUCUUUGUUUUGCAACUUUUGAUCUACUUUUCCCCUUUUUGCACAAUUUCGGACUGAAACUUUCCUUUGCAAUCCUUGUGCUGAAUGUAUGCAUUAGAGACUUUUAGAGCUAGGUAACUUUGCUGCACAAGAAGAUACUGUCGGUUCGAAGUUGCAAAAUCCACGGAACAACUUCUCCUGCGAAACGGCCGAGUCGGUUUGGUCUUCUUCAAGAAUUACUUAGCUCCGUUGGGGUCGCGCACGGCGCGAGAGAGUUCGGAGGCACAGUUGCUCCGCCCCCUCUUAGAGACAAGGAAAAAUCUUUGUUUGAGCUGGCGUGUACUGCAAAGUUUGAAUCAAGGAAUAGAACAAUGACAGUAAUGUCAUCAUGGAAAUGCCGACGGACUCCACGAUCAAUUUUCUUUAAAUCCGAAUAUCUCAUUUCUCUCUUCCUGGCUGCUUCUUGAAGAGCAGCUUUAAUGAGUCUCCGAGCACUCCCCUGCAGGAAUUAAUUGCAGAUGAAAUUCGAUACAACUUCACAAAUUGCCCAAAAGCCGAGAAAAUUGCAGCAGAGGGAGCAUAACCACAAACACUAUUAAAUUAUACUGUACCUAACAAAUGAUGAACACUAUACUUUCUGAAUCAAACUGUUAGGUCCAUUUCAGUCAUCAUUGUAUAAUAACAAUUACAAUCUGUGUAAAACUUAGCCGAAGUUUAAACAGAAUGUUCUGAAAUGAAACAAGAUAUCCUGUUAUUUGCGGCAUAUAAUCAAACUACUUUGACGGAAACCAUUACAUUUAAAUAGAAGUUGAUUGAAUUUUUGAGUUGAUAAGUAAUAAAAGAUUACUAAAAAGAGAACUUCUAAAGUUGAAAUACCCAUUUCAAAAUUCACUGUGGUUCACUGAUCUAUAAUUUUUUUUAAAAAAAAAUACCAACAAUUGUUUCAUGUACCCACCAUUCAAAGUUAGCAAUAUUGAAAUGGCAAAUUAUCCAAGUGAAAUGUCCCAACAAUUUAUAGCCCAGUUUUUAACUUUUAUGUCGAAUGCCUGUAAAAAAAAUCAAUACAUUGAUUUGUUUUUUAAAAAUUAUGCAGAUCAACCUAGAAAGUUUCUUCACGAUAUGUCAUUCACUGCCUAAAAGAGUACAAUCAUAUAAAAAAAUUGAAAAAUAGGAUACUAAGAUGGAAAGCAUACAGUUCGGGGGUGAUUCUGCACAAUAUCAACCGCUUCCUGAUUGCUGAGGUGCUCCCAGAGCCCAUCAGAAGCGAAUAUGACAAAUUGAUCCUCUGGCUGAAGUUGCUGUACAGAAAUUGAUGGUUCAGAACUAAGAAUUGGUUUUUUAAAUGGCUCUCGAAGGCGGAACUUAGAAUAUAAAGGUUCUCUGUUGUACUCCGGCUUUUUGAGGUAUACAUCUCCGAUUGACCUUGACACCUGCAAGUUAAAAAAAUACAGUUACUUAACAGUAAAGAUUAAAAAAAAAAGUCGUUCACAGGUACAAGUAUCUUAAUUGGUCUUGAAGAAUCAGGAUUUUGGAUCAAAGAAAUGAGAAGCUUGUCUUAUAGUUAGGGAUGAACACAGCCGAACAAGGCCGGAUAUCGGAAGAAAUCGUAUUGGCAGCCACCAUUGAUAUGCAAAUACGGAUAUUAGAAGGAUGCCUAGUUUCAUAAACCAUUUUAGAUCAAAAAACAUAUGGAUAUGAAACAGAUAUGGAUAGGAGUCAGAUUAAGGACGGAUACAAAAUCCAGUCGAAGUUGGAUCUGGCGCCAGUUGCUGCUGCCAACGAAAUCUAGAUGGAAUUGGAGGACAGAUUGCUGGAAAGGAGAUGAUCGCUACUUACAAAGGUUUUUGAGAAAGGGAAUGAGAUGAUCAGUAUGAAUCAUGAAGCAUACUCACUUCUUCAAAGGAAAAAAAAAAAAAAAAUCUUACAUAAUAAAUCUUCGGUUGACCUCUAACAACGUUGUUCUAGUAUAGUGGUAUCCCUAGUGGUAGUUCCAAGAGGUCCAGAUAGCAGUUCCUUCUGAGACGCUGCUCUCCAUCCUCUGGUUUUGGCUGAUGGAGACACAUUCUUUGUUUUAUUCCACUAUCUUUUCCAAUUUCCUCUCCAAUCCUCUGUUUCCUUCUGUACUAUCGAUAACUUUUCAAAUCUUACAUCUAUCUUGUGGCUUUCCUCUCUUCUGAUGUCUCCUAUCUUCUAAGAGUUUCCUUCUUUUCGGAUAUAUUAAAAGAUCAGUUGAAGUUCUGUUUACCAUGCUCGAAGUUAAAGAUGAUCCUACAUUUCGGGCUAGAGUCGGAGACUAGAUGUUAGCUUAUUCACCCUAAAGCAUGAAGAUUUUUCUUUAAUCUUUUUCCUAAUGUUAUUUAUGGAUUGCAGUUAAUGUAUAGACUUUAGAGCCUGAGUAUUGUUUCUAGGUCAGAGACCAUCAUCAAAAUCUUCCCCUUCGUUCUUUCUUUGUGUAGGUUGGGGACUGUUCCUAAAAUUUUCCCCUUUAUUUCCUUGUUUGGGGCUUUCUUACUGUUUUCUAAAUUGAUGUGGGAUCUGUAGUUCAAUGUACUCUUGAAACUUGUAAGCAAACUCCUUGUCAAUAAAUAUUGUUGUUUCUUGUUAAACCAAAAAAAAAAAAUCUCCGUGUCUGUCACCUGGGUUUAAAAUAUAUAUAUAUAUAUAUAUAUAGAGUGAGGCUACUAUGCUAUCGGAAGCACGGAGCCUUCCGUGCUUCCGGCUUGUUUUUGAUGUUGCGAUUUUCAAAUCGUUGAUCGGUUCCGUUAAACUUGAUCUAGAGUGUUUGGAGUACCUAGAAAAUAAAUUUUAUUAUUUUUCGAUAUCAUUUGCUUAGUGAUCAAAAGGGUUCAACAUCAACAAAUUUCAAUGGCCGUAGUGAG